AUCAUGUAUUAUAAGGUGCUUGAAUAUCAUCUAGCAAAGCUCACAUAUAACAUUCUAUGUUUUGGUGAUGAUUACAGAUAUAUUCAACAGGUACACAGAUGAAAAGGGAAGGUUCAAGGAGUCUUUGAUCAAUGAUGCAUGUGGCCUACUAGGCUUGUAUGAAGCUGCACAUCUCAGGGUGUGGGAAGAAGAUAUACUAGAUGAAGCACUUGCUUUCACCACCACUCACCUCAAGUCUAUGGUGGAACUUUUAGAAUACCCUCUUGCAGCACAAGUCACUCAUGCUUUAUACCGGCCCAUUAGGAAAGGCUUAGAGAGGCUAGAGGCAAGGCCUUACAUGUCUAUUUACCAAGAUGAAGCUUCACAUAGUAAAGCUUUACUGAAGCUUGCAAAGUUAGAUUUCAACCUACUUCAGUCACUGUACAAGAAACAGCUAAGCAAUAUCUCGAGGUUAGUUUUCAAAUCGUGUAUGAACUCAAGUUCAAACAGUUUACUAGGUCCUUUAUGUGAGUUAAUGUAUUUUCUCAGGUGGUGGAAAGACCUAGAUUUUUCUUCGAAACUACCUUUUGGAAGAGAUAGAGUGGUGGAAUGCUACUUUUGGAUAGCAACAGCUUGUUUUGAGCCCCAGUAUUCAUAUGCUAGAAGAAUACAGACCAAAAUACUCGCUCUGAUAACAAUUAUUGACGAUAUGUUUGAUGCAUAUGGGACACUGGAAGAACUGGAGCUCUUUACAGAGGCAAUUGGGAGGUUUGAUAUAUGCAAAAUUUACCCACAUCCAAUGAUUUAUUUUAUUUUAUUUUAAUUUUUAUAUGUUUGAACUUUAAAAGGGAACUUGGUACUUGAUUUUCAGGUGGGAUGUUAACAGCAUAUAUCAGCUUCCGGAAUACAUGAAGCCAUGCUAUCAGGCAGUCUUGGAUGCCUACAAAGAAAUUGAGCGGAUGGAGAACAAAGAAGAUCAUAUUGUGUUCACUAUGCAAAAGAGGCAGUAAGGGUCUGAGUUCUAUCUGUGCCCCUAUAACAUGUACUGCACACUAGAGUAAUUAUUUGUUGGCAAUGGUUGAACAUAUUUCAGAUGAAAAGGUCUGUUCGAGCUUACUUCAAUGAAGCCAAAUGGCUACAUGAAGACUAUGUACCUACGAUAGAAGAGUACUUGAGUGUUGCACAAGUUACCUCUGAGGUCACCUUGUUCACUGUCAUCUGCUUUGUUGGAAUGGGAAGGAUGGCAACCAAAGAGGUCUUUGAAUGGGUGUGGAAUGACCCAAAGAUCGUCGGAGCUUCCUCCAAAAUUAUGAGGCUCAUGGAUGAUAUGGCUUCACACAAGGUACUAUGUUAUAUUACAUAUCGCAAAGACAACGGGAUCUUUAUAAGAAUUUAAUUACCUUUUUGGUAAACAUUUCCUGUUGGUUUUUGUGUAGUUUGAGCAAGAGAGAGGACAUAGCGCAUCAAGUGUUGAAUGUUACAUGAAGCAACAUGGUGUCUCAGAGCAGCAUGCAUACCAAGAGCUUAACAAGCAAGUCGAGAAUGCAUGGAAAGAUGUAAACCAGGGCUGCCUUAGACCUCCUGCUAUUCCAAUGCCUCUCCUUACACGGGUUCUUAAUUUCGCACGCACCGGGGAUUUCAUGUACAAAGGCCGUGAUGAUAGGUUCACGAAUGUUGGAGAUGUGAUGAAAGAUAGUAUUGCAUCACUGUUCAUAGACCCUGUGCCAAUAUGAGCCUGGAGAUUUGCAAUAGGCUUUCUGGCUUCUGUUUUAUAAUUAGCCCUUCUAGUUUGGGGUCUAUGUUGGAGAGUAUGAUAUACAUAUAUAUAUUAUGAUAUCAAUGCUAUACAAAAUUCUCAACCAUAUUAAGGCAAUGACAAAGUCACAGUGGGAAAUGGUAAGAAUCUGUUAAUCACACAUGUUGGAUCCAAGACACUACAUUCUCAUCACCAAGCUUUUCAUCUAAAAACCAUCUAUCACGUUCCUCAGCUUACCACAAACCUCAUCAGUGUAUGAAAGUUUUGUUCAGAUAAUCACAUAUUCAUUGAAUUCCAUCCUACUUUCUUUUGUGUCAAGGACCAAGCCACCAAGAAGAUUCUGAUCCAAGGCACUAUUGAACAUGUGCUCUACAAAUUUCCUAGCUCUUCUCUUCCACCAUCAUCUUCCUCCAUGGCUCUCACUGCUUAGUCUACUGCUGACAUCUCCCUAUGGCACCAAAGGUGUUUUCCUAGCUCUUCUCUUCCACCAUCAUCUUCCUCCAUGGCUCUCACUGCUUAGUCUACUGCUGACAUCUCCCUAUGGCACCAAAGGUGUGGUCACCCGACAGCUCCAAUAUUAAGACAUAUCCUAACCUCAUGUAAUGUUCCUUAUUCUACAAACAAGUUCAAUCAAAUUUGUUGUGCUUGUCAGCUUGCUAAAAGUCACAAGCUACUGUUGUGGAAACUCCUGCCUUUCCUGCACCUCUUCAAUAUUCUUCCCUACCACCUCUAUCUCCUAGUUCCAAUUCCCUACCACCUGCCACUACAUCAUCUAUCCAGUUUCUACCUCCUCUAAUUCAGGAUCCCUCUACUGCCUCCCCCACCUCUGCUCCACCCUUACCUUCCUUCCUCAAUACUCAUCCCAUGGUAACCCGUUCAAGGCAGGCAUCACAAAACCCAAGGCUCUUCUUGCAUCUACUCCCACUAAACCCUACACUUUUCGACAGGAUAUUAAGGAUCCUCAAUGGCAACUGGCAAUGGAUGUUGAAUAUCAAGCUUUACUCCGUAAUAACACUUGGUCUGUGGUUCAUCUCCCUUAUCAUGGGAAUAUUAUUGGAUGCAAAUGGGUGUUUCAAUAUUGAUCGUCACAAGGCUUAUCUUGUGGCCAAGGGUUUCACCCAAACUCAGGGAAUUGACUAUUUUGAUACCUUCGAUCAGCCCUAUAGUGAAGUCGACCACCAUUCUUAUUGUUCUCACCCUUGCACUUUCAUCCCAAUGGUCCAUUUGACAACUGAACAUUCAAAACGCAUUUCUAAGUGGUGACCUUCAGAACCAGGUCUUCAUGCAACAACCCCUUGGCUUUGUUCAUCCUCAACACCCAUCUUACGUCUGCUAUCUUCACAAAACCCUUUGUGGUCUUAAAAAAGCUCCAAGAGCUUGGUUCCACAAACUCAAUACCUCUCUUACCACUUGGGGAUUUGAAUCUUCUUGCGCAGACACCUCUUUAUUCUUCAAACAUGCCACAUCUGAUGUUCUCAUUCUUGUCUACGUUGAUGACAUCCUCGUCACUGGUAGUUGUGCCUCUCAGGUUACCUUUUUUAUCUGUCAGCUCNNNNNNNNNNNNNNNNNNNNNNNNNNNNNNNNNNNNNNNNNNNNNNNNNNNNNNNNNNNNNNNNNNNNNNNNNNNNNNNNNNNNNNNNNNNNNNNNNNNNGUAGUUGUGCCUCUCAGGUUACCUUUUUUAUCUCUCAGCUCAGCUCCACCUUUGCUCUUCGUGACCUUGGUUCCCUUUACUAUUUCUUUGGCAUUGGGGUUACUCACAGUACUGAUUCUCUUCAUCUCUGCCAACAAAAGUAUGUGCAUGACCUACUCACUGAUAACCAAACAGACUCUACCCAAACUGCUACCCGAACUGCCCCUCAUUCUGUUGUAACUAAGCAACUGUGUAACCCAACUAAACAACUGUGUAACCUCUCCAAACCCACCCUAACUGAUCACUGUACUGAGCCUAUAAAUACCGGUGUCAAUGUAAUCUUGAAAUAACGAGAAAUAAUUCUCUUUUCUCUCUUCUGCAUAUUUUCUUCUCAGCUACACAAGCUUAGCUGUCAUGGUAUCAGAGCAAGCCCUGUCUUCCACUUGCACAGGCUCCCUUUUCUCAUGCCAUGCUUGCUGCCGCACCAGAUCAUCAAGAUUCUUGGUUCUUUGACACUGGUGCAACUCACCACCUUAGUCAUUCUGCUCAAACUCUCUCUUGUGUUCAGCCAUAUUCAGGUACUGAUCAAGUCACAAUUGGUGAUGGCAAUUCGUUACCCAUUCUUAACACAGGUACCAAGUCAUUCUUCUUCCCUUCCAAGACCUUUUCCUUAAAUCAAGUUCUUCAUGUACCUCAUCUUUCCACCAAUCUCAUCAGUGUCUCCAAAUUCUGCACAGAUAAUGCUGUUUUCUUUGAGUUUCAUUCCUCCUGUUUCUUUGUCAAGGAUCAGGUCACCAAGAAGAUUCUUCUCAAGGGCUGGCUUAGGGACGGUCUGUAUGAGUUCUCCUCCUCAUCUCCUCCUCAUGCGUUUGUGACCACAGGCUCAUUUUCUGAUGGUGCAAUUUGGCAUUCCCGUCUUGGACACCCAGCAGUUCCUAUUCUUUCUAAGGCUUUAGCCUCUUGUAAUCCUUCUGUUACAUUACAGAUUAAUAAAAUUGCUCCAUGUAUCAUUUGUCCAUUGGCUAAGUCUCAUUCCUUACCUUAUUCUUUGUCAUCUUCUCAUGCCUCUCACCCCUUAGCCCUCAUUCACACUGACUUGUGGGGACCUGCUCCUUCUACCUCUAUAACAGGAGCCCGUUACUUUCUUAUUUUUAUUGAUGACUAUUCCAGGCAUACCUGGAUUUAUUUCCUUUCCACCAAGGACCAGGCUCUCCAAUCUUUUAUUACCUUCCGCAAGAUGGUAGAAAACCAGUUACAAACCACCAUCAAAUGCAUUCAGUCUGAAAAUGGUGGAGAAUUCUUGGCCUUCAAACCUUACCUUGAAGCUCAUGGUAUUCUUCAUCAGUUUUCAUGUCCUCAUACACCUCAGCAAAAUGGAAGAGCAGAGAGGAAAAUUAGACAUCUUGUUGAAACCGGUCUUGCUCUUAUGGCUCAAAGUUUCUUACCCUCCAAAUAUUGGACAUAUGCUUUUCAAACAGCAGUAUAUCUUAUUAAUCUUCUACCAGCCAAACUUCUCCAUUUUCAGUCACCCACUCAAACCCUUUUUCAUAAACUUCCCAACUAUCAUCAUCUCCGAGUCUUCGGUUGCCUGUGUUUCCCAUCCUUACGUCCUUAUACACAACAUAAACUCUGCUAUCGCUCCACUGCUUGUGUCUUUCUUGGAUAUGCACCAGCUCAUAAAGGUUACUUAUGUCUUGAUGUCUCCACUAAUCGUAUCUACAUUUCCAGAAAUGUGAUCUUCCAUGAAUCCUCUUUUACAUUUCAGUCUUCAUCUCCUCCAUCUUCACCCUCUCCAGACCUCCCGUCUUCUACACAUGCCUUAAUCAAUUCACCCAGCUUGUCUGCCCCUUCAUCACCAGCUGUGUCCUCCCCUAUCAUCACUUCUGAUUCUAUCCCUCCACUAAUUCCGGUCCCCUUUGCCACCUCCUCUCCAGCUGCUCCUUCACCACCUCCUUUACCUCUCAACACUCAUCCCAUGGUGACCUGAGCAAAAUCUGGCAUUCAUAAGAAACGAAGCUUUAUUGUGCAGCACACAACAGAACCUCGCACUUACAGUCAAGCCUCUAAAAAUGACUCUUGGGUUCAGGCCAUGAACAGUGAAUAUCAAGCUCUUCUUCGCAACAACACCUAGAGUUUGGUUCCUCCACCUUCAUCUGCUCACAUUGUUGGCUGCCGUUGGAUCUACAAGCUCAAAUAUCGCCCUGAUGGAUCCAUUGACAGACACAAAGCUCGUUUAGUUGCCCAGGGAUUCACCCAAACUCCGGGGAUAGACUACUUUGACACAUUCAGUCCAGUUGUGAAGCCUUGCACCAUUCGACUUAUCCUUGCUUUGGCAGUCUCCUUUCAAUGGUCAGUUCGGCAAUUGGAUGUGGAGAAUGCUUUCCUUAAUGGAGAUCUGGAAGAAGAGGUUUUUAUGACUCAGCCUCAGGGUUUUGUCAAUCCCACCUAUCCUACAUAUGUUUGCAAAUUACACAAAGCAUUGUAUGGCCUCAAACAAGCUCCUAGAGCUUGGUUUCAAAAGCUUCGGAUUGCCUUGCUUGACUAUGGUUUCCAAUCUUCUCGUGCAGACACUUCUCUCUUCAUCUUUCACACUGCAACUGAUAUUCUCAUUCUACUGGUAUACGUAGAUGAUAUCCUGGUCACUGGUAGUAAUCCCACGUUGGUUUCUCACUUCAUCUCCUACCUCAGGACUAAGUUUGCACUUCGGGAUCUUGGACCUUUGUCAUAUUUUUUGGGUAUUCAAGCUCAACAACUUGGCUCUGUCUUGCAUCUUAAUCAGCAUAAAUAUAUUGCUGAUCUUCUCAACCGCACUCAGAUGGAGACUUCGAAACCAGCUCCCACUCCAGGACGUCUCGGUCGUACCCUCUCUCAAUCUGAUGGUGUGUCUCUGUCGGAUCCAUCAGAAUAUCGUCGUACCGUAGGAGCCUUACAAUAUGUCACUCUCACCAGGCCCGACAUUGCGUUCGCCGUGAACAAAGCUUGCCAAUUCAUGGCAAAGCCUUCUGAUGUUCAUUGGAUGGCUGUUAAAAGAAUUCUACGGUAUUUAAAAGGCACCAUCCAUCUUGGUCUUCACUUCCAACCUGCUGCUUCAAUGGAGCUUCAAGGAUACAGUGAUGCUGACUGGGCAUCUUGUCCAGAUGAUCGUCGAAGCACCAGCGGCUACUGUGUAUUCCUAGGCUCGAAUCUCAUCUCAUGGUCCUCUUCUAAACAACGACUUGUCUCCAAAAGCAGUGCUGAAUCCGAAUAUAGAGGGUUGGUAUCCCUCACGGCGGAGUUGGUGUGGAUUCAAUCCUUACUUCAAGAGCUCUGCUUGCCUACCUCUCCACCUAUACUAUGGUGUGACAACCAAAGUGCAGCUCAUCUUGCUGCUAAUCCGGUCUUUCACUCCCGUUCCAAACAUAUCGAAUUAGAUUUACACUUCAUCAGAGAAAAGGUGUUACGCCAAGAACUUCAAAUCUGCUAUGUUCCCUCCGGUGAUCAGCUUGCAGAUAUUUUCACAAAGCACCUUCCUAUUACACAAUUUUGUAACCUCCGUAGCAAGCUCACAGUCACCUACCCGCCUCUGAGCUUGAGGGGGGAUGAUAACCAAACAGACUCUACCCAAACUGCUACCCGAACUGCCCCUCAUUCUGUUGUAACUAAGCAACUGUGUAACCCAACUAAACAACUGUGUAACCUCUCCAAACCCACCCUAACUGAUCACUGUACUGAGCCUAUAAAUACCGGUGUCAAUGUAAUCUUGAAAUAACGAGAAAUAAUUCUCUUUUCUCUCUUCUGCAUAUUUUCUUCUCAGCUACACAAGCUUAGCUGUCACUCACUCGUACUGCCAUAACUGAUACUAAACUUGUUCUUACACUGGGUUCCUUGGCUUGGCCAAGCCUCUCUCUCUCACUGAUGGUGAUCUACUUCAUAUCGCAACAUUGUUGGCGCAUUACAGUAUGUUACUGUUACACGUCCAAACCUUUCUUUUGCUGUUAACAAGGUAUGCCAGUUUAUGGCUUCCCAACGACCACCCACUAGCUGGUUGUCAAUAAUAUAAAAAGUAAUUCAAAAUAAAAUGAAAAUAUAGAUUUAAAAUAAAAAUAAAUAAAUUAAACAUUAAUAAUUAAAAUUUUAAAAAAAGAUAAAUAUUUUUUUUUAAAAAAAGUUUUCAAAAAAAUCUCAGAUAUUUUCAGAUAUAUCAGCGAUAUAUCCGAUAUAUUCGUCGAUAUAUUUCCAAUAUUUUAAUAGGCUUCUUCUACUGUUUCGCGCGUCACUUCACGUUUAAUUUUUUUUGUCAAUUUAUCGGUUCUAAACCGAAAUAUCGACGAUAUUUCGAUGAUCUUUUCGAUAUUUUUUCGAUGUUCCUCCCAUUCGAUAAUCGAUGUUCAAUAUCCUUUCGGGGUUGUCCGAUACCCGAUAUAUCGAUGAAAUAUCAUUGAUAAAAACCGAUUUUUCAAUCCAUGCUUAAUAGUGGGUUUCCCUUUUGGCCUCUAUUCUUUUUCUUUUUUAAAAAAGAAUCCUUUCCGAUUCUGUGGCCUUGAGUGAGCACUAUGUAUUUCAACUAUUUUGACAUGUUCAAAAUAAAUUACUAAGAAUUUAAAGGGAAUUUGUUCGACAAGUACUUUUUUUUUAAACAUAUUUAUUUAUACCUUGUUUAGUUUAGAUUGCAUUAUUUUAUGUAAAUAAUUUAUUGGGUUUAUGUAAAUAAUUUAUUGGGUAUGGUAAUUAUUUUUAUAAAUGGCUAAGUAGAUUUAAUUUUAAAUAUUAAUUUAUUGAGCAGGAAAAUUAUUUAUUAAAACAUGGUUUAACAACUAUGCGAUGGACCUAACUUAUUAAACAAAAUAAACCAAUACUAUAUUAUUAUAGCUUAAAUUAUUUUUUAAUGGUAGCAAUGUUGAAAAACCUAACCUAAUGAGAAAAUAGUAAUUAAUUAACAUAAUUUUAUAUUGACUUGUAAAAUUGGGCCAACAUAUAAAUAUAUUGAUGGUAACAAGAAGACCUACGUUGAUAAUGAAUCAUCAAUAUUAGUCUAUGUUGUCAACUUUGGAAUAUUAAUAUAUGUAUAUGAUUUUAACAGGAUGUUGUCAUUAUAUCUUUUAGAUAUAUAUAUAUAUAUAUAUAUAUAUAUAUAUAUAUAUAUAUAUGACAUCUCAAUUAAUUACGCUAACCCUCAUUAUCAAUAUAAGUCAACGUAACCAAAUCCUUCUUCCUUGUAGUGAAUGUUAGUUCUCAUAUAUGGAGGUAGGUAUGGAUGGUCCAAUUAUCUUAAAUUUCGUGUAUCUUUAUUUUAUGAUUUGUUUUAUAUUUUUAUUAUUUUGUCAAUAUAAUCGUUUUCAUGAUUAGGAAUUAGAGAAAAGUUUGUAGAAGAUUUUUCCAAAUUUGAAAAUAACUAUGUAAGAAAUUCAACUUAAACACGUUUCUUUGUGGAAGAGUUGCAUUGGCAAGGAAAUUAGAUACUUGUCUUUGCAUUGGCAAGGAAAUGCUACACACAUUCAUUGAACAAUCUUAGGCCCAUUUUUCCAAGCAGCCUAGCACGUUGAUUGAAUUAAACCCCUAUGGAUUGAUAUUGAUUGGAUCCAUUACCCGUCAUGCAUUCAAUCCCAAAGCGUUGAUUAUUCAAACUCUAUGAAAUAUAGGUUUCGCUGAGUGGAGGAGUUCAAAUACAUUAAAUUGAUAUUUUAAGUAAAUAUAAUGCGGAAAAUGAAACCUACUAGAUCGAUAAUGACCACUAGCUGGCUGUCAAGAAUAUAAAAAGUAGUUAAAAAUAAAAUGAAAAUAUAGAUUCAAAAUAAAAAAUAAAUUAAAAAUAAAUAAUUAAAAAUUUAAAAAAGAAUAAAUAUUUUUUAAAAAAAAAUUUCAAAAAAAUUGCUGAUAUUUUAAGAUAUAUAGGCAAUAUAUCCGAUAUAUUUGUCUAUAUAUCCGAUAUAUUCGUCGAUAUAUCGUUGAUAUAUUUUCGAUAUUUUGACAGACUUUCUCUAUUGCUCCGCGCGUCGCUUCACACAAUUUUUUCUUUGAACUAUUGGUUCCAAAUCAAAAUAUUAAUGAUAUUUCAACGAUUUUCUUAAUAUUUUCCAAUAUUCCUCCCGUUCGAUAAUCGAUGCUCAAUAUCCUUUCGGGACCGUCCUAUAUCCAAUAUAUCGAUAAAAUAUCACCAAUAAAAACCAAAAUUUCAAUCCAUGCUUAAUAGUGAGUUUCCUUUUGUUUGGCCUUCGUUUUUUUUUUUUUUAAAAAAAAAAAAAAUCCUUUUCGGUUCCAUGGCCUUGAGUGAGUACUAUGUAUUUCAACUAUUUUGACACGUUCAAAAUAAAUUACUAAGAAUUUAAAGGGAAUUUGUUCGACAAGUACUUUUUUUUUUAAACAUAUUUAUUUAUACAUUGUUUAGAUUAGGUUGCAUUUUUUUAUGUAAAUAAUUUAUUGGGUAUUUGGGAAUUAUUUUUAUAAAUGGCUAAGUAGAUUCAAUUUUAAAUAUUAAUUUAUUGAGCAUGAAAAUUAUUUAUUAAAAUAUGGUUUAACAACAAUGCGAUGGAAUCGACUUGUUAAACAAAAUAAACUAAUACUAUAUUAUUUUAGCUUAAAUUAUUUCUUAAUGGUAAUAAUGUUGAAAAACAAAUAUCAAUAAAAACUAACCUUAAUGAGAAAAUAGUAAUUAACAUAAUUUAUAUUGACUUGUAAAAUUGGGUCAACAUAUAAACAUAAUUUUAUAUGCAUAAAGUUAUAAUUAAACUUCGUAAAAUUUCAAGGUAGAUUGGAAGUAAAUUUUUUUGUUACUUGAAAUGUUUACAACUUCUUCCUUGUAGUGAUGUUAUUUGUAAUAGAACUUCCCUGCACAAUCGUUUCCAUGACUGGGAUUGAAUUAGAGAAAAUUUUGUGGAAGAUUUUUCCAAAUUUGGAAAAAUCGCAUGUAGAAGAGUUGCAUUGGCAAGGAAAUCUACACACUCAUUGAACAGUCUAUGCCCACUUUUCCAAUCAGCCUAGCACGUUUUUUUUAAUUGAAUAACCACGGAUUGAUAUUGAUUGGAUCCAUUAUCAGUCAUUCAAUCCUAAAGCAUUCAUUUGUCAAACUCCAUGAAAUAUAGGUUUGGCCGAGUGGACAUUUCAAUACUAAACUUGUCCAAAUACAUUAAUUAAAUUGAUAUUUUUAGUAAAUAUGAUGCGCAAAAUGAAACCCACCAGGUCGAUAACGACCACAUUACAAACUGAUCUGCAGGGUAGUUAGGGCAAUCCCUCAAAAUUCAUAAAAAAAGAAAAAAAAAAAGUGAAGCAAAUAGAAUCAAAUAGUAGUUCUUAUGUUAUUUUUUCAAAAAAUAGUUAUCGAGUCUGGAAAUGGGUAUUUUUCAUUUACUUGAAGCAGAUUGAGGAUCUGAAAAAUGAAUUGAAAAUGGAAUUAUACGUAGUGUUGACUAUAAGAAUUUCAGUGGAUUCAAAAAGCCCCAAUUUAUACCUUAGCCGCCCCUAAUAGUUUCGGCUCUUGCUUCAUAAAUUUAGCCAAGGGACUCGUGAAAAAACUUUUUCUUUCACGUCAUCAAUCCCUUUCAUACACUACUUUCAACGUUAUUAUUUUACAUUAUCUUCAACAAUAGAACAUUUAGAAUAUCCUCUUGCGGAACAAGUUGCUCAUGCACUAAAGCAGCCCAUUAGAAAAGGUUUAGAGAGGCUAGAGGCAAGGUGGUAUAUGUCUAUCUACCAGGAUGAAACUUCGCAUGACACAACUUUACUAAAGCUGGCCAAGUUAGAUUUCAAUCUAGUGCAGUCCCUACACAAGGAGGAGCUAAGCAAUAUUGCUAGGUUUGCUUUCAAAUCACUAGCAGAUAUACCUAGUCACCUUCUCAUUUUACCAUGAGCUAAUUGUUUUAAUGAAUUUUAGGUGGUGGAAAGAAUUAGACUUUGCUACAAAGCUACCUUUUGCGAGAGAUAGAUUGGUGGAAGGCUACUUUUGGAUACUUGGGGUGUACUUUGAGCCUCAAUAUGUCCGGGCUAGACGAAUUCUAACCAAAACAAUUUCCAUGACAUCCAUUAUAGAUGAUAUAUAUGACGCAUAUGGCACAUUUGAAGAACUCGAGCUCUUCACCGAGGCCAUUGAGAGGUUUGAUUGAUGCAAAUUACCAACCUUCAUCAUUUAUACUGUAUGUGAUACUUAAAUCAAGCCUGGUUUUAUUUUCAGGUGGGAUAUUAAUAGCAUAGAUCACCUUCCAGAAUACAUGAAACACUGCUAUGUGGCACUCUUAGAUGUGUACAAAGAAAUUGAGGAAGAGAUGGAGAAAAAAGGAAACCAAUAUCGGGUUCAAUAUGCGAUAGAAGCGGUAGGACAUUCUGCAUCGACUUUGUUUUGUAUAGUAACAUAUCGUAAGGAUAUAGAUGUAACCUGAUUGAAUGUUUGACAGAUGAAAAACCUAGUUAGAGCUUAUUUUCAUGAGGCUAAAUGGUUCCAUGAAGGACGCAUACCAACAAUGGAAGAGUAUAUGAGGAUAGCACUGGUAACCUCAGGUUACUACAUGCUUACAACCAUUCUUUCAUUGGUAUGGGAGAAAUUGUAACAAAGGAGGCCUUUGAUUGGGUGAUCAGUGACCCUAAGAUUAUCACAGCAUCAGCUGUAAUUUGUAGGCUCAUGGAUGACAUCAGUUCACAUAAGGUAUUGUGAAUAUAGUAUUACUUGUUAAGCUAUAAUUUGACCUUGACCUUAAAGCUCAAUCAAUUAAACAUAUUUACUGUACUCUUCUUCUUAAACUAUAUAUGCAGUUUGAGCAAAAGAGAGGGCAUGUUGCCUCAGGCAUUGAAUGUUACAUGAAGCAAUAUGGUGCCUCUGAGGAAGAGGUAUACGAUGAGUGUGGACCCGCAUUUUUCACGUGCGUCCCCACUCGAUCAGCGAGACUCGCUUUUUAUUUAUGAAAAAUUAAUUUUAAAAAAAAGUUGGAGUCGCCACUUAUUUUAUUUUUAUUUUAAAGGGAAAAUAAAACAAGAAAGAAAAACCCUAAAAAAGUGACUCCAUAAUUUUUGGAAAAAGCAUGUCUUUGAAAAACCCGAGUCUAAGUCCGGGGAUCAGGUUACCUAUUGGGAAGGUACCUUUAAAAGGUAGCACCCCUCUAAGCCCUCUAAAGGUCUCUACUAACAAAGUUAAGGGAAGUGUGGCCAUUAAUCAGUUAAUUAUGGAUACCUAAGUAGGCUAGGUGAUUUCAAAUAUUGCAUGCCUAAAGAGAAAACAAACCAUAAGAGAGAGUCGAAGUGCGUACCUAAAUGGCUUCUCAAGCGCUAUCAUGAAACAUAAGAGAUUAGUUUGGAAAUAUGACACAACAUUUGUUUUAUCUAAGCAAAUCAAGCAUAUAUCAAAACACCCAAAAAUCACAUCAUGUAUGGAUAUAGUCAUCAAUAACGCAUGUGUCCAUGGAAUUCUCAAAAAUAGGUGUGAAGGAGCGUACCUGGAUGGCGAGCUAAAACGCUACUAUGGGAAACAAGAUUGCUUAAUAAUAGGUGCAUAAUAAUCUCACGUAUCUCAAAGAGAAAGCACAAUUAAUCAAAUGUCAAACAAACACUAUUGAAGAGGAUAUCAUGAAUGUCGGGCCCCCACCAAAGCCCUAAUUAAUUUCGCACGAGUUGAUUCCAUAAAUUCCAUGACUUGGAAUUAUGGAGUUUGUUCGUGCUUGAGAAAAUCGGAAAAAUCAAGAAAAUGGUUGAAAAUAAAAAUAAAUAAUAAAAUAAAAAAAAUAGUGAAAACUUGUGCCAGAAGGAAAAUGGCAGCAAAAGGGUGUUGAAAUCUGGAUUUUAUUGCCUAGAGAAGGUCUAAAGAUGAUUCUCUAAAAUCAGGAUUAUUUGGAUGAAAACGAUUUUGAAAACACAAUUCAAAACACGUAAAAUCAUGAGGAAAACAAGAGGGGUGAGAAGGGAAGAGAGUAGUGUGCACCGAACUGGUCAUGGCGAGUGGGGUUUGGGGGUUUGGCUGUGACUGCGUUGCUGGUGGUUAUAGGCGCUGCUGUCAUUUUCUCUGAAUUUUUCCCUCUACUCUCUCGUAUGCAUUUAAGUGCUUUACAUCACUGUGUUCUUGAGCUUUUCCCCAUUUCUUCUUAUACCUUGACCUGCCACCUCUGCUGGUGUGUUCUGUUGAACUAAGUAAACUUGCUGGCGCGUUCUGUUGAACUGAGUGACACUAUGUCUGCUCUCAAAUUUAAAUCCUUUAACCUUAUCCAUCAAUAGGGAUGCCUGAAUUUCAGGAGCCCGCAACUCAUUCGGCAAUGCUGAGGGAAAUGGCGUUGUAAAUGUUGCUUGAGGAGAAGGCUGCUGUGGAGGAUGUUUUAUUAUAUCCUUGCUGACAUAUUGACAUGGCGUGAGAUGAUACACCAGCAAUUUGAGUAGUUUGUGGUCAGCCCAAUUGAGGUUGCUUUCAAACUUUCGCUACAAAAAAAGAAGAUCGAAGAUGACGAAACCCAUGUGAAUCGCUCUACGGUUCUGGCAGCGAAUGAGGAUUGGACAUGCAGAUUCUGGAGACAGUGACUUGAAGCUUCUUGCGAAUCUGUAGCAAGUUUAAUCAGACCACUCUUGAGGGCAACUUCUUUCUUCAAACAAAGUCAUGCAUUCCAGAGUACGCAGCUUUCCUCUUUCUGAAGUACAGAGCAUGCCUAAGAUCUAUGUUUGGGGGCAAAAUGUUUUCGUAAUCUGCAUGGGAUUGCGCUUUAUUGCUUACAAAAACAUCAUUGAAUCUCACCGUUCCAGAAUGGCACAUAAACAGUAGCGGACUUUGAUGUUAUCUUCAUUCAGCUGUUAAGUGACCAUCAUUAGUCUUGUUUCUAUCUUUUAGAACAUAUACAGGGAUGUGCCUUAGGAAGUCCUGCAUUGCUUGCAUCUCGCUUGACCUUUUGCUCAAUAAUUCAACCUGAGUACGGGGUUGAGACAUCUGGGUUGCAAAGGUGACUAUGGACUGUACAUUCGCUUGUUUCUCUUCCCACUAUUUUCUGAAUCAAAUUACCUGCUGCUGUAUCUAUUGAAGCUGUAGCCUCAUCUAACAAUCUCUCAAAAGGCAUAAAUAUCAGAUUCUUCAACUAUGCUAUUCUCAGAUCACCUCAGCAGUAUAAGGGGUUCUAUGCAUUUAGGAACCAUCAGCAAUGCUUGGAUUUUUGGGAUAUUAUACAGAACAAAGCAAAGUUGUGCGACAUUUCCCUUUGAUUAUGAAGAUGAAGUCGAAGAUGGCAAAAUUUUGUAAAGACUUUCAAGGGGAUUCCCUCCACGUUUGUCAUCAAAGAUGCUUUUUGACGAAUUUCCCAUAGUCAACUUGAUUAAGGCAACAAGAACAACUUUUUGCUUACUCUAUGAUGCAGUAUUAAGCAUGUCAAACAAUGAGUGAGCCACCUGCUUAGCUGACUUAAAAUCUCUGAUAUUCUCAACAUCGAGAGGCUCAAGUGAAGCUCUACUGAAUAUAACAUUUCUUGACUCCAAAUGUAACACAGUUAUCAGUUGAUUCACGGAAUUGAUUGAUGCUUCGCAAUGAAGAAAAUCAGGACUGCUAAAUAGUAUUUUCAACAAUUCAGACACUAUGGCCUUAGAAGGGUCUUGAGGGCUUAAAGACAAGUACUUGGUUAGAGCACCCAAUGCUCCAGCUUCAGCCAUGAUCAGUUUGUUCGCAUCAGACAUUAGUUCAAGGGGUUUGGCACCUUCCCUCACAUGCAUCUCAGAAUGAGCUUUCAUACACUCCCAGUAGAAAUAGUUUCAGAAUCUGCAUUUAUUAUAGUGGCUUUAGUUUCGAUGUCGUCUUUUGAGAGAGUCAUUUUCUACCAAAAUCACAAUCUAAGCAAUCGUCAAGCAUUAGGUUGGAAUUUCCGUCACAAAUGAAUUUCUUGUUAGCAUCAUUAGUAAUCUUCAGCAAUCAAGCUCACUGAAUCGUCUCCUGAGUACCCAUGACAGAAGAAAGCUGAUCAUUCAUGGCACCCAAGACUGAGCCAUGGUGAUAACUAUUUAAAGUAGUGUUUGAAUUAGCUGAUCCGUCAAGACUUUGAUGGGAUGAUACAUUCCUGAUGGGUUAAGUGUCAUCAGUUGACAUGGUACUAUUGCUUACAAAAAAUUAUGAGCCCAGGUUCUUCUUCCUGCUAUUGUCCAAUUCUGUAGGAGUAAUCUGGUCUUUUCCAGUUUAUUAAGCUCCAUCAUGCCUGCCUCAAGAAGGGCCUUUGGCGUAUAUGUCAGUAAGUUCAAGUCUGGACAGUGUCCUAGUAAACAGAUGCCUUCCCUGAUCUCUAUCAGUAUGCAUCCUCUGAUUAGGAUUGAUUUCUGGACUGAUCUGAUCAAAGAUCCUCGAACUGUUUAAAGUCCCAUGAUUCUUUUGGCUUUGAGAGUCUUCUCUGGUUUUCCGUGCUCAAGUAAUCAAGCAAAUUGUCCCACAUGAAUAGAAGAUGCCACAAGUUUAGCAGUGCAUUUUUCAUCAGUAUUCAAAUCAAACAUUGGAAUUUUCUGUAGGUUGGCGGAAUUGUUGGCAAUUUCGACAUCAUAUAUUGCAGCAAGGCCGAAAUUCUGACUUACACUUCUAAGUGUUCCAGAGAACUUAGUCAUGUCUGCCUCCUAUGUCAUCUCUUGAUAAAUCUGGUUCUCUUCAAAUGCUUCCGAAGGUUGAAAUUAGUACCCUUGUUCGUCUCAAGGAAACAAACCGAGAGGUUUGGACAGUAGGAUCUGCACUUUCUCCACAGAACUGGAGCACCUUUUCAGAAGUCCCUUCUUUGGUCUCAGCAAAAGACUUUAGAGCUUCAACAAGAAAAGUAANNNNNNNNNNNNNNNNNNNNNNNNNNNNNNNNNNNNNNNNNNNNNNNNNNNNNNNNNNNNNNNNNNNNNNNNNNNNNNNNNNNNNNNNNNNNNNNNNNNNNNNNNNNNNNNNNNNNNNNNNNNNNNNNNNNNNNNNNNNNNNNNNNNNNNNNNNNNNNNNNNNNNNNNNNNNNNNNNNNNNNNNNNNNNNNNNNNNNNNNNNNNNNNNNNNNNNNNNNNNNNNNNNNNNNNNNNNNNNNNNNNNNNNNNNNNNNNNNNNNNNNNNNNNNNNNNNNNNNNNNNNNNNNNNNNNNNNNNNNNNNNNNNNNNNNNNNNNNNNNNNNNNNNNNNNNNNNNNNNNNNNNNNNNNNNNNNNNNNNNNNNNNNNNNNNNNNNNNNNNNNNNNNNNNNNNNNNNNNNNNNNNNNNNNNNNNNNNNNNNNNNNNNNNNNNNNNNNNNNNNNNNNNNNNNNNNNNNNNNNNNNNNNNNNNNNNNNNNNNNNNNNNNNNNNNNNNNNNNNNNNNNNNNNNNNNNNNNNNNNNNNNNNNNNNNNNNNNNNNNNNNNNNNNNNNNNNNNNNNNNNNNNNNNNNNNNNNNNNNNNNNNNNNNNNNNNNNNNNNNNNNNNNNNNNNNNNNNNNNNNNNNNNNNNNNNNNNNNNNNNNNNNNNNNNNNNNNNNNNNNNNNNNNNNNNNNNNNNNNNNNNNNNNNNNNNNNNNNNNNNNNNNNNNNNNNNNNNNNNNNNNNNNNNNNNNNNNNNNNNNNNNNNNNNNNNNNNNNNNNNNNNNNNNNNNNNNNNNNNNNNNNNNNNNNNNNNNNNNNNNNNNNNNNNNNNNNNNNNNNNNNNNNNNNNNNNNNNNNNNNNNNNNNNNNNNNNNNNNNNNNNNNNNNNNNNNNNNNNNNNNNNNNNNNNNNNNNNNNNNNNNNNNNNNNNNNNNNNNNNNNNNNNNNNNNNNNNNNNNNNNNNNNNNNNNNNNNNNNNNNNNNNNNNNNNNNNNNNNNNNNNNNNNNNNNNNNNNNNNNNNNNNNNNNNNNNNNNNNNNNNNNNNNNNNNNNNNNNNNNNNNNNNNNNNNNNNNNNNNNNNNNNNNNNNNNNNNNNNNNNNNNNNNNNNNNNNNNNNNNNNNNNNACAGAUCAUCAGCCAUAGGAAUACCAUCGGUGGUUGACGUGGAGAGCUUCUCUGCAAUACCCUGAACCUUACCAUGAAUUUUAAGCCUUUUAGUCAUGACUUUCCACAAUUGAUCCCAACUCAUCAGCACAAAUUUGAAAACCUGCAGCUGUUACUUCCUCAGGUGCAAUGUAGUCACUGGACAAACCAUGAAUAAACUGAAGUGCGGCCUGUGAAACUAGAACUGCUACUCUAAACUUCUCCUCAUUGGAACGUCGAAUAGUUUGAGCUUCGAAUCACUUGCUGAGAUUAGCAGUGAAACGGGACCUUCGCUUAGGUUUUUAACAACCCAGCGAAGCUUUCUCCGUGUGAGCUUUAGGUGGACUUGAAGCCUGAGCUUCCAGAAUUGCUUGGUUAGCUGUCUCAUAAUAACCAGCUGAGCAGCAGAGCUUUGCAUAUUGAAGCCAGCAAUCACCAACUUGAGCACCAAGACCGCUUGCACCAAGAACCAAUCUUUGUAAAGCCAGAAGUGACUCUCUUGCCCAAAGGGAUGGCUGUGUAAAUCUGAGCUGAUCUCCCCAAUUUUCCAUCAUUUUUGUGAAUCUCAGAUCAGCCAAAUCGAUUGAUUUCAGCAACAGCUAGAAGAGCAAUCAGAGCUCGUUUGGACAGAGCAAUUUUCUCAGCAACUGAGAAUUGGUCUUUCUUUAUCAGGGCCUGAGGAAUUUUCACAACAUCCAUGUCAAAGGAAGCAUUAUUCUCAGAGCUGCUGCAAAGUAAACCUUCCUUGUCAGUCCCAUCAAGGUACUCAUCCAUCAAUUCCCACUUGCUAAGCCUCCAUGCUGCCUAAACACCUUGUAUGCACCAAGUUUUCUUGUAUUUAUGAAUUUUAGCUAUUAAACCAUCCACGUGAAUAACCAUAGUCUGAAAGUGGCACAUGUCAGUAAACAAUUAAGAACAUCUGAAUGCCUCUGUACUGAGGUAGGCUCCAUCUGCAAAGCCUGCUCUGAAGAAGUUAAAACUUCUGCCCAGUUUCCUGCUUUCUUGUUGAUUAGAAAGCUGGUCUUGCAAACUUAAUGACGUGUGCAAACANNNNNNNNNNNNNNNNNNNNNNNNNNNNNNNNNNNNNNNNNNNNNNNNNNNNNNNNNNNNNNNNNNNNNNNNNNNNNNNNNNNNNNNNNNNNNNNNNNNNNNNNNNNNNNNNNNNNNNNNNNNNNNNNNNNNNNNNNNNNNNNNNNNNNNNNNNNNNNNNNNNNNNNNNNNNNNNNNNNNNNNNNNNNNNNNNNNNNNNNNNNNNNNNNNNNNNNNNNNNNNNNNNNNNNNNNNNNNNNNNNNNNNNNNNNNNNNNNNNNNNNNNNNNNNNNNNNNNNNNNNNNNNNNNNNNNNNNNNNNNNNNNNNNNNNNNNNNNNNNNNNNNNNNNNNNNNNNNNNNNNNNNNNNNNNNNNNNNNNNNNNNNNNNNNNNNNNNNNNNNNNNNNNNNNNNNNNNNNNNNNNNNNNNNNNNNNNNNNNNNNNNNNNNNNNNNNNNNNNNNNNNNNNNNNNNNNNNNNNNNNNNNNNNNNNNNNNNNNNNNNNNNNNNNNNNNNNNNNNNNNNNNNNNNNNNNNNNNNNNNNNNNNNNNNNNNNNNNNNNNNNNNNNNNNNNNNNNNNNNNNNNNNNNNNNNNNNNNNNNNNNNNNNNNNNNNNNNNNNNNNNNNNNNNNNNNNNNNNNNNNNNNNNNNNNNNNNNNNNNNNNNNNNNNNNNNNNNNNNNNNNNNNNNNNNNNNNNNNNNNNNNNNNNNNNNNNNNNNNNNNNNNNNNNNNNNNNNNNNNNNNNNNNNNNNNNNNNNNNNNNNNNNNNNNNNNNNNNNNNNNNNNNNNNNNNNNNNNNNNNNNNNNNNNNNNNNNNNNNNNNNNNNNNNNNNNNNNNNNNNNNNNNNNNNNNNNNNNNNNNNNNNNNNNNNNNNNNNNNNNNNNNNNNNNNNNNNNNNNNNNNNNNNNNNNNNNNNNNNNNNNNNNNNNNNNNNNNNNNNNNNNNNNNNNNNNNNNNNNNNNNNNNNNNNNNNNNNNNNNNNNNNNNNNNNNNNNNNNNNNNNNNNNNNNNNNNNNNNNNNNNNNNNNNNNNNNNNNNNNNNNNNNNNNNNNNNNNNNNNNNNNNNNNNNNNNNNNNNNNNNNNNNNNNNNNNNNNNNNNNNNNNNNNNNNNNNNNNNNNNNNNNNNNNNNNNNNNNNNNNNNNNNNNNNNNNNNNNNNNNNNNNNNNNNNNNNNNNNNNNNNNNNNNNNNNNNNNNNNNNNNNNNNNNNNNNNNNNNNNNNNNNNNNNNNNNNNNNNNNNNNNNNNNNNNNNNNNNNNNNNNNNNNNNNNNNNNNNNNNNNNNNNNNNNNNNNNNNNNNNNNNNNNNNNNNNNNNNNNNNNNNNNNNNNNNNNNNNNNNNNNNNNNNNNNNNNNNNNNNNNNNNNNNNNNNNNNNNNNNNNNNNNNNNNNNNNNNNNNNNNNNNNNNNNNNNNNNNNNNNNNNNNNNNNNNNNNNNNNNNNNNNNNNNNNNNNNNNNNNNNNNNNNNNNNNNNNNNNNNNNNNNNNNNNNNNNNNNNNNNNNNNNNNNNNNNNNNNNNNNNNNNNNNNNNNNNNNNNNNNNNNNNNNNNNNNNNNNNNNNNNNNNNNNNNNNNNNNNNNNNNNNNNNNNNNNNNNNNNNNNNNNNNNNNNNNNNNNNNNNNNNNNNNNNNNNNNNNNNNNNNNNNNNNNNNNNNNNNNNNNNNNNNNNNNNNNNNNNNNNNNNNNNNNNNNNNNNNNNNNNAAAGACCAAAUAACCAGCAGAAAGAUCCUCUAUUUCCAGAACCAUGCUUCUCAAUCUGUCCUUAAUCUGCAUAUCCUUAACAAGCGAAUAAACAGCCGACAAGCUAGAAUUUUGAAACGUUUGUUCUCUUUGCUGAAUCUCAUGACUGCAUGCCCAAGCUUUGGAAUCACCCCCAUAUAAAGAAUUGAUGGCCAUAGGACGGAUAGGAAGAAAAGCAAAAACAAGUAUGGUAGAGAAUAGCGGAAACGAUGGGAAAACGGACAUGGGAGAUUAAAAGAAAAUAAAGCCACAUCUCAUAAUUUUUCAAUAGGCUCUGGUUAGUGGGAAUAGGCACAGAGAUAUAUGCUUCCGAAGGCAUUAAUGACAUCCAAAAUCAAAACAAGGCAAACAGGCAAGUAACCAAUCUCAACAAAGCAAAUUGUGGCCCUUUUCAUCCACACAAAAAUCAACAAAACAAUUAUAUAUUCAGGAAUCGAACUCACGGAAAAAAAUCAAAUAUAGGUAAGAAUUCCGAAAGCAACGAGGUGCAUACCUGGACAGCUUUGGUUGCAAUGGCUCGGCUUCUGGCUAUCUUUUCUCUUCCUUCUGAGGACAAUUCCCAGAUAAAAAUCCUCUUUUUUGCUUGUUCUUUCUUCCUCCUCCUCCCUCUCUAGACUCCAAUACGUGCUCUGCCCCCAAGAAAAAUCCUCCCUUAAUAAAAAAAAGCUCCCCUUUUUCUCCUUCCUCUCUCACGUAUAUAUACGCCUUUCCCUAAAACUAAAUCUCCCUAAAAAAAGGCCAAAUCCCCUAUUUUCUCUCUUCUUUUCUCCUUAUCCUUUUUUAAAUCUUCCAAUUCAAAAGCAAUCUUCCCAACUUCAAAUUCUCCUCCAAAACCUUCCAAGGAGAGUCCCACUUUCCUUAAACUCCAAUGGUAAGUUUCCUUGCAAAAACAUGAAAUUUUAGAAGUUAAAUAAUUGCAUGAAUAGAUAAAUAAGUAAAUAAAUUAGAAAAUGGUAAAAAUAAUAAAUAAAUAAAUAAGUUGAGGAAAAUAAUAUAAAGAGGAAAACGAAAUAAAAUAAAAUAAAAUUAAACAAAUUAACAAAAAAAAUGGACCCUACAAGCCAUGCAAACACGCAAGUCAAAUAAGUCACGCUAAAAAUGUCCAAAUGGGUCAAGUGUGCCUAAACGGGCCUAUGAUGAGACUAAGCGGGCCUAGGGUGGUGCCUAAUGGGCCAAGUGUAUCUAAAGGCUAUCCUAAAAAAACAAGAAAAGCCUAAGUCUAAAUUAGGGCUGCCAAGGGUCACGAUAAGGGAUCAAAUAAUCCUUUAACCAAAGUCUCCAAGGUGACUCAGAAAAAGGUAAGUCGUACGAGUAGUAAUGGGCCACCAAGGAACUACCGUGGAGCACUGGAAGUGGAUUUAAAGACAUGUGCUAAAAGGGCAAAAUUGAGGGUCUACAAUGAGUUUCAGAAGCAAGUUGUGGAUGCAUGGAGGGAUAUUAACGAGGAGUUCCUACGACCUACAGUUGUUCCGAUGCCUCUCCUAAUGUGUGUGCUUAAUCUUUCUCGAGUGAUGGAUGUGAUCUACACGGGGGGAGAUGGGUACACUCAUGUUGGAAAAGUGAUGAAGAAUAAUGUUGCAUCACUGCUCAUUCACUCUAUUGUAUGACCAAAUGGAUCAAGUUGAUCACCAUCUACAUAUUCUGCCUUACCUAGGGAGUAGGAUGAAUAAAAAUUAUUGUAAUAGUAUGGGAGAGACCUAUAAUGUUUGCUACUCUAUCUCGGUUUGGUGGUGUUUUACAUCAUACUAUCAUUUGGGCCAAAGGUAUUAAUGUUAUUGCGUUCUAAAAACUCCAUCCUAAGAUGCAAACAUAAGCAGGUUUUUUUUUAUUGAUUUUCGUUUUCUAUUUCUUGCAUCCAUUUUAAUAUAUGUUUAAAACACAUGGAUCAAGUUUGAAACUUUUUUGUUAUUCAAAAAUCGUGUCAUGGAGAAAAUUCUCCAUGGCAAAUCACUUGAUGGAGAAAAUUCAAAAUACAUCAUCAUCAUGAUGUAGAAAAUCACUUGACCGAGAAAAUUCAAGUAUAAAAAUCACAUGGUGUAGAAAAUUCUCCAUAGAAAAUCACAAGAAAAUUCAAAAUACAUCAGCAUCAUGAUGUAGAAAAUUACUUGACGGAGAAAAUUCAAGUAUAAAAAUCACAUGGUGUAGAAAAUUCUCCAUAGAAAAUCACGAGAAAAUUCAAAAAACAUCGUCAUCGUUGUCAUCAUCCUCCUCCUCCUCCUCCUCCUCCUCCUCCUCAUCAUCAUCAUCAUCAUCACUAGACAUGCUAAAAGUUUUGUUUCAUCAUCAUCAUCACCAGACAUGCUAAAAUGCUAAAAGUUUUGUUAUAUACCAUGUAAAAAAUAUAAGUUAUGAUCUUAUAUAAGGUACCAUGCAAAGUUUAAAUUUUUGCAAAACGAAAAGAGAAAAAAAAGGAAGUUAUGAAGAAUCAAAUCAAUCAACUCAUCAUUUUCCAAGCAAGGAUUAAGAUAUUAAAAAUUACAUAAAGAUGAUGAUUAUAUUUUUAAAAACAUUAGAAAAAAAAAAUAAUAAAUAUAUUGAAGUUGUUUUUUUACAUAAAACAAUAUAUGUAUAAUAACAUAAAUACAUUUAAUUAUAAAAUAUAUAUGAUUCCAUGUAAUUUGAAAAUAUUCAAGGAUGUAAAAGAAAUAAUAAAUAUUUUUUUUACAAACAAAUAUUUAUAAUUUCAUUUACAACUUUAUUUCUUCCUUUUAUUUAAUUAAUAUAGACAAGGAAUAACAAAAGACUUACUAAAAGAACUAUCAUGAGCACGUUUUAUAUUUUUAACAAUAAGUUCAAAUAAAUUUUAAAAAUAAGACAAUUAAAUUAAUAUAUUUUUUAACAUUUUAUUUAAUAUUUAAUUUUGUGCAUAGAUAUGUCAUAAAAUUAGGUUAAAUAUAGUACAUGUAAUUAUAAACAAUAAGGGCAAGCAGCUCAGGUGGCAAAGUAGCCACCUCCCUUCCAACAUGCACCUUCAAGUUUUUUUAGCAUACUGAUGUAGCGAAUUACGGGAGAAAGUCACCAUAUAUUGCCAAAAUUAGUGAUUAAUCGAAAAAAUAAGAAAAGAACAUGAUUAAUCGAGGUAGAUUAUGAAAAUUUGAUAAAAAUUCAUUAAGUGAAAUUCCUCCAUAAUUUUCUAUAUCGGUGAUAUUUCAUGAACACUAAUCAUGAUUUCCAAGUUCAUGAGUUUACCGUAUCUACAAAUUGGUAUGUCAAAGAAGUUCAAGAAUAAUUUUUAGAUGAUUAUAAGUGUUUUUUAAUAAUUAAAUUCAUUUUACAAAUAACUACAUGUUUAAUUAAGAUUAUAUCCUAAUGGUGCUGAAAACAAAUUAAGACAGACGUCAAAUCACAUUUACUUUGCAUUGAAACAAAUUAUGCUUAAUAGACAUAUUUAUGUUUUUGAAGAUGAUGGAUGUUAAUUUCAGAUUUUGCUCUCAAAUUAAGCCACCUAACACAGUUGUCUUUUAAACACUUAAGCGAACACAACUUCAAAUCACCAAUAAUUCACGGUAGCACAACUUCAAAUUAAGCCAAAAACCCAUCAACCCUCACCACCGUCGAUAGCAUCGCCGGCAAGCCGUUACCGGUUGGCAACCCCCUCCUCCCCUCUCAUUCUCCCCUUCCACCCACCUCUCCUCUCACUACUUUCUCUCUCUUUCCUUUUCAUUUCUUUCUCCUCAACUCCAUUGCCACCCUUCAACAACCCUUCAUCCAUGGUCUCAAAAAAAAAUAAUAAAAAAUAUCCCCAUGUCGAUAGCCCUAGUUUAAACUUUCCAAGUGAAUCACUAAAAUACAACACAAUUAGCUAUCACAAAACAAAAUAAAUUCAAUUAGGCCUAAAUUUAAUAUCUUAUAAUCCAAACUUAAUUUAAUACACAAAUUCAAAUUCACAAUCAAAAUCAAGUCCAAUUUAAUAUAUAAAGCUCAAAUGUAACAAAAUUAUACUAUAAUAUUAAUUCAUGUCCAAAUUAAACUAUUCAAAUGGGCAAAAUUCAUUCACCAACGACAAAUAGGCCCAAAUUUCAUAUUAAUUAACAUCCCCAAAACAAAAUUUAUUGGACCAAUUUGAAGUUUGGAUUUGAGUUUGAAUAAUUAUUUUGGACUUUACAUAUUUUUGGAUAUUUACCUUUGGGCUAUUUUUGUUUUUUCAUGAGCCCAUUUUACAAUUCUGUUGACUGAGCACAAAUUUGUGAUGCGUAGAGGGUUAAAUUUCAUGAAAAAAAAUGUGGCUCAUGAAGGCUGUAAAUUGAGCAUUAAGCUUGCUAUAGCCUUGUUUGGAUAUAUUUUAUUUCCCCACUUUUAUUUAGUUCUAUUUUUAUUGUCCUGUAAAUAUUCUUUCUUAUAUAUUUCUUGGGUGUAUACAAAGUUGAACAAUUGAUAACUCAUGAACUUUGUUUUAAUAAAAUAAAUAGUUCAGUAAUCUUUUUUUUUUUUAAUAAAAACAAUUGCUUAGAAAUUAUUUUUUUUUAAUAAAAAAAGGUUUUUUUUAUAAAAAUUCAAAAAAAUGUUUUUAAGAAAAUCCGAAAAAUCAUUUAAAUAAGAAUAUGUAUCACUUAAAUCACCUGAAUAUAUUAUUUAUUAUAUUAUAUUCUUUAAUACAUAUGUAUUAUUGUCAUUCAACUUGAGGAGUAUUGAUACUGAGUCUUAAAAUACAUAUGUAUGUAGAAUACAUGCCUACAACAAAUCUGGAUCUCCUUGUUAAUAUGUAAUGGUGUUUUGGAGUACUACAAUACUCACCAAAUAACUUCUUUACACUUUAUAAUGGACACUGACUGGUGAGUUUAUAGUUAAUUAAAUAUUUAACUCUAUAGCAAAUUAUUAUUAUUAUAAUUAUUGUUGCUAGCGUUAUUAUUAUUUAAUUCAUUAUUAUGAAAAUUAUUAGUAUUAUUACUAUUUAAUUAUUAUUAUUAGCUAUUAAUUUUAGUUUUUUCUUUUUCAUCUUUUCUUUUUUGUUGUUUCUUAUAUACUUCAUAAAAUUAUAAGUUAUGAUCUUUUAUUAGGUUGAAAUUGGAAGUUCAAGUUCACUAAAGUAUGACACAGUUAACUUAGGUUCACUAAUUUUGUAAAAAAUUCAAUGCAUUUAUAGGAUAAUUAAAUAAUUCAACGAACUUAUCAUUUUAUUAAUUAAGGUUUUUUUUUUUUUUAACCUUUUUUACAUGUAAGAAUACAAAAAUUUAUGGUUCAAUGUGAAACUUUGGAAUUGCAUGAAUAAGAAAGUGAAAUUUGUUGGUGUCGUUCCCAACGAGAGUUAGGUUCAUCCAACUUCAUUGGAGUCAGGUGGGUUGCUUCCCUUGUUCGUGCUUCUUAAGAAGUCCGUCCAGUUGUAUUGGAAUUAGAUAGACUUCUUCCCUGCACAAAAGAAUGUCCAGACAGGUGGUUCGAACAUGCCCCUCCCAAACUUAAGUUAGUUAAGGAUAACUCUAACUUAUUUUUAUGGUAGAAAAUGAGCGUAUGUGCAUGCCUACCUUGUUUGUGCCUUUUGAGGGGUUUAUAUAGAGCUUAUGACACUGUCACUAUAGUGCUGACUAUACACUCUAGUCUUUCUUGUGAUGAUGAUUACCCUUACGGCGGUUGGGCAAUCAUAUCAGAUAAGGGAGGUUGAUUGGUGCCAUCUACUGACAUGCCAAAUCUCGGACCAUGCAACUGAUUGUCCAUUUAGCUUGCCAAUGUCUGGGAUUGUGUGUAACAAUUAAUUGACAUUGACUUUUGGGUGUAAAUGGAGUCCCGUCCACCGCUUAGAUGUCAGACGUCUAAUCCAUAGCUCAAAUGUCAUGUGUCUAGGCCAACGCUCAAACAUCAAGCAUGGUUGAUCAUGCAUGCCAGAAAUCCUGAGGACUUGAUUUGACUAAUUUUUUCGUCGGAGAGUCUAGCGAUCCCAGCUUGUCGAUUCUGUCUGACCUUGUGGAAGAAGAGAAACCUCUCACUUUUGGUGUCAGAUAGAACUUAUCUUGGUCUAGAUGGAUUGAUCCUAGACGGGUUACAAGUUUGUCCUGGUCGGCCAAGGGGUCUUGAGCUUGAAAAUGACAAGUGAAGGGAAAUCCCCCACAAUGCCCCCUUAAUCUGUCUACCUCUAUCCAGAUGAAGAGGAGAUGUUUUUGGAGCGUCCAGUUAGUCUCCUAUCUAAACAAGAAUUCCGGGAUCGUUUCCAUAUUCCGGAUAAUAUCCCUAUCCUUCUAAUAGACGACGAGGCGUUAUCUUCCGUUGACCUGCCCAACAACAUGAUGUAUUUUACUAAGGAACAAUUCGUUGCGGGGCUCCGUCUACCUAUCCCCUCUCUCUUCAAGCAGUUCUUUCAUUUUAUGUAAAUCCCUUCAACUUUUCUUCAUCCGAACGUUGUCCGGUUAUUGAUGGGAUGUAGUGUUCUGGACAUGCUCUUUCAGUUGGAUCUCUCCUUACUGGAAGUCUUAUUUGUUUACACUAUCAAAAUGAGCUGGAAGGAAAGGUUAAGAUUUUCUUCCCAUAUUCCUUCCUUACAGCCGGUGACUGGCCUUCCAGAUUCAUGCAAAUGCUAGGUGAAGGGGCAUGUCCUAGUCUCCAGUCCUUGGAGUGGUUCAUCUAAGAAACUAGACGAGGUCUUUUCUCCACAACAUUUGUUGGGGAUUCCGAGUAAGAUACGCUUUCGUCACUUUCUCUACAUUUUUCAAUUAUUUCUUCCUCGUUGUGAAUUUACUGCUGAUCCUUUUGUUUAUGUGAUACAAGCAAGGAGAGGCGGGGACGCCUUGUAGAGUGGGUAGACAAGGCUUCUUUCACCCGACUCAACAAGUUGUUCGAAAUAGACGCGUUCGAAUGGGCCCCCAAAGUUUUUCUGCCAAACAAUAACUUACUAGCACUGAUCGAUAAUCCAAAGUCGUUCAUCAUCCCCGUAUUUUCUCGUCUGGCUCCCCCAUCUUUGGUGCUUGGUGAACAUUUCGUGCUAAAGGAUUUGUAUUUCUAUGAGGUUGCCUGUCUAGCAGAUUCUAAGGCACGCUAGGCCCGUUUAGAGGAGCGUGAGGAAAAACAUCAGGAAGGGACAUUGAGGCAAGCUUCGACUGUUGGUGGUCUAUCCUUUAGAUCCGUUGUUUGUCUUCUCACUAAAAAGAGGAAGAAACCUACUACUCUGCCUAUCCAGAGAUAAGGACUCCGCCUCCUUUAUUUUUUUUCUUCUCCAUCAGCUUCAUCAUCUUCAUCAUCUCCAUCUUCUUCAUCUUCCAAUGGCGAGCCAGAAGCAUGGGUUGACCAGGUAGUGUCCCCUAUUAUUUGCGAUGAGUAAAAAGAAGAGGAUAUGGCUUCAAACUUGAGGGCCGAAUUUCGUGAGAGACAGUGCAAGCACCUGUCCAAAUCCAUUGCUGUCAAUCCUACUCCCUCCAAGAAAGCUUGUUCAAAACCUGCUUUUGCUCCUACACUCAUGUCGGUUCCUCCUACUAUUGCUACAGUCUUGACCCCUGAGCUAGAUAAGAAAUUUCCUUCUACUAAUGAACAUACUUAUCAUGAGAUGAGGAGAUCCUUCAUCAACUCGGACAACUUCAGCAAAGAAUCGUUCAAAUACAUGACUUCUUUUUCUCCUCAUUCGAAGUCAACCUAUGUCCACAAUCGGGAGGAGGUAUCUGAGCUUUUGAAGCGAAUCCCUUUCUUCACCGAGGAGAGUCCUCGGUACAAAACAUGGGAGUACUCUUUCCACCUACUCAGCAAAUCCCAAUUGAGAUAGACAAUGAUCCCAGUCGAUCUUUCAUGGCAUGGCUUUUGUACGGCACUCCGAACACCGCCAUUUCUCACAUUAUUCCCAUGCAAGACUAUAAGGCUUUUGAAACGACAAAAAUGGUAAGCCACCUAUCCUUUUCUGCUCAUUUUGCCUUAGCCUCUUGUUUCACAACGAUUUCUCUAUUGCCUCUUCAGAUGAUAGUCGGAGUCUAAAACCUCAUGUGGCAGCACGCUCCCCUUUUCUACCGAUUGGAAACAGUCGAGACCAUGAGGGCAUACUUUGCCCAUAAUAUGAACAAGAAUGAGGAUCUUUUUGCCAACUUGGAGACAACGUAGAGUGAAGCCGUUGCUGCCCAAAAGCUUGUUGAAGAAGAAGCCAAUCUAUUGAGGAAAGCCGAGGAAGAAAAGGAGACAGUUCAAAUUGAAGCUCGUCGGCUGGCUGAAAAGAAGAAAACCAUGGCGGUCGACAAAAAUAAGCCUGAAAAAAAGGCUGCCUGAUUCGUGCCCAAUUGGUGUCUCAGCUGAUUCGUGUCCAGCUGGUGCUCCUUGAUUGAGGGAGUAAUCAACAAAAUUUAUAACCUAUUACACCAUAUACUAGGGUAGCAAAGACAAAGCUACUAUAGCAUAGUGGCUCUAGGAUCGUCCAUUGGGAUGGGUUUUCACUUCACAAUUGAUAUUAAUUCAAAGAUGAAUUGGUGCCUUUUCAUUUCAAGGUUAGCUUUAAAAGAAAACAUAAACUUGUUUGAAAGAAAAAGGUUUGGUUUUAAACUAACCACAAAUAGUAACUAAUUUUACUUACAAAGAAAAGAUGUUUCUUGGAGUUCAGAUCACUAGGCUCAGAUUCCUCAUACAAAAAGGGAGUUCCGGUCACUUGUUUCUUUUCCUCGUAUUAGAGAAUUAACAUAUAGUUAAUUCUCCAACCGGUGUUGUACAGAUGCUCCCCAUUAAUGGGUUCAAACACUAAAUCCCUCUCACUGAUGCAUCUUGCAAUGACUCAUACCUCUCACCUAGCACUUGCCAUUCAAGGUGAUCUUUAACCUUGGAUUACCCGUCAAAAGCUCGCAAGAGAUAACUAAUGGAUGUCUCCUUGGAGUCCAAAAGCUUACCAAGUGUUGGCUAUUCUAGAAAAUCCUACCUUCAAGUCACCUCCCAAAGGCUCGCAAGGGGUAAACUAGUGCAUUUCCAUGGUUGGAAAUCACUUGUCUUACCAAGUGUUGGCCCAGGUGACCCUAAGGUGUUUUAAGUUAACUAAAAACAUAGAAAUCACUAACGGGUUACACUUUCUCUUCAUUAAAAACUAAAACAACAAAACUUCCAAAUUAUGCAUGUGGAAACUUACCCGGCUUUCCUCACUCCAAGAGACAAAAAGCUUAGCCUCUCAUCCUCUGUGGAAAAAUCCUCAGAGUUUGGUUGGCUAGAAAAUGAAAAUGAAAGAGAAGACAAGAAUAUAUAUCAAAAACAGAGCAAGUGCUCUGUUCGUUGAUUCUAUAUAUUGGAUUACAUGAUAUCACAUACUUCCCCCCAGCGUCUCCUGAGAGUGUUUACAAGAGAGUUUAUAUAAGAAGGUAAUUUACCCUUCCUUGGAUACUUCCUAGCUAAGGAAUUACAUGAGUGGUUGAAUACAAGGAGAAAAUGGAAAUUUAGACACAAAAAUCUGAAGAAAAAUAUCUAAAAGAGUCGGUGCAAAAAUAUCGGGAUGCUUCGGGAACCAUUUCGCAAGAGAAAAUGGUGUCUGCGAGAUUUCGCAGACACUCAAGAGGGGCUGCGAAAUCACUUCGCAACAUCAAGCUAUUCUCACAGGGCUACGAAAUUGGCUUCCUCCUUGAGGUUCUCAGCGUUCCAGCUUGCGUCAUGUAUCGGGUAGCUUCAGGAGGAAUUUCAUAGCACUGUACAAAAAGGCUGCGGAAUUCUCGCAACAAAAGGCUGAUUUCGCAACACUUUGGAGUGAUCUGCUUUCAAUGGCUGUAACUCCUUCGUUUCAACUCCGAAUCGCGCACCGUUUGAAGCAUUGGAUUCUUGACUUCCUGAGCUUUGAAAUGGUAUAUAGAAUGUAGAAAAUGGACUUCGGAAAGUGCUCCAAAAGUGCAAAAGAAUACUGCAGCUAGCUUUCCUCUGUUUUCUUCACUCUGUUUUUCCUCUCUCCUUGCUUCUCUCCUUGCAUACUUUGAACGACUUUGGCAAAGGGAUAUGGGGCUCCAAAGCUUGGUUUCUUCAUGAAUUUGAGCUCUUCAUUGCUUUGCCAUGAAUUCCAAAUAACUCUCCUCAAUCUUGGAUUGUUUUGGUGAUCAAAUUACUAACAAAAACACCAAAACUUACACAAUUUGAUUAGAAUUGAUUGCAAGGGUCCUUAACAUGUUAAUUGGGUUAAAAGACAAUAACUACUACUCAAAAGUGUUUAAAAGGAUUAAUUACAAGCUACAAAAUAGCACUUUUUGAGUAGUAAUCACUGCCCAGCUGAGGCAUGAGCUACAAGAUCUCCGAGUGGGGUUUGCCGCUUGAAAAGAAGACUUGGAGGUUGACUACCAAAAGCAAGUGGAUGAUAUAUUCCUGUACGAAUAUCGUUGUUAUAUAAAGAAGCAUGGCAUCAUCCAUGAUGCUCCCACCUUUCCUUCGGAUGACGAGAAUGAGUUUUUAGGCGACCCUUCCCAAAAAGGAGGAGAUGUUUUCGAAGGCGGUCCCUUUGGCGAGUAGGCUUGAUAUUUUGUUUGUAUUUAUUUAUUAUGGUUGGAUGUGGCUUGGACUGCUACAUCUAUAAAGACAAUGGAUGCUUUAUUUAUUUGAAUAUAUUUACUUUAGUCAUUUGUCUCUCAUACAUUGUUUUCAUAAGCAAACUUUAUUGAAAUUACUACUUUAAAUUGGAUACAUUCAAAGAGUAGAGCAGGGGUACGACGUCCAAUAUUUGAAGAUGGUAUGUCCCUGAGUCUCUAGCCUUAGUUACAAUAUAUGACCCUUCUCAGUUAGCUUGUAGAACUAUAAUACUUUGGUUUAUACAUUUAAGGUUAUAUAAAGUGUUAAUUCAAAUUAGUGAUGUUAUGUUGUUCACCCGUUUCCUUGAUAAUUUAAACAAAUAAAACUCAAAUGCAUCCUAAAGUCUAAAUGAAAGAAAUUCUAACUAAACAAAUUAUUACAACCAUUACCUAUUUUUCUUUCAUAUAAUUAAAAAAUUAUACAUUUUAACCAAGACAUAAGUUCAAAUCACACUUAAUAAGAAAUAACCUAAAAUCAUAAUCAUUGGCAUUAAUUUUCAUAUGAAAAUAUAAAUUUUUAAAAUAAUAUAAACAAUUUCUUUAGUUAUUUUAAAAUUUUAAAAUACUAUAAAUAAAUAAUUUUCUUUAGUUCAUAUGUGAAAAUAUUCAUAAAACAAAUAAAUAUUUUAUUUAUCAUAAAUAUAUAAAUUUUUAUGGGAAUGCAUGUAGACCAAAUUAUUUUCUCAAAAUUUUAAGGAAAAUAUGAAAAAAUAAAGAUAAAAUAUAUAUAUUUGUAAUAGAACUUUCGCAUGCACAUUGUUUUCACGAUUAGGAAUUAGAGAUAGAAGAUUUUUAUAGAUUUGAAAAGAAUCAUGGAAGAAACUCAACUUAAUUUCCAAUUUUGAAAAGAAUUGUGGAAGAAAUUAAACUUAAUUUCUAAUUUUAAAAAAGAAUUGUGAAAUAAAAUCAAUUUAAUUUCCAAAAUUAAAAAGAAUUGUGGAAGAAAUUCAAAUUAAUUUCUAAUUUUAAAAAAGAAUUGUGAAAUAAAAUCAAAUUAAUUUCAAAUUUUAAAAUGAAUUGUGGAAGAAAUUCGAACAAUUAACACACCUUUGUGGCAAGGGAAUCUACCGCAUUCGUUGAACAGACUUAGUCCCAUUUUCCCAAUCAACUUAGCACGUUGUUUGAAUUAAAUACCUACGGAUUGAUAUUGUUUGAAACUCAAGCAAACCAAUAUUUUAUAGUCUAUUCUGAGCACGACUAUUUCACACCUUGGGCCCCAAAACUAAACCAAAUCCCACAUACCAUUCAACUUAACACAACCUUAGCCGCCCCUAACGGUUUGGGCUUUUGCGUGAAUUUAGGCAAGGGGUUUCUCUUUCAUGUCAUCAAUCUCUUUCAUACAUUAUAUUCAACAACAUACAGCUUCUGGAGGCCAUUGCUGCCCUAUAAAUGCAAUGGAGCUUCCCAAGCUUUUGCACUCAUACUUUCCAAGUCAGUUUUCAAAGAAGUGUUCUACUACCAUUCCAAAAAAUUAACAUGUCGGGUCAAGUCUUAGCAAGCCCUCUAGGCCAAUUUCCGGAACUGGAAAAUCGUCCGGUGGUCCAGUAUCACCCUAGCAUUUGGGGUGACCAGUUCUUAUCCUACACUCCCGAGGACGAGGUAAUCGAAUGAAAAUCUGUGUUAAAUACCUGUAUAUUCGAAAGUUGUUUUUCUUGAUGUGUUGUUUAGUAAAAUUACUUGGUUGCCAUAGGUAACACGUGCCUGCAAAGAGAAGCAGCUUGAAGAUCUGAAAGAGGAAAUUCGAAGGAAGCUAAUGAAUACAGCUGGUAACACUUCCCAACAACUAAAAUUUAUCGAUGCUGUGCAACGUCUUGGGGUGGCAUACCACUUUGAAAGAGAGAUAGAAGAAGUGUUACAACAUAUUUAUGAUAGCUAUCCUAAUGGCGAUGAUAUGGAAGGUGAUAUCUAUAAUGUUGCUCUUCAAUUUCGGUUACUAAGACAAGCUGGGUUCAAUAUUUCAUGUGGUAAGAGCCCAAAGAAUUAUCAUGUAUAAGCUAAAAUGUAUCCUUCUCAUAAGUCCAAUCUUAUGUAUGUUUAAAUUACGGUAUUUAUGUAGGCUUGUUCAAUGAGUUCAAGGAUGAAAAGGGUAACUUCAAGAAAGCUUUAGUCAGUGAUGUAAGAGGCAUGCUAGGCUUGUAUGAGGCUGCACAUCUCAGAGUUCAUGGAGAGGACAUACUUGCAAAAGCACUUGCUUUCACCACCACUCACCUCAAGGCCAUGGUAGAAAGUUUAGGAUAUCAUCUUGCAGAACAAGUUGCUCAUGCCCUGAACCGGCCCAUUAGAAAAGGUUUGGAGAGGCUAGAGGCAAGAUGGUAUAUAUCUGUCUACCAAGAUGAAGCUUUCCAUGAUAAAACUUUACUAGAGCUAGCAAAAUUAGAUUUCAAUCUAGUGCAGUCACUGCACAAGGAAGAGCUAAGCAAUCUUGCAAGGUUGGUUUUAGAUCACCCCACAUGUACUUGGCCAUUGUUAUCACUUUCCUGUAUGCUGAUCAUAUUAAUGUCUUUUAGGUGGUGGAAAGAACUAGACUUUGCUACAAAGUUACCUUUUGCACGAGACAGAUUGGUUGAAUGCUACUUUUGGAUGCUUGGGGUGUAUUUUGAGCCUCAAUACUUACGGGCUAGACGAAUUCUAACCAAAGUAAUUGCCAUGAUAUCCAUUCUAGAUGAUAUCCAUGAUGCAUAUGGCACACCUGAAGAACUCAAGCUCUUCAUAGAAGCCAUUGAGAGGUUUGCUCCUUGCACAUUACCAACCUUGAUUGUGUAUAAUAGAUGUAUUUAUAUAUACUUAAAUCAAGGAUCAUUAUUUUAUUUUCAGGUGGGAUAUUAACAGCAUAGAUCAGCUUCCAGAAUACAUGAAACUCUGCUAUGCGGCACUCUUAGAUGUGUACAAAGAAAUCGAGGAAGAGAUGGAGAAAGAAGGAAACCAAUAUCGGGUUCACUAUGCCAAAGAAGUAGUAGGACAUCUUUAACUCUGGAUCCCCACCUUUUUCAUUGAUGAUAUUUUAUAUGGUCUCAUAUAUACAUAGAUAUAACUUGGAUGAAUGUUCUUUAGAUGAAGAAUCAAGUUCGAGCUUACUUUGCUGAGGCCAAAUGGUUACAUGAAGAACACGUACCAACAUUUGAAGAGUACAUGCGUGUUGCACUAGUAAGCUCUGGAUACUGCAUACUUGCAACCACGUCCUUUGUGGGAAUGGGAGAAAUAGCAACAAAGGAGGCCUUUGAUUGGGUGACCAGCAAUCCUAAGAUUAUGUCAUCUUCAAAUUUCAUUGCGAGGCUCAUGGAUGACAUCAAAUCACAUAAGGUAUGAAGAAUAUAUGAUUCAAAUGGGGAGAAUAUAACACACUGGUUUUUUCUCAACUUUUGUAUUAUACAUGCAGUUUGAGCAAAAGAGAGGGCAUGUGGCCUCAGCUGUUGAAUGUUACAUGAAGCAAUAUGGUGUCUCUGAGGAACAAGUAUACAAAGAAUUUCAAAAGCAAAUUGAGAAUGCAUGGCUGGAUAUUAACCAGGAAUGCCUCAAACCUACUGCUGUUUCAAUGCCUCUCCUUGCUCGUAUUCUCAAUCUUACACGAGCCGCGGAUGUCGUUUACAAAGAGCAAGAUUCGUACACACAUGUUGGGAAAGUGAUGAGGGAUAACAUUGCGUCUGUCUUGAUCAACGCUGUAAUAUAACCAAAUGGAGUAGUUGAUUGCCUUGUGGAAGCCGUAAUAUCUAAUAAAUCACUAUAAAAGGAAAAAAGAAAAGAAAAAAGGUCCAAUUCAUACCUUAGCCGCCCCUAAUGGUUUGGGCUUUUGCGUGAAUAAAAACUAUUGUAAUAAUAUGGGAGAGACAUAUAAUGUUUCCUACUAGUUUCUCUCUCGGUUUGGUAGUGCUUUACAUCAUACUAUCACUUGGCUAAAUGUAUUAAUGUUGCUGCGUUGUAAAAACUCCAUCCUAAGAUGCAAACAUAACCAGGUUUGAUAUUGAUUUUCCUUUUCUAUUUCUUGCAUCCAUUUUAAUAUAUGUUUAAAACACUUUGAUCAAGUUUGACACUUUUCUAUUAUUCAAAGAUCACGUGAUGGAGAAAAUUCUCCAUAGAAAAUCACUUCUUGUAGAAAUGGUCUAGAACAUACAAAAGAGAUAAAAAAAUCUUAAGAAUUCAUCCUAACGGGUAAAAUAUUAUUAUUAUUAUUAUUAUUAGACAUGCUAAAAGUUUUAUUAUAUACCUGUUAAAAAUAAAAGUUAUGAUAUUAUAUGAGGUUGGAAUUUGAAGUUCAUUUGCAACUUUUUUUCUUCCUCGUUAUUUUUUUAAUAUACGUAAAGUAUUUUUUUUUAAAAAAAAGACUUACUAAAAGAAUUGUCAUGAGAAGGUUUUAUUUUUAUUUUUUAAUAAUAAGUUAAAAUAAAUUUGAAAAAAAAAAUAAAUUAAUAUUUUUUAACAUUUUAUUUUAAUAUUUAAUUUUGUGCAUGGAUAUGUCAUAAGAUUAGGUUACGUACAUAUAGUACAUGUAAUUAUAAACACUAAGGGAAAGUAGCUCAGGUGCAAAGUUGUCACCUCCCUUCCUACAUGCACUUUCAAGUUUUUUUCAGCAAGCUGAUGUAGCCACUUACGAGAUAAGAUUACCAUAAAUUGCAAAAAAUUAGUGAUGAAUAAAAAAAAAAUAACAAAAUGUCAUGAUUAAUCAAGAUAGAUUAUCAAAAUUUCAACAAAAAAUCAUUGAGUGAAAUUCUUUCAUAAUUUCCUAUACCAGUAAUAUUUCGAAUAUAUUAAUCACGAUUUCCAAGUUUACAAGUUUACCAUAUCUACAAAUUAACAUGUUGAAGAAGUUCGAGAAUAAUUUUUAGAGGAUUAUAAAUGUCUUUUAUUAUUAAAUUUACUUUACAAAUAGCCACAUGUUUAAUUAAGAGUAUAUUCUAAUGGUGCUGAAAACAAAUUAAGACAGGCUUCAAAUCAAAUGUACUUUGCAAUAAAGACUUUAGUGAAUGCAACUUCAAAUGACCAAUAAUGCACGGUAGCAGUACAUUAAUUUUGACUUCAAGGCAUUAAUUCGUAUUUUAUCCAUUACACAACAGAAUAUAUAUAAAUAUCCUUAUAAAAAAUAUAUAUGAUAUUUAUAGGUAACAGCUUUCUUCUUAAGCAAAGCAGCCAAGUAAGACUACAAAAUCUAUACCAAACAGAAUAUCUACUAGGACAAAUUUGGAUAAUUAUUUCCAACACUUAAAUUGAUUGGGCUUAGGUUAAAGUAUUCUUCAACUCCUAGUCAGUUUUAGUUGGGCUCUUACCAAGGUUGUGACAUCUCGAAUCUAACCAAAAGUUUAUAUAAUAUUUAUAUAAUAAUUAUAAUUUAUAUUAUUAUGGACUCAUGCACAUUUUUCACAUGUGCCUACUCAAUGAGGAUACUCAUUUAUUAUGAAAAAUGAUUAUUUGAAAACCCUUUUUAGGUUUUUUAGAGUGAACAUUUAUUUAAAAAAAAAAAAAAAACACAAUAAGAAAAAAAGAAGAGAAAAACCUUAUAUAACUCCUUAUUUGAAAAAAAGAAAAAGAAAAAAGACAAGUUCAUAAACCAAGAUUGAGUUAAAAGUCAAAUUACCUACUGAGAAAAUACGACGAUAAGUCAUACAAAACAACCCUCUAAGCUUAUAUACCUAUAAUCUUUACUAAGCAAAUGAACUGAAUUAUGACGAUUAAAUAAUUGAUUAUGGAUACUCAAGAAAAGAAAAACACAAUUAUAAAACAAGUCAUGGUGUUUGUUAUGUUACAAAAAUGUAAAAAAACAAAUGAUAAGAGAAUUUGCAUAAGUUGAUUUACGAAACUAAUUAAAAACAUGGGUUUAAUUAUUUCUAAAUUCAAAGGAUUAAAAAAGUUAUUUCAAUUUGAUGAUUUCAAUCGAUUUUAAGUACAAAAGAAAGUUUUGAUUUCAUUUUUUUUUUAAAGAAAAAAAUGCUUCAAAUUAUUCUAUUUAUAAAGAAAUGAUUUUUAUUUACUUUUUCUUAAAAAAAAAAAAUAUAAUUUACACAAAUUUUAUUUACCUUAACAUUCCUUUUUGAUUUUUAUGCAAAAGAGAAUACUUUUAUAAUUUUUGCUACAACAUGAUUUUUACAAUUUUAUUUUAAAAGAAAGUAUCCAAAUCUAAUCUUAUGUGCAAGAGAAUCUUUUUACAAAUUAUUUAGGAAAAGGAUUUUUAAAAAUUUAUUUACAAUUUUAUUUAAAAAAAUAUUUACAAAUUACUUUAAAAAAGAUUUGUACAAAUUUAUUAACAAAAAAUAAAUAUUCAGAUCCAAUUUUAUUUACAGAAAAAAAAAGAUUUUUUUUUAUAGUUUUUAUUGAAAAUAAGACUUUUACAAUUUUAUUUAAUUAGUAUGAAAAUCCAAUGUCAUUUUAUUAAUACUAGAAAAAAUUUAUUAUUAUUUUUAUUAAGACAUGAUUUUUAAAAUGUCAUUUACAAAAAAAAAAAAAAAAAAAAAAAGUUUACAAUUUUAUUUUAAAAAAUAUUUUGCAAUUUUUUUAAAAAAAAUGGUUUCAAUGUUUUAUUUAAAACAAAUUGCUUUUUAGAUUUUAUUUUAAAAAAUGAUUUUCACAAGUUAAAAAAAAAUUAUAGUUUUAUUUUUUUACAAAAAAUAAUGAAUUUCCAAAUGUAUUUAAAAUUUAUUUAAAAAUGGAUUUUAUAGUUUUAUUUAGAAAAACACUUUAUUGUUUUAUUUCAAUCUUAUUGUUUAUUUUUUUCUUUAAAAAAAAAAGUUCAAAUUUCUCUCUCUUUCUCCCUCUCUCUGUCCAUACGCUCAUUAAUUUUGAUGUUAAGGUAUCAGCCCAAUUGACAUGAUUUAUACUGACUUAGUCUUUUGGUCUAAUAGGUAACUUAAUGUAAUAUAGGAGGUCAUGAAGGUGAACUGUGAACCUUACUGAUAUUACGCAAACCCUACCAUUUAUUUAUAAUAUUGUUGUCAUAAUAUUGAAAUAUGGGAAAUUUUAAUAGACCAGACAGACACCAAUAGACCAAAGCCACCAAGCAAGAAUUGAAGAAACCAGAAAGCGUUUGUUCCAAACAUAGUAUACUGUAGAACAUGAAACAGAAGCUAGAGUAUACUAUCUUUAUUUGUGUCACAUAUAUCUCCACUCUCAUAUUGGCACAAGGUCUAUGAGCAGCAUUGAAAUAUUAUUUUUUGUCACUUCUCCAGGAUGUGUGAAUAUAUCAUUGUGGCUCUUGUACAUCACAUCUCCUGAUCGAGCAAAAUUGAGAAGACGACUAAGGAGAAGCAUUGGAACUGCAGUAGGUCUGAGGCACUCUUCAUUUAUAUCCUUCCAUGCAUUCUCGAUUUGUUUGUGAAACUCAUCAUAUGCUUGCUGCUCCGACACACCAUGUUGCUUCAUGUAACAUUCGAUGCUUGAUGCAAUAUGCUCUCCCUCUUGCUCAAAUUGCAGAAAUAGAUAGUAAUAGAAGGUGUUAAAAAGAAAUUGAUAUACAUUAGAUUUUCUUUAUCUUUAAGGGAUUGAUAUCCAAGUAUCAGUAGAAAGUGUUGUUUCAUUGUACCUUGUGGGAAGCCAUGUCAUCCAUGAGCCUAAUGAUUAUGUAGGUAGCUCUAACAAUCUUAGGGUUUUGUAGCAGCCAAUCAAAGACUUCCUUGGUUGCAGUCUCUCUCAUGCCAAUAAAAGACAUGAUUGUUAAUCUUCAAAUUGAUAAAUGGUAGUUUUUUCAUUCAUUCUUUCAUUCAUUCAUGUACAGAAUAUAUAUAGAGGGUAAUCACCAUUCUAAGAAUGUGAAAGAAUGAUACAAGGAAAUAAUGAUAUAAGGAAAUAACAACUAAUAUCCUAAUAUCUCAACAUUCUUAAUAUCUCUACUUUCCUAAUAUCUAAACAUUCCUAAUAUCUCAACACUGAAUGAUAUAAGAAAAGAAUGAUAUAAGGAAAACAUUCAUAAUAUCUCAACACUCCCCCUCAAGUUGGUGCAUAGAUGUCACACAUGCCCAACUUGUCUAAAAAAUUUGAGAACACUUGAUUUGAGACAGCUUUGGUGAGGACAUCGGCCAAUUGAUCUUUUGAUCAAAUCUUACGCAAUUCCACAAUCUUAUCAUCCAACUUUUCCUUAAUGAAAAAUCUAUCCACAUCGACAUGCUUUAUACGAUCAUGUUGUACUGGAUUAUGAGCAAUGUCACAUGCGACUUUAUUGUCACAAAACAAUCGGAUUGGUUGCCUAGAUAGGUAACCUAAAUCUUGUAAGAGGAGUCUUAGCCAUAAUGCCUCACAAAGUCCUAGAGCCAUACCUUUAAAUUCCGUUUCUACACUUAAACAAGCGACGACAUUCUGUUUCUUACUUUUCCAUGUCACAAGAUUACCACCUACAAAGGUAAAGUAACCAGAUAUAGAUCGCCUAUCAUCCACUGCACCGGCCCAAUCAGCAUUAAUAUAUACUUCUAUACUCUGAUGAUCAACAUUUUUAGCGAACAAAAUUCCCCUCCUAGGAGCAUUCUUCAAAUACCUCAAAAUACGCAUGACUGCAUUCAUAUGUUGCUCUCCAGGAUUAUGCAUGUAUUGACUCACUACACUCAAUGCAUAAGCAAGAUCUAGUAUUGUAUGAGCUAAGUACAUUAAUCUCCCCACAAGUCUCUGGUAUCUUCCCUUAUCGGUUGAUACUUGAUUAGGCUCAACACAUAAUUUCAGACCUUCUUCUAUUGGUGUAUUAAUAAGUUGACAUCCCGACAUUCUAGUCUCCUGUAAAAGAUCUAAAACAUACUUUCUUUGAGACAGAAAAAUUCCUUCACUUAAUCGAGAAACUUCAAUCCCAAGAAAGUAUUUCAGAGAACCUAAAUCUUUCAUUUCGAAUUCUAUAGAUAGAUAAUUUUGCAGAGCUUUUCUUUCUUUAGGAUCAUUUCCUUUAACUACCAUGUCAUCCACAUAUACAAUGAGUGUCAUAAUCUUACCAUGUUGCUUUUUCAGGAACAAAGUGUGAUUUGAAUUACUUUGACGAUAGCUAAAAGCUCUCAUUAACUUUGUGAACCUUCCAAACCAUGCUCUCGGGGAUUGCUUCAACCCAUACAAUAACUUCUUCAAUUUGCACACCUUCUGACAUUGCUUUUCUGACACCAUGCAUCCUGGUGGAAGAUCCAUAUAUACUUCUUCAGAUCACUCGCCAUACAGAAAGGCAUUUUUGAUAUCGAACUGUUGUAAUGGCCAAUCUAGGUUUGCAGCUAAAGACAGUAAUACUCGAACUGUGUUGAUCUUAGCUACAGGUGCAAAUGCCUCUGUGUAGUCAAUUCCAUAAAUUUGAGUGUACCCUUUUGCUACUAAUCUUGCUUUAUCGUUCAAUACUACCAUCUGCCUUGUACUUCACAGUAUAGAUCCAACGACACCUAACUGGUUUCUUUCCUGGUGGACAUUCUACAAGGUCCCUUGUUUCAUUCUUCUGCAAUGAUUUCAUCUCUUCAUUCAUGACUGCUUUCCACCUUGGAUUAGCUAAGGCUUCCUGCACACUGUUAGGAAUAGCUACAGUAGAUAAUUGAUUUACAAAUGACUUAUUUGAUUCAGACAAAUGAUGGUUAGACACAUAGUUGCUCAUGGGAUAUUUGACUUUGGUAGACAAUUUAGGUUCAUAUGUGGGUUUAGGAAUACCUCUAUUAUGACGGUAUGGUAACCGUUUCAUGAAUAGAUCAGGUUCCAAAUUAAGAACACCCUCAACAGACGAUGAUUGGUUUGGUAUUUCAGUGAAGACAUCUUCGGACCCAAAUUGUUGACCACUCAUAUCCAACUCACCCGCUUCCUGGUUCACUAGUUCAGAUUGUCCAGAUUCAUCCUCCUCAGAGAUAUGAUAAUCAUAAUUGAGAGUUUGAAUUUCCUUAUGGUACUCCCCCUGAAGUUCAGACUCAGAUGAAAAAUGCAUCAAAUCUUCAUGAAACACCGCAUCCAUUGUAAUAUACAUUCAUUGAGUUGGAGGAUGAUAACAUCAAUAUCCCUUUUUGUGUAAUGCAUAUCCAACAAACACACAUUGCAAUGCAUGGGAAGUUAACUUGGUGCAUUGGUGUUUGUGUAGAUGCACAAAUGCCACGCAACCAAAAACACGAGGAGGUAGAUUUGGGGUAGUUGGGACAACUACGACAUUAGUAAGAGCUUGGAGAGGUGUUUGGAAGUUAAUUGAGCUGGAAGGAAGUCGAUUGAUCAACUAUGCAGCAGAUGUGAUUGCUUCUCCCCAAUAAGAUAUCGAUGUUUUUGCUGCUAUCAAGUAAGCACAGACAACCUCUAACAAGUGCCGAUUUUUUCGUUCAGCACAACCUAAGCCUUACUCUUUCAAGGGAAUGUUCCUAAGUCCUAUUGGGGAGAAGUUGUUCUUACUACCACAUACAUGAUAAAUAGAAUUCCGUCACGAGUUUUAGACAACAAAAGCCUCGUAGAGAUACUUAAGAGUUUCUAUCCACACUUCAGAACCUCAAAUGGGCUCACUCCUAGGGUAUUUGGGUGCACUGCAUUUGUUCAUGUCCACAGCCAACAUAGAGACAAGCUAGACCCCCGAGUCAUAAAAAUUGUCUUUCUUGGUUACUCAUCCACUCAAAAAGGAUACAAGUGUUACAAUCCCACAACAAAAAUUUUUUACAUCUCUGCAGAUGUCACCUUCACAGAAAAUAAACCUUUUUUCCCAAAGUCCUAUUUUUAGGGGGAGAUUUCAAUGAUAGAAGAUAGUCCUGAGUCCUUUGAACCUCUUGACCUUCCUCAUGUCUCAACCCAUGGUGAUGAAAUACCUAAGUCAUCCGAGUCAAUCACACUUGAGUCACCCAAUUUUACCACUAAACCCGUGUCAUCUAAUGUUCCAGCCAGUGUCACUCACAAUUUUCCAUAGUUUCCUAAGGUGUAUUCAAGGGAAAAGGCCAUUCCAGAACAAAAGUAUGUCCAAAAAUCCAACUUAGACCCUGGGAAUGAAAUCACGCUAAGAUCAGACCCACCUUUACAUACACAACCUGGUGAAACUUCUACUAACUCAACCUAGACCUAGACCUUCCCAUUGCUAUCAGAAAAGGCACCAGAGAAUGCACUAAUUGACCACUCUAUCCACUAUCACACUAUGUGUCUCUUAAGCACCUAUCACUAGCCCACAAAAAUUUAAUUGUGAGUCUAAACACCACUAUCAUCCCUAACACUGUUUCUAAGGCAUUGACAAAAAGGGAAUGAAAUGAUGCUAUGAGAGAGGAGAUGAGUGCCUUAGAAAAGAAUAAAACAUGGGAGAUUGUUGAAAGACCGAAAGGGAAAAACAUUGUUGAUUGCAAGUGGAUUUUCACACUGAAAUAUAAGACUGAUGGAUCUCUUGAGAGACAUAAAGCAAGAUUAGUAGCCAAAGGGUACACUCAAACUUAUGGAGUAGAUUAUCAGGAGACUUUUGCUCCAGUUGCAAAAAUAAAUGCUAUAAGAAUCCUACUGUCAUUGGCUGCCCACUACAAUUUGGAACUCCUAUAGUAUGAUGUUAAGAAUGCAUUUCUUCAUGAUGAUUUAGAUGAAGAGAUUUACAUGAACAUCCCCCCGAGAUUUGAGGGAAACACGGGUAAUAAGGUGUGCAAGCUAAAAAAGGCCCUUUAUGGGCUAAAACAAUCUCCUAGGGCUUGGUUUGGGAGAUUUGCAAAAGUCAUGAAAGAGUCUGGGUACAAACAAAGCCAAGGUGACCACACUCUCUUCAUUAAGCACUCGGUUGCAGGGGGAGUAACUGCUCUUCUAGUCUAUGUUGAUGACAUCAUAGUGACUGGAAAUGAUGAGAGAGAAAAACAUGAAGUGAAGCAGAGAUUAGCAAUAAAGUUUGAAAUAAAGGAACUAGGGAAACUAAAGUACUUCCUUGGUAUUGAGGUGGCAUAUUCCACACAAGGGAUCUUCAUCUCUCAACAAAAAGUAUGUGAAUGAUUUAUUGGCAGAAACAGGGAAGAUUGGGUGUAAACCAGUGUCUACCCCAAUGGAUCCAAACCACAAGUUGGGAGAAGCUAAAGAAGAACUAGUGGUGGAUAAAGAAUGUACCAGAGGCUGGUUGGUAGGCUCAUAUACCUUGUUCACACUUGGCCAGACAUCGCCUACUCGGUGAGCAUGAUCAGUCAAUUCAUGCAUGCUACAAGAGAACCUCAUCUUCAAGCUGCUUAUAGGGUGCUGCAUUACUUGAAAGGCAACCUCGGGAAAGGAAUUUUGUUCAAGAAGAACAAUACUCUUGCUCUAGAGUAUACACUGACGCUGACUAUGCAAGUUCCUUAGUGGAUCGAAGAUCAACUACAGGGUAUUGUACUUUUCUUGGAGGUAAUUAGGUAACAUGGAGAAGUAAAAAGUAGAAUGUGGUAGCAAAAUCGUCUGUAGAAUCAAAGUUUAGGGUCAUUGCUCAAGGGUUGUGUGAACUACUUUGGCUGAAGAUUAUUCUAGAUGAUUUGAGAAUCAAGUGGGAUGGUCCUAUGAAACUCUAUUGUGAUAACAAGUCAACUAUCAAUAUUGCUCAUAACCCUAUACUACACGAUAGGACAAAACAAAAUAAGAUCGAUAGGCAUUUCAUCAAAGAAAAAUUGGAGAAAGGAGUAGUGUGUAUGUCCUAUGUUGCAUCAGAACAUCAAUUAGUUGAUAUCCUAACAAAAGGGCUGAACAGUUCAAUGUUUCACAGUCUUGUAUUCAAGCUGGGAAUGGAAGACAUCUAUUCCUCAGCUUGAGGGGGAGUGUUGAGCUAUAAAUAGAUAGGAGAAUUAUUUUCCUAUUAUGUUAGUUUCCUAUUUAUGUAAAUAGAUAGUUUUAUUAGUUUCCUAAUUCUGUAAAUAGAUAGUUUUAUUAGUUUUCUAUUUCUAUAAAUAGAUAGUUUUAUGAUUUAGGAAUAAAUUAGUUUUCUAUUAUGUCUCUUGUUUUCUAUUUCUUCUCUUGUAAUCUUCUAUAUAAACUGUGUGUAUGGUCAAUCUAAGAGACAAAAAUUAUUAUUUUCCAUCCCAUAUUUCGUAUCAAGAUGCAUGCCAUAAAAAUGGUAAGAUGAACAACAACAAGCCAAGCAACAAAAAAAAAAAAAAAAUGGAGUUUUUCCACCUUGUCCUCAUUGCAAGAAGACAAAUCAUUCUCCACAAAAAUGUUGGUGGAGACCAGAUGUGAAAUGCAACAAGUGUGGUAAACAAGGACAUGUGAAGAGGAUUUGCAAAAAUCAACAACAAAAAGAAACUAGUGCAACAAUUGACUAUUGUCAAGAGGAGCAAUUAUUUGCAGCAACGUGUUUUGCUAAUAAAAGCACCUCUGAAAGCUAGCUUGUGGAUAGUAGUUGUACAAACCACAUGACAAAUAAUCAAGAUCUCUUUAGAGAACUUGAUAGAACAACUAUUUCCAAAGUCAGAAUUGGAAAUGGUGAGUAUAUUCCAGUUAAGGGCAAAUGAACGGUUGCUAUCAAAAGCCAAAUAGGUUUGAAACUCAUUUAUGAUGUUUUGUUUAUGCUUGACGUUGACCAAAACUUACUCAGUGUUGGACAGCUCGUUGAGAAAUGAUUUAAAGUUUAUUUUGAAGAUAGGAAUUGCAUUAUCAAGGAUGUUGAAGGCAAAGAGGUGUUUAACAUAAAAAUGAAGGGCACGAGUUUUGCCUUGAAUUUACUAUAAGAUGAGCAUGCUGCUAUUUUACAACAAUAUAGCACAACAAUGCUUUGGCACAGAAGGCUUGGGCACUUUCAUCAUGAUGUUGUGCUCUACAUGAAGAAAAAUAAAAUAGCUGAAAGACUUCCCGACUUAGAAAAAGAUCUUCCUAUAACUGCUACUUGUCAAUAUGGGAAGCAAACUAAACUUUCCUUUCCAAAGAAAACAUCCUAGAGAGCAACCCAAAAAUUGCAACUAGUGCAUACUGAUAUUGGUGGACCUCAAAAGACGUCAUCCUUGAAAGGGAAUGUAGGCAUUGUUCACCAGCUCACUGCACCAUAUAAUCCACAACAAAAUGGAGUCGUAAAGAGAAAAAAUAGAACGAUUUUGGAGAUAACAAAAUGCCUUCUGCAUGAAAAAGAUCUACCUAAAGUUUUUUGGGCUGAAGCUACAAGUACAGUAGUAUAUUUGCUUAACAAAUUGCCAACAAAAACGUUAAAGAAGCAGACCCCUUUUGAAGUUUGGUUUGAGUUUCUACGUGGAAGACUUGGAGUUUGCAUCUACUAAGUCAAGAAGGAGUGUUGAAUUUUGACCUAGUAUCUACUAGAAUUUGAAUUUUGAAGUUAAAUAUUGCAGUUGGAGUCUUGCACAAAAUCUAUAACAUCCAAAUAUUUUCUUGUUUUUAUUUGGUCAAGAUUUGGUUUCUAUUUUAUAGGAAGUAGUUGUUCAUCAUCUAGUAGCUUGAUUUUAUGCUAUUCUAAUGUCAUUUCAGUUACAAGCUCAUGUAUAAAUUCAACACUCUUCAUCAAUAAAAUGUGUGUUCCAGCAACCCAAAAUAUAUAUUCUGCAUAAGUGUUUAAAUCUUAGACCAACACAUCCUCGUCACUAGUAGUUGUGCCUCUCAGGUUACCUUUUUUAUCUCUCAGCUCAGCUCCACCUUUGCUCUUCAUGAUCUUGGUUCCCUUUACUAUUUCUUUGGCAUUGGGGUUUCUCAUAGUACUGAUUCUCUUCAUCUCUGCCAACAAAAAUAUGUGAAUGACCUGCUCACUCGUACUGCCAUAACUGAUGCUAAACUUGUUCUUACAUUGGGUUCCUUGGCCAAACCUCUCUCUCUCACUGACGGUGAUCUACUUCAUAUCAUAACAUUGUUGGCGCAUUACAGUAUGUUACUGUUACAUGUCCAAACCUUUCUUUUGCAGUUAACAAGGUAUGCCAGUUUAUGGCUUCCCAACGACUACCCACUAGCUAGCUUUCAAGAAUAUAAAAAGUAGUUAAAAAUAAAAUAAAAAUAUAGACUUAAAAUAAAAAAUAAAUUAAAAAUGAAUAAUUAAAAAUUUUAAAAAUGAUAAAUAUUUUUUUUUUUUUUAAAGUUUUCAAAAAAAUCUCAGAUAUUUUCAGAUAUAUCGGCAAUGUAUCCGAUAUAUCUCUAAUAUUUUGAUAGACUUCCUCUAUUGCUUUGUGCGUCACUUCACACUCGAUUUUUUCGCCGAUUUAUCGAUUUCAAAUUAACCGAAAUAUCAACAUAUUUCGGGGAUUUUUCUGAUAUUCCUCCGUUCAAUAAUGUUGCUUAAUAUCCUUUUAGGGUAGUCCGAUAUCCGAUAUAUUGGCGAAAUAUCACCGAUAAAAACCGAUUUUUCAAUCCAUGCUUAAUAGUGGGUUUCCCUUUUGUUUGGCCUCUUGUAGACCCCCAUUUUGGGGCUCGGUUUUUUUUAUCUCUAUUUUCUUUGUAGGUGUCACCACCCCAGGGAGCCAUGCGUCGCCUCUUUGGUGGUUGAUAGGGAAUCAACAUUGCUUUUCGGGGACCUAUGGUAGGUUGACACGUGGAAGAAUAUUCUGGAGAGCUAAUUUCCGUUAUGGGGGAGCAUAUGAGAGAGGAUAUUCUGCAGGCAUUUUGAUUCUCACAUGUGCAUGAUCACUUUGAGUAUUCAUUGAUUUCCGCAUCAAUUGUCACAUCAGCUUCAUUUUAUUUGUAGAGACCCGACUUUAGGGACUUAGAGGGGUGCUACGGUCUUUACCGUACCUUCCCGAUAAGUAAUCUGACCCCCGAGCUCAAUCCAGUUUUUCACGGACCACCUUUUCCAAAUAAGGAGUCACACUUAGGGUUUUCUUUCUUAUUUUAUUUACCCUUUAAAAAUAAAACAAAAUUAAGUGGCGACUCCAAGUCAUUUUUCUUAAUCAGUAAAAUCAUUUUCAAAAUAAAAAUUGAGCUCGCCAUCGAGUGAAAAACGCAUUAGCUGAAAUGCGGGGUCCACACCUCUGUUUUUUUUAUAAAAAAAAAAAAAAAUCCUUUCCCAUUCUAUGGCCUUGAGUGAGCAUUACGUAUUUCAACUAUUUUGACAUGUUCAAAAUAAAAUACUAAGAAUUUAAAGGGAAUUUGUUCGACAAGUACUUUUUUUUUAACAUAUUUAUUUAUACAUUAUUUAGUUUAGGUUGCAUUAUUCUAUGUAAAUAAUUUAUUGGGUAUGGGAAUUAUUUUUAUAAAUGGCUGAGUAGAUUCAAUUUUAGAUAUUUAUUUAUUGAUCAUGAAAAAUAUUUAUUAAAACAUGGUUUAACAACCAUGCGAUGGAAUCAACCUAUUAAAAAAAAUAAACUAAUACUAUAUUAUUUUAACUUAAAUUAUUUCUUGAUGGUAGCAAUGUUGAAAAAACAAAUAUCAAUAAAGACUAAUCUUAACGAGAAAAUAGUAAUUAACAUAAUUUUAUAUUAACUUGUAAAAUUGGGUCAACAUAUAAAUAUAUUAAUUGUAACAAGAAGACCUACAUUGAUAAUGAAACGUCAAUAUUAGUCUAUAUUGCCAACUUUGAAAUAUUAAUAUAUGUAUAUAGCAUAUGUUUUCAUGAUUAGGAAUUAGAGAAAAUUUUGUAGAAGAUUUUUCCAAAUUUGAAAAUAACUAUGGAAGAAAUUCAACUUAAACACGUUUCUUUGUGGAAGAGUUGCAUGUCUACUCAAGUCUCAGCAUGUUCCCUAGCCCAAAUUUCUAAACCCAAAAAUCACCCUGUGGCAAGCUUGAAGGUAAUUCAAUGAAAAUAUGCUUAAAGCUCAACGGCUAAUUUACUUAUUUGGAAGUCAUUUUUCUCUAUGUGUUGGAUGAUAAAAUUUGUUGGUCUAGGUUACACGUUCCUGCAAAGAAGAGCAGACGGAGGAUCUGAAAAAUGAAUUGAAACUGGAAUUAAUACGUAGUGUUAUUAUAUAUCGAUGGAAAUUAGUUUAAAGUUGGAUAUAUUAAUACUUAGGAUGUUUGGUAAAACUUAAUACUUAUUAUUUAAUUAUUUGAGUUGACUUUAAAUUAAAUUAUACUUAAAUUACUUACUUAAAACUUAUUACUUUAAGUAUUAAGAUAUAAAAUUAACUUAAAGUUUAUUUAAAAUCAUUAAGUUGACAUAUUUAUUCUUAUAAAUUAUAAUUAGAAUAGAAAAAGUUGAGUUUAUAGAGUUGUAAAAGAGAUCAUGAAGGUAAUUAAGACAAAUAAAGAUAAAAAGAUAAAAUGAAAAUAUAAAAUUAAAAAUAAAUUAAUUAUUUUUACUUAUUAUUUAAAGUUAUUUUUUUUACUUUAAAUCAUAUUAUCAAGUUAUUUUAUUAAAUAUGCUUAAUUUACUUAAUGACUUAAAUUAAGUUAUUAAAUUAUUUUAAGUUAUUAAGUUGAUUUAUCAAAUUUCUACUUAUUGAAUACAAAUAUAGAAGGAAAUUAGGAAAGCAAAGUAGAUGGGUUAUUAGGUGAAAGCUUAUCAAAUCCGCCUAUCAACAUAUCACACUUUUACCAAAAACCCACCUCAUGCCAAGCCUAUAAGUUGUCAAGUCCUUAUGAUCCAACAACUUUCUUAUGGUUCCCACACGGAUUUCUAUUGUUAUCAAAACAAAAAGUUUAUAAUAAAAUAUAUAUAUAUAUAUAUAUAUAUAUAUAUAUAUAUAUAUAUAUUAUAAUUCAUAAAUAAUCUGACAAUUAAAUAAAAAGAUAAACUCAUUUGUGGAAUAUAAUUAAUAAAAAAAAAAGAGAAGUGUUAAGAGUUUUAAAUUAUUAUUAUUUUAUAUUUUUUAUAUUUUAAAUAAAUAUAAUUAAAAUAAUGGAUAAAAAAUGUGCACUUUGUACCUUCAACCUAUAAGAGUUGUAAUAUUUUCAAGUUGGUAUUCUUUAACAUAAGUCAAAUUCUAACUUAUUCAACUUUGACAAUUUUAACCUAAUCCUCAUAUUGGUACAAAUUAGACUAUUCUACCUUAUUUAAGUUUUAGUCCUAAAAAAAUCAUGAGAAUUAUGGACCGAAUGAUGUAUAUUAAAUUUCUAAGAUUCAUAUUUUAAAAUUAAUAAAAUUGAAGUAUUUUCCUUCUGGAGAUUAUUUAUUAUGAUUUAUCUUUACUUUAAUUAAUUAAUUAAUAUAUAUAUAUAUAUAUAUAUAUAUAUUUCAUUGGUAGAAUUGUCCUUAAUGGCCUUUGUACAUAGAGUACAUUCCUGGUCAUAAGAAUACGUGUCAAAUAUAAAUAUGCUUUUCAAAUUUAAUCAUUCUUAUUAUAAGUUUAUUAUUAUUAUUAUUAUUUUAUUAUAUACCUUGUAAAAAUAAAAGUUAUGAUCUUACGUAAGGUCGCAAUUUGAAGUUCAAGUUCAUUAAACUGUGCAGAGUUUAGCUUUCUAUAUAUAUAUAUAAAGAAUCAAUUCCAUCAAUUCAUUAUUUUUUAAGAAUUGAAAAUUACAUAAAUAUUGAUGGUUAUAUUUUACAAAAACAUUGAAACAAAACAAUAAUAUAUUAUUAAAGUUGUUUUACUAAAUAAAAUAAUAUAAUCAUCGUUAUAUAUAUUCUUGUACUUUGUUUAUUAACAAUUUUAUUAUAUUUUCAUUUUAACUUAAGAUAAAGACAAAGGGUUGAAUUGAAAAUUUUAAUUUGCAUAAUUUAAUUAAUUUGAAAAGAAUUUUAAAUUGAGAAUUUGAAAAACAAAUUCCAAAUAAUAAAAAUAAUUUGGAAAUGAAUUUUAAAUUAAGGAUUUAAAAUUUAAAAUUUGCAAAAGGAAAUUUUUUAUAAAUCUUUUCUAAUUUUAAAUAUGAAAUAUUUCCAAAUCUUUUUAAAACUCUUAAGUUUCUAAAUUGUUUUUCAUAAAAUAUAAUCUUUAAAUUAAUUGCAACUAUAUAAAGUUUUCUCCUAUAUAUAUCCUACCUAAAUGUAUAUUUGAUGACGGUCUGACUUGUUUUUCUAUUCUUAAUCUCUAAAGAAAGAAUUCAUUACAAGUACCUACAUCCCCUCAGAAGCUUAGAGGAGUUAGAGCAUUUGGAGGUACUACAUUGUGGAUGUGGAUUAAGGUGUAGGUUCUAGCUAGUGAAUCAUUAAGGUAAAACGGUUAUUAAAUAUGUGUACUUUAAUUUCAAAUAGUGGAUUAUAAAUUAGAGGUUUUAAAUCUUGUGAUUUUUUAUGCCCACAAUUAGCAUUGAUAUUUUCAAAUUAAAAUUUCUUGUGUCCCUUAUUUGAUUAUUUUUAUUAUUUUGAUUAUCCCUAUUAUCUCUUAGUUUAAAUUGAGUUAAUAUUAUUUAACUCUUAUAUUAUUUUCUUUAAAAAUCACCCCACUCUCAAUGUCAUCCUCUUGGACAAAAGCGUGUAUAUAUAUAUAUAUAAUUCACAAAUCUUGAAAAUAUAUUUAAUAUUAAAAUAUCAUUCCAUGUAAUUUGGAAGUAUUCAAAGAUGUAAAAGAUAUGAUAAUAUAUGUAUAAUUAUUUUUUAUUUAAAAAUAUUAAUAAUUACAUUUGCAACUUUAUUUUGUCCUCAUUAUUUAAUUAAUAUACAAAAAGAUAUGGGAAUAGAAUUAUCAAAAGAAUUGUCAUAAUAAAGCUUUAUAUUCUUCAUAAUAAGUUAAAUUAAGGUGAUAUUUAUUUAUUUUACUUAAAUCUAAAUAAAAAUUAAUUUAACUUAAUUGUAAAUAUAACUUAAUAGAAUUAAUUAUUAUAUUUUUUUGUUUUUUAUAAUUUUAUUUUUGUUAAGCGUUAAAUAUUAAUUGGGUGAGAGUCCUACUAAGGUUGUGCUUUGACUUAUUCAAAAAAUUAUUUUUAGUAAUGAGCAAAAAGUUAAAUAUUUUACUUUUAUCUAUUCAUUAAAAAAAUCUUAAAAAUUAAUUUUUUUUUUGUUUUAUUUAAAAUAGUGAAUGGAGUUUGAGUCGAAUUUUAAUUAUUUGGUAAAAUAAUAAAAUUAGUUUUUUAUUUAAAAGAAAAAAUAAAGGUAAGUCAAAGAUAUAAAGAUAAUUAUUUUAUUUUAAAUAAGAAAGAUUCAAAUAAAUAAAAAAAGAAAAAGUUAAUGAGCUACAAAUUUUAGGAUUAAUUGAUUAAAAUGGGUGAAAAUAUCUCAAAUUUGUAAAACUAAUCUCUUCCAUUUUUUAACUUAAAGAGUAACACUUGUUUGACAUAAAUACCCUUCAACAUUUUCAUUAUUUACAUAUGUAUUUUAAAAGAAAAUGUAAUUUUUGUAAGAAAAAAGUGAGAGUAUUCUUAUGUAUUUUUUGGAUGAAAAAAAAUGGUUUGCAAUUUGAUAUUUCUUUUGUCCUUUUUAAUCGGUUAUCCCCAAAUUUUUUUUACGGAAAAUACAAAUUCUAAAAAUAUUUGGUUUUAUUGCUAUUUUUAAAUUUAAAUAUAUUUUUACCUUAAUUAUAUUUUUAUUUCAAAAUAAUUGAUGAUGAUUUAGUUGAAUUCUAACAUUUAAUGGAGUUUUAGUUGAAUUCUAACACUAUAAUAUAAAGUGACCCGAUAAAAUUAUAAAAUCAAUUUUAUUUAAAAAUAAAUAAAGUUGAGUUAAAAAUAGUAUUAAAUAAAUUAAAUUUUAAAAAUAAAAUUUAAUAGUUUUACCUUAAAUAAAAAAUAUUAAAAGAAAAAAUAAUUAGAUAGAUAGGCUUUAAAUUUUAUUAAGAGAAACAUAAAUUUUUUUUUUUAAAAUUGUUUUUAUUUAUUUUCAAUUUUAAAAUUUUAUUUCUAUUUUUUAUUUAAAUGUAUUUUCAAAUUUUAUCUAAAAAUAGUUAAUAGAGUUUUGGUUGAAUUUUAAGACUAUAAGAUAAGCGAAUAGUUGAAAUUAUAAAAUGAAAUUUUUUAUUAAAAUGAAAAGAAAGUUAAGUUAAAGAUACUAUAAAUUAUGAUUAGAAGAAUGAAAAUCAAUAUAAAAAAAAAAAUGGUUUUAUCUUAAAUUAGAAAUAUUUAAAAAAAAAAAGAAUAAUGUAUUGAAAAAUAUAACUUUGUGGUAGAAGAGCAAUGACUAUGCUCUUUUGAAUACCCUAGUUUAUGUUCAUUUUUUAAAAUUUAAAAAGAAUAAACAUCUUUUAGAUAUUAACAAAAAUAAAUUUAAAUAGAUUCUUUAACAUAAAACCUAAAAAACAUUUGUUGUUGGCCAAAAAAUCCAACUAUGAGCCCUUUUAUGACAAGUGAAACUUCCAAAUCUUCUGAAGAGUUUUUUAUCUUAGUAUUAAAAUCUAAAAGCAGAAUAUUUAUACUAUGAGUUGUCUUUUUAACAACUAAUUUAUUUUAUUAAAUGUAAUAAUAUACAUUAAUAUGUUGUAAAUGAAAAGUAAUGAAUGACCACAUUGAUGGCCAUUAUGAACUCCAUUUACUCAUCUUUAAGAUGAGUAAUGGGAGUUCAUAUUAUGAAGCCUAUAAAAGGCUUCUUACCCCCCCAUGUAAAAGGAUCCCGAGAAAAGAAAGAAAGUUCUUCCUCUCAUUCUCUCUCUCUCUCUUUCUUUCACUUUCUCGAUUCUCUUAUUUGAUUCCUUCUUCCAUAUUAUAUAUCAAAGUAAGAUAUAUUUUAUCUCUACUACUUUGAUUUGCAUUAUAUUUGUCCUUGUUUUACAACACGUUAUCAGCACGAAUUGCUCUGAAGGUAAUUCUCGUAUCUUAAACUUGAAGUUAUUUAUAUAAAAUAAAAUUUUACAUAUUUAUAUUAUUGUUGAUUUGUUUUGUUACAUAUUGUUAAAAGUUAUAAACAAAUUAUUUGAUUUUGUUUAUAAUCAAAGUUAUACCAAUGCUAUCAAGUUAUUAUAACUGAUUUUAAUAAUAUUGUUUUGUCAUAUAUAUGAAGUUAUUUGACAAUGUCGAAUAUUACAAAACUCGAAUUUGUGGCACUUGACAUUUCGGGAAAGAACUAUCUAUCUUGGAUCCUUGAUGCUGAAUUACAUCUUGAUGCAAUGAACCUUGGAGCUACGAUCAAACAAGGAAAUCAAGCAUCCCUGCAGGAUCGCGCAAAAGCAUUGAUUUUCCUUCAUCAUCACCUCCAUGAAGGUUUAAAAAAUGAGUAUCUUACGGUAAAGGACCCUUUUACUCUAUGGAGUAAUUUGAAAGAAAGAUAUGACCACUAGAAAACUGUGAUUCUCCCAAAAGCUCGAUAUGAUUGGAUGCACCUAAGGUUGCAAGAUUUUAAAACUGUUAGUGAAUACAACUCUGCACUUUUCAAAAUCAGCUCUCAAUUAAAGCUGUGUGGAGAAAAAAUCACAGAGGAAGACAUGUUAGAGAAAACUUUUACUACGUUUCAUGCCUCGAAUGUGCUCCUGCAGCAGUAAUAUCGAGAGCGUAGAUUUACAAAAUAUUCUGAAUUAAUAUCAUGUCUUCUUGUUGCUGAACAAAAUAAUGAGCUUUUGAUGAGAAAUCACCAGUCUCGUCCAACUGGAUCUGAACCAUUCCCUGAAGUGAAUGCAAUAUCGUCCCAAACUCGUGGACGUGGACGAGGACGAGGACGUGGUCGUGGUCAUGGAAGAAAUCCUCGAUACCAUGGUUCUUAUAGUAAUAAUUCUCAUAAAAUGAAAGCCUCAUUGCACCACCAGAAGUGGAACAAUACUGAGACAAUACAAGAAAAUGGGAAGCGUUUACAAGAUAAACCUCCUAAGAACCAUGAGAAUAAUUGUUAUAUAUGUGGUAUGAAGGGGCAUUGGUCGCGUACCUGUCGUACGCCCAAACAUUUGGUCGACCUUUACCAAGCAUCAAUAAAAGCUAAAGGAAAAGAGAUAGAGAUGAACUUUACCGAUGGUGAUGGAUUGGACCUAACCUACUAUGACAUUGAUUUCUUUGGAGGUCCCAAUGAAAAACCAGACCAUUUGAUAAAUGAUGAAAAAAUUAACAUUGAUUGAUGUUACUCUAUAUAUACAAUAAUAUAUUAUUAUGUCUUAUAUUUACAUCUGAUUUACUUUGUUAUUUACAUUAUGCCUUUUUUUUUGUUAUAUCUGAAAUCCAUGUGUUAUUUGGUCUCAAGAUGAAUGAGGAUGAUGUAUGUCUCGCAGACUGUGCGACCACGCACACAAUUCUUCAAGAUAAAAGAUAUUUCCUUGAAUUGACAUUAAUAAAAGCUAAUGUAAGUACCAUAUCUGGUACUACAAACUUAGUUGAAGGCUCUGGAAGAGCAAACAUAACAUUGCCAAAUGGAACUAGAUUCCAUAUAAAUGACGCGUUAUAUUCUAGCAAAUCCAGAAGAAAUUUGCUCAGUUUUAAAGAUAUCCGCAGAAAUGGAUAUCAUAUUGAAACUAUGAAUGAAGAUAAUGUAGAAUAUCUUUACAUUACUUCCAUUAUAUCUGGCCAGAAGCUUAUAAUGGAAAAAUUGCCGGCUUUUUCCUCUGGGUUGUAUCAUACAACUAUAAAGCCUAUUGAAUCAUAUGUUGUCGUGAACCAGAAGUUCAACGACCCAAAAGUUUUUGUCCUUUGNNNNNNNNNNNNNNNNNNNNNNNUGGUCACAUGUUUGUCUCCUUUCUACACGUAACGUAGCCUUUGCUAGACUCCUUGCACAAAUAAUCAGAUUACGAGCACAAUUUCCAGAUUAUCCAAUUAAGACAAUACGUCUUGAUAAUGCUGGCGAAUUUACUUCUCAAACAUUCAUUAACUAUUGCAUGUCAGUAGGGAUAAAUAUUGAGCAUCCUGUUGCUCAUACUCAUACCCAGAAUGGUUUAGCAGAAUCCUUCAUCAAACGUCUCCAAUUAAUAGCUCGACCAUUACUAAUGAAAACCAAAUUACCUACUUCCGCCUAGGGACAUGCUAUUAUGCAUGCUGCAGCUUUAGUCCGUAUUCGACCUUCAACUUACCAUGAAUACUCCCCUUCACAACUUGUGCUUGGAAAACAACCAAAUAUCUCUCACUUACGAAUCUUUGGUUGUGCAGUAUAUGUACCAAUUGCACCUACACAACGCACUAAAAUGGGUCCCCAACGAAGACUUGGGGUUUAUGUAGGUUUUGAUUCUCCAUCUAUCAUAAGAUAUCUUGAACCUUUGACUGGAGAUGUUUUUACAGCCCGCUUUGCAGAUUGUCAUUUUAAUGAGAGUGUUUUCCCAUCAUUAGGGAGAGAAAAGUCGAUUCUUGAAGAACGACGAGAAAUUAGUUGGAAGACAUCUACUAUGACCCAUCUUGAUUCUCGUACAAAUCAAUGUGAACUAGAAGUUCAAAGGAUCAUUCAUUUGCAAAAUCUUGCAAAUCAAUUACCAGAUGCAUUCAUUGAUACAAAGAAAGUGACAAAGUCACAUAUCCCGGCUGCAAAUACUCCAGCACAGAUUGAUGUCCCUGUAGGACAGUUAACAAAUGAAUCUAAGAUACGCCUGAAGCGUGGUAGACCUGUCGGCUCAAAGGAUGUAACUCCCCGGAAGAGGAGAACCCAAGAAAAACUUGGCACUCUAGAAGAUGCCAUCAAAAUGACUGAUCAGUUUAAAAUUGAUAAAUCUAUAGCCCUAGAAGAGGCACAAAUAAUGCAGAAAGCCCCUGAAGAGGUAAAUAUUGAACAAGAAGCCCCCGAAGAGGCACAUAUUGAACAAGAAACCCCUGAAGAUCCACAUAUUGAACGAGAAGCCCCUGAAGAGGCACAGGUACCUGAAAAUUGUGAGAUCUCAGUAAGUUAUGUACAAACGGGAGAAAAAUGGGAUUGAAAUAAUAUUGUUAUUAACAAUAUUUUUGCUUUCCAAGUGACCUUUGAUAUCAUAAGAAAUGAUGAAGAUCCCGAACCACGAAAUGUGGAAGAAUGUCGACAUAGAAAUGAUUGGCCAAAAUGGAAAGAAGCUAUACAGGCAGAAUUAAACUCAUUAACAAAACGAGAAGUUUUUGGACCUGUAGUCCAAACACCUGAAGAUGUAAAGCCUGUUGGGUACAAAUGGGUAUUUGUACGAAAGCGCAAUGAGAAUAAUGAGAUCAUAAGAUAUAAAGCGCGAUUAGUGGCACAAGGUUUCUCGCAGAGACCUGGUAUUGACUACGAGGAAACAUAUUCUCCCGUCAUGGACGUAAUCACAUUUCGUUUCUUAAUUAGUUUGGCAGUCUCAAAAGGACUGGAUAUGCGUCUCAUGGAUGUUAUUACAUCAUAUUUAUACGGAUCCAUGGAUAAUGAUAUAUACAUGAAAAUCCCCAAAGGAUUUAAAUUGCCUGAUGCAAAUAAUACAAAGCCUCGUAGCAUGUACUCAAUCAAGUUACAACGAUCCUUGUAUGGAUUAAAGCAAUCUGGACGCAUGUGGUACAAUCGCCUUAGUGAAUACUUGCUAAAAGAAGGGUAUGUGAAUAACCCUAUAUGCCCAUGCAUCUUCAUUAAGAAAUCAGAAACCGGAUUUGCAAUUAUUGCAGUGUAUGUGGAUAACUUAAAUCUUGUUGGAACUCCUGAAGAGCUCACAAGAACAACAAAUUACUUGAAAAAGGAAUUUGAGAUGAAAGAUCUUGGAAAAACAAAAUUUUGUCUCGGCCUGCAGAUCGAGCAUUUUCCAAAUGGAAUUUUAGUACAUCAAUCAACAUACAUUAAGAAAGUUUUGAAGCGUUUUUAUAUGGAUAAAGCGCAUCCUUUAAGUUCUCCAAUGGUUGUCUGAUCACUUGAUGUGAAAAAAGACCCAUUUCGUCCUUGCGAAAAGGAUGAAGAGUUGCUUGGUCCUGAAGUACCAUAUCUUAGUGCUAUUGGUGCACUUAUGUAUCUUGCCAAUUGUACACGUCCAGACAUUGCUUUUUCUGUCAAUUUAUUAGCAAGAUACAGUUCCGCUCCAACUCGAAGACAUUGGAAUGGUAUCAAACAUAUAUUACGUUAUCUUCGCGGAACUACUGAUAUGGGUUUAUUUUACUCAAGGGAAUCAAAGCAACAAUUGCUUGGAUAUGCAGAUGCAGGAUAUCUUUCAGAUCCACAUAAAGGCAGGUCACAAACAGGGUAUGUGUUUAAUUGUAAUGGUACUGCUAUUUCAUGGAGAUCUGUCAAACAAACAAUGGUAGCCACAUCAUCAAAUCAUUCAGAAAUACUGGCAAUUCAUGAAGCAAGUCGUGAAUGUAUAUGGCUAAGAUCUAUGAUCCAACAUAUUCGGGAAUCAUGUGGACUCUCCUCUAUCAAAGGUGACCCGACAACAUUAUUUGAAGAUAAUGUUGCAUGCAUUGCACAAAUAACAGGGGGUUAUAUUAAAGGAGAUAGAACAAAACACAUUUCACCAAAAUUCUUUUAUACACAUGAACUCCAGAAGAGUGGUGAAAUUGAUGUGCAACAAAUACGCUCAAGUGAUAAUCUAGCAGAUUUAUUCACAAAAUCAUUGCCAACUUCAACAUUCAAGAAGUUAAUACACAGGAUUGGAAUGCGUCAACUCAAGGAUAUCGACAUGAGGGGGAGUAUGCUUGUAAAAGGGUGUUAGUGUACUAUACUCUUUUUUUCCUUCGUCCAGGUUUUGUCCUACUGAGUUUUACUGGCAAGGUUUUUAACGAGGCAGUCCUAAUAUGCCAAGAAAAGAAUAUUGUACUCUUUUUCCUUCGCUAGGUUUUUCCUAUAGGGUUUUUUACUAGCAAGGUUUUAAUGAGGCAUAUUCUUUUAAUAUGGUGGUCAUCCAAGGGGGAGUGUUGUAAAUGAAAAGUAAUGAAUGACCACAUUGAUGGCCAUUAUGAACUCCAUUUACUCAUCUUUAAGAUGAGUAAUGGGAGUUCAUAUUAUGAAGCCUAUAAAAGGCUUCUUACCCCCCAUGUAAAAGGAUCCCGAGAAAAGAAAGAAAACUCUUCCUCUCAUUCUCUCUCUCUCUCUUUCUUUCACUUUCUCAAUUCUCUUAUUUGAUUCCUUCUUCCAUAUUAUAUAUCAAAGUAAGAUAUAUUUUAUCUCUACUACUUUGAUUUGCAUUAUAUUUGUCCUUGUUUUACAACAAUAAAUUAUAGUUGAGUUUUUUUUUAAAAAAAAAUUGGCAUAUGCUUGUAUUACUUUGUUAGCUUGGAGGACGAAAAGCCUAUACAAAUAAUGAGUUGAAUGAAAUAAGAAGCGAGUAAAUUACAUGUAUCAAUGAAAUUGUAAUUUUUAGAUUACAGAAAUGAGUACAUGCAUUAAUAUAUAUGAAAAUAUAUAGUGAUUAUGAGAUUUGAGAAUCUAUUUAUUUUGAAUGAUGGGAAUUAAACUUCGUAAAAUUUCAAUGUAGAUCGGAAGUAAAUUUUUUUGUUACUUGAAAUAUUCACAACUUCUUUCCUGUAGUGAUGUUAUUUUGUAAUAGAACUUCCCUGGACAAUCGUUUUCAUGACUGGGAAUUGAAUUAGAGAAAAUUUUGUAGAAGAUUUUUUCAAAUUUGGAAAAAUCGCAUGUAGAAGAGUUGAAUUGGCAAGGAAAUCUACACACUCGUUGAACAGUCUAGGCCCACUUUUCCAAUCAGCCUAGCACGUUUUUUUGAAUUGAAUAACCACGGAUUGAUAUUGAUUGGAUCCAUUAUCAGUCAUUCAAUCCUAAAGCAUUCAUUUGUCAAACUCCAAGGAAUAUAGGUUUGGCCGAGUGAACAUUUCAAUACUAAACUUGUCCAAAUACAUUAAUUUGAUAUUUUUAGUAAAUAUGAUGCGCAAAAUGAAACCUACUUGGUCGAUAAUGACCUAGUGGUUAGGGCAAUCCCUCAAAAUUCAUAAAAAAAGAAGAUGCAAAUAGAAUCAAAUAGUAGUUCUUAUGUUAUUUUUUCAAAAAAUAGUUAUCGAGUCUGGAAAUGGGUAUUUUUCAUUUACGAAGCUUAAUCCUAUGGGAUUUAAUUUUCAUCGACUAGGAGAAUAAUUUGAUCCUAGCCACACCUAAUGUUAACGACUUGUUUAGGUAUUUUGAGUGAAGAGGACAACGGUUCCACACCGUGGGCCCCAAAACUGAACCAAAUCCCUCAUACUAUUCAACUACAUACUACCACUGCAUGCCAAGCCGUCUCUCUCAUACUUACCAAUUCUUUCUCUAGUCCAGAUUCUUAAACCCCAACAUUUGGGGUGACCAAUUUAUUACCUACACUCCCGAAGAAAGUUAAUUCAAUGAAAUUAUGUUUAUAUACUUAUUUGGAAGUUAUUUUUCUUAGGAUGAUAAAAUUUGCUGGUCUAGGUUACAAGUGCCUACAAAGAGGAGCAGAUUGAGGAUCUGAAAAAUGAAUUGAAAAUGGAAUUAUACAUGGUGUUGACUAUAAGAAUUUCAGUGGAUUCAAAAAGCCCCAAUUUAUACCUUAGCCGCCCCUAAUAGUUUCGGCUCUUGCUUCAUAAAUUUAGCCAAGGGACUCAUGAAAAAACUUUUUCUUUCACGUCAUCAAUCCCUUUCAUACACUACUUUCAACGUUUUUAUUUUACAUUAUCUUCAACAAUAGAACAUUUAGAAUAUCCUCUUGCGGAACAAGUUGCUCAUGCACUAAAGCAGCCCAUUAGAAAAGGUUUAGAGAGGCUAGAGGCAAGGUGGUAUAUGUCUAUCUACCAGGAUGAAACUUCGCAUGACACAACUUUACUAAAGCUGGCCAAGUUAGAUUUCAAUCUAGUGCAGUCCCUACACAAGGAGGAGCUAAGCAAUAUUGCUAGGUUUGCUUUCAAAUCACUAGCAGAUAUACCUAGUCACCUUCUCAUUUUACCAUGAGCUAAUUGUUUUAAUGAAUUUUAGGUGGUGGAAAGAAUUAGACUUUGCUACAAAGCUACCUUUUGCGAGAGAUAGAUUGGUGGAAGGCUACUUUUGGAUACUUGGGGUGUACUUUGAGCCUCAAUAUGUCCGGGCUAGACGAAUUCUAACCAAAACAAUUUCCAUGACAUCCAUUAUAGAUGAUAUAUAUGACGCAUAUGGCACAUUUGAAGAACUCGAGCUCUUCACCGAGGCCAUUGAGAGGUUUGAUUGAUGCAAAUUACCAACCUUCAUCAUUUAUACUGUAUGUGAUACUUAAAUCAAGCCUGGUUUUAUUUUCAGGUGGGAUAUUAAUAGCAUAGAUCACCUUCCAGAAUACAUGAAACACUGCUAUGUGGCACUCUUAGAUGUGUACAAAGAAAUUGAGGAAGAGAUGGAGAAAAAAGGAAACCAAUAUCGGGUUCAAUAUGCGAUAGAAGCGGUAGGACAUUCUGCAUCGACUUUGUUUUGUAUAGUAACAUAUCGUAAGGAUAUAGAUGUAACCUGAUUGAAUGUUUGACAGAUGAAAAACCUAGUUAGAGCUUAAUUUCAUGAGGCUAAAUGGUUCCAUGAAGGACGCAUACCAACAAUGGAAGAGUAUAUGAUAAUAAUAGGUUUAUCUUAGGGAAUCAAUAAUUAUUUUUGUAUGUUAUAAAGAUUACAUUUAUACUUGAAUUAUUUUUAAUUUAUUAUAUCAUAUAAAUUUUUUAUCUUAUAAUAUUGUAAAUUUUAAUUAUAUUAGGAAAUCAAUGAAUGCUUUUAUAACUAUUUAAAUGAUGUUAGUUAUGAGAUAAUUUUAUUUUAUUAUUGUUUUUUUACCUUAUUUACUUGUACCUAUUUUUUAAUAAUUUACAUAAUAUUUUUAUAAUUUUUAAAAUUUUCUAAUUAUCAUAUUUUUUUGUAUAUGACACUUAAAUCAAGCCUGGUUUUAUUUUCUGGUGGGAUGUUAACAGCAUAGAUCACCUUCCAGAAUACAUGAAACACUGCUAUGUGGCACUCUUAGAUGUGUACAAAGAAAUUGAGGAAGAGAUGGAGAAAGAAGGAAACCAAUAUCGGGUUCAAAAUGCGAUAGAAGCAGUAGGACAUUCUGCAUUGACUUUGUUUUGUAUAGUAACAUAUCGUAAGGAGAUAGAUGUAACUUGAUUGAAUGUUUGACAGAUGAAAAACCUAGUUAGAGCUUAUUUUCAUGAGGCUAAAUGGUUCCAUGAAGGAAGCAUACCAACAAUGGAAGAGUAUAUGGGGAUAGCACUGGUAACCUCAGGUUACUACAUGCUUACAACCAUGUCUUUCAUUGGUAUGGGAGAAAUUGUAACAAAGGAGGCCUUUGAUUGGGUGAUUAGUGACCCUAAGAUUAUCACAGCAUCAGCUGUAAUUUGCAGGCUCACGGAUGACAUCAGUUCAUAUAAGGUAUUGUGAAUAUAGUAUUUCUUGUUAAGCUAUAAUUUGACCUUGACCUUAAAGCUCAAUCAAUUAAACAUAUUUAUUGUACUCAUUUGUGCGAUUCUUUUUCUUGGUAUCCAUGAUUAAUUAACAAAGGUAUUGUUUUUUUUUUUUUGGAAAAAAAAAAAGAGAAGUUCAAAUUUAUUUUUUUCCUCUCUCUCUCUCUCUCUCCCUCCACACGCUCAUUAAUUUUAAUGUUAAGAUAUCAGCCCAAUUGACUUGAUUUAUAUUAACUUAAAACUUUUGUUCUAAUAGGUACCUUCAUAUAACGGUAAAGCCUUGAUUUUUAUAGGAGGUCAUGGAGGUGAACUGUGAACCUUACUGAUGUGUACCCAAACCAUACCAUUUAUUUAUAAUAUUGUCAUCAUAAUAUUUAAAUAUGGGACAUUUUAUGCAUUCAUUAUGUAGAUAUCCCUUUGUAAUAUACAUUCGUUGAGUUGGAGGAUGGUAACAUCGAUAUCCCUUUUUGUGUAAUGCAUAUCCAACAAACACACAUUGCAAUGCAUGGGAAGUUAACUUGGUGCGUUGGUGUUUAUGUAGAUGCACAAAUGCCACGCAACCAAAAACACGAGGAGGUAGAUUUGGGACAGUUGGGACAACUACGGCAUUAGUAAGAGUUUGGAGAGGUGUUUGGAAGUUAAUUGAGCUGGAAGGUACCCGAUUGAUCAAGUAUGCGGCAUGACUCGUGCCCAAUUGGUGUCUCAGCUGAUUUGUGUUCAGCUGGUGCUCCUUGAUUGAGGAAGUGAUCAACAAAAUUUAUACCUAUAACACCAUACACUAGGGUAGCAAAUACAAAGCUACUAUAGUAUAGUGGCUCUAAGGAUCGUUCACUGGGAAUGAUGAACAAGCAAUCAAGGAUACCAAUUCCAAGUGAAUUGGUUUUGUUUCAUUUCACGGUUAGCUUAAGGAAUAAAACACAAACUUUGAUUGGUAAAGGUUUAGACUUAAACUAACUAACUUAACAGAAGUUUGGAAUAAUUUAGGAAGAAAAGCAUUCCUUGGAGAAUUAGGUUCACUGGGGUGGUUCCUCAUGCAAAAGACAUAGCUCCGGUCAGAUGGUUCAUUUCCUCGCAUUAGAGAUUCAACUUAGAGUCAAUUCUCUAACCGGUGAUGUACAGAGACUCCUUCAAUUAGAUUUCACUUUAAUUCUCUCACUGAUACAACUUGCAAUGGUUCAUGCCUCUCACGAGCACUUACCAUUCAAGGUGAUCUUUAACCUUGGAUUCCCCUUCACAAACUCGCAAGAGAUAACUAAUGGAUGUCUCCUAGGAGUCCAAAAGCUUACCAAGUGUUGGUAAUUCCAGAAAAUCCUACCUUGAAGUCACCUACCAAAGGCUCGCAAGGGGUAAACUAGUGCAUUUCCACGGUUAGAAAUCACUUGCCUUACCAAGUGUUGGCCCAGGUGACUCCAAAGUGUUUUAAGUUAACUAAAAACAUUGAAAUCACUAAAGGAUUUCACUUCCUCUUCAUUACUAGCUAAAACCACAAAGCUUUGCAUUCUUGCACUUGGAACCUUCCCCGGCAACCUUAGCUCCAAGGAAUUGGAGGUUUAGUUACUCAUUCUCUGGGGAAAACUCCUCAGAGAAUUCAUAACUUAGAAAUAAAAUGAAAAUAUAAAGUGAGAAGGUAAGGCAGUAGAAAGAAAAGACUUUUACUUGCUUACCAAAAAACGAUUACAGAAGGAACUCCUCUCUGAGAACAUGCUCUCGAGAGGUAUUUAUAUUAAAGCAAUAUAAAACUAAUUCUUACACUGAUAUUUGGUCUUUUUACUAACUUAAAAACUAAGGAAUCAUGUAAUUGGUGGUUUACAAGGAGUAUUUUGGAAUUUAGACAACAAAAAUCUAAUGGAAAAUAUCUCCCAAUGUCGGUAGCAAGCUUCGGGAGGCUUCAGGAGCCAUUUCGCAGGAGAAAAGUGGUGCCUGCGAAAUUUCGCAGACACCCAAGAGGGCUGCGAAAUUAUUUCGCAAGACCAAGCUAUCUUCACCAGGCUGCAAAGUUGGCUUCCAUCUUGAAGUUUCCAGCUCCCUUCUCGCGGCAUGGUUCGUGCAUCGUCAGAAGGAGAAACACCUUACUGUACAAAAGCGUUGCGAAAAUCUCGCAACAAAAGGCUGAUUCCGCAGCACUUUAGAGUGACUGGCUUGUAAUGGCUGCAACUUCUUCGUUUCAACUCCAAAUCGCGCACCGUUUGAAGCAUUGGAUUGUUGACUUCCUGAGCUUUGAAAUGGUAUAUAGCUUGCAUCAUUUGGACUUCAGAAAGUGCUCCAAAAGUGGCUGCUACGACUGUCAUCAAGAAUAGGCUUCAUGACUGAUCCUCUUUGCUUUUUCUCCUUGCAAUCCGGAUUCACUCUUGGCAAUUGAAUUCUAAGCUUUUCCCAUGAUUCCUCAUAGCUCUCCUCAUUCUUGACUUGCUUUGGUGAUCAAAAUACUAACAAAAACACCAAAACUUGCACAAAGUGAUCAAAAUUGCUUUAAAGGAUCCUUAACAUGCCAAUUGAGUUAAAAGGCCUAAACUACUACUCAAAAGUGUUAAAAAGGAUUAAUUAAAGGCUAUCAAAUAGCACUUUUUGAGUAGUAAUCACGGCAGAUGUGAUUGCUUCUCCCCAAUAAGAUAUCGAUGUUUUUGCUGCUAUCAAGUAAGCACGAACAACCUCUAACAAGUGCCGAUUUUUUCGUUCAGCACAACCCGAGCCUUACUCUUUCAAGGGAAUGUUCCUAAGUCCUAUUGAGGAGAAGUUGUUCUUACUGCCACAUACAUGAUAAAUAGAAUUCCGUCACGAGUUUUAGAAAACAAAAGCCUCAUAGAGAUACUUAAGAGUUUCUAUCCACACUUCAGAACCUCAAAUGGGCUCACUCCUAGGGUAUUUGGGUGCACAACAUUUGUUCAUGUCCACAACCAACAUAGAGACAGCUAGACCCCCGAGUCAUAAAAUUUGUCUUUCUUGGUUACUUCAUCCACUAAAAAGGAAACAAAUGUACAUCCCNNNNNNNNNNNNNNNNNNNNNNNNNNNNNNNNNNNNNNNNNNNNNNNNNNNNNNNNNNNNNNNNNNNNNNNNNNNNNNNNNNNNNNNNNNNNNNNNNNNNUGUUACAAUCCCAUAACAAAAAUUUUUUACAUCUUUGCAGAUGUCACCUUCACAGAAAAUAAACCUUUUUUCCCAAAGUCCUCUUUUUAGGGGGAGAUUUCAAUGAUAGAAGAUAGUCCUGAGUCCUUUGAACCUCUUGACCUUCCUCAUGUCUCAACCCAUGGUGAUGAAAUACCUGAGUCAUCCGAGUCAAUCACACCUGAGUCACCCAAUUUUGCCACUAAACCCGUGUCAUCCCAUGUUCCAAGCAGUGUCACUCGCAAUUUUCCAUAGUUUCCUAAGGUGUAUUCAAGGGAAAAGGCCAUUCCAGAACAAAAGUAUGUCCAAGAAUCCAACUCAGACCCUGGGAAUGAAAUCACGCUAAGAUCAGACCCACCUUUACAUACACAACCUGGUGAAACUUCUACUAACUCAACAGACAACCUAGACCUAGACCUUCCCAUUGCUAUCAGAAGAGGCACCAAAGAAUGCACUAAUUGACCACUCUAUCCACUAUCACACUAUGUGUCUCUUAAGCACCUAUCACUAGCCCACAAAAAUUUCAUUGUGAGUCUAAACACCACUAUCAUCCCUAACACUGUUUCUAAGGCAUUGACAAAAAGGGAAUGAAAUGAUGCUAUGAGAGAGGAGAUGAGUGCAUUAGAAAAGAAUAAAACAUGGGAGAUUGUUGAAAGACCGAAAGGGAAAAACAUUGUUGAUUGCAAGUGGAUUUUCACACUGAAAUAUAAGACUGAUGGAUCUCUUGAGAGACAUAAAGCAAGAUUGGUAGCCAAAUGGUACACUCAAACUUAUGGAGUAGAUUAUCAGGAGACUUUUGCUCCAGUUGCAAAAAUAAAUACUAUGAGAAUCCUAGUCAUUGGCUGCCCACUACAAUUGGAAACUCCUAUAAUAUGAUGUUAAGAAUGCAUUUCUUCAUGAUGAUUUAGAUGAAGAGAUUUACAUGAACAUCCCCCCGGGAUUUGAGGGAAACACUGGUAAUAAGGUGUGCAAACUGAAAAAGGCCCUUUAUGGGCUAAAACAAUCUCUUAGGGCUUGGUUUGAGAGAUUUGCAAAAGUCAUGAAAGAGUCUGGGUACAAACAAAGCCAAGGUGACCACACUCUCUUCAUUAAGCACUCGGUUGCAGGGGGAGUAACUGCUCUUCUAGUCUAUGUUGAUGACAUCAUAGUGACUGGAAAUGAUGAGAGAGAAAAACAUGAAGUGAAGCAGAGAUUAGCAAUAAAGUUUGAGAUAAAGGAACUAGGGAAACUAAAGUACUUCCUUGGUAUUGAGGUGGCAUAUUCCACACAAGGGAUCUUCAUUUCUCAACAAAAGUAUGUGACUGAUUUAUUGGCAGAAACAGGGAAGAUUGGGUGUAAACCAGUCUCUACCCCCAAUGGAUCCAAACCACAAGUUGGGAAAAGCUAAAGAAAAACUAGUGUUGGAUAAAAGAAUGUACCAGAGGCUGGUUGGUAGGCUCAUAUACCUUGUUCACACUCGGCCAGACAUCGCCUACUCGGUGAGCAUGAUCAGUCAAUUCAUGCAUGAUACAAGAGAACCUCAUCUUCAAGCUGCUUAUAGGGUGCUACAUUACUUGAAAGGCAACCCCGGGAAAGGAAUUUUGUUCAGGAAGAACAAUACUCUUGCUCUAGAGCAUACACUAACACUGACUAUGCAAGUUCCUUAGUGGAUCGAAGAUCAACUACAGGGUAUUGUACUUUUCUUGGAGGUAAUCUGGUAACAUGGAGAAGUAAAAAGUAGAAUUUGGUAGCAAGAUCGUCUGUAGAAUCAAAGUUUAGGGUCAUUGCUCAAGGGUUGUGUGAACUACUUUGGCUGAAGAUUAUUCUAGAUGAUUUGAGAAUCAAGUGGGAUGGUCCUAUGAAACUCUAUUGUGAUAAUAAGUCAACUAUCAAUAUUGCUCAUAACCCUAUACUACACGAUAGGACAAAACAUAAUAAGAUCGAUAGGCAUUUCAUCAAAGAAAAAUUGGAGAAAGGAGUAGUGUGUAUGUCCUAUGUUGCAUCAGAACAUCAAUUAGUUGAUAUCCUAACAAAAGGGCUGAACAGUUCAAUGUUUCACAGUCUUGUAUUCAAGCUGGGAAUGGAAAACAUCUAUUCCUCAGCUUGAGGAGGAGUGUUGAGCUAUAAAUAGAUAGUAGAAUUAUUUUCCUAUUAUGUUAGUUUCCUAUUUAUGUAAAUAGAUAGUUUUAUUAGUUUCCUAAUUCUGUAAAUAGAUAGUUUUAUUACUUUCCUAUUUCUAUAAAUAGAUAGUUUUAUGAUUUAGGAAUAAAUUAGUUUUCUAUUAUGUCUCUUGUUUCCUAUUUCUUCUCUUGUAAUCUCCUAUAUAAACUGUGUAUGGUCAAUAUAAGAAACAAAAAUUAUUAUUUUCCAUCCCAUAUUUCGUAUCAAGAUGCAUGCCAUAAAAAUGGUAAGAUGAACAACAACAAGCCAAGCAACAAAAAAAAAAAAAAUGGAGUUUUUCCACCUUGUCCUCAUUGCAAGAAGACAAAUCAUUCUCCACAAAAAUGUUGGUGGAGACCAGAUGUGAAAUGCAACAAGUGUGGUAAACAAGGACAUGUGGAAAGGAUUUGCAAAAAUCAACAACAAAAAGAAACUAGUGCAGCAGUUGACUAUUGUCAGGAGGAGCAAUUAUUUGCAGCAACGUGUUUUGCUAAUAAAAGCACCUCUGAAAGCUAGCUUGUGGAUAGUAGUUGUACAAACCACAUGACAAAUAAUCAAGAUCUCUUUAGAGAACUUGAUAGAACAGCUAUUUCCUAAGUCAGAAUUGGAAAUGGUGAGUAUAUUCCAAUGAAGGGCAAAUGAACGGUUGCUAUCGAAAGCCAAAUAGGUUUGAAACUCAUUUAUGAUGUUUUGUUUGUGCCUGACGUUGACCAAAACUUACUCAGUGUUGGACAGCUCGUUGAGAAAUGAUUUAAAGUUUAUUUUGAAGAUAGGAAUUGCAUUAUCAAGGAAGCUGAAGGCAAAGAGGUGUUUAACAUAAAAAUGAAGGGCAAGAGUUUUGCCUUGAAUUUACUAGAAGAUGAGCAUGCUGUUGUUUUACAAUAAGAUAGAACAACAAUGCUUUGGCAUAGAAGGUUUGGGCACUUUCAUCAUGAUGUUGUGCUCUACAUGAAGAAAAAUCAAAUAGCUGAAAGACUUCCCGACUUAGAAAAAGAUCUUCCUAUAACUGCUACUUGUUAAUAUGGGAAGCAAACUAAACUUUCCUUUCCAAAGAAAACAUCCUAGAGAGCAACCCAAAAAUUGCAACUAGUGCAUACUGAUAUUGGUGGACCUCAAAAGACGUCAUCCUUGAAAGAGAAUGUAGGCAUUGUUCACCAACUCACUGCACCAUAUAAUCCACAACAAAAUAGAGUCGUGGAGAGGAAAAAUAGAACGAUUUUGGAGAUGACAAAAUGCCUUCUACAUGAAAAAGAUCUACCUAAAGUUUUUUGGGCUGAAGCUACAAGUACAGUAGUAUAUUUGCUGAACAAAUUGCCAACAAAAACGUUAAAGAAGCAGACCCCUUUCGAAGUUUGGUUUGAGUUUCUACGUGGAAGACUUGGAGUUUGCAUCUACUAAGUCAAGAAGGAGUGUUGAAUUUUGACCUAGUAUCUGCUAGAAUUUGAAUUUUGAAGUUAAAUAUUGCAGCUGGAGUCUUGCACAAAAUCUAUAACAUCCAAAUAUUUUUCUUGUUGUUAUUUGGUCAAGAUUUGGUUUCUAUUUUAUAGGAAGUAGUUGUUCAUCAUCUAGUAGCUUGAUUUUCUGCUAUUCUAAUGUCAUUUCAGUUACAAGCUCAUGUAUAAAUUCAACACUCUUCAUCAAUAAAAUGUGUGUUUCAGCAACCCAAAAUAUAUAUUCUGCAUAAGUGUUUAAAUCUUAGACCAACACAUCCUCGUCACUAGUAGUUGUGCCUCUCAGGUUACCUUUUUUAUCUCUCAGCUCAGCUCCACCUUUGCUCUUCGUGACCUUGGUUCCCUUUACUAUUUCUUUGGCAUUGGGGUUACUCAUAGUACUGAUUCUCUUCAUCUCUGCCAACAAAAAUAUGUGCAUGACUUGCUCACUCGUACUGCCAUAACUGAUGCUAAACUUGUUCUUACAUUGGGUUCCUUGGCCAAACCUCUCUCUCUCAUUGAUGGUGAUCUACUUAUAUCGCAACAUUGUUGGCGCAUUACAGUAUGUUACUGUUACAUGUCCAAACCUUUCUUUUGCCGUUAACAAGGUAUGCCAGUUUAUGGCUUCCCAACGACUACCCACUAACUAGAUGUCAAGAAUAUAAAAAGUAGUUAAAAAUAAAAUAAAAAUAUAGAUUUAAAAUAAAAAAUAAAAUAAAUAUGAAUAAUUAAAAAUUUUAAAAAUGAUAAAUAUUUUUUUUUAAAAAAAGUUUUCAAAAAAAUCUCAGAUAUUUUCAGAUAUAUCGGCAAUGUAUCCAAUAUAUCCGAUAUAUCGUCGAUAUAUCUCCAAUAUUUUGAUAGACUUCCUCUAUUGCUUCGCGCGUCGCUUCACACUCGAUUUUUUCGCUGAUUUAUCGAUUUCAAAUUAACCGAAAUGUCAACAUAUUUCGGGGAUUUUUUUGAUAUUCCUCUCGUUCGAUAAUGUUGCUUAAUAUCCUUUCAGGGUUGUCCGAUAUCCGAUAUAUUGGUGAAAUAUCAUCGAUAAAAACCGAUUUUUCAAUCCAUGCUUAAUAGUGGGUUUCCCUUUUGUUUGGCCUCUUGUAGACCCCCAUUUUGGGGCUCGGUUUUUUUUAUCUCUAUUUUCUUUGUAGGUGUCACCAUCCCAGAGAGCCAUGUGUCGCCUCUUUGGUGGUUGAUAGGGAAUCAACAUUGCUUUUCGGGGACUUAUGGUAGGUUGACACGUGGAAGAAUAUUCUGGAGAGCUGAUUUCCAUUAUGGGGGAGCAUAUGAGAGAGGAUAUUCUACAGGCAUUUUGAUUCUCACAUGUGCAUGAUCACCUUGAGUAUUCAUUGAUUUUGGCAUCAAUUGUCACAUAAACUUCAUUUUAUUAGUAGAGACCCGACUUUAAGGACUUAGAGGGGUGCUACGGUCUUUACCGUACCUUCCCGAUAAAUAAUUUGACCCCCGAACUCGAUCCGGUUUUUCACGGACCACCUUUUCCAAAUAAGGAGUCACACUUAGGAUUUUCUUUCUUAUUUUAUUUACCCUUUAAAAAUAAAACAAAAUUAAGUGGCGACUCCAAGUCAUUUUUUUUAAUCAGUAAAAUCAUUUUCAAAAUAAAAAUCGAGCUCACUAUCGAGUGAAAAACGCAUUAGCCGAAAUACGGGGUCCACACCUCUAUUUAUUUAAAAAAAAAAAAAAAAAUCCUUUCCCAUUCUAUGGCCUUGAGUGAGCAUUAUGUAUUUCAACUAUUUUGACAUGUUCAAAAUAAAUUACUAAGAAUUUAAAGGGAAUUUGUUCGACAAGUACUUUUUUUUUAACAUAUUUAUUUAUACAUUAUUUAGUUUAGGUUGCAUUAUUCUAUGUAAAUAAUUUAUUGGGUAUGGGAAUUACUUUUAUAAAUGGCUGAGUAGAUUCAAUUUUAGAUAUUUAUUUAUUGAGCAUGAAAAUUAUUUAUUAAAACAUGGUUUAACGACCAUGCGAUGGAAUCAACCUGUUAAAAAAAAUAAACUAAUACUAUAUUAUUUUAACUUAAAUUAUUUCUUGAUUGUAGCAAUGUUGAAAAAACAAAUAUCAAUAAAAGACUAACCUUAACGGGAAAAUAGUAAUUAACAUAAUUUUAUAUUGACUUGUAAAAUUGGGUCAACAUAUAAAUAUAUUAAUUGUAACAAGAAGACCUACAUUGAUAAUGAAACGUCAAUAUUAGUCUAUAUUGCCAACUUUGAAAUAUUAAUAUAUGUAUAUAGCAGAUGUUUUCAUGAUUAGGAAUUAGAGAAAAUUUUGUAGAAGAUUUUUCCAAAUUUGAAAAUAACUAUGGAAGAAAUUCAACUUAAACACGUUUCUUUGUGGAAGAGUUGCAUUGGCAAGGAAAGCUACACACAUUCAUUGAACAGUCUUAGGCCCAUUUUUCCAAGCAGCCUAGCAAGUUGUCUGAAUUAAACCCCUAUGGAUUGAAAUUGAUUGGAUCCAUUACCCGUCAUGCAUUCAAUCCCAAAGCGUUGAUUAUUCAAACUCUAUGAAAUAUAGGUUUCGCUGAGUAGAGGAGUUCAAAUACAUUAAAUCGAUAUUUUAAGUAAAUAUAAUGUGGAAAAUGAAACCUACUAGAUCGAUAAUGACCACAUUACAAACCGAUCUCCAGGCUAGUUAGGGCAAUCCCCUCAAAAUUCAAAAAAUAAUUAAGUAAAUAAAAUGUAAUUAUUAAUAUUUUUAAAAAGUAGUUAUGGACUCGAAAUGGGUAUUUUUUAUAUAUGAAGUUUAAUCAAGUAGUAGUUCUUAUCCUAGCCACACCUAAUAUUAACAACUUGUUAGGAUAUUCUGAUUGAAUUUAGCCAAAGAGACUCUAGAAGGCCAAUAUUUUUCUUAUCAUCACUCUCUUCCGAGCACAACUCUUCCACACCAUGGGCCCCAAAACUAAACCAAAUUCCACAUACUUUUUAACUACAUACAGCCACUGCAUUCCAGGCUGUCUCUCAUACUCACCAAUUCAUCACUGAAGGUAUAGGACUGUUCUAUCAUUGUUCCAAGUAAUUGGCAUCUCUACUCAAGUCUCAGCAUGUUCCCUAGCCCAAAUUUCUAAACCCAAAAAUCACCCUGUGGCAAGCUUGAAGGUAAUUCAAUGAAAAUAUGCUUAAAGCUCAACGGCUAAUUUACUUAUUUGGAAGUCAUUUUUCUUUAUGUGUUGGAUGAUAAAAUUUGUUGGUCUAGGUUACACGUUCCUGCAAAGAAGAGCAGACGGAGGAUCUGAAAAAUGAAUUGAAACUGGAAUUAAUACAUAGUGUUGAUUAUAUAUUGAUGGAAAUUAGUUUAAAGUUGGAUAUAUUAAUUACUUAGGGAUGUUUGGUAAAACUUAAUACUUAUUAUUUAAUUAUUUGAGUUGACUUUAAAUUAAAUUAUACUUAAAUUACUGACUUAAAACUUAUUAUUUUAAGUAUUAAGAUAUAAAAUUAACUUAAAGUUUAUUUAAAAUCAUUAAGUUGACAUAUUUAUUCUUAUAAAUUAUAAUUAGAAUAGAAAAGGUUGAGUAACAAUAGAACUUAUAGAAUUGUAAAAGAGAUCAUGAAGGUAAUUAAGACAAAUAAAGAUAAAAAGAUAAAAUAAAAAUAUAGAAUUAAAAAUAAAUUAAUUAUUUUUACUUAUUAUUUAAAGUUAUUUUUUACUUUAAAUCAUAUUAUUAAGUUAUUUUAUUAAAUAUACUUAAUUUACUUAAUGACUUAAAUUAAGUUAUUAAAUCAUUUUAAGUUAUUAAAUUGAUUAAUCAAAUUCCUACUUAUUGAAUACAAAUAUAGAAGGAAAUUAGGAAAGCAAAGUAGAUGGGUUAUUAGGUGAAAGCUUAUCAAAUCCGCCUAUCAACAUAUCACACUUUUACCAAAAACCCACCUCAUGCCAAGCCUAUAAGUUGUCAAGUCCUUAUGAUCCAACAACUUUCUUAUGGUUCCCACACGGGUUUCUAUUGUUAUCAAAACAAAAAGUUAUAAUAAAAUAUAUAUAUAUAUAUAUAUAUAUAUAUAUAUAUAUAUAUAUAUAUAUAUAUAUAUAUAUUAUAAUUCAUAGAUAAUCUGACAAUUAAAUAAAAAGAUAAACUCAUUUGUGGAAUAUAAUUAAUAAAAAAAAAAAGAGAAGUGUUAAGAGUUUUAAAUUAUUAUUAUUUUAUUAACAAUUUUAUUAUAUUUUCAUUUUAACUUAAGAAUCUAUUGAAAUAGUGACUUACUCUCUAUUAAAGAUUCAAAGUUAUUUUUCAAUCAAUCGAACUAUCAGGUAAGUAUGAAAAUGAUCGAGUAAAGACAAGUUAAUUGUCACAAAUAAGUGUGAAAAGGAUCGAGUAAAGACAAAGGGUUGAAUUGAAAAUUUUAAUUUGCAUAAAAUGUUUUAAUUAAUUUGAAAAGAAUUUUAAAUUGAGAAUUUGAAAAAAAAAAUUCCAAAUAAUAAAAAUAAUUUGGAAAUGAAUUUUAAAUUAAGGAUUGAAAAUUUAAAAUUUGUAAAAGGAAAAUUUUUAUAAAUCUUUUCUAAUUUUAAAUAUGAAAUAUUUCCAAAUCUUUUUAAAACUCUUAAGUUUCUAAAUUGUUUUCCAUAAAAUAUAAUCUUUAAAUUAAUUGCAACUAUAUAAAGUUUUCUCCUAUAUAUAUCCUACCUAAAUGUAUAUUUGAUGAGGGUCUGACUUGUUUUUCCAUUCUUAAUCUCUAAAGAAAGAAUUCAUUACAAGUACCUACAUCCCUUCAUAAGCUUAGAGGAGUUAGAGCAUUUGGAGGUACUACAUUGUGGAUGUGGAUUAAGGUGUAGGUGCUAGCUAGUUAAUCAUUAAGGUAAAACGGUUAUUAAAUAUGUGUACUUUAAUUUCAAAUAGUGGAUUAUAAAGGGAGAAUUAUGUUUUGGGGGUAGAUGGGCCCCCAAAUUAACAAAAGGUCCAUGUAACUCUUUAAAUUGAGCCCAAGACCCAAUAAAAGUAUGAAAAUUGAGUUGAAGGAUAUCAUCCUUCAGUAUUUCCAAAAAUGUCAUUUGUUGAUUUUGAGAAAAAAAAAUUAAUAUUUUUGAAAAAUACUUUUAUAUAAUUUAAUAUUUUUUAUUUAAUUUAAUAUUUUUAAAAAAAUACUUUUAUGUAAUUUAAUAUUUUUUUAAAUACUUUUAUUUAAUUAAAUAUUUUUUAAAAAUAAAUUUAUUUAAUUUAAUAUUUUAAAAAAAUAUUUAAUUUAAUAUUUUUUAAAAUACUUUAAUUUAAUUUAAUAUUUUUGAAAAAAAAUUAUUUAAUUUAAUAUUUUUGAAAACUACUUUUAUUUAAUUUAGUAUUUUUGAAAAAAAAUUAUUGAAAAAAAAAUAUUUAACUUAAUUUUAUAAAAUAUUUUAUAUGUGUUCUUAAAGGGUAUACUUGUCCGUUACUAUUUCAUAUCCUUCAACUCAAUUUGAAGAGUUAUAUGGACCUUUUGUUAAUUUGGGGACCCAUCUACCCCCAAAACAUAAUUCUCCCGAUUAUAAAUUAGAGGUUUUAAAUCUUGUGAUUUUUUAUGCCCACAAUUAGCAUUGAUAUUUUCAAAUUAAAAUUUCUUGUGUCCCUUAUUUGAUUAUUUUUAUUAUUUUGAUCUUUAAUUAUUUUGAUUAUCCCUAUUAUCUCUUAGUUUAAAUUGAGUUAAUAUUAUUUAACUCUUAUAUUAUUAUCUUUAAAAAUCACCCCACUCUCAAUGUCAUCCUCUUGGACAAAAGCGUAUAUAUAUAUAUAUAUAUAUAUAUAUAUAUAUAUAUAUAUAUAUAUAUAUAUAUAUAUAUAUAUAUAUAUAUAUAAUUCACAAAUCUUGAAAAUAUAUUUAAUAUUAAAAUAUCAUUCCAUGUAAUUUGGAAGUAUUCAAAGAUGUAAAAGAUAUGAUAAUAUAUGUAUAAUUAUUUUUUAUUUAAAAAUCUUAAUAAUUACAUUUGCAACUUUAUUUUGUCCUCAUUAUUUAAUUAAUAUACAAAAAGAUAUGGGAAUAGAAUUAUCAAAAGAAUUGUCAUAAUAAAGCUUUAUAUUCUUAAUAAUAAGUUAAAUUAAGGUGGCAUUUAUUUAUUUUUACUUAAAUCUAAAUGAAAAUUAAUUUAACUUAAUUGUAAAUAUAACUUAAUAGAAUUAAUUAUUAUAUUUUUUUGUUUUUUAUAAUUUUAUUUUUGUUAAGCGUUAAAUAUUAAUUGGGUGAGAGUCCUACUAAGGUUGUGCUUUGACUGAUUCAAAAAAUUAUUUUUAGUAAUGAGCAAAAAGUUAAAUAUUUUACUUUUAUCUAUUCAUUAAAAAAAUCUUAAAAAUUAAAUUUUUUUUUUGUUUUAUUCAAAAUAGUGAAUGGAGUUUGAGUCGAAUUUUAAUUAUUUGGUAAAAUAAUAAAAUUAGUUUUUUAUUUAAAAGAAAAAAUAAAGGUAAGUCAAAGAUAUAAAGAUAAUUAUUUUAUUUUAAAUAAGAAAGAUUCAAAAAAAAAAAAAAAGAUAAAUGAGCUACAAAUUUUAGGAUUAAUUGAUUAAAAUGGAUGAAAAGAUUUCAAAUUUGUAAAACUAAUCUCUUCCAUUUUUUAACUUGAAAGUAACACUUGUUUGACAUAAAUACCCUUUAACAUUUUCAUUAUUUACAUAUGUAUUUUAAAAGAAAAUGUUAUUUUUGUAAGAAAAAAGUGAGAGUAUUCUUAUGUAUUUUUUGGAUGAAAAAAAAUGGUUUGCAAUUUGAUAUUUCUUUCGUCCUUUUUAAUCGGUUAUCCCCAAAUUUUUUUUACGGAAAAUACAAAUUCUAAAAAUAUUUGGUUUUAUUGCUAUUUUUAAAUUUAAAUAUAUUUUUACCUUAAUUAUAUUUUUAUUUCAAAAUAAUUGAUGAUGAUUUAGUUGAAUUCUAACAUUUAAUGGAGUUUUAGUUGAAUUCUAACACUAUAAUAUAAAGUGACCCGAUAAAAUUAUAAAAUCAAUUUUAUUUAAAAAUAAAUAAAGUUGAGUUAAAAAUAGUAUUAAAUGAAUUAAAAUUUAAAAAUAAAAAUGAAUAGUUUUACCUUAAAUAAAAAAUAUUAAAAGAAAAAAUAAUUAGAUAGAUAGGCUUUAAAUUUUAUUAAGAGAAACAUAAUUUUUUUUAAAAAAAUUGUUUUUAUUUAUUUUCAAUUUUAAAAUUUUAUUUCUAUUUUUUAUUUAAAUGUAUUGUCAAAUUUUAUCUAAAAAUAGUUAAUAGAGUUUUGGUUGAAUUUUAAGACUAUAAGAUAAGCGAAUAGUUGAAAUUAUAAAAUGAAAUUUUUUAUUAAAAUGAAAAGAAAGUUAAGUUAAAGAUACUAUAAAUUAUGAUUAGAAGAAUGAAAAUCAAUAUAAAAAAAAAGUGGUUUUAUCUUAAAUUAGAAAUACUAAAAAAAAAAAAAAGGAAUAAUGUAUUGAAAAAUAUAACUGUGGUAGAAGAGCAAUGACUAUGCUCUUUUGAAUACCCUAGUUUAUGUUCAUUUUUUAAAAUUUAAAAAGAAUAAACAUCUUUUAGAUAUUAACAAAAAUAAAUUUAAAUAGAUUCUUAACAUAAAACCUAAAAAACAUUUGUUGUUGGCCAAAAAAUCCAACUAUGAGCCCUUUUAUGACAAGUGAAACUUCCAAAUCUUCUGAAGAGUUUUUUAUCUUAGUAUUAAAAUCUAAAAGCAGAAUAUUUAUACUAUGAGUUGCCUUUUUAACAACUAAUUUAUUUUAUUUAAUGUAAUAAUAUACAUUAAUAUAAAUUAUAGUUGAGUUUUUUUAUAAAAAAAAAUUGGCAUAUGCUUGUAUUACUUUGUUAGCUUGGAGGACGAAAAGCCUAUACAAAUAAUGAGUUGAAUGAAAUAAGAAGCGAGUAAAUUACAUGUAUCAAUGAAAUUGUAAUUUUUAGAUUACAGAAAUGAGUACAUGCAUUAAUAUAUAUGAAAAUAUAUAGUGAUUAUGAGAUUUGAGAAUCUAUUUAUUUUGAAUGAUGGGAAUUAAACUUCGUAAAAUUUCAAUGUAGAUCGGAAGUAAAUUUUUUUGUUACUUGAAAUAUUUACAACUUCUUUCCAGUAGUGAUGUUAUUUUGUAAUAGAACUUCCCUGGACAAUCGUUUUCAUGACUGGGAAUUGAAAUAGAGAAAAUUUUGUAGAAGAUUUUUUCAAAUUUGGAAAAAUCGCAUGUAGAAGAGUUGAAUUGGCAAGGAAAUCUACACUCAUUGAACAGUCUAUGCCCACUUUUCCAAUCAGCCUAGCACGUUUUUUUGAAUUGAAUAACCACGGAUUGAUAUUGAUUGGAUCCAUUAUCAGUCAUUCAAUCCUAAAACAUUCAUUUGUCAAACUCCAUGGAAUAUAGGUUUGGCCGAGUGGACAUUUCAAUACUAAACUUGUCCAAAUACAUUAAAUUGAUAUUUUUAGUAAAUAUGAUGCGCAAAAUGAAACCCACUAGGUCGAUAAUGACCUAGUGGUUAGGGCAAUCCCUCAAAAUUCAUAAAAAAAGAAGAAGCAAAUAGAAUCAAAUAGUAGUUCUUAUGUUAUUUUUUCAAAAAAUAGUUAUCGAGUCUGGAAAUGGGUAUUUUUCAUUUACGAAGCUUAAUCCUAUGGGAUUUAAUUUUCAUCGACUAGGAGAAUAAUUUGAUCCUAGCCACACCUAAUGUUAACGACUUGUUUAGGUAUUCUGAGUGAAGAGGACAACGGUUCCACACCGUGGGCCCCAAAACUAAACCAAAUCCCUCAUACUAUUCAACUACAUACUACCACUGCAUGCCAAGCCGUCUCUCUCAUACUUACCAAUUCUUUCUCUAGUCCAGAUUCUUAAACCCCAACAUUUGGGGUGACCAAUUUAUUACCUACACUCCCGAAGAAAGUUAAUUCAAUGAAAUUAUGUUUAUAUACUUAUUUGGAAGUUAUUUUUCUUAGGAUGAUAAAAUUUGCUGGUCUAGGUUACAAGUGCCUACAAAGAGGAGCAGAUUGAGGAUCUGAAAAAUGAAUUGAAAAUGGAAUUAUACAUUUUCAUGGACAAGGGAAAGGAACAAGGGAAAGUUGUGUUUUCAUGGACCAAUAUGGUAAUAAUAUUGUUUUUGGAACCCAGGUUUGUGAAAGUAGAAAAACAUCUGUUAAUGUGAAACUUAUAUCAGAUUCAUGCACUUUGAGCCGGUUAUAUUUUUUCUACAUAAAAAAUAAAAAUAAAUAAAAUACAAAAUAAAUCUAUUAGAAGGCGUCUGUCUAUUCUCUGCACCCUCACCGCCAAAGAGUAGAUGAGUUGGCGAGUGUGUUCGCUCCGGAGUCUUUACGCGCCGAAGAUGCCUCUUCUCCGAUCACCUCUGUUCUUCUUUGUUUGAAGCCGCCGACUGUUCGGUACCACGUGCUCCGUUUCGGGCACUAAGAAGAAGAACAAGGAGAAGGUGAUAGUGAUAUCCGGUCCCACCGGCGUCGGAAAGAGUAGGCUUGCAUUGGAGCUGGCGAAGCGCGUCAAUGGAGAAAUUAUCAGUGCGGACUCGGUCCAGGUAAGGCACCGAGUUCUUUUACCGUUUUCCUCUUGGAUUGCCCUCUGUUUGGUUGCCGAGAAAGAAAGGGAAGGACAAUGGGAAGGGAAUUAUGUCUUGUGUUGUUGAUUUGGGUGUUUAGGUUUUGUUUUUUGUUUUCUUGUUUGUUUUUUUUUUUUUCUCUUUCAUUUGUUUGGUUGCUGAGAAAAUAGAGGAUUCAGUCUUCUUUAGAAUGUUCUAUGCUUCUGUUUUUCAAUAGGAAGCUAAUGUUUAUGAAAAUUGUGACGAGGGGCUCAUGGAGAUAUGAUAAUGUUGGAGAAAAGUAGAUAAUCUAUAUAGAAAGUUCAAAACUUCAAGCAAAGUUACUCAAGGGACUAAACCUUUAGCAACAAUUUCUCCCAAGUAUUUUGUUGGUUAGUUACUCAAAAAGGUAAUUUUUUUAAGGGGGAAGAAAAUGACAAUUUGCAUUUUAUUUUUUGGUGAUAGGCAAAUGAGAAAAUAUUUAAAAGCUCCUAAAAGGAGCUGCAACAACUUACAGAUGAUGUAUACAGUAGUCACAUAGUUUAGUCAAGAAGAAGAUAAACAAAAGAAAAAUCCUCUCCUUACUCAAAACUUAUCCAAUCUACAAAGUCUAUCAUAGAUAUUGAGUGGUCCACCUUGUACAUUCUAACCCAAUUUACAAAGUAUAUAUAAAGUCGGAUUUGAUUGCUUGGUUUGACUGCUUAGCUUCAUUCAAAGCUCUCCCUUUUUUUUUUCUUCCAAAGAGUAGAAAAAAAGCAUAAGGGUAUAGUCCUCCAGCAUUUUUUUCAUUGCUUCCCCAUGGAAGAGCCAUGCAAACCCAAAAGGAUCCUUCUACUGAAAAACACAUCCCCAAAACCACUCCAAAGAGAAAAGGAUCAACUACCAAACAUAAUUGCUUUGGCACAGUAGAGAAGCAAGUAAUCUGUCAUUUCUUCCUCGCAUUUGCACAAAUAAACUUAUUAAGCAGAGUCCAUACCAUCUUUUUGGUGCCCAUGUGCUCCACACUACACCUGUUGGGAAAGCUCUCUAUCUCCCUUGGCCAAGGAAGAUUAAAGGGAUCUAAUUGAAAAAUUGCUGCUCUUGGACUCAUUUCAUCUCAAUUCGCCCUCCUUUUCCUUUUUAAUUGACAAUGAUUGCAAAUUCAAUUGGAAAAUCUCCACUUCAUCAAGCUCUCAAUCAUUAAACUGUCUUGAAAAGUGGUGGCUCCAUCCACCCUCUUUCCCAACUUGGUCCCACUCCUCCGCUACCCAUCCAUCUCUGUUGGAUGCAAUAGAGAAUAAGUUAGAGAAGACUUGCUUUUUAUUCCCUUCCACUCAUUUUUUAUGGUUUUCCACACCUCCACUCCAUACCCUUCUCUCAUCCUUCUUGAAGACCACCUGCUUCCUCUUCUCCGAACUUUCCUAUUAUGAUUUGUUUUGAUAAGGACUCCUUGUUAGUAACAAAUCUUCAAUCCUACUUACCAAGCAAGGCCUUGUUAAAGGUUGAAAGAUUGUGAAUACCAAGAUCCCCUUCCUUCCUUGCCAAGUAGACUGUAGUCUAAUCAAUAAAAUGAGGUCUUUUCUCUAGUGCACCUCCUCCUCAUAAAAUGUUUCUUUGGAUCUUCCUGAGUCUUGAAUUGACCUUUCUUGAAAUGACAAAAAGGAUAUAUAAAUUGGAAGGCUUAAUAAUGUGCUUUUAUCAAGGUAAGUCUCCCUUCGAAAUGUAUGGGUGGUAUGGAGUUAUCAUUAAGGUAUGCCUAGCAAUUUUUUUUUUUAAACCAUGUACAGACUCCAGCUACUGCUGCAACUAGUGCUCAAUGAACGCAACAGUGUCAGAGAUACAAUUCUGGCCGCAUGCCAUUUGUGACUUCAUAGUUCAUGAUAAGUUUCUUCCUAUCUGCUGCUACAUACCAAAAUGACCAAGGGUUGAUUCUAGUUUGUCCAAAAUUUAUUAAUUCAUAUCAUGUUGUGUGCUGAUGUGAUUUGUUCCAAUUGUAAAACCAUUAUUUAUGUUCUAUAUGUGAUGUAUCUGAUGAAGUAUUCCACUUCCCAUUGUAACAGUGGCAGUUGGGUUAUGCUGAAUAUGAGGACUUUAUGUACAAGAAUGACCAACAUGUAAGGGAAAGGAAGAGUACCUGGUGAUGCUGCUGCUGGAGCAUAUGGGACGCAGUAACAACAGUGUAAUAGGGCUGUUCAUUUUUCCUUCAAUAUUGUAAAGGAAGGGAGUAGGAACAUGGACAACACUCAGUAUUUGUUCUUUUAUUAUAGUUAAGGGUGCUGGUUAGUGUUGUAUUGGCGAUUGAUUGGACAACAACUAUGAUUGUAAGAUGUGAUCCAAAGUGAUAGGUUUAUUAUGGGGUAUGGUACUAAUUUCAUAAGAGAACAACAAACAUAGACUGUAACUUAUUUGUUUGUACACUGAUGCAGUUUCAGUUUAUCCUUCUAUACUCACAUUAGUAAAUUGUUUGACGGCUUUCCUUUCAUAUUUAGUUAUUGUGUAAGCUUUUACAUAGCAUCUUCUAUUAAUGUUAUUGGUAAGUUGGGAGGUUUGUUUGGUUUGAUUUACUACAUUAGAAACAGUUUGCUGGUAUACCAAUAGUUUGCAAUGGCGCCCUUCAAAUCCUGAUCUACCGGGGUUCAGGACUAUUGCUCAUCCUCAUUGGCAAGGGCUACUCAGGGUUCCUAAAUGAUUGUGCAUUUUGCUAAUUUUGUGUUUCAAACCAUGUACAGGUUGUUAUAGAAAAAAUAAAUGUGGUAGAAAACCAAUAAAUAUUUGCUUCGCAUGAUCACCUUCCAUAUCCAACCAAAACCAUCAUAACUUGACAUAACCAGAAAAAUGAGAAAACAACAGUAUGAUUAAAUAAAUACUGAGGGUGAAAAAUUGUCGGGAGAGCAAAAUUUAUCGAAUAUGGUUUAAGAUAGUGUCAUGCUGCAAUAAGUAAUGAAAUUAACUAAUAAAAAUCUGAAGCCACAGAAUGGCUACAUUUCUCGCAGGUGCGUUAAGGUAAUACUUGAGGUACAUUAAGGUAGUACCUGAAGACCAUUAAGGUAGUACCUUAUGUGCAUUAACGCAGUACCUGACAUUUCUUAUGAUUACAUAAGGUAUAGUUGGAGUAACCUAUAAGAACAUAACAAUGUCAUGCUGUAAUAGGUAAUGAAAUUAACUAAUAAAAAUCUGAAGCCACAGAAUGGCUACAUUUCUCGCAGGUGCGUUAAGGUAGUACCUGAGGUACAUUAAGGUAGUACUUGAAGACCAUUAAGGUAGUACCUUAUGUGCAUUAAGGUAGUACCUGAAAUUUCUUAUGAUUACAUCAGGUCGAUGGAGUCACCUAUGACAACAUAACAACGUCAUGCUACAAUAGGUAAUGAAAUGAACUAAUAAAAAUCUGAAGUCACAUAAUAGCUACAUUUCUCGCAGGUGCGUUAAGGUAGUACUUGAGGUACAUUAAGGUAGUACUUGAAGACCAUUACGGUAGUACCUUAAGUGCAUUAAGGUAGUACCUGAAAUUUCUUAUGAUUACAUAAGCUACCGAUGGAGUCGCCUAUGACAACAUAACAACGUCAUGCUACAAUAGGUAAUGAAAUGAACUAAUUGUGUUUGAAGUCAUAGAAGAGCUACAUUUCUCGCAGGUGCAUUAAGGUAGUACCAGAUGUACAUUAAUGUAGUACCUCAGGACCAUUAAGGUAGUACCUGAGGUGCAUUAAGGUAGUACAUGAAAUUUGUUAUGAUUACAUACGCCACCGAUGGAGUAACCUAUGAGAACAUAACAAUGUCAUGCUGCAAUGUGUAAUGAAAUGAACUAAUUGUGUCUUAAGUCACACAACAACAACAUUUCUCAAAUAUGCACUAAGAUAGUACCUGAUGUACAUUAAUAUAGUACCUCAAGACCAUUAAGGUGGUACAUGUUUUGCAUUAAGGUAGUACCUGAUGCGAUGAAACAAUUAUGUCUUCGUUGACAAAAGAUGUACACUACAAAUUCCAACAAACAUUACAAAUUCACAAACACUAACAACAAUUUCUACUAACCAACACAUAAUUUAUGCAUUUUAAUUUUUAUUAUUAUUAUAAUUUUUAUUUUUAUUCUCAAUAUAUAUGAUUGAAUUAUCAAGUUUUUCGUCAAUAUAUGAUAUUGCCUAAUUAUAUUCAUCAAUCUGAAUAAAUACAUAAGUUUUCCACCCAAUUUCUAAAUAUGUCCACAACAUUUUUCCAUUUCAUGAGUCUCCAAUACACAAAAAUAUUGAGAUCGAACAACCGCUCAUGCUAUCCAAAAUCGACAUUUGCCUCAACCUAUGCCCUCACCAAUGGAGGAAAAAUUGCAAAUACAACAACCACUCGAAAAUCACUCUUCUGCUCCAUUUUAAACAAAAAAAUUAUUAAAAAAACAACCCUAAAUACAAAUUAAUUACCUUCACAUUUGAUGUGAAGGUUACAGAAAAAUGUGAUCCAAUGAGAAGAACACGAGAUUUCUUCUUCAUGAACCCAAUAUAUCAGAGUUGUCGUUUCCAUUCUGAUUCGCUAUCCUAAACCAGAUUUUCAGUCAACACGUACCCGCCUCAAGCCGUCUUCUUAACUCGACCUUGUUUCAAUGAAGUGCUCCAUUUGGUUCUUCACAAUUACCACAGGCAACAAAAAUUUUGAUUCAGGUUUUCAAGUAAAGGUUUAUACUUUCAAAUGUGUGAAAUUUUGCAAAUUUUCACACCCUCUUCGAUCCGGAGGGGUGACGAAAUUGGGAUGAUCGGGUCCAAAUGGUUAGGACUUUGAGAGGAGAAGGGGCUGAAGAUAGAAAACUAGAUUGGAGUUUGGGAUUAAAGGCUUCAGAAAUUAAAUGAGAGAAAUUGUUGAAAUAUACAAGAUUCUCUGCUUUGCCUCGGUGACGGAGUGAAGACAGAUGAGAGGAAUGGCUGACAAAAUGAGAGAGAGGGAAGAAAGAACGGCUGAACGCUAGGGUUUUCUUGUGGGAACCUCUGCUUCGCCUCCAUGACAGAGUGUAGAAAGAUGAGAGGAAUGGGUACCAAAUGAGACAGAGGGAGGAACAACGGUCAGUCGCCUAGGGUGUUUUUUGGUGAGAUGGGCUGCUGACGUGGAUACCUGGAGGGGCAAGCUCGGUAGAAAAAACACAGCCGACUCAGAGUGCAUGAAUCUGAUAUAAGUUUCCACAUUAACAUAUGUUUUUCAUCUUUCACAAACCUGGGUUCCAAAAACAAUAUUAUUACCAUAUUGGCCCAUGAAAACACAACUUUCCCUUUUUUAUAUUAGUAUUAAAAUCUAAAAGCAAAAUAUAUAUAUAUAUAUAUAUAUAUAUAUAUAUAUCAUGAGUUACCUUUUUAAUAACUUAUUUAUUUUAUUUAAUGUAAUAAUAUACAUUAAUAUAAAUUAUAGUUGACUUGAGUUUUUUUUUUCUUUUUCUUUUUUAAUUUGGCAUAUGCGUGUAUUACUUUGUUAGCUUAGAGGACGAAAAACCUAUACAAAUAAUUAGUUGAAUGAAAUAAGAAGAAUGAAAUUGUAAUUUUUAGAUUACAAAAAUGAGUACAUACAUUAAUAUAUAUGAAAAUAUAUAGUGAUUAUGACAUUUGAGAACCUAUUUAUUGGAUCCAUUAUCAGUCAUUCAAUCCUAAGGCAUUCAUUUGUCGAACUCCAUGAAAUAUAGGUUUGGCCGAGUGGACAUUUCAAUACUAAACUUGUCCAAAUACAUUAAAUUGAUAUUUUUAGUAAAUGUGAUGCGCAAAAUGAAACCCACUAGGUCGAUAAUUGCCACAUUACAAACUGAUCUGCAGGCUAGUUAGGGCAAUCCCUCAAAAUUCAAAAAAAAAAAAAAAAAAAAAAAAAGAAAUAAAAAAGUGAAGCAAAUGUUAUUUUUUCAAAAAAUAAUUAUCGAGUCUGGAAAUGGUUAUUUUUCAUUUACGAAGUUUAAUCCUAUGGAAUUUAAUUUUCAUCGACUAGGAGAAUUAUUUGAUCGUAGCCACACCUAAUCUUAACGACUGUUCCACACUGUGGGCCCCAAAACUAAACCAAAUCCCUCCUGCUAUUCAACUACAUACAACCACUGCAUGCCAAGCUGUGUCUCUCAUACUUACCAAUUCUUUCUCUAGUCCAAAUUCCUAAACCCCAACAUUUGGGAUGACCAAUUUAUUACCUACACUCCUGAAGACAAGGUAAUUCAAUGAAAAUAUUUGGAAGUUAUUUUUCUUAAUUUGUUGGAUGAUAAAAUUUGUUGGUCUAGGUUACAAGUGCCUACAAAGAGGAGCAGAUUGAGAUCUGAAAAAUGAAUUGAAAAUGGAAUUAUACAUAGUGUUGACUAUAAGAAUUAGGUAUGCACAAAAUGACAAGGGACUCAAAAUUGGAUACAUUAAAUAAAAGGAAAAAGAAAGAAAAAACCCCAAUUUAUACCUUUUCCUUUCACGUCAUCAAUCCCUUUCCCUUUCACGUCAUCAAUCCCUUUCAUACAUUACUUUCAACAUUAUUGUUUUACAUUAUUUUCAACAAUAUACAAUUUCUGAAGGCCAUUGCUACCCUAUUAAUGCAAUGGAGCUUCCCAAGCUUUUGCACUCAUACUUACCAAGUCAGCUUUCAAAGUAGUGUUCUACUACCGUUCCAAAAAAUUAUCAUGGCGAGUCAAGUCUUAUCAAGCCCUCUAGGCCAAUUUUCUAAACUGGAAAAUCGUCCAGUGGCCAAUUAUCACCCUACCAUUUGGGGUGACCAGUUCAUAUCCUACACUCCUGAAGACGAGGUAAUUGAAUUAAAAUAUGUGUUAAAUCUUAUAUGGCUUAUAAAUGCCUAUAUAUUCGAAAGUUGCUUUUCUUAAUGUGUUGUUUAGUAAAAUUACUUGGUUGCCACAGGCAACACGUGCCUGCAAAGAGAAGCAGGUUGAAGAUCUGAAAGAGGAAAUUUGAAGGAAGCUAAUGAAUGCAGCUGGUAACACUUUCCAACAGCUGAAAUUUAUCGAUGCUGUGCAACGUCUUGGGGUGGCAUACCACUUUGAAAGAGAGAUAGAAGAAGUGUUACAACAUAUUUAUGAUAGCUAUCCUGAUGGUGAUGAUAUGGAAGGUGAUAUCUAUAAUGUUGCUCUUCAAUUUCGGUAACUAAGGCAAGCUGGGUUCAAUAUUUCAUGUGGUAAGAGCCCAAAGAAUGAUCAUGUGUGAGCUAAAAUCCAUCCUUCUCAUAAUUCCAAUCUUAUGUUUAAAUUAUGGUAUUUAUGUAGGCAUGUUCAAUGAGUUCAAGGAUGAAAAGGGUAACUUCAAGAAAGCUUUGGUCAGCGACGUAAGAGGCAUGCUGGGCUUGUAUGAGGCUGUGCAUCUCAGAGUUAAUGGAGAAGACAUACUGGAUGAAGCACUUGCUUUCACCACCACCCAUCUAAGGUCCAUGGUAGAACAUUUAGAAUAUCCUCUUGCGGAAGAAGUUGCUCAUGCACUAAAGCAGCCCAUUAGAAAAGGUUUAGAGAGGCUAGAGGCAAGGUGGUUUAUGUCUAUCUACUAGGAUGCACAACUCUACUAAAGCUGGCCAAGCUAGAUUUCAAUCUAGUGCAGUCCCUACACAAGGAGGAGCUAAGCAAUAUUGCUAGGUUUGCUUUCAAAUCACUAGCAGAUAUACCUAGUCACCUUCUCAUUUUACCAUGAGCUAAUUGUUUUAAUGAAUUUUAGGUGGUGGAAAGAAUUAGACUUUGCUACAAAGCUACCUUUUGCGCGAGAUAGAUUCGUGGAAGGCUACUUUUGGAUAUUUGGGGUGUACCAGGGUUCAAAGUAUUAGCCGAGUCCCAUACGACUCGACCGAGUCGUAUCUGCCUCGACACUUACCACGAUGAGUCCGAUACCAGGUACAAUCCUAUGCACUAACUCAACAUUAAAUCAGUAGGACUCAAUUGGCUUGGCUCAAAUUCCGAGUUAACUUGGUUGAAUCGGUUAAAUUACAAAAUUUUUUCUGAUUCAAAUCAGUGAUUUUUUUUCCCUUUCAAAUUAGAACAUAAAGAUCAUAAAAUUUUCCAAAAAAAUCAAAGGAAGAAGAAACAUUGAAAUUUAAUCGAGCCGUGACUUCUUUUUAAGUCUAGAAGAGGAGAGAUCAGGCAGAUGAGGGCUCACUUACCUCACCACAAUCGACGGAGCAUGAGAGUUUUGGGACCGAUGGAUCACUCCUCAGCGUCGAUUUCAGUGAACUAAGCAUUGGAUACCUUUUCCGGUGACGACGACCAUUCGGGGAGAGCUUUUAUCGCAAGUUUGCAAACUUGUAGUCAAAACAAUAUUUGGGAAAGUAAAUUAAAACUAGAAUGUUAUGAUUUAUAUGCACUAUGAGAUUUAAUGAGAAUAACUUGGAUGGCAUUUUAAUAUUUUUAAUUUAUUAUAUAAUCUAAAUUUUUUGUCUUAUAACAUUCCAAAUUAAAGUAGAAAAUCAAUAAUUAUUUAAAAAAUAUAUUUUUAAAAGAAUCAUAAUUAUAAAAACAACAUUUUAAUAAUAGGUUUAUAUUAGGGAAUCAAUAAUUAUUUUUGUAUGUUAUAAAGAUUACAUUUAUACUUGAAUUAUUUUUAAUUUUUUAUAUCAUAUAAAUUUUUUAUCUUAUAAUAUUGUAAAUUUUAAUUAUAUUAGGAAAUCAAUGAAUGAUUUUAUAACUAUUUAAAUGAUGUUAGUUAUGAGAUAAUUUUUUUUUAUAUUAUUUUUUACCUUAUUUACUUACUUGUACCUAUUUUUUUAAAAUAAUUUACAUAAUAUUUUUAAAAUUUUUAAAAUUUUCUAAUUAUCAUAUUUUGCGUAUCUUCCGAUACCAAACCGAUACACUGAGAUCGAUGUGCCUCAAGAUCGUCCGAGUCAAUGAUCGAUACUGCGACUUUGAAUCAUGAGGUGUACUUUGAGCCUCAAUAUGUCCGGGCUAGAUGAAUUCUAACCAAAACAAUUUCCAUGACAUCCAUUAUAGAUGAUAUAUAUGACACAUAUGGCACAUUUGAAAAACUCGAGCUCUUCACCGAGGCCAUUGAGAGGUUUGAUUGAUGCAAAUUACCAACCUUCAUCAUUUAUAUUGUAUGUGAUACUUAAAUCAAGCCUGGUUUUAUUUUCAGGUGGGAUAUUAACAGCAUAGAUCACCUUCCAGAAUACAUGAAACACUGCUAUGUGGCACUCUUAGAUGUGUACAAGAGAUGGAGAAAAAAGGAAACCAAUAUCGGGUUCAAAAUGCGAUAGAAGCAGUAGGACAUUCUGCAUUGACUUUGUUUUGUAUAGUAACAUAUCGUAAGGAUAUGGAUGUAACUUGAUUGAAUGUUUGACAGAUGAAAAACCUAGUUAGAGCUUAUUUUCAUGAGGCUAAUUGGUUCCAUGAAGGAAGCAUACCAACAAUGGAAGAGUAUAUGAGGAUAGCACUGGUAACCUCAGGUUACUACAUGCUUACAACCAUGUCUUUCAUUGGUAUGGGAGAAAUUGUAACAAAGGAGGCCUUUGAUUGGGUGAUCAGUGACCCUAAGAUUAUCACAGCAUCAGCUGUAAUUUGUAGGCUCAUGGAUGACAUCAGUUCACAUAAGGUAUUGUGAAUAUAGUAUUUCUUGUUAAGCUAUAAUUUGACCUUGACCUUAAAGCUCAAUCAAUUAAACAUAUUUACUGUACUCUUCUUCUAAACUAUAUAUGCAGUUUGAGCAAAAGAGAGGGCAUGUUGCCUCAGGCAUUGAAUGUUACAUGAAGCAAUAUGGUGCCUCUGAGGAAGAGGCAUACGAUGAGUUUCAGAAGCAAGUUGUGGAUGCAUGGAGGGAUAUUAACGAGGAGUUCCUACGACCUACAGUUGUUCCGAUGCCUCUCCUAAUGCGUGUGCUUAAUCUUUCUCGAGUGAUGGAUGUGAUCUACACGGGGGGAGAUGGGUACACUCAUGUUGGAAAAGUGAUGAAGAACAAUGUUGCAUCACUGCUCAUUCACCCUAUUGUAUGACCAAAUGGAUCAAGUUGAUCACCAUCUACAUAUUCUGCCUUACCUAGGGAGUAGGAUGAAUAAAAAUUAUUGUAAUAGUAUGGGAGAGACCUAUAAUGCUGUGACCCUAAGAUUAUCACAGCAUCAGCUGUAAUUUGUAGGCUCAUGGAUGACAUCAGUUCAUAUAAGGUAUUGUGAACAUAGUAUUUCUUGUUAAGCUAUAAUUUGACCUUGACCUUAAAGCUCAAUCAAUUAAACAUAUUUACUGCACUCAUUUGUGCGAUUCUUUUUCUUGGUAUCCAUGAUUAAUUAAUUAAUUGUCAUAAUUCUCUUAAUUCGUUUUGUAGAGAUCAUAUGUAUACGGACUUCAAAGGGUGCUACGGCUCACCAUUGUACAUUCCCAAGUAACCUGAUAAUCGGAUCUAGAUUCGAUUUUUGUAAACAUGUAUUUUUCAAAUAAGAAGUCACACAUGAUUUUCUUUUUAUUUUGUUUUUCCUUAAAAAAAAACUAAAAUAAAUAGCGACUAACUUUUCAAAAAUCAAUUUUUCACAAUGAAAAAGCGAGUCUCGCCAUUUUAAGUGGGGACACACAUGAAAAAUGCGGGUCCAUAAUGAGUUUAAUUAUUUCUAAAUUCAAAGGAUUAUAAAAAUUUAUUUAUAUAAAAAAAGGAUAUUCCAUUUUGAUGAUUCCAAUCUAUUUUAAGUACCAAAGAAAGUUUUGAUUUUUUUUCUUAUUUACAAAAAAAUGCUUCAAAGUUCUUAAUUUUCACAAAUUUUAUUUACCAACAUUCCAAUUUGAUUUUCAUACAGAAAGAAACUAUUUUUAUAAUUUUUAUUAAAAUAUGAUUUUUUUUUCAAUUUUUUUAAAAAAGUAUCUAAAUCUAAUCUUAUGUCCAUGAGAAUACUUUUACAAAUUCUUUAAGAAACGGAUUUUAAAAAUUUAUUUUUAAAAAAAAUUACAAUUUUAUUUAGAAAAUAAUAAAUAUUCGGAUCCAAUUUUAAUUACAUAAAAAAAUUAUUUUUUUAGUUUUUAUUGAAAAUAAGAUUUUUACAAUUUUAUUUACAUAAGUAUGAAAAUCCAAUUCCAUAUUAUUUACUAAAAUGCAUUUUUUUUUUUACUAUUUUUAAUAAGACAUGAUUUUUACAAUUUUUUUUUAAAGUUUACGAUUUUUAUUAAAAAAAAAAAAGUCUUUGCAAUUUUUUUUAACAAAUUUUUUAAUGUUUUAUUAAAACAAAAUGAUUUCUAGAUUUUAUUUUUUUUUAAAAUGAUUUUCAAAAGUUUAAAAAAAAAAAAAAACCUUUACAGUUUUAUUUAAAAAAAAAAAAACGAUUUUCCAACUGUAUUUACAAUUUAUUUAAAAACGGAUUUUACAGUUUAAAAAAAAAUACAUUUUAUUGUUUUAUUUCAAUCUUACUGUUGUUUUUAUUUUUUUGGAAAAAAAAAAAAAAAAAGAGAAGCUCAAAUUUAUUUUUCUCCUCUCUCUCUCUCUCCCUCCACACGCUCAUUAACUUUAAUGUCAAGGUAUCAGCCCAAUUGACUUGAUUUAUAUUAACUUAAAACUUUUGUUCUAAUAGGUACCUUCAUAUAACGGCAAAGCCUUUGAUUUAUAUAGGAAGUCAUGGAGGUGAACUGUGAACCUUAGUGAUGCGUACCCAAACCCUACCAUUUAUUUGUAAUAUAGUCAUCAUAAUAUUUAAAUUAAACAUUUAAAAUAUGUUUUUUGUUCUCUUAGAAAUACGAAAAGUGUAUCUUAUUCCCUUAAUAAUUCUCAACAUUCAACCAGCCGCCAAACAGUGAUUAAGACUUUUUCACGUGAAGAUAAAACUUAUGAUUGAUCUUAUUUUUAUAAAAACACUAAAAAACGAUUUUUUUUAUCUUUAACUUAAAAAUGGUUUUUAAAAAUAAUUUUUAGAAAACAUAAAUUAAACAGACUCUUAGGGUUUCAUUUGAGAAAUAAAUGAAGAAGAUUACAAAAAAAUUGAAAAUAAAUAAAGAAGAUGAUAUUUUAAUUUUUAUUUAAUAUCUUAAUUUUUAUUAUCUAAAAUUAUUUAAUUAUUCUAAUUAAUGAUAUUUUGAGUUUAAUUAUGAUUAAAAUAUAUAAAAGUCUUAAAUUGAGAUAAGUUGCUUAAAUGAUUGAUUGUGGAUUGAAAUUUUACUCACAAAAUAUGCAUGUGGCUUUCGCUUGAAAAGGCAUAUGUUGGGAAGCAGUUAUGCUUGGUUACGAGUUCUAUAAGCUUACGAUUUUAGAUUUGCAUGAUUAUCUUAAUUUGGAUUAGACAGCUACGGAGAAGGGGCCUUUAUUCAAACUGUUUGUCUUAUUCUCAACAAAGGAAGCAUUUUAUUUAAAACAGAACACUCUAAGAAAAACUAACAGCCAAAUUAAAACAAUUAGGCCAUGUUUGGUACGAAGCCAAAGCAAUUAGGUCAUGUUUAGCAUGAAGCCAAAUCACGACCAUGUUUGGUAUAUAGAAAUGAAGAGUAAGAAUAGAUAUGUUAUUUAUUUUCUCAUUCAUUUUCAUAUUUGGAUGAUUUAAGUAUAGUAAAAAUAAAAUAAAAAAUAAUUUCAAAGAAAUGAAACAAGUUAUUCUUAAAAACACUUUUUAAAAGUUAAAAAUCAAAAACUUUUUUAGAUAAGUCCGUUUUAAAAAUAAUUUUUUAUUUUGAUUUUGUAAAAAAGAAAUUAUAAAUUCAAUUUAUAUAAUAUAAAAUUAAUUUAAUUCAAGUCUUAUAAAAAAUAAAAAUAACUUUGUAAUUAUAAAUACAUUUUUAAAUUAAAUAUUUUUUAAUAAAAUAUGAAUAGGAUUAUCAUAAUAUAAUCAUAAAUUAUAUUUUUAAUAAAUAUUAUAAAAAAUAUGGAUAUUAACCUCUUAUAAAAGCAUAAUUGAUUUAUUUUGUUAAAAAUAAAUAAUAAUGAUUUAAAAUUAAUAAUUACUAAUACUAUUUUUUAAAAUUAUUAUACUUACUACUUUGUUUUAAAAAAUUAUUUCUCAAGAACAAUAAUCGAUAGUGGUAUUAAUUUUUAAAAACAAUUUUAUUUUUAAAUGAAAAGCCUAAACAGGUUUUUAUUAUUUAGCAAAAAAAAAAAAAAAAAACACUGUCAAACAUUUUUUUAAAAUGAAAAUAAAAAAAUUAUUUAAAAUGAUGUAUUGUGUAAGAGAUUUUUUUUAAAAUAAAAAUAAAAGAUUAAAGAUACUAUAAAUUAUGAUUAAAAUAAUGAAAAUUAAUAAAAUGAUAUUGGCUUUUUUUUUUAAAUACAUUCGAAAUAUUAAUCUAAAAAAAGAAGAUAAAUGAAUAAUAUAUUGAAAAAUAUAACUUUGUCUUUUUUCUUACAAUAAUUUUCAUAGCUUUAAAAAUAGUGAUCUUUAAUUUUCUUGCUAUUAUUUAUUAUUAGCUGAGUUGUAUAAAUUACAUUGUUAUAGUUUCCUUUAAAACCAAAAUAAAAAUCAAUCCAUGUGGUUCAAUGACAAUAUUGGCUGAAAAAAAAAAAUCACUUAAUUUUCAUCUACUAGAUCCUAGCCGCCACCUAAUAUUUAUGACUUGUUUGGAUAUUUUGAGUGAAUUUAACCAAAGAGACACUAGAAGGCCAAUAGUUUUCUUGCCAUCAGUCUCUUCCAUGCACUACCCUUUCAAAUCAUGGGCCCCAAAACCAAACCAAAUUCCACAUACUUUUCAACUACAUACAACCAAUGAAUGCCAAUGCUGCCCUAUAAAUAUGGAGCUUGCCAAGCUAUUUCUCUCAUACUUACUGUAACGCCGAAGUAUUUUUUUAAGGGUAAUUUAGGAAAUUACUAAUAAUAAUUCAAUUAGUUAAUUAAUUAAUUUAAUAAAGUGGAAGAUGGGUAAAAGUGUAAUUUUAUGAAUAAAUACCCUAGGUAUAAAUUAGAAAUUCUAUUUCUUCCUGUUCUUUUCUGAAUAGAAUUCCUGUUCGCAGAAUUUCAGAGAACGUAGAUUGAAGUUAGAUUUCAGGGUUGAAGAACAGAUCUCUAUAGGUAAGAUUCAGUUUAAUAUUUUAGAUUCAUUGAUUAAUUUCAAACACAUUAGAUAUCUUUUGGAAAACCCAAAUCUAGAUUAGGGUUAGUUUAUUUUAUUUUUUUUAAUUCGUUUUCAUAUCAAUAGUAAAAAAAUAAAAAAAAUAAAAAAAUAAAAAUAAAAAUUUAAGAUUUUGAUUUAUUGUUGGUAUUUAGGAGAUCUUAAGUUUUAUUAGAUGAAAAACAAAAAAAAGGUUCCUUGGAAGGUUUCGAUUUUAUAUUAGGGUUAAUUUUAUUAAAAAAAGAAAAAGGGCGUGCGCCAAAUGAAAGGAAGCCUUAUAUAUAUAUAUAAUGAAUCAUGAUGAUGGCAAUGGAAAAAAAAAAACUUGCUUUUUGGUUUGGUGUACCCGAGACAACUAGGUAAUGGUUGAGUGACUUUUGAAUUGGUUAAUUAAAAUAAUAAUAUUUAGUUUAAGAUUCAUAAUUAAGAUAAUAGUAAUAAUAGUCUUCUUUUUUUUGUAAUAAAUAGAAUGAGAGAUUUAGCAAAAUAUAUAUAUAUAUAUAUAUAUAUAUAUAUAGAAUUUUAUAAUGAAAUAAAAUUGUAAUUUAAUUAAAUUAGUAAUGUGUUAUUAGAAACAAAUUGAGAAUUUAUUAAUUUUAUUUAAAUAAGGAAUAGAUUAGUUAAAUUAUAGAUAAAUAGUAAUAAUUAUUUAUCUUAUGUUAUAUUAGGAGAAGAGUAGAUUUUUCCAGAAUUAUUUUUCUCCCAAGCUUUCAAGGUCUUUGCAUAAUUUGAGGUAAGGGAAGUUAAUGCAAUAUUUAUAAAAUUUAAAUUAUUUUAUAUGUUAUUUUGAAUUGUGGAAAAGAAAAUGAUAUUUUGUUACCAUGCAUGGAUCAAAUUGUUUUGCACUAAAUAUUAUGUUGGAAUAUUUUGUUUUAUUUAUGACACAAAAUAUGGAGAUAUUAUGUUGUGUAAAUUUGAAUACUUGAACAAAAACAUCACUCUGGUUUAUUUGACCCUUGUCAACGAGAUAUAAUAGUUGACUAUUCGGCCCUGUCAACAGGAUAUAAUAGUUGACCUUUACAUUUCAUGGUAAGAAUGUAAUUGAUUUGGACCCCAGCCUCUAGGGGUUUGGUUAGAGGUUACUAGUAGUAGUAGUGUUUGGUUCCGUCCACCAGGAACAACUUGAGGCUAGCCACCCAUUUGAAAAGUCCCACCUAACUGGGCAUUUGAUAUUUGAUAACCAGAGUAAUGAAAAUUGAAUGGAUUUGAUUGAAUCUUAUGUGAAAGUGUUUGAAUUUGAUAUGAAAAUGGUUGGUUGAAUUUUGAAUAUAUUGGUAUUUUUGAAACUCUGAUAUUUGAUGAGAAAAAAAAAUGAUAUCUCCUAUUUGAAAUGAAAAUAUUUUUCCAUGAACUGCAUUAAUAUUCCUUACUGGGCUGUGAGCUCAUUCCCAAUUGUUGAAAACUUUUCAGGUACUCUUAGUUCGGGUGAGGAGUGAUGGCUAGGAUGAGGAAUGGUCAUCAUUAGGAUUUGACUUAGGAUUUUAUGUUGGAUUUUGUUUAACUGUUAGUUAUGUUCAUUUGGACCCUUUGGUAUUUGGAAGUUAUUUGGAUAUUGAUCCUUCAAAUUUUAUGUUAGAUCAAAGUUGAGUUUUGGAGAUUUUGAAAUUUGUUCUAGUACUUGAAUUGUUUAAGUUUGCAAAUAUUUGGAUAAUGGAUUUUGGAUAGUGGAUGUUUUAGUUUUGAAAUUGAAUUUUGAGGAUUUUAGAUUUUGUUCCGCUACUCUGAAUAGGUAUUUGGUAAUUAGUAACUUCCGAUUACAAGAUAAUUGUUUGGGUCGGGUUACACUGUAAGCCUUCGGGUUUGAAGUGUGAAAUGACCGUCACGCUCUUGGAGUGGGUCUUGGGGCGUGACAGAGUGGUAUCAGAGCACUAGGUUUUGAUCUUGAUGGGAAUUUGAAUUGGUUUAGAUUGGGGAUAGAUGAGUGACGCAUUUGUUUAAGUUUUAGUUUCAUUUAGUAUAAAUUCCAAUUCUUUCUUUAUUUGUAAAUUUUCUAAUUGGUUCUUUAGUGACUAAAUUAGUUAUGCCUUAUUAUUUUAGGACAUCAUGCCACCAAGAAGAGCAACUUCUUCACAAAAUAGUCAGAUUAAUGAUGAUGUACCUCCAGUUGAGGGUUUGCCUCCCGUGAGUGCAAAAGGGAUCUAUAGGUAUCUUGGGACACUAGCUGGUUUAGUUGAACGCCAAGCUCGAGCUGUUGGGACUAAUGUUCAGGGACAGACUUCAUCUUCUAGGGGUAACUCUUUUGAUGACUUCAAGAAAUUGGGUCCUCCUUACUUUUCUGGUGCUACAGAUCCCACAGAGGCAGAGGCUUGGAUCCUUAAGGUGGAGAAAUUCUUUGGUGUCAUAGAUUGCUCUGAGGAGCAAAAAGCCUCUUAUGCAGCUUUUAUGUUAGAUAAAGAGGCAGAUCAUUGGUGGCGUAUGACUAGGAGACUUUUGGAGGAUCAGGGACCCAUAACAUGGAGACAAUUUAAGGAGGCUUUCUACAAGAAGUAUUUCCCUGACAGUGUUAGGCGGCAGAAGGUGGGAGAGUUUAUUCAUUUGGAACGGGGAGAUAUGACUGUGGCUCAAUAUGAGGCCAAAUUUACAGAGUUAUCAUGUUUUUCCCCACAGUUGAUUGCUACAGAGGAGGAAAAGGCAUUAAAGUUUCAGGAUGGAUUGAAGCCUUAUUUGAAGAACAAGAUAUCUAUUCUGAAGCUUGGUGUCUAUUCAGAGGUUGUUGACAGAGCCCUUAUAGCAGAGAAAGAUAAUGAGGAGCUUCAUCAGUAUAGGGAACAACAAAGGAAGUGAAAUAGGAGUGAUAGUGCUCAUGGUAAUCAAGCACAGCGAAGGUCUACAUCAGGAAGAAAUCAGAAUAAAGGGAAUGCAACGCAUUAUUUAGAUGGGGCUUGUCCUACUUGUGGUAAGAAGCAUGGGGGUAGGCCAUGCUAUAGAGAGACUGGAGCUUGCUUUGGUUGUGGGAAGCAAGGACAUUUGAUCAGAGAUUGUCUAGAGAAUAGGAAGUUCAUCAAUGGGAAGCCUAAAGAGGAAAAUAAGGAGGAUAAACAGAAACCCAAAGCCCAAGAACGGGUGUUUUCUUUGACUCAUCGAGAUGCUCAGGCCACUUCUGAUGUGGUAACAGGUACUCUCCGAAUCCACACCUUAUUUGCUAGAGUCUUGAUUGAUCCUGGAUCAACACACUCUUUUGUUUCAGUAUCUUUUGCCAGUUUGUUGGGUUUGCCUGUUGCUAGCAUGGACUUUGAUUUGAUUGUUACUACUCUUGUGGGAGAUUCUGUUGUGGUCAGUAGAAUGCUUAGAAAUUGUAUUGUGAUGAUUGGUUAUAGGGAAAUGCCAGUUGACUUAGUACUCCUUGAUCUUUAGGAUUUUGAUGUGAUUUUGGGGAUGGAUUGGUUAGCUUCCUACCAUGCCUCUGUUGACUAUUUUGAGAAAAUGGUGACGUUUAGUAUUCCUGGUCAGCCUAAGUUUAGCUUUGAAGGGAAGCAUGUGGACAGACCACUGCGUAUGAUCUCAGCCUUGCGAGCUAGUAGCUUGCUCAAGAAGGGUUGCCAAGGAUUUUUGGCUAGUGUGAUGAGUAAUGAAAGUGAUUUGAAGUUGGAAAACAUACCCAUAGUAAGGGAGUAUGUUGAUGUCUUUCCAGAGGAUUUGCCUGGCUUGCCACCAGAGAGAGAGGUGGAGUUUACCAUCGAUUUGGUACCAGGAACAGGUCCUAUGUCUAAGGCCCCAUACAAGAUAGCACCUGUGGAGCUUAAGGAGUUGAAAGUUCAGCUUCAAGAGUUAUUAGACAAGGGUUUUAUCAGGCCUAGUGUUUCACCUUGGGGAGCUCCUGUUCUAUUUGUAAAAAAGAAGGAUGGCUCAAGGAGACUUUGCAUUGACUAUAGGGAGUUGAAUAAGGUGACAGUGAAGAACAAGUAUCCCCUUCCUCGGAUUGAUGAUUUGUUUGAUCAGCUAUAAGGUGCUUGUGUGUUCUCUAAGAUAGAUCUUCAAUCGGGUUAUCACCAGUUGAGGGUUAGAGGGGAAGAUGUACCCAAGACUGCUUUUCGAACUAGGUAUGGGCACUAUGAGUUUCUUGUUAUGCCUUUUGGUUUGACUAAUGCACCUGCUACUUUUAUGGACUUGAUGAAUAGGGUAUUCAAACCCUAUUUAGAUCAGUUUGUGGUGGUUUUUGUAGAUGACAUCUUGGUAUACUCAAGAAGUAGAGAGGAGCAUGAGGGCCAUUUGAGUAUUGUAUUACAGACCCUCAGAGAUAAGCAGUUGUAUGCUAAACUGAAGAAGUGUGAGUUUUGGUUAGACCGAAUUNNNNNNNNNNNNNNNNNNNNNNNNNNNNNNNNNNNNNNNNNNNNNNNNNNNNNNNNNNNNNNNNNNNNNNNNNNNNNNNNNNNNNNNNNNNNNNNNNNNNAACGAAGAAGUUGCAGCCAUUACAAGCCAGUCACUCUAAAGUGUUGCGGAAUCAGCCUUUUGUUGCGAGAAUUUCGCAGCACUUUUGUACAGUAAGGUGUUUCUCCUUCUGACGAUGCACGAACCAUGCCGCGAGAAGGGAGCUGGAAACUUCAAGAUGGAAGCCAACUUUGCAGCCUAGUGAAGAUAGCUCGGUCUUGCAAGAUAAUUUCGCAGCCCUCUUGGGUGUCUGCGAAAUUUCGCAGGCCCCACUUUUCACCUGCGAAAUGGCUCCUGAAGCCUCCCGAAGCUUGCUACCGACAUUGGGAGAUAUUUUCCAUUAGAUUUUUGUUGUCUAAAUCCCAAAAUACUCCUUGUAAACCACCAAUUACAUGAUUCCUUAGUUUUUAGGUUAGUAAAAAGACCAAAUAUCUUUGUAAGAAUUAGUUUUAUAUUAGUUUGAUAUAAAUACCUCUCGGGAGCCUGUUCUCGGGGAGGAGUUCCUUCUGUAAACAUUUGGUAAGGAAGUAAAGGUCUUUUCUUUCUACUGCCUUACCUUCUCACUUUGUAUUUUCAUUAUAUUUCUAAGUUAUGAAUUCUCUGAGGAGUUUUCCCCAGAGAAUGAGUAACUAAACCUCCAAUUCCUUGGAGCUAAGGUUGCCGGGGAAGGUUCCAAGUGCAAAAAUGCAAAGCUCUGUGGUUUUAGCUAGUAAUGAAGAGGAAGUGAAAUCCUUUAGUGAUUUCAAUGUUUUUAGUUAACUUAAAACACCUUGGAGUCACCUGGGCCAACACUUGGUAAGGCAAGUGAUUUCCAACCGUGGAAAUGCACUAGUUUACCCCUUGCGAGCCUCUGGUAGGUGACUUCAAGGUAGGAUUUUCCGGAAUUACCAACACUUGGUAAGCUUUUGGACUCCUAGGAGACAUCCAUUAGUUAUCUCUUGCGAGUUUGUGAAGGGAAGUCCAAGGUUAAAGAUCACCUUGAAUGGUAAGUGCUCGUGAGAGGCAUGAACCAUUGCAAGGUGCAUCAGUGAGAGAAUUAAAGUGAAAUCUAAUUGAAGGAGUCUCUGUACAUCACCGGUUAGAGACUUGACUCUAAGUUGAAUCUCUAAUGCGAGGAAAUGAACCAUCUGACCAGAGCUAUGUCUUUUGCAUGAGGAACCACCCCAGUGAACCUAAAUCUCCNNNNNNNNNNNNNNNNNNNNNNNNNNNNNNNNNNNNNNNNNNNNNNNNNNNNNNNNNNNNNNNNNNNNNNNNNNNNNNNNNNNNNNNNNNNNNNNNNNNNAAAUCAAAGUUUGUGUUUUAUUUCUUAAACUAACCGUGAAAUGAAACAAAACCAAUUCACUUGGAAUUGGUAUCCUUGAUUGCUUGCAAAUCAUUCCUAGUGAACGAUCCUUAGAGCCACUAUACUAUAGUAGCUUUGUAUUUGCUACCCUAGUGUAUGGUGUUAUAGGUAUAAAUUUUGUUGAUCACUUCCUCAAUCAAGGAGCACCAGCUGAACACAAAUCAGCUGAGACACCAAUUGGGCAUGAGUCAGAGAUCUUGAGAUUUGGGACUAGACUUUGUGUCCCAAAUGAUGAAGACUUAAGAAGGGAGCUUUUAGAGGAAGCUCAUUGUUCCAAGUUUGCAAUCCACCCAAGAGGGACAAAGAUGUACAAGGAUUUGAGGCAAAACUAUUGGUGGUCAGGUAUGAAGCAUGAUAUUGCACAAUUUGUGGCUCAGUGUUUAGUGUGUCAACAGGUGAAGGCUGAGCAUCAGCGACCAGCAGGGUCUUUGCAGCCACUUGCUAUUCCUGAGUGGAAGUGGGAGCAUAUUACCAUGGAUUUUGUGAUAGGAUUGCCAAGAACCUUAGGGAGUAAUAAUGCUAUUUGAGUGGUUGUUGAUCGGUUGACAAAGUCUGCUCACUUUUUGCCUAUGAAAGUCAACUUUUCUUUAGAUCGUUUAGCUUUUCUUUAUGUGAAGGAGAUUGUGAGAAUGCAUGGAGUACUAGUUUCUAUAGUGUCUGAUAGAGAUCCUCGUUUCACUUCUAGAUUCUGGCAUAGUCUAUAAAAAGCUUUGGGCACUAAGUUGAGUUUUAGUACUGCUUUCCAUCCUCAAACUGAUGGUCAAUCAGAAAGGGUAAUUCAGGUUUUAGAAGACUUGUUGAGAGCUUGUAUUUUGGACUUGCAAGGUAAUUGGGAUGAUCAUUUACCUUUAGUAGAGUUUGCCUAUAACAAUAGUUUUCAAGCUAGCAUUGGGAUGUUACCUUUUGAGGCAUUGUAUGGUAGGAAAUGUCGAUCUCCUAUCUGUUGGAAUGAUGUUGGAGAAAGGAAACUUUUGGGGCCUGAACUUGUGCAGUUGAUUGUUGAAAAAGUUGCUUUGAUUAAAGAAAGAUUAAAAGCAGCUCAAAGUAGACAUAAGAGUUAUGCUAAUCAUCGUAGGCGAGAUUUGGAGUUUGAGGUGGGUGAUAUGUGUUCUUGAAAGUUUCACCUAUGAAGUCUGUGAUGAGAUUUGGGAGAAAAGAAAAACUUAGUCCUCGUUUUGUGGGUUCGUUUGAAAUAUUAGAAAGAGUAGGCACUUUGGCAUAUAAAGUAGCCUUGCCCCCAAGUCUAUCUAAGAUUCAUAAUGUUUUCCAUGUUUCAACCUUGAGGAAGUAUAUUUAUAAUCCAUCUCAUGUUGUGGAGUUGGAGCCUAUUCAAAUUUCGGAGGACUUGACCUAUGAAGAGGUACCCGUUCAAAUUGUGGAUGUGAUGGAUAAGGUACUGCGACAUGUUGUUGUCAAGUUGGUAAAGGUCCAGUGGAGCAAUCAUAGUAUCCGAGAGGCCACUUGGGAGUUAGAAGAAGAGAUGAGAGAAAAACAUCCUCAAUUAUUUCAAGACUCAAGUAUGUCAAGUUUAGAAGACUAAACUUUUGUUAAGAAGGGGAGGAUGUAACGCCCAAGUAUUUUUUUAAGGGUAAUUUAGGAAAUUACUAAUAAUAAUUCAAUUAGUUAAUUAAUUAAUUUAAUAAAGUGGAAGAGGGGUAAAAGUGUAAUUUACAAAUAAAUACCCUAGGUAUAAAUUAGAAAUUCUAUUUCUUCUUGUUCUUUUCUGAAUAGAGUUCCUGUUCGCAUGAAUUUCAGAGAACAUAGGUUGGAGUCAGAUUUCAAGGUUGAAGAACAGAUCUCUAUACGUAAGAUUUUAACCCCUAGUUUAAUAUUUUAGAUUCAUUGAUUAAUUUCAAACACAUUAGAUAUCUUUUGGAAAACCCAAAUCUAGAUUAGGGUUAGUUUUUAUUUUUUUUUUAUUUUUUUUUUUUAAUUCGUUCUAAUAUCAAUAGUAAAAAUAAUAAUAAUAAUAAUAAAAAUUUAAAAAAAAUUUAAGAUUUUGAUUUAUUGUUGGUAUUUGGGAGAUCUUAAGUUUUAUUAGAUGAAAAAAAAAAAAGGUUCCUUGGAAGGUUUCAAUUUUAUAUUAGGGUUAAUUUUAUUAAAAAAAGAAAAGGGGCGUGUGCCAAAUGGAAGGAAGCCUUAUAUAUAUAUAUAUAUAUAUAUAUAAUGAAUCAUGAUGAUGGCAAUGGAAAAAAAAAAAAAAACUUGCUUUUUGGUUUGGUGUACCCAAGACAACUAGGUAAUGGUUGAGUGGCUUUUGAAUUGGUUAAUUAAAAUAAUAAUAUUUAGUUUUAGAUUAAUAAUUAAGAUAAUAGUAAUAAUAGUCUUUUUUUUUUUUGUAAUAAAUAGAAUGAGAGAUUUAGCAAUAUAUAUAUAGAAUUUUAUAAUGAAAUAAAAUUGUAAUUUAAUUAAAUUAGUACUGUGUUAUUAGAAACAAAUUGAGAAUUUAUUAAUUUUAUUUAAAUAAGGAAUAGAUUAGUUAAAUUAUAGAUAAAUAGUAAUAAUUAUUUCUCUUAUGUUAUAUUAGGAGAAGAAUAGAUUUUUCCUGAAUUAUUUUUCUCCCAAGCUUUCAAGGUCUUUGCAUAAUUUGAGGUAAGGGAAGUUAAUGCAAUAUUUAUAAAAUUUAAAUUAUUUUAUAUGUUAUUUUGAAUUGUGGAAAAGAAAAUGAUAUUUUGUUACCAUGCAUGGAUCAAAUUGUUUUGCACUAAAUAUUAUGUUGGAAUAUUUUGUUUUAUUUAUGACACAAAAUAUGAAGAUAUUAUGUUGUGUAAAUUUGAAUACUUGAACAAAAACAUCACUCUGGUUUAUUUGACCCUUGUCAACGAGAUAUAAUAGUUGACUAUUCGGCCCUGUCAACGGGAUAUAAUAGUUGACCUUUACAUUUCAUGGUAAGAAUGUAAUUGAUUUGGACCCCAACCUCUAGGGGUUUGGUUAGAGGUUACUAGUAGUAAUAGUAUUUGGUUCCGUCCACCAAGAACAAUUUGAGGCUAGCCACCCAUUUGAAAAGUCCCACCUAACUGGGCAUUUGAUAUUUGAUAACUAGAGUAAUGAAAAUUGAAUGGAUUUGAUUGAAUCUUAUGUGAAAGUGUUUGAAUUUGAUAUGAAAAUGGUUGGUUGAAUUUUGAAUAUAUUGGUAUUUUUGAAACUCUGAUAUUUGAUGAGAAAAAAAAAAUGAUAUCUCCUAUUUGAAAUGAAAAUAUUUGAUCCAUGAACUGCAUUAAUAUUCCUUAUUGGGUUGUGAGCUCAUUCCCAAUUGUUGAAAAAUUUUCAGGUACUCUUAGUUCGGGUGAGGAAUGAUGGCUAAGCUGAGGAAUGGUCAUCAUUAGGAUUUGACUUAGGAUUUUAUGUUGGAUUUUGUUUAACUGUUUGUUAUGUUCAUUUGGACCCUUUGGUAUUUGGAAGUUAUUUGGAUAUUGAUCCUUCAAAUUUUAUGUUAGACCAAAGGUGAGAUUUGGAGAUUUUGAAAUUUGUUCUAGUACUUGAAUUGUUUAAGUUUGCAAAUAUUUGGACAAUGGAUUUUGGAUAGUGGAUGUUUUAGUUUUGAAAUUGAAUUUUGAGGAUUUUAGAUUUUGUUCCGCUACUCUGAACAGGUAUUUGGUAAUUGGUAACUUCCGAUUACAAGAUAAUUGUUUGGGUCAGGUUACACUGUAAGCCUUCGGGUUUGAAGUGUGAAAUGACCGUCAUGCCCUUGGAGUGGGUCUUGAGGCGUGACACUUACCGAUUCAUCAUUCAAGGUAUAGAACUGUUCUAUCAUUGAUCCAAGGAAUUAACAUGUCUACUCAAGUCUCAGCAUCUUCUCUAGCCCAGAUUCCCAAACCCAAAAAUCGUCCUGGCAAACUUUCACCCCAACAUUUGGGGUGACCAAUUUAUCACCUGCACUCCUGAAGACUAUGCAUCAAUUAUAAAUUUGACAGUUAUUUUUCUUAAUAUGUUGGAUGAUAAAAUUUGUUGGUCAAGGUUACACGUGCUUGCAAAGAGGAGCAGAUUGAGGAUCUGAAAAAGGAAGUGAAAAGGGAAUUAACGGUUGUUGUUGUUGCUAACCCUUCCCAAUUGCUGAACUUCAUUGAUGCAUACCACUUUGAGCAAGAGAUAGAAGAAGCAUUACAACAAAUUUGUAAUAGUUUUCAUGAUUGCAAUGAUAUGGAUGGUGAUCUCUACAAUAUUGCUCUUGGAUUUCGACUACUAAGGCAACAAGGGUACAGUAUUUCAUGUUGUAAGAGACUAAGAAAAAAUUGUUAUGUUAAACCUUCUUAUCAUUCAAAAUCUUAUGUUCAAGUGGUGAUGUUUAUGUAGGUAUAUUGAACAAGUUUACGGAUGAAUGAGGUAGAUUCAAGGAAGCUUUGAUCAACGAUGUAAGAGGCAUGCUAGGCUUGUAUGAAGCUGCACAUCUGAGGGUUCAUGGUGAGGACAUACUUGCAGAAGCACUUACUUUCACCACCACUCACCUCGAGGCCAUGGUAGAAAGUUUAGGAUAUCCUCUUGCAGAACAAGUUGCCCAUGCCCUGAACCGACCAUUAGAAAAGGUUUGGAGAGGUUAGAGGCAAGAUGGUAUUUAUCUGUCUACCAAGUGUUGGUUUAAGGGUAUGGAAACAAAGGACUAACUCAAAAGACACAAACAAAAAACAUAAUGAAUAGUAAGAAAAACUUAUUAGUUGAGGCGUGACAAACACUGUUCUUGAAAUAGAUCCACCCUCUUCGAAAACGAACUGAAUGCACUAAGGUGCCAGUGGUCUACCUCCAGGAUUCAAUAGCCAGAUCUUGCCUUGGGUGCACUCUAUAAGUGAGACAUGUACAACUUGGUUUUGAAAAAAUUCCUCCAAAAAGAUGUAUGAAAGACUCUCUGAAAAAUUGGUAUUCAAAGAGUAAAAGGUGACCUGCUUUUAUAGGUCACCAACACAGUCCUAAUGGGACUCUACUUGUAAUCAGAGGACUCAAAGUGGAAUGAGAUUCUACUUAUAAGUGAAACAGGACUCUAUUAGCACAAUCCCAAUGGGAUUCUUCCCAAAGGUAAAAGACUAAGUCAAAUGGAAUAAAAAUUAAAUAAAAAAAAUUGAAUUUUGUAAAAAUUAGUCAAAUUCGCUAAAACACUUUUUCACAUUUACACUCUUCCUACACCAAGAUGAAGCUUUCCAUGAUAAAACUUUACCAGAGCUAGCCAAAUUAGAUUUCAAUCUAGUGCAGUCACUGCACAAGGAAGAGCUAAGCAAUCUUGUAAGGUUGGUUUUUAAAUCACCCCACAUGUACUUGGCCAUUCUUAUCACUUUCUUGUAUACUGAUCAUAUUAAUGUCUUUUAGGUGGUGGAAAGAAUUAGACUUUGUUACAAAGUUAUCUUUUGCAUGAGACAGAUUGGUUGAAUGCUACUUUUGUAUACAUGGGGUAUAUUUUGAGCCUCAAUACUUACGAGCUAAACGAAUUCUAACCAAAGUAAUUGCUAUGACAUCCAUUCUAGAUGAUAUCUAUGAUGCAUAUGGCACACCUGGUGAACUCAAGCUCUUCACAGAAGCCAUUGAGAGGUUUGCUACUUGCACAUUACCAACCUUGAUUGUGUAUAAUAUAUGUAUUUAUAUAUACCUAAAUCAAGGGUCAUUAUUUUAUUUUCAGGUGGGAUAUUAACAGCAUAGAUCAACUUCCAGAAUACAUGAAACCCUGCUAUGUGGCACUCUUUGAUGUGUACAAAGAAAUCGAGGAAGAGAUGGAGAAAGAAGGAAACCAAUAUAGGGUGCACUAUGCCAAAGAAGUAGUAGGACAUCUUUAACUCUGGAUUCCCACCUUUUGCAUUGAUGAUAUUUUAUAUGGUCUCAUAUAUACAUAGAUAUAACUUGGGUGAAUGUCCAUUAGAUGAAGAAUCAAGUUCGAGGUUACAUGAAGAACACGUACCAACACUUGAAGAGUACAUGUGUGUUGCACUAGUAAGCUUUGGAUACUACAUGCUUGCAACCACAUCCUUGGUGGGAAUGGGAGAAAUAGUAACAAAGGAGGCCUUUGAUUGGGUGACCAGCGAUCCUAAGAUUAUGCCAUCUUCAAAUUUCAUUGCGAGGCUCAUGGAUGACAUCACAUCACAUAAGGUAUGCAGAAUAUGUUAUUCAAGUGGGGAGAAUAUAACACACCGGUUUUUUUUUUUCUCAACUUUUGCAUUAUACAUGCAGUUUGAGCAAAAGAGAAGGCAUGUGGCCUCAGCCAUUGAAUGUUACAUGAAGUAAUAUGGUGUCUCUGAGGAACAAGUAUACAGCGAGCUUCAAAAUCAAAUUGAGAAUGCAUGGUUGGAUGUCAACCAGGAAUGCCUCAAACCUACUACUAUUCCAAUGCCUCUCCUUGCUCCUAUUCUAAAUCUUACACGAGUCUCGGAUGUCAUUUACAAAGAGCAAGAUGCGUACACACAUGUUGGGAAAGUGAUGAAGAAUAACAUUGCGUACACACAUGUAGUUGAUUAUCGUCCCCUAUGUAUUGCCUUGUGGAAGAAGUAAUAUCUAAUAAAUCAUUAUAAUAAGGUGAGGGAACAAUACGUAAUAAAUCAUUGUAAUAUGGAAAGGGGGACACAUCAUAUGUAGCACCUAGUUUCUCUGGGUUCAUAGUGUUUUACUUUUGAAUAUUCCCUGAAUAUUUAAAUAAGAAUAUGUAUUACUUAAAUCACCUGAAUAUAUUAUUUAUUAUAUUAUAUUCUUUAAUACAUAUGUAUUAUUGUGAUUCAACUUGAGGAGUAUUGAUACUGAGUCUUAAAAUACAUAUGUAUGUAGAAUAUAUGUCUACAAAAAAUCCGGAUCUCCUUGUUAAUGUGUAAUGGUGUUUUGGAGUACUACAAUACUCACCAAAUAACUUCUUUACACUUUAUAAUGGACACUGACUGGUGAGUUUAUAGUUAAUUAAAGAUUUCACUCGAUAGCAAAUUAUUAUUAUUAUUAUUAUUAUUGUUAUUGUUGUUGCUAGCGUUAUUAUUAUUUAAUUCAUUAUUAUGAAAAUUAUUAUUAUUAUUACUAUUUAAUUAUUAUUAUUAUUAGCUAUUAAUUUUAGUUUUUUCUUUUUCAUCUUUUCUUUUUUGUUGUUUGUUAUAUACUUCAUAAAAUUAUAAGUUAUGGUCUUUUAUUAGGUUGAAAUUGGAAGUUCAAGUUCAUUAAAGUAUGACACAGUUAACUUAGGUUCACUAAUUUUGUAAAAAAUUUGAUGCAUUUAUAGGAUAAUUAAAUAAUUCAACAAACUUAUCAUUUUACUAAUUAAGGUUUUUUAUUUUAUUUUAUUUUUUAAAAAACUUUUUUACAUGUAAGAAUACAGAAAUUAUGGUUCAAUGUGAAACUUUGGAAUUGCAUGAAUAUGAAAGUGAAAUUUGUUGGUGUCGUUCCCAACUAGAGUUAGGUUCAUCCAACUUCACUGGAGUCAGGUGGACUGCUUCCUUUCUCCAACUCGUGAACUUAGCCGAUACUAAGUUAUGUGAUAACACCCAAUUUUUCCGUUCGUGCUUCUUGAGAAGUCCGUCCAGUUGUAUUGGAAUCAGACAGACUUCUUCCAUGCACAAAAGGAUGUCCAGACAGGUGAUUCGAGCACGUCCCUCCUAAACUUAAGUCAGUUAAGGAUAGUUCUAACUUAUUUUUGUGGCAGAAAAUGAGUUUAUGUGCAUGCCUACCUUGUUCAUGCUUUUUGAGGGGUUUAUAUAGAGUUGAUGAUACUGUCCCUAUAGUGCUGACUAUACACUCUAGUCUUUCUUGUAAUGAUGAUUGCCCUUAGGGCGGUUGAUUGGUGCCAUCUAUUGACGUGCCAAAAUCUCGGACCAGCAACCGAUUGUCCAUUUAGCUUGCCAAUGUCUGGGAUUGUGUGUAACAAUUAAUUGACAUUGACUUUUGGGUGUAAAUGGAGUCCUGUCCACUGCUUAGAUGUCAGGCGUCUAAUCCACUGCUCAAAUGUCCUGUGUCUGGGCCAACGCUCAGACAUCAAGCAUAGUUGAUCAUGCAUGCCAGAAAUCCUGAGGACUUGAUUAGACUGAUUUUUUCGUCUGAGAGUCCAACGAGCCUAGCCUAUCGAUUCCGUUCAACCUUGUGGAAGAAGAGAAACCUCUCACUUCUUGUGUCAGACAUAACUUAUCUUGGUCCAAACGAAUUGAUCCCAGACGGGUUAUAAGUUUGUUCUGGUCGGCCAAGGGGUCUUAAGCUUGAAAAUGACACGUGAAGGGAAACCCCCCACAAUGCCCUUUUAAUCUGUCUACUUCUAUUCAGAUGAAGAGGAGAUGUUUUUGGAGCGUCCAGUUAGUUUCCUAUCUGAACAGGAAUUCUGGGAUCGUUUCCAUAUUCCAGAGAAUAUCCCUAUUCUUCUAAUAGACGACGAGGCGUUAUCCUCCGUUGACCUGCCCAACAACAUGAUGUAUUUUACUAAGGAACAAUUCGUUGCAGGGCUCCGUCUACCUAUCCCCUCUCUCUUCAAGCAGUUUCUUCAUUUUAUGUAAAUCCCUUCAGCUUUUCUUCAUCCGAAUUUUGUCCGGGUAUUGAUGGGAUGUAGUGUUCUAGACAUGCUCUUUCAGUUGAAUCUCUCAUUGUUGGAAGUUUUGCUUGUUUACAUUGUCAAAAUGAGCUGGAAAGAAAGGUUUAGCUUUUCUUCCCAUAUUCCUUACUUGCAGCCAGUGACUGGUCUUUUAGAUUCAUGCAAAGGCUAGGUAAAGGGGCAUGUCCUAGUCUCUGGUCCUUGGAGUGGUUCGUCUGAGGAACCAGAUGGAGUCUUUUAUCCACAACAUUCAUUGGAGAUUCCGAGUAGGAUACGCUUCCAUCACUUUCUCUAUAUUUUGCAAUUAUUUCUUCCUCGCUGUCAAUUUAUUGUUGAUCUUUUUGUUUGUGUGAUAUAGGCAAGGAGAGGUGGGGACGCCUUGUAGAGUGGGUAGACAAGGCUUCUUUCACCUAUUUAACAAGUUGUUCGAAAUAGACGCGUUCAAAUGGGCCCCUAAAGUUCUUUUGUAAGAUAAUAAGUUGCUAACGCUAAUUGAUAAUCCAAAGUCGUUCAUCAUCCCCGUAUUUCCUCGUCUGGCUCCCCCGUCUUUGGUGCCUGGUGAACAUUUCGUGCUAAAGGAUUUGCCAUUCUAUGAGGUUGCUCGUCUGGCAUAUUAUAAGGCAUGUUAGGCCCGUUUAGAGGAGUGAGAGAAAAAACAUCAGGAAGGGACAUUGAGGCAAGCUCUAACUGCUAGUCUUCUAUCCUCCAGUUUUGUUGUCCAUCCUCUCACUAAAAAGAGGACGAAACCUACUGCUUCGCCUAUCUGGAAGGUAAGGACUCUGCCUCCUUCAUCUUUAUCUUCUCCAUCAACUUCAUCAUCUUCGUCAUCUCCAUCUUCUAGUGGCAAGCCAAAAUCAUGGGUUGUCCAGGUAGUGUCCCUUAUUAUUUGCGAGGAGGAAAAAGAAGAGGAUAUGGCUUCAAACUUGAGGGUCGGAUUUCGUGAGAGACAGCGCAAGUGCUUGUCCAAAUCCAUUGUUGUCAAUCCUACCCCCUCUAAGAAAGCUUGUUCAAAACCUACUUCAGCUCUUGCGCUCGUGUCGGUUCCUCUAACUACUGCUACAGUCUUCACCCUUAAGCUAGAUGAGAAACUUCCUUCUGUUGAUGAACAUGUUUAUCAUGAGACGAGGAUACCCUUCAUCAGCACGAACAACUUCAACAAAGAAUCGUUCGAAUACAUGACUUUUUUUUCUCUUUGUUCGAAGUCAACCUAUGUCCCCAAUCGGGAGGAGGUAUCUGAGCUUUUGAAGUGAAUCCCUGUCUUCACCGAAAGAGAGUCCCUGGUACAAAACAUAGGGUACUCUUUCCAGCUACUUAGCAAAUCCCAAUCGAGAUAGACAACGAUCCUAGUCGAUCUUUCAUGACCUGGCUUUUGUAUGACACUCCGAAUAUCGCCAUUUCUCGCAUUAUUCCCAUGCAAGACUAUAAGGCUUUUGAAAUGACAAAUAUGGUAAGUCACCUACCCUUUUCUUCUCAUUUUUCCUUAGCCUCUUGUUUCACAACGAUUUCUUUAUUGCAUCUUCAGGUGAUAGUCGAAGUUUGAAACCUCAUGCGGCAACACACUCCUUUUUUCUACCGAUUGGAAACAAUCGAGACCAUGAGGCCAUACUUUGCCCAUAAUAUGGAUGGGAAUGAGGAUCUUCUUGCCAGCUUGGAGACAAUAAAGAGUGAAGCUGCUGUUGCCCAAAAGCUUGUUAAAGAAGAAAUCGGUCUAUUGAGGAAGGCCGAGGAAGAGAAGGAGACAGUUCAAACUGAAGCUUGCCAACUAGUUGAAAAGAAGGAAACCAUGGUGGUUGACAAAAAAAAAGGCUGAAGAAGAGGCUGCCUAGCUGAGGCAGGAGCUACAGGAUCUCCGAGCAGGGUUUGCCUCUCAGAAAGAAGACUUGGAGGUUCACUACCAAAAGCAAGUGGAUGACAUGUUCUUGUACGACUAUCGUUGUUGUAUGAAGAAGCAUGGCAUCAUCCAUGAUGCUCUGAGUUUUCCUUUGGAUGACGAUGAUGAGUUUUUAGGCGACCCUGCCCAGGGAGGAGGAGAUGUUUUCGGAGACGAUCCUUAUGGCGAGUAGGCUUGAUCUCUUUGUUUGUAUUUAUUUAUUAUGGUUGGACGUGGCCUAGACUGCUAUAUCUAUAAAGACAAUGGAUGCUUUAUUUUUUCAAAUAUAUUUACUUUAUCCGUUUGUCUCUCAUACAUUGUUUUCAUAAGCAAACUUUAUUGAAAGUAAUACUUUAAAUUGGAUACAUUCUAAGAGCAGAGCAGGGGUACGUUGUCUAGUGUUUGAAAAUGGUAUACCCCUAAGUCUCUAGCCUUAGUUACAACAUAUGGCCCUUCCCAGUUAGCUUGAAGCUUUUCGGCUCCUAUUUCAGCUGUGUUCUCAAAUAUUCUUCUGAGGACUAAAGUUCCUAGCCAGAAAAACCAUGGUCGUGUUUUUUUGUUGUAAUGGGUGAUCGUCUUUUGAUGGUAAGAAACCAUUCAGAUAGUUAUGUCUCCUAGCAUUUCAUCUGCCCAAUCCAACUGUCUUAUGAGUUCUUCAUCAUUGUUCCUCUGAUCUUAUACAACUGUUUUAGUGGUAGGCAUGUCAAUUUCAGUUGGAAUAAUGACCUUCAUCCCAUAAGCAAGGGCAAAAGGAGUAGUUCCUAUUGGCCGUUUGGAUGUCGUUUUGUAAGCCCAUAAGAUUCCGAGCAGUUCAUCCACCCAUUUUCCUUUAGCUCCUUCCAGCAUUUUUUUAAUGCAUUCAGUAGGGUUUUGUUUGUCGCCUCAGCUUGCCCGUUACUCUACGGAUAGCAAAGUGUUGAAUACAAAUUCUUGAUGUUUAACUUCAAAUAGAAAGUUCGGAAGACGGUAUUGUAUGAUUGCUCGCAAAACUCCAAAUCGACAUACGAUGUUUUUCUAGACGAACUUGAAGACAUCCUUAUCUUUGAUGCUAGCAUAGUGUCACGGACUUAGUCGUUCACUAAGCUCGUGCGGCACUUAGACAAGCCAAGACGCUUGAUCUUGCUAAGUCAGCCUUGCUCCCAAUACUUAGCUCACCCGGCUAAGACACUCGCGACUCAAAAGCUUAAGAAGCUUGGUAGGCAACUCCUUAAAGAAUGGAAGCUUUCUAUUACUCAAAGAAGCCUUUACAAGUGCUUGGAUGCUCACUUGCUUGGUUAGGAAGUGAUUUUGGGUGGUGCCUUGGCCAAAUGAGGCCCUCACCUAUUUAUAGGCACCAAGGGAACUCUCUAGAACCUUGGAGGGUUCCCUUACAAAUCAAGAAUAUUCUAGAACAUCCUACCCUAUUCUAUGUACAACCCUAUGUACAAGAAUAUACAAGAGAUUCCUAGAAGUCUCUAGAAAGCCUUGGACUCCUCCCAUGCCUUCCACCAUAGUGUAGAGAUGUGUGGACAUCUCUAGGCAUUUCUAGAACCUUCCACACUCUUCCCACCAAUGACUUNNNNNNNNNNNNNNNNNNNNNNNNNNNNNNNNNNNNNNNNNNNNNNNNNNNNNNNNNNNNNNNNNNNNNNNNNNNNNNNNNNNNNNNNNNNNNNNNNNNNNNNNNNNNNNNNNNNNNNNNNNNNNNNNNNNNNNNNNNNNNNNNNNNNNNNNNNNNNNNNNNNNNNNNNNNNNNNNNNNNNNNNNNNNNNNNNNNNNNNNNNNNNNNNNNNNNNNNNNNNNNNNNNNNNNNNNNNNNNNNNNNNNNNNNNNNNNNNNNNNNNNNNNNNNNNNNNNNNNNNNNNNNNNNNNNNNNNNNNNNNNNNNNNNNNNNNNNNNNNNNNNNNNNNNNNNNNNNNNNNNNNNNNNNNNNNNNNNNNNNNNNNNNNNNNNNNNNNNNNNNNNNNNNNNNNNNNNNNNNNNNNNNNNNNNNNNNNNNNNNNNNNNNNNNNNNNNNNNNNNNNNNNNNNNNNNNNNNNNNNNNNNNNNNNNNNNNNNNNNNNNNNNNNNNNNNNNNNNNNNNNNNNNNNNNNNNNNNNNNNNNNNNNNNNNNNNNNNNNNNNNNNNNNNNNNNNNNNNNNNNNNNNNNNNNNNNNNNNNNNNNNNNNNNNNNNNNNNNNNNNNNNNNNNNNNNNNNNNNNNNNNNNNNNNNNNNNNNNNNNNNNNNNNNNNNNNNNNNNNNNNNNNNNNNNNNNNNNNNNNNNNNNNNNNNNNNNNNNNNNNNNNNNNNNNNNNNNNNNNNNNNNNNNNNNNNNNNNNNNNNNNNNNNNNNNNNNNNNNNNNNNNNNNNNNNNNNNNNNNNNNNNNNNNNNNNNNNNNNNNNNNNNNNNNNNNNNNNNNNNNNNNNNNNNNNNNNNNNNNNNNNNNNNNNNNNNNNNNNNNNNNNNNNNNNNNNNNNNNNNNNNNNNNNNNNNNNNNNNNNNNNNNNNNNNNNNNNNNNNNNNNNNNNNNNNNNNNNNNNNNNNNNNNNNNNNNNNNNNNNNNNNNNNNNNNNNNNNNNNNNNNNNNNNNNNNNNNNNNNNNNNNNNNNNNNNNNNNNNNNNNNNNNNNNNNNNNNNNNAGCCGCCUCAUCCGUCAAUGCGAUAGCCUCAAAGUAUCGCUCCAUAUGCCAUAAGAAGUUAUCCAACUCCUUGGCAUCCCGAUUGCCACUAAACCUAUGUGGCUUCGGCACCUCCACCCUAGAUGCCUCUUGUGUGGCCAUGACCCGUGCCGACACAGCAGCCUUGUAGAUGGCCAACUCCUGCCUAACUUCCUGGUCUCGGGACUCCAUUCGAGUGGCCAAGGCCUCUAUCCUUGACUCCAUGCUAGCAAGCAUGCUCAAGACCUUUCCUUGGAAGGACACAAACUCCUCGUGCGACACUGGUUGAACCUGUGAGAUUAGCACCCCCUCGCGAAGGUCUUGGAUCUGCUCCCUUAGAUCCUCUAAGCCCUUCUCCAUGCCUUGCUCGAUCAAGUCCAACCCUUCCCGAGUGUCCGCCAUGGCUAGCUCCACCUUCGCUAACCUUGCCUCCAUGUUGGCAACGGCAUCACGAGAUUUAUCCUUCCUGCCCCUGCCCCGUGCAGUAGGCUCGGUCUCUCUCCCACGGGUUUGCUCACUAGUCUCCUCCACGUUAGAGCCCGACAUGCUUCCUUUGCUAUGCCCACCUCGUAACCGCGCUCUGAUACCACUUGUCACGGACUUAGUCGUUCACUAAGCUCGUGCGGCACUUAGACAAGCCAAGACGCUUGAUCUUGCUAAGUCAGCCUUGCUCCCAAUACUUAGCUCACCCGGCUAAGACACUCGCGACUCAAAAGCUUAAGAAGCUUGGUAGGCAACUCCUUAAAGAAUGGAAGCUUUCUAUUACUCAAAGAAGCCUUUACAAGUGCUUGGAUGCUCACUUGCUUGGUUAGGAAGUGAUUUUGGGUGGUGCCUUGGCCAAAUGAGGCCCUCACCUAUUUAUAGGCACCAAGGGAACUCUCUAGAACCUUGGAGGGUUCCCUUACAAAUCAAGAAUAUUCUAGAACAUCCUACCCUAUUCUAUGUACAACCCUAUGUACAAGAAUAUACAAGAGAUUCCUAGAAGUCUCUAGAAAGCCUUGGACUCCUCCCAUGCCUUCCACCAUAGUGUAGAGAUGUGUGGACAUCUCUAGGCAUUUCUAGAACCUUCCACACUCUUCCCACCAAUGACUUAGUGUAGAUGGCUCCAGGAGUCUCCAGAAGCUUCCCUCCUUCUAUAUAAGCCCAUGGGGAGGGUCAUUUGAAGCAUCCUGUGACAAUAGGCUUCUGUUUCCACCCACUUGCUAAAAUAGUCAGUUGCAACGAGUAAAACUUUUUUUGAGCUAUUGCAACAAGUAAGGGACAAAUUAUGUCGAUCCCCCACUGCGCAAACAACCAAGGGCUUGUGACCAGACUGAGAGCUUCAGAAUGUACACGGGAAAUGGGAGCAUGUCUUUGACACCAGUCACAUCUCUUAAAAUAGUUUUCAGUGUUUUGUUUCAUGGUGGGCCAAUAGUACCCUUGCAUGUAAGCACGAUGUGCCAAGGUUCGUUCGCCUGUAUGAUUUCUAUAUACGCUUUCAUAGAGUUCGGCCAGGACAUACUUGGCUUCUGGCUUGCUCAAACACCUUAGGUAUGGUUCUCUAAAUGAUCAUCUAUAAAGCAGGUCAUUGAUUAAAGUGAAGCGAGAUGUUUGCACGCAGAGUCUGUGCAAUUGCUUCCAAUCUUCUAGUAAUUCUCUCGUCUAAAGGUAUUUUACAAUGUCAUGCAUCCAGCCAAGGUUUGCUUCAUUGGUACUGCACACUAGUUCGGGUGUGGCCUGAAGGUAGAUAGACAACAUCAUUGCCUCUUUUAUAAGGAGAGUGGCAACUAUUCCGGCCAAUGCAUCCGCCUUCAUGUUCUCCUUUCGGGGUACCAGUCUAACAAUCCACUCAUCUAGAUUUUUCAAGUGAUCUUCCACCAUGGCGAGGUAGCGAGCCAUGCGUUCGUCCAUUACUUCAUACUCUCGUUGAAUUUUCCCAACAAUUAGUUAAAAGUCGCUUCUGAUUUUCAAGUUUGUUGCAGCCAGUGUUAAGGCAAGAUCUAGCCUAACUAGGACAAAUUCAUAUCCUACUUUCGUACAAUCUCUCACAAAAUUCAUACACUCUCUCACAAAGUUCCUACCAUCUCUCACAAAGUUCGUACCCUCUCUCACAAAGUUCAUACCACAUCUCACAAAAUUCGUACACUUUCUCACAAAGUUCAUACUAUUUCUCACAAAGUUGGUACCUCUUCUCACAAAGUUCAUACCCUCUAUCACAAAGUUCAUACACUCUCUCACAAAGUUCGUACCAUGUCUCACAAAGUUCGUACAAUCUCUCACAAAGUUCAUACCUCAUCUCACAAAGUCCGUACCACAUCUCACAAUGUUCGUACCCCCUCUCAUAAAGUCCAUACCCCUUCUCACAAGUUCAUACCCCUUCUCACAAAGUUCGUACCCCCUCUUACAAAGUUCGUACCCCCUCUUACAAAGUUAGUACCACCUCUCAUAAAGUUCAUACCCCCCUCUUACAAAGUUUGUACCCCAUCUCACAAAGUUCUUACCACCUCUCAAAAAGUUCGUACCAUCUCUCACAAAGUACGUACCAUCUCUCACAAAGUAAGUACCAUUUCUCACAAAGUUCGUACACUCUCUCACAAAGUUCAUACCCUCUCUCACAAAGUUCGUACCAUCUCUCACAAAGUUUGUACCCCCUCUGAAAAAGUUCGUACCCUCUCUCACAAAGUUCGUACUAUUCCUCACAAAGUUCAUAUCAUCUCUCACAAAGUUCGUACCAUCUCUCACAAAGUUCGUACCCCCUCUAACAAAGUUUGUACCCCCUCUCACAGAAUUUGUACUCUCUCUCACAAAGGUCAUACCCUCUCUCACAAUGUUUGUACCCCUUCUCACAUUGUUUGUAUCAUCUAUCACAAUUUUCGUACCCCCUCUCACAUUGUUCGUACCCCUUCUCACAGUGUUUUCCUUCAAGAUAUAUAAAACUUCAUCUUCAAAUUUAAUCUACAAAUAAACAAAAUAAUAAUAUAAAAAUAUUAAUGACAAUUUAAUAAUAAAUGACUAAAUUGUCUCAAUUUGAUUAAUAAUAACUCAUAAAAAAAAAUUCAAAAAUCUAAAUGUUAUAAAGCAUUACAUAUUGUUCAUACCCUUUCUCACAAUGUUUGUACCCCCUCUCACAUUGUUCGUACCCCUUCUCACAUUGUUUUCCUUCUUCAAGAUAUAUAAAACUUCAUCUUCAAAUUUAAUCUAUAAAUAAACAAAAUAAUAAUGUAAAAAUAUUAAUGACAAUUUCAUAACAAAUGACUAAAUUGUUUCAAUUUGAUUAAUAAUAACUCAUAAAAAAAAUUCAAAAAUCUAAAUGUUGUAAAGCAUUACAUAUUUAAAUGUCAUUUAACAUGACAUUUCUACCUACAAAAUUUAUAUUUAAAUAAAAAAUAUCAAAUAUUACCUUUGACACUUGUAAUCACUUGAAAUCUUUCAUCUUUUUCAUAUAAUAGAAAUUUUAAAUUUUCUCCCUCAAAAAGUUUCAAACUUGAUCUUCAAAUUUGAUUUAUCAAAACACAUCUCACAUAUUUUAUAAUAUGGUAGUUGAAACUAUUUAAUUUUUAUAUUAAAUUAGUAUCCCUUUUUGUAAAUAUGAAUAAUGAGAGUAUAAGGAUAGUUGUUAGAAUUUUCUUUUUUUAGAUAGAAUUAGGUAACAUUAAAUAAUAAAUUAUAUUUGAUAUUUAAUAAUAAAUUAUAAAAAAAUUGUAAUAUUUAGAUAUGUAUGAAUUGCAUGUAAUUAUUUCUCACAAGCAAGCCAUCUUUAUCGGUUUAAUAAGUUUUUAAUUUUUUUUUUUAAGUGGGUAGGUACCCAAAAUAAAGAGUGGGUACCAAAGAACGAUAUAUAUUUUGUCUAUAUUCUGUAAGUGACUGAAUGAUAGAUGCCUGUUGGUGAAAGAGAUGCCUGUACGUCGGCUUAAGAGAUGUUCUUUAUAUCAAACAAUAUAUAUUUAUCUAUAUUCUGUAAGGGGCUGAAUGAUAAGAUGCCUGUUGGUCAAAGAGAUGCCUGUACGUUUGUCUCAAAGAUGCUUGUUUAUAUCUAAGAAACAAAAGAUUCACAUAAAAAAAAAAAAUGAUGCUUAGAUUAUAAUAUUGAUCCUUGUUCUAUUUGGUUUAAGAGAAUAGUUUGACAUACAUGCAUAAGGUAAUUAAUAAAUUCCUGGUCAAGUGUCACGUUCAAACAAAUUCCUGGUCAAGUGUCACGUUCAAACAAGAAGAUUAAUUAAUAAAAAAGGUCAUUUCAAGGAGUAAAAAAAUUAUGAAAAAUAUAUCAGUUUUAACCACUAAUAUUAAUUAUUAGCAAAAGUCACUUUGAACCAUAAAAAAAUAAAAAAUAAAAAAAAUUAAUAACAAAAUAUCACGUUGAACCACAAAUAUUAACUCACAGCAAAAGGUCACCCUACGCCAUACCUACUAACAGAAACAUGUUCAUUAGUUAACAUGUACACCAAACCACCAAGAGAGACAACACCUCAUAAAACAGUUUUUAAGACCAAAUUUUAAGAACAGUUUUUUAUGUUUUUAGAAACAUAAUUGUGUUUGGGAAUUGAAUUUUGAAAAAUACUUUUUAUUUUCAAAAACAAAAAAAAAACAUGUUUAGUUGAGUUAAUAAAAAAAGUUUUUAGAACAAGUAAAACAAAAAAAUAUAUUUGAAAGUUGCUUUUUUUUUUAAUUGAGAAUUUUCUUUAAUUAACUUGAUAUUGUAAUUAUAUACAUAAUUUUUAGAUUUACAUUUCAUUUAAAUUAAAAACUAUUAUAUUAUGAUAUUUAUUUGCAUGAGUUAUAAUUUUUUCAACAAAGGAUUACUUUACCUAAUUGAUGAAGGGUAAUAAAGGGACUCAUAAAUCUGCUCAUCUACAUCAUUUAUUUCAUCUAAUGAAAAGGUAUCAACAACCAUUGAUAUAAUCUACUAGCUAAAACAAAAAUGUAACAACAGCAACAAUUCAAGUAUUGGUACAUUUCAGAUCACUACAAAUUAAAAGACCUUUUGGGUACUUACAGGCGAAGAAUAAAGUGCAAACCAGCAGGAGAUAGACUCAAUAAACGAAUACAACUCAAUGGUGUAUUUAAUACUUAGAUCAGGCCUCCUUCCCCUGGAAGUUGUAAACAUGGAAUGAGCACCUGCAAAUCAAAGCAAGGGAACAGACAAAAACCAUUUUUUGUUACACUACAAGAACUAGACCAAGAGUAGAACCUGUAAAAUCAUAGUAAUCAAACACCAAAGGUCCAAAACCAGUGAUCCAUUUGCUAGAAAAGAGAAAUCAAAUUAAUGAAACACAUAUCACAAUCAUUUUAAAUAGAGCAGAGGUCAUUCAAAACCUAUGAAACUCUAGACGAUGUGUUAAUGAACCAGGAAAUAUUUUAAGAAAUCACACAAAGUGAUCUAUCUUAACCUAGUGUUAAUAUAAAAGAUUCAUAAUCCCAAGAUAGGGAAAAAAACAAAUACGCAGCCGAGAAUCAAACCAAUUAGGUAGAAGACAAAAAAAAAAAAAAACAUUUCAAAUUAAAUAUAUACUCCAAUCCGAAUCUCAAAACCAUAAAUUAUUUUCAUGGAGAAGACAAAGAAAGGAAGAAAAAGACAAUACCUAAAACACUGAGUCUCCUUCUCAUUGAAUCCCCUUGAUGCAAAAGAUGCAAAGGUUAUUCUUAGCUCUUCAUUAGGCAAAGAGAUCCAUAUGUUGCGACAUCUGCAAAAGCCUAACUGUUAUCUCUCUUGCCAAUAUCCAGAGGGUAGAAUAGGCCACCAGCCUAAAAUUCAAAGCUUCAUAACACCAUCAAAUAGCGUACAUACAAGCACAUGAACACAUAGAGAGAGACUUUUUACACGAACAGCACCUUCUCUGGCGGCUAAUACAAGAAUAUCAGCACGUGAGGGUAGGUUGCUUCCAGCUCUUCCUUGAUGGAUUCAAUUAUAUCAAAGCCUUUUAGAGUUUCAUUAGAAAGCGAAUCUUUCUCUGAAUGGAUUCCAAUAUUUUUCUUGCCGUCAGUCUCUUCCGUGCACAACCCUUUCAAAUCAUGGGCCCCAAAAACAAACCAAAUUCCACAUACUUUUCAACUAAAUACAACCAUGAAUGCCAGUGCUGCCCUAUAAAUAAUAUGGAGCUUGCCAAGCUAUUUCUCUCAUACCUACCAAUUCAUCAUUCAAGGUAUAGUACUGUUCUAUCAUUGUUCCAAGGAAUUAACAUGUCUACUCAAGUCUCAGCAUCUUCUCUAGCCCAGAUUCCCAAACCUAAAAAUCGUCCUGUGGCAAACUAUCACCCCAACAUUUGGGGUGACCAGUUUAUCUCCUACAUUCCUGAAGACAAGGUAAUUGAAUGAAAAUAUGCAUCAAGUUUAAUGGCUUACAUACUUAUUUGGCAGUUAUUUUUCUUAAUGUGUUGGAUGAAAAAAAAUUUUGGUCCAGGUUACACGUGCCUGCAAAGAGGAGCAGUUUGUGGAUCUGAAAAAGGAAGUGAAAAGGAAAUUAACGGCUGCUGCUGUUGCUAACCCUUCCCAAUUGCUGAACUUCAUUGAUGCAGUGCAACGUCUUGGGGUGGCAUACCACUUUGAGCAAGAGAUAGAAGAAGCAUUGCAACAUAUUUGUAACAGUUUUCAUGACUGCAAUGAUAUGGAUGGUGAUCUCUACAAUAUUGCUCUUGGAUUUCGACUACUAAGGCAACAAGGGUACAGUAUUUCAUGUGGUAAGAGACUAAGAAAAAAAUGUUAUGUUCAACCUUCUUAUCAUUUAAAUCUUAUGUUCAAGUGGUGAUGUUUGUGUAGGCAUAUUCAACAAGUUUAUGGAUGAACGAGGUAGAUUCAAGGAAGCUUUGAUCAGCGAUGUAAGAGGCAUGCUAUGCUUGUAUGAAGCUGCACAUCUGAGGGUUCAUGGAGAGGACAUAAUUGCAAAAGCACUUGCUUUCACCACCACUCACCUCAAGGCCAUGGUAGAAAGUUUAGGAUACCAUCUUGCAGAACAAGUUGCUCAUGCCCUGAACCGGCCCAUUAGAAAAGGUUUGGAGAGGCUAGAGGCAAGAUGGUAUAUAUCUGUCUACCAAGAUGAAGCUUUCCAUGAUAAAACUUUACUAGAGCUAGCAAAAUUAGAUUUCAAUCUAGUGCAGUCACUGCACAAGGAAGAGCUAAGCAAAUCUUGCAAGGUUGGUUUUUAGAUCACCCCACAUGUACUUGGCCAUUCUUAUCACUUUCCUGUAUGCUGAUCAUAUUAAUGUCUUUUAGGUGGUGGAAAGAAUUAGACUUUGCUACAAAGUUACCUUUUGCACGAGACAGAUUGGUUGAAUGCUACUUUUGGAUACUUGGGGUGUAUUUUGAGCCUCAAUACUUACGGGGUAGACGAAUUCUAACCAAAGUAAUUGCCAUGACAUCCAUUCUAGAUGAUAUCCAUGAUGCAUAUGGCACACCUGAAGAACUCAAGCUCUUCAAGGAAGCCAUUGAGAGGUUUGCUCCUUGCACAUUACCAACCUUGAUUGUGUAUAAUAGAUGUAUUCAUAUAUACCUAAAUCAAGGGUCGUUAUUUUAUUUUCAGGUGGGAUAUUAACAGCAUAGAUCAGCUUCCAGAAUACAUGAAACUCUGCUAUGCGUCACUCUUAGAUGUGUACAAAGAAAUCGAGGAAGAGAUGGAGAAAGAAGGAAACCAAUAUCGGGUUCACUAUGCCAAAGAAGUAGUAGGACAUCUUUAACUCUGGAUCCCCACCUUUUGUAUUGAUGAUAUUUUAUAUGGUCUCAUAUAUACAUAGAUAUAACUUGGAUGAAUGUUCUUUAGAUGAAGAAUCAAGUUCGAGCUUACUUUGCUGAGGCCAAAUGGUUACAUGAAGAACACGUACCAACAAUUGAAGACUACAUGCGUGUUGCACUAGUAAGCUCUGGAUACUGCAUGCUUGUAACCACGUCCUUGGUGGGAAUGGGAGAAAUAGCAACAAAGGAGGCCUUUGAUUGGAUGACCAGCGAUCCUAAGAUUAUGUCAUCUUCAAAUUUCAUUGCGAGGCUCAUGGAUGACAUCAAAUCACAUAAGGUAUGCAGAAUAUGUGAUUCAAAUGGGGAGACUAAAACACUAUGGUUUUUCCUCAACUUUUGUAUUAUACAUGCAGUUUGAGCAAAAGAGACGACAUGUGGCCUCAGCUGUUGAAUGUUACAUGAAGCAAUAUGGUGUCUCUGAGGAACAAGUAUACAGUGAAUUUCAAAAGCAAAUUGAGAAUGCAUGGCUGGAUAUUAACCAGGAAUGCCUCAAACCUACUGCUGUUUCAAUGCCUCUCCUUGCUCGUAUUCUCAAUCUUACACGAACCGCGGAUGUCUUUUACAAAGAGCAAGAUUCGUUCACACAUGUUGGGAAAGUGAUGAGGGAUAACAUUGCGUCUGUCUUCAUUAACGCUGUAAUAUAACCAAAUAGAGUAGUUGAUUACCGUCCCCUAUGUAUUGCCUUGUGGAAGCAGUAAUAUCUAAUAAAUCACUAUAAUAAGGUGAACGAGUGAUAUGUAAUAAAUCAUUGUAAUACGGUAAGGGGACACAUUAUAUGUAGCACCUAGUUUCUCUGGAUUCAUAGUGUUUUACUUUGGAAUAUUACCUGAAUAUUUAAAUAAGAAGAUGUAUUACUUAAAUCACCUAAUAUAUAUAUAUAUAUAAUAAACUUUAUUAUAUUAUAUUCUUUAAUACAUAUGUAUUAUUGUCAUUCAAUAUGAGGAGUAUUGAUACUGAGUCUUAAAAUACAUAUGUAUGUAGAAUAUAUGCCUACAACAAAUCUGGAUCUCCUUGUUAAUGUGUAAUGGUGUUUUGGAGUACUACAAUACUCACCAAAUAUUUUCUUUUCACUUUAUAAUGGACACUAACUUGUGAGUUUAAAGUUAAUUAAAUAUUUAACUCUAUAGAGAAUUAUUAUUGUUGUUGUUGUUGCUAGCGUUAUUAUUAUUUAUUAAUUCAUUAUUAUGAAAAUUAUUAUUAUUAUUAUUAUUACUAUUUAAUUAUUAUUAUUAUUAUUAUUAUUAUUAGCUAUUAAUUUUAGUUUUUUCCUUUACAUCUUUUCUUUCUUGUUAUUUAUUAUAUACUUCAUAAAAUUACAAGUUAUGAUCUUUUAUUAGGUUGAAAUUGGAAGUUCAAGUUCAUUUAAGUAUGGCACAGUUUACUUAGCGGUUCACUAAUUUUGUAAAAACUUCGAUGCAUUUAUAGGAUAAUUAAAUAAUUCAACUAACUUAUCAUUUUACUAAUUAAGGUUUUUUUUAACCCUUUUACGUGUAAGAAUAUAUAAAUUUCUAGUUCAAUGUCGAAACUUUGGAAUUGCAUGAAUAUGAAAGUGAAAUUGAUAACAUUUUUUUUUUCUGAAGAAUUGUGCUUUGAAGUGAGAUGGGCCUGAAAAUUGAUAUAACAUCCUCUUAUCAUCCACAUUUAAGUUCAAGAUUCAAAUAAAGUGUAAAAAUUGAGUUAAAAGAUAUUAUCAUUCAUUAAUCCUUAAAAUGCCCUUAACCCUUGCAUAAACACACAAUGAAUGUAAAUUUCAAUUUCUUUGUAUUUUUUUUCCCAGUCUAUUCCCUAUUACCUAUUACCCAUUACCCAUUUCUACCUUUUUGUUUUCUUUUUCAUUUUUUCUUUUCUUCCCAUCUAUAGUUCUAUUUUAUGCCCAAUGUUAAUCUCUCAUAAUUAUAUUCCCAUUUUCAUUCGAUCCAUUAUUAUAUCAUUAACAACCAUAUUAAUUGCUAUUAAUUUUAUAUUUACCUUACAAUUCAUCCAAAUAUUUUUCAUUUGUAUUUAUCUUUUAGUUGAACUUUCAUUUUUUAUUUUAAAUUUACAUUACCUUUUUAUUUAUAUUUUUCCCUUAUUUUUAAUUAUUUUCUAUAGUUUCCACAUUAACCAUAUUUUUUAAAAUUUUAAAAUUGACUAUCACUUCACUCUUAAUUUUUUUUAUAUAGCUUUUUAAGUUUUAAUGUUUUUAUUUUAAAUUUAAAAAAAAAUUAUUGAGAAAAUAACUAAUAUAUAAAGUUCUAAUAUUAUAUUAAUAAUUUUUCUUAUCUAAAUAAACUAAUGAAAAGUAUUUUUACUAACAACAAGAAAAUUGUGAACACAAUUUUUUAGUGAAACUUUAGAAAUUAAAUUUCAAAUAAAGUAUGUUAUAUCAAAUUUUAUCUAAAAUAUGUUGAAAGUGGUAUUUAAUUUUUUUUAUUGACUUUCAAACUUAUUAAAUUUUUUACUUGAAAGAUAAUAGAACAUGUUUAAAGAAAAUUAGUUUUUCAUUUUUUUAAAUAAAUGAGUAUAAAUAUUUUUAAAAAAUUUAAGAUAAUCUUAGUAAAAAAUUUGAUAAAUGUGAUUACAAUUUUAAAUUAGAUUUUUAAAUAUAGAUUCAUUUGGAUAAAAUUUCACAAAAAAAAAAUGGUGGAAAAAAAGGAACAUUGCUAAAACUACAAAAACAAAAUAUGCAAUUACAAAAUUUUGAUAAUGAAAUUUAAAAAUAAGAGUCGAAACAAUUCUUAGGUGAGAUAAUUUGAUUGGGGAGAUUAUGCAAUUCUUGAGUGAAAAGAAAAAAGCGGGAGAGUUUUUGAGAAUAACUUAAAAUCCUUGACAAAAAAUAGUAUUGUACACUCUUGUAUAAUUAGUAAAUUUGUCUUGUACAAUUAGUGUAAUCAAUAAUUCAGAUUCCAUAUAUUUCCUUGUGAAUAUAUGUUAAUAGGUUAAUUAACCAUGUUUGCAUUGGUUUGGUUUAAGAGAACAGGAAAAGUUGUUGUACAAUUUUGUUCCAUGAUUAUCAUUAAUAGGGUAUAUAUUCAAAUGAUCAUAUACAAGUUAGAUAAAGUGCAUGAGAUGAGUAUAUGAUUAAUCGAUGUGUAUGAGGAAUGUCAUCCAUCCUUGACUGGCAGAAUCACUUAAAUUCUUCACAAAUGACAACCUUGUGCACCUUUGUACAGUUAGCAUAUUUGUCUUGUAUACUUAAUGUAAAUAUAUUGUAUAGUGAACCAAAUUUCAUAUACCCUUUACUCAAUGUGUGUCCAUAGAUAGGUAGGUUAAACAUGUUUCCACUAGUUUAAUUCACAAAAUAGUGGAAGACGUAAAAACAAAAUUUUUCCUCAAACAUCAUUAGUGAGAUAAGUAUUCGAAUUGUCAUGUACAAGUUAAAUAAAGUGCAUGACUUGGGUGUGUGAUAGAAGAAUGUGUGAUAUGAGAGUGUGCAAUCCUUAAAUGGCAAGACAAAAAAAAAAUUGCAAGAACAAAAAGUGAGAAAAUCUUUAGGUAAUUAAUCAUGUUUUUUGAGUGACUCUAAUUAAUAAAUUAGCUCUAAGUGACUCUAAUUAAUUAAUAGCACAUUCCAGAAAGUCAAUUUAUAAUAUCUAGUACAAGCUUGCAUUUUUACCAAGACGCUUUUAUGUAGACUUAUGAAUUACAAAUACCCAAAAUACUCUCAAAGCAUUCCAUCAUGAAAUAGGAGCUCAAGUAGAGACCAUUGAGACCUAUAGGAAAACACUAACUCCUUCAAAAUCUAAUGUUGAAUUUGACUUUACACUCUACUAAAGAGAGUCAACUACACCCUAAUAUCUUAUGAAAUUACAAUGAGCGAAGAUCAAGUCUAUGACCUACUAUUCAUUGCAUGUAAACUCUUCAUAAAUCGAUGUCUGUAAUUUAACAAGAUAGUGUUAUUACCUAUCAAACUUAUCUCUUUAAUCCUUAAAUUAUAGAUCUCACUUCUUAUGUGAUCAACUGACAUACUUUGCCUUAGAGAAGUAUUAUCUUUCGAUGUGAAAAUUUAGUGGGUGUUAAUUGACUUUUUGGUAGUUCUUAAAGAAUAAUUUCCUCAAAUAACAAAAGAAGCACAUAAAAAAAAUGCAAUAAAAAAUAAUUGUGGUGGUCUCAAAGUGACUUGGCCAAAAGUUAAAUAAUUGGAGGAUGACAACACGGAACAAGGACUUUUCAAACAGUUAUAUACAAACUUAAUAUAAUAAGGGUUUUUUUAAUGAUUAUUUUGGGAAAAAAAUUUUAAAUAGGGGAGGAUAUAAUUAUAUAAAAAUAUGUGUAUGCAUAUCAAUACAUGUGUAUAUUUAUACGUAUUUUUACAUAUUAAUUUAAUAAAGUAAAAUAAAAAUCAAUUGGUAUGACAAACAAAAUUAAAGUAAUAACAAUCCUAUAAGAAAAUAAAUAAAUAAAUAAAUGAACAAAAGUAAGUUUGUGUCAAAAAAAUAUAGUAAAAAAAUAAAAAUCCUUGUGGAAAAACUAAUUGCUAAUAUUUUUUAUUUUAAAAACAUUUCUAAUAUUAACCUAUAUCGAAACUAUUUAAUUUUAUUACAUUUCAUGGAAAUAAACUUCCUGUAAUAAAAAUAUUUUCUUUUAGGUAUCUAUAGACGAGAAAAAAAUAUUUGAUAUAUGAUUAGAAAAAUGUUAGUGUCCGAAAAUCGAAAAAUGUCCUUGGAAGAUUGUAUUUAUUUCCCCUGAAUUUUCGGUUUAUCCGGUACGCUCCAUGCCAAACACUGCCCGUGUUUUACGCGGUUUGCAACCCAUACUCCAUGCUCCAUGUCGUAAACCAAUGAGAUUAAAGAUUAGUCUGACAGCUUCAUUGGAAAAAUUCAAAACUAAUGGAAAGAAUGAAUAAAAAAAUGAAAGAAAAUGAAUUGGUCCACAUGUGAAAAGGAGAGAGCUGGUCGUUGAAUGGGAAAUGGAGGAAAAUAGAAGAAAAAUGACAAAGGAAGGAGCCAAGAAAAGGAAGGAGGAAAAUAUAGUAUUUCUUGUUAAGCUAUAAUUUGACCUUGACCAUAAAGCUCAAUCAAACAUAUUUACUGCACUGUUCUUCUAAACCAUAUAUGCAGUUUGAGCAAAAGAGAGGACAUGUUGCCUCAGGCGUUGAAUGUUACAUGAAGCAAUACGGUGCCUCUGAGGAAGAGGUAUACGAUAAGUUUCAGAAGCAAGUUGAGGAUGCAUGCAAGGAUAUUAAUGAGGAGUUCCUACGACCUACGGCUGUUCCGAUGCCUCUCCUUAUGCGUGUGCUUAAUCUUUCUCGAGUGAUGUAUGUGAUCUACACGGGGGGAGAUGGGUACACUCAUGUUGGAAAAGUGAUGAAGAAUAAUGUUGCAUCACUGCUCAUUCACCCUAUCGCAUGACCAAAUGGAUCAAGUUGAUGAGCAUCUACAUAUUCUGCCAUACCUAAUGCAUCACUGCUCAUUUGAAUAUAUGUUUAAAACACAUGGAUCAAGUUUGAUACUUUUCUGUCAUUUAAAGUUCACGUGAGGGAGAAAAUUCUCCAUAGAAAAUCACUUGGCGGAGAAGAUUCAAACAACACGUGUAUUCACUAUGGAAGUUACCAGGAAAAGGGUUUAGAACAUACAAAGACAUAAAACACUAAAAAAUUCAUCCUAACGGGUAAAAUAUGAUUAUGAUUAUUAUUAUUAUUAUAAUAUUAGACAUGCUAAAAGUUUUAUUAUAUACCAUGUAAAAAAUAAAUGUUAUGAUAUUACAUUAAACUAUGCAGAGUUUAAAUUUUUGCCAAAAAAAAAAAAAAAAGAAAAAAAAAAUUGGAGAAUCAAAUUCAAUCAACUCAUCAUUUUCCAAGCAAGGAUUACGAUAUUGAAAAUUAUAGAUAGAUCGAUGAUUAUAUUUUUAAAAAACAUUGGAAUGAAAUAAUAAUACAUGUAUAGAAGUUUUUUAAAUAAUAUAUAUAUAUAUAUAUAUAUAUAUAUAUAUAUAUAUAUAUAUAAUAACAUUUGUGUGAUAUUGAAUAAUAAUCCAUAGAGCUUGAAAAUGCAUUUAAUUAUAAAAUAUAUAUGAUUGCAUGUAAUUUGAAAAUAAGUAUUUAUAAUUUCAUUUACGACUUUAUUUCUUCCUCAUUAUUUAAUUAAUAUAGACAAGGUAUAUAUAAAAAAAAGACUUUAGUGAAUGCAACUUCAAAUGACGAAUAAUGCACGGUAGCAGUAAGCGAAGACUCAUUAUUUUGACUUCAAGGCAUUAAUUCAUAUUUUAUCCAUUACACAACAAAAUAUAUAUAAAUAUCCUUAUAAAAAAUAUAUACAAUAUUUAUAGGUAACAACUUUCUUCUUAAGCAAAGCAGCCAAGUAAGACUACAAAAUCUAUACCAAACAAAAUAUCUACUAGGAAUAAAAUUGAUUGGCUCGAACUCAAACUACCUAUGGACAAAUUUGGAUAAUUAUUUCCAACAUUUAAAUUGAUUGGGCUUAGGUUAAAGUAUUCUUCAACUCUUAAGUCAAUUUUAGUUGGGCUCUUACCAAGGUUGUGACAUCUCGAAUCUAACCAAAAGUUGAUAUAAUAUUUAUAUAAUAAUUAUAAUUUAUAUUAUUAUGGACUCAUGCACAUUUUUCAUUUAUUAUGAAAAAUGAUUAUUUGAAAACCCUUUUUAGGUUUUUUAGAGUGAUCAUUUAUUUUAUUUAUUUUUCAAAAAGGAAAACAAAAUAAGAAAAAAAAAAAAAAAAAGACAAGUUCAUAAACCAAGAUUGAGUAAGAAGUCAAAUUACCUAUUGGAAAAAUACAAAGAUAAGUCAUACAAAACAACCCUCUAAGCUUAUAUACUUACAAUCUUUAUUAAGCAAAUGAAAUGAAUUAUGACAAUUAAAUAAUUGAUUAUGGAUACUCAAGAAAAGAAAAACACAAAUAUAAAACAAGUCAUGGUGUUUAUCAUGUUAAAAUAAUGUAAAAAAAAAAAACAAAUGAUAAAAGAAUUUGCAUAAAUUGAUUUAUGAAACUAAUUAAAAACAUGGGUUUAAUUAUUUCUAAAUUCAAAGGAUUAAAAAAGUUAUUCCAAUUUGAUGAUUUCAAUUGAUUUUAAGUACAAAAGAAAGUUUUGAUUUCAAAUUUUUUUUUGAAGAAAAAAAUGCUUCAAAUCAUAGAGAUCAUCAUUUAUAUCAGCAAUGCCAUGAUAGUUAUCAUAGGUGCUUUGUAAUGCUUGUUCUAUCUCGUUUUCAAAGUGGUAUGCCACCCCAAGCCGUUGAAUUGCAUCGAUAAACUUCAGCUGUUUCGAAGGGUUACUAGCUGCAGCAAUCAGCUCUCUUCUAACUUCCUCCUUUAGAUCUUCCAACUGCUGCUCUUUAUGGGCCAGAGUUAUCUGUAUCAAUAAAUUGCAAGAACAAAAAGUGUGAAAAUCUUUAGAUAUUGUUAUGUAAACUGCAUAUAUGAUCAGAAAAUUACCUCAUCAUCAGGAAUGUUGCUCACGAUGAAACUAUUGGCCCAAAUGCUAGGCUGAUAAUUUGCAGUCCGGCGAUUAGUCUCUGGAUUAGCAACUGGGGCUGGAGAAGACAUGUUACUGGUAGCGAGAAUUAAGGGCAUGUGUAACUCACUGGAGCACUCCAUAUAUGAAUAAGAUAGCUUGCAAUCUUCGGUAUUUAUAGGAUGGGAAAUCGUUCAUUACAAUUAUUGAAUAUCAAUCCCAGAUCCCCAGUAGCAUGGAUUCAAUUAAUUCAAGGUCAUCUAUCAUAUUUAAACCACGUUUAUUAAAAAUUAAAUAUUUAAAAUAUGUUUUUAUUUCUCUUAGAAAUACGAAAAUUGUAGCUUAUUCCCUUAAUAAUUCUCAGUAUCCAAUCAGCCACCAAACAGUGACUAAGACUUUCACGUGAAGAUCGUUGGGAAGGUUAAUUUAAAAAUAUUUUAAAAUACACGUAAGUUUUCAAAAAUCAAAUAAUUAUUUCUUGAAAUAAAAUUAUAUAAAAAAUAAUAAUUUAUCACUUUAAGUUAAUAAAAGCAUCUUACAAAUAAGUAUAUUAAAAAAAUAUAUAAUAUAAUAUGGGAUACAAAUCAUUGUGAAAAAUGUUCUAUGAUAAAUAAAAUUCCUUCUAAUCUUGUAAUUAAUAAUAAUUUUAUAUUAUAUAUUAUAUAAAUCAUUUCAUCUUCCUAUCUUUUUUAAUAAAUUGAAUAAAAUUUUUGUUGGUUGGCAUCAAUAAUAAAAUAAAAUAAAAAUUAGAACUUAAAAGUUAAAAAUAUAACAAAUAAAAUAUUGACUUUUAUUUCACUCAUAACAUGUCUGUUAAAAAUAUAGAUAUCAAGAAAGAAAAAUAUAAUAUGGGUCAAUAUUUUAUUUAAUUUUUUUUAUUUUAAUUGUAUUUAAUUUUUAAGUAUUUUGGUUUUAAUUGUAUUUUUAAUUUUUAAAAUUUCUUAUUUUAUAGUUGUUCAAUAUUCUUAAGAAUGUUUGUUUAUAAAGAGAAAAAAAAAAGUCAUAAAUUCGUCUCACAACACCAUGACUAAAAGGGAGAUUGGUUCUUUACAAUUAAACAUCUACACGUUUAUUUGUUUAUUGAUAUUAUUGAUGUAAGAGAUAAAAUGAUCAUUUUAGGAAAUAAUUAUUUAACUUAUGAGAAAUGUAUGUGUUUUAAAAUAUAUUUAAAUGGAUGAAAAUAAAACUAAUUUAUAAAAUUUUGAAUUUCUUUUUCAAAUUAGUGAGUCAUAACCUAGUUUUCCCUUAAUAUUUCAUUGUACAAUAAAAUUAAUAUCAUGGUAAUAAAAGAAUUUGGAUAUAACUAGGGAACUAAGUUCUUUUAUAUACAACACAAAAAUUAGUGUCUAGAUGAAAAGAAAAUUGCAAAUAAUUUGUUUUUCAAUCACACCUAUUGUAAGAAUCAUAUUAUUAAUUAUUUUGAUUCUUAAUUAACAAUAAUUAAGAAUAAUAUAAAUAUAUAUUUUUUUUAAUUAAAAUGUGAUUUGAGUUAGGAUAACUCUUAAAUUUUUGGCAAAUUUUCAAUGCCAAUAUUUCAUUUAUAUAAAACCACAUAAUAUUUCCUUGAUAUAAAAAUUAGGUCUAAAUGAUGCUUGAUAUGUCAAAUGUCCUUUCAAACAUUGAAAAAGUUAAAAAAAAAAAAAAAAAACAUUGAAAGUUAUGUGAUUCAAUUAAACCACAAAUUCCUUAGAGGAGAUGUAUAUAACCAGCCAAUCACUUUAUCAUAUGAAAAUCAUUCCUCCACCUUAUCAUAAUAAUUGAUUCUUCACCUAUCAAUAAUUUUAAAUUCCCCUAAUAUGGCAAUUUACAUCUCCUCUUUCUAUCAAUUUCUAGACCCAACCUUAUAUUAAUUUCUAAAAAUUUCAUCCCUUAAAUCGGAGUGGCAUGACAUUAUUUAGUAAAUUCCAAUAAAACUAUAAGAGUUCUAAACAAUCAAUGAAUCCAAAAUAAUCAUUUAAGUUUUAUUAAAUCAUUAUAUUUAUUUAUUAAACAUCUUUUAAGUCAAACUUAUUAUAUAAUAAGGCUUAAUUAUUUUAUAAUUUAUUUAUUUUAAUAGUUAAGAAAAUUGGAGGAUGCAUUGAAUUGAGCAAAACUAAAUCUCAAUCAUAAAUGAGCAAGCCUAUUUUAUAAAGAGACAAUAAAGUUUGGAAGGACCAUCUAUGGUCGAAUUCAUACACCAAAAUCUCUAGAAAAUCCGAGUGGGCACCAUCACCAUUGAAUAACGGCCCUACUUGGUAUGUGGGGUGAUGUUGUGGGUUUUGGAUGUUAAUAUGAAAAAAAGAGUCGAGUGUUUUGCAAAUGGCCGGCCGCCCUACUUGGUAUUACUGAGUGUGGAUAUGUUGGAGUUGUUUUGGGGCUUAAAGUUUUAGUUUGACUUGUUUAAAUUUCCUUUUUUUCAUGUACAUUGUAUUGACUCUUCUCAUCAUUGUUGUCGCAUUCCUCGGUCCUUAUUUUAAUAAUUUAUUAUAUUUUUUAUAUGAAAUGCAAAAUAUUUGAGUACUUUUUGAGUGGUUGCUUAUAAUAUGCAGUGAAAUUUGUUCCUACUAUUAUUUGUUAAAAGGGUAAAUAUUUUAGUGGUUGCUAUUUCUAAAGAAAUUAAGAUUUGGUUCACUUUUUCAAAAAUUAAUUUUUGCUUCCAAUAACAAAUAUAUAUAUAUAUAUGAAAAAAAUAUGAAAAUGAAAACAUGUCUAUGUGUUAAUUGUUCCAAAAAUAGAUUUUUGAAAAUAGGGUAUUUUUUAGGAAAAGUUUUAAUUGUUUUUAGUUGUUUUUUUUUUUUUUGUGAAUGUUUAAAAAAUAAUAUAUAAAUAAAAAAAUGAUUAAAAAUAAGGUAGUAUAUAUAAAAGUUUUUUUUAUUGUAGAGAAAUUUGAAAAACACGCUUUUAAUGUUAGAAAAUGAUUUUUAUACAAUAAAAAAACUAUUACAAAACAGAGUAGUCAAAUAAGCAAUUCUAUGACACUUUCCUUUCAUCUUUAGAUUUUGUCAUGGUAAUCAAAUUACCAAUUAUGAUUAGAAUUCCUUUUCUAUUAAUUAAGUCUAUAAAUUCAUUGUUUUAGCUAUGAGUUUAGUAAAUUUUUAACUAAAAAUUUGAAAAAAAUAAAAAUAAAAUUACUAUUCAUAUAUAUUUUCUUUUUUUGCUUUUUUUUUUUUUUUUUUUUGAGAAUUUUGUUAACUCAUCCCUCUUGGUGUUCCUCAAUUGGAAUCAACAAGAAGGGUUUUUUUUUUUAAUACUACUUUUUUGUCUUUUGAGAAUUUGGUUCAAUAAAGGGUUUGAUUUUAAAUUUUUUUUAGAUACGUAUACUAAUUAUUAAUUAGGAUAUUUGAUUGAGACAUGAAUGAUCUUGGCUGAUUUGUAAACUCUAUUUGAAAGUAGUAAAAGAUUUGUGUAAUCAUUAUUUCGUUAUAAAAUUAUCUAAAGAAAAAUUAUUAGUGCUUUAGUGCAUUAGUCUAGUUAAAUUAAAUUUGUAAUUUUUUAGGACGUCAUAUAUAUAUAUAUAUAUAUAUAUAUAUAUAUAUAUAUAUAUAUAUAUNNNNNNNNNNNNNNNNNNNNNNNNNNNNNNNNNNNNNNNNNNNNNNNNNNNNNNNNNNNNNNNNNNNNNNNNNNNNNNNNNNNNNNNNNNNNNNNNNNNNUAUAUAUAUAUAUAUAUUAAUGAUUUAUACUCCCUUUAAAAAUUCAAGGUUGCUGCAUAAUUAAUUUGAAAUUAAACAGAUAAGUAUAACUAAAUUGAUUUAGAAUAAUGAGCAAAAGGGAUAAGUAUUUAUAUGGAAAUUGAAAAUAAAAAUUUGAAAAUGAAUUUAAAUUUAGAAUUUAAAAUAGAAAAACUUUCAAAUAUCUUUUAGUUUAAAAAAUAUUUUUAAAGUUUAAAAAAAUCUUUCCUUCCUAACUCUUUUUUUUUUUUUUUUGGUAAAAUAUCAUUUGAGAGUUUUCAAAGAUCACCCCCUAAGCUUAAAGUCAUUAUUCUUUGUGUUUAAUAAAAAAAGGUUUCAAAACAUUUUAAAUUUGUUUGUUGAGUUUGAGAUAGAAGAUCACAUCCUCUCAAGGUGUCGAGGAGUCCAGUAAGGAGAAUGAUACGUUUGCAUCGUGGACAUGAAAUUAGGUACAAUCAUUAGAUAACUUUAUGUACUUAUCCUUCAAAUUUAGUGGAUUUUAAAUUUAUGGUAUUUGACCUUGUGGUUCUUAUAUCAAAGUCUUUGGGAGGCUUUGUGAGUGAUUUCUAUGUAAUUGCUUGUAUUUUUAAGUGAUUUUUUAUUUUUAUUUAUUCUUUAUAUCCUAAUAAAAGAAAAUAUAGAAACUAAAGAUUGGCAUACAUUGAGCUAAAUUCAAGAAGACUAUCUAUUUACUCCCUUUGAGGUGAAUAGAUAAAAAAGAAAGAAGAGAAAUGGGAGAUUUGUCUUUCUUUAAAUCCAAACAAGAUGAUAAGUCCCAGUCAAAGAAUCAUGUACUACAACAAUUGAUUACAAGUAUUCUCUUUGGGUGAGAACAGACCACACAAAGAAAUUGGGUGAAAAAAAUUGUCAUAUCCUUUAUUGAUGUCCAUGAGCGAUUUUUAACAUAUGUCGCUAAAACUAAAGGUCUUUAACACCAUAAUAAAAUAACUUCAAAUAAUAAAAAAAAUAACAAUAGUGAAAGCAAAAAAUCAAUGCAAUAGCUUUUGUUCUUCUACCACUACUUAUGACUUGUUCCAGCACAUGGUUGUUAAUCCCUUCUAAUUCCUUGGCCAGAAGAGAAUAGCAGCUUGACUAUGAAAUGAUCCCACAACCACUUGAAUGCGUACGUGUCUUCACGCAUGAUAUUUUGGAUUUCUUUUGAUGGCACAUUGCAAACGUUGUAGCCCAUUCAAAGUCUUGUCAUUACUCCCCCCUCCAAGUGGAUGCUUGUCCUCAGGGUCCUAAUUUGGAAACCUCUGCAGAAGCUCUUCGGUACUCUCCCACGUAGCAUCCUCCACAGCCAGCAUACACCACUUGACUAAACUUUCUUCACGAAACUUAGCCCCGUGUUUCACCCAGCGAGUGUCUAGUAUGGCUUUGGGCUCAAUCACAAGUGUACCAUCAUCUGAAAGUGGCAGAAGUUCUGAACUGUUCACGGAACCAUCUUGAUUACUACUCAAAAAGUGCUAUUUCAUAGCUUGUAAUUAACUCUUUUAAACACUUUUGAGUAGUAGUUAUUACCUUUUAACCCAAUUAACAUAUUAAGGACCUUUGCAAUAAAUUCUAAUCAAAUACUGUUAAGUUUUGGUGUUUUGAUAGCUUUUUGAUCACCAAAGCAAUCCAAGAUUGAGGAGAGUUCUUUGGAAUCCAUGGAAAAGCAAUGGAAAGCUCAGAAACAUGAAGAACCGAAGCUUUGAAGUCCUUUGCCAUAAGCAAAUCUGGAAUGCAAGGAGGGGAAGCAAAGAGAAAUCUGCCAUGAAGCAUUCUAGAUGACAGUCAUGUAAGCCACUUUUGGAGUACUUCCUGGAGUCCAAUUUAUGUAUGCUAUAUGUCGUUUCGAAGCUUAAGAAGUCAACAAUCCAAUGCUUUAAACAGUACGCGAUUCGGAGUUGAAAUGAAGGAGUUACAACCAUUGGAAGCUGAUCACUCCAAGCUAAAGGAAAAUUUUGCACGGCUGCAAAAUCCCCCUUUUGCUGCGAAAAUGUUGUCCUUUUGUUGCGAAAAUUUCGCAGCCAUUUUGCACAAUGCAACAGAAUUUCUCCUGAAGCUUCCUGAUAUUUGCGACAUACAUUUUGAGAUUUUUUGCUUUAGAUAUUUGAUGUCUAAAUCCCCAAACUCUCCUUGUAACCCACCUAUCAUAGGAUUCCUUAAUCUUUAAGUAAGAACAAAGGGUGAAUAACCUCUUAUAUAUAGUUUGUAAUUUUCUUUAUACAAUGAUCAAUCUCUCGAGAGCCUGUUCUCAGAGAUGAAUCAUCAUGUAAUUGGCGAAAGGAAGAAAUAUAUUUUACAGAGCACUUGCUCUGUUUUUCCUUCAUAUUUUUGUUUUCUCAUUAUUUUUCUUUCUAGCCAAUCAAACUUUGAGGAUGUUUUCUCAGAGGAUGAGAGGCUAGGCUCUUCGUCUCUUGGAGUGAAGAAAGCCGGGUAAGUUUCCUCAUGCAUAAAUUGGAAGUUUUGUUGUUUUAGUUUUUAAUGAAGAGAAAGUGUGACCCGUUAAUGGUUUUUAUCUUUUUAGUUAACUUAAAAUGCCUUUAAAUCACCUGGGCCAACACUUGGUAAGGCAAGUGAUCUCCGUCCAUUGAGAUGCACUAGUUUACCUAUUGCGAGCCUUUGGGAGGUGGUUUAAAGGUAGGAUUUUCUAGAAUAGCCAACACUUGGUAAGCUUUUGGACUCCAAGGAGACAUCCAUUAGUUAUCUCUUGCGAGCUUUUGACGGGUAAUCCAAGGUUAAGGAUCACCUUGAAUGGCAAAUGCUAGGUGAGAGGCACGAGCCAUUGCAAGAUGCAUCAGUGAGAGAGAUUUAGUGUUUGAACCCAUUAAUGGGAAGCAUCUGUACCACACCGGUUAGAGAAUUAACUAUAUGUUAAUUCUCUAAUGCGAGAAAAAGAAACAAGUGACCGGAACUCCCUUUUUGUACAAGGAACCUGAGCCUAGUGAUUUGAAACUCCAAGAAACACUUUUCUUUGUAAGUAAAAUCAGUUGCUAUUUUUGGUUAGUUUAAAACCAAACCUUUUUCAUUCAAACAUCUUUAUGUUUUAUUUUAAAGCUAACCUUGAAAUGAAAAGACACCAAUUCAUCUUUGAAUUAAUAUCAAUUGUGGAGUGAAAAACCAUCCCAGUGAAUGACCCUAGAGCCACUAUGCUAUGCUAGCUAAGGCUAUCCUAGUACAUGGUGUAAUAGGUUAUAAAUUUUGUUGAUUACUCCUGAGGACCAAAAUCAAGGGACACCAGCUGGACACGAAUCAAAUGGCACCACUGUCAGGGACCAUUGAGAGGACAUGAAUCAACUGAGACACCAAUUGGGAACGCAUCACAUCUCCAAGCUUCUUCCUUAGCAUCAAUACAUGAAAAACAAGGUGCAAGCGCACAUUGUCGGGUAGCUUCAGUUUUUAUGCGACAGCUCCCACUCUCUCCUCGAUUAGAUAUGAUCUACAGUAUUUGCUUGCAAGGUUCUGAUGAGCGCGUUGAAAACGAAUUGUUGGCGAUAAGGCUGUAGUUUGAGGAAAACAAGAUUGCCUUCUUGAAAUGUAGCAUCCCAUCAGUCACGAUAUGCUAUUUGCUUCAUUCGAUUCCUUGUAAUUGCCAAGUUUUCCUUGAGAUGUUUCAAUAAUGCAUCUUGAGUUGCAAGGCUAUGAUCAACUUCAUCAACGGGCGAAGACCCCAUCGAAUACAAUGGAAUAACAGGGGAAAGUCACCCAUAAAGAGCCUGGAAUGGGGUCAUGCCUAUAGAAGAGUGAUAAGCAAUAUUAUACCAUAACUCAGCCCAAGGAAGAAAUGUACUCCAUUGGCGUGGUUGUUGAUAGAUGAAGCAAUGCAGAUAUUGUUCCACACAGCGGUUGACAACUUCAGACUGGGCAUCUGUUUGAGGAUGGUAGGUAAAACUCAUCUUGAGUUAUGUACCCAACAUUGUAAAAAAUUCCUACCAGAACUUACUGAUGAAAAUGGGGUCCCUAUCACUAACAAUAGACCGCGACAUUCCAUGUAGUUUCACAAUGCCCUCAACAAAUUUUUUUGCCACCACAUUUGCUGUAAAUGGAUGAGAUAAGGGCAGAAAAUGUGUGUAUUUGCUGAGACGAUCAACAAUCACCAGAAUGGUCUUUUGAUCAUGGGAGAAUGGUGUUUUGAGCAAAACUAAAUCUCAACCAUAACGUAUCUAGUUUGAUUUAAUGUGAUUUAGUGUAAGAAAUUUGAUGUGAUUUGGUGGACCAUCAUGUUUAUGAUAGCUAAAAACUAGUAGGCAAUGAAAAUAAAAUAAUUCAUUCUUGCAGAGAGAAAGGGCAAGAGACAAUAAAAUAAUAAUUAUAGCACUAGACUUCUUCCUUACUAUCUAGUUUUCCCAUCUUCUUUUGUUUGUGAUUCCACUUGGGCUUACCAUUCUAUUUUAUAGAAAUAUGAGGAAAUUAUUCUUAUAAUUAACGUAGAAAAGUGAGGCAUGUUGAUGUUGGAUAAUUGGAAGUAACAUGUCUCCCUGAUGUCGUCGCCCAAUCAACUGAGAGUGAGGCUUCCUUCUCCUCUCCUGCAAAAGACACACCCUCCGAAGCUCUAGUUAGAUUGACAAUUAGAGAGAAUACCCCAUAUUGGGAACUCAAGAAGUGGAUUUUCUUUGCCCUCCCCCUCCCCCUCUUUCUUUUUGAGCCAUGUGAAGACUUUUAUUGUGUUUGGAGCCUUGUCACAUCUAUGCUGGGAAGGUGCUUUGACUUUCACAAUCAUGAUGGCUGCACAGAGGGUGGCAAAGCAAUCAUUAUCCUUUAGGCGGUUGAUAGGGGUCGUCGAUGGGGUGACCUGGCGUCUUGCUUGUCACCUCAUUCUACAAGCGGUGCAGUGCAGAGCGCAGCAGGUUGCCUGAAAGGACAUGGGGAUGUCCCAUCGAGCGUGCUUUUGGUGAGGAGAAGAAUGAUUGCCCGCGAAAACCGGUCAGGGAUCCUGUUUGGAACGCAUCAUGCAUUCUUGGAGAAGCACGAGGCAGCCAACCAUUGACUAUUGGGGCCGAAUUAGGUGUUCCUAGCUAAUGGCACAUGUCUAGACAAAGAUGAAGGGAUGCCAUGUGUCCAACAAAAGGGUGUCUUGCGAGGUCAAGGCAAUCUGCCACAUGUCCGCCCAAAUGAGGUCCUUACAAUGCCCCCUUUUAACCCAAUUGUUUUGUCCGGACAGAAGAGGCGAGUUAGUGGAGGGAGAUCCAAUGUCCACAGAGAAGGCUGCACACAACGUCAUUUUCUUUAGCAAUGAGCAGUUCAACGCGGGGCCCCGUUUCCUCUUCCAUCCAUUUUCAUGUAGUUCUUGCACUAUACCCAGAUCCCUCCAGCCGUUUCCAUCCUAAUAUCGUUUGGGUGUUAAUGGGGUGAAGCAUCCUGAACAUGCUCUUCUAUCUGGACCUCUUCCUAUCAUAGGUCAUCUUCGUCUACACCAUCAAAAAGGGCAAAAAUGACAUCUUUAGCAUGUUCGCCCAUAUCCCGUCUCUCUAGUUGGUGAUGAGUCUUCUUGAAUUGAACAAAUGAGGGGCCAAGAGACAUGUGCUGGUCCGGGGACCAUGGGUCAGCUUGAUAGAGCAUCCAGAAAGGGAUUUCCACCCUAACUGUUCAUUAAAGAUUCCGAGUAAGAAUGGUUCUAAGUGCCUCUCCCCUUACUAUUUUCUGUUGAGUUAAUGUCACUUGGUCGCUAAUAUUUUAUGUUUUGGCUGGUGUAAGUAAGGAUAAGAGGGGUCGUCUGGUUGAGUGGGUGGAGAAGGCUUCAUUCGUUCGAAAUCAUUGCCAGCGAAAGGAACUACCAGACGCUUCUUUCUGCCCGAAACCUACUUGCAGUUAUCCGGGAGCCCCAACCGUACGUCCUCCUCAUCAUUCCUAGGCGGUUGCCUAAGGUUGUGGUGCCCCGGGAACACUUUGUCUUGAAGAAUCUUUCAUUUUACGAAGAGACGUGUGAGGCAGAUGCCAAGGCUCGUUAGGAGCGUCUUGAGUAGGGGGAUGAGAAAAUGUAGGAGGGGAAAUUAAGGAGAGCGUCGGGUGAGAAGGGUCAGGCCUUGUUGUCUGUGGCCUAUCCUCCAACUAAAAAGAAGAAGAAGAACAAGAAGAAGAAGAAGAAAAGACCCAACGUAAAAGUGACCAAGGCUUCGACUCUAGUUCCUGAAUCUCCGUCUACCUCUACUCUUUCCUCUUCCAAUUCGGCGGACAGCUCCAUCCAAGCUUCCAAGGGUGACUCCGAUUCCUUGAGGCUCGAUCUAAGCGAUCCGGGGACUUGUCAUUCUGAGCCUGAGUCAGUGCCUAUAGCCCUUAGAGUUAUAGACGAACCAGAAGCAGAGGAAGACAUGUCAACUGAUUUGAGAGUCGGUUUUAAGGAGAGGCACCGUAAACGUCUGCAUGAGGCUAUCCAUAUGGUCCCUCCUCCAACCAAAAGGGCUUGCCCGGAAGGGGCUCGGGAGGAGCCUAGGAGACAGGUCCUUCCAAUGCCAAUGCCCCCGUUGGAUACCGUGGGGCCUAGCAGCACGCUUGUUGUUGAGAAAGAGGUCGACCCGACUCUAGGUGGGGUCUCUGGUGGUGUUGCUCUUGUUGAGGAGGUUUUGGACCAAAAAGACACUCCUGCGUCCGCUCCUCCUCCAAGCUGGGAUGAAAUGAUGGAGAUGCUAAAGCACAUGUCAUGCUUCACUGAUGCUGAGCCACCUUUCACCAAGAUGUCAGAUUUAUUUCCUUUUACCAAGCGGAUAUCGAUGAAUUUAGGCGGUGACCCUCCCAUCUUCGUCUCAACCCGACUUCCUUUUGGCACGCCCGAGUCUACCACCUCCCGUAUUCAACAACUGCGGGAUUGCAUGGUGCAAGAGACUGCAAAAGUGGUAACUUCUUCUAUGUUGCCCCCUUUCCGGAUAAUGCACACCUCCCUAAUGGCGCUAACCCUAUUUCUAUUAUUUCUUUUAGUUGGUGGUUGGCAUCCGCAACAUGGUGCGUCAACGCACACUACUUUCAAAUCUGAAUUUUUCUUACUUGCUCUAUUGUUGCCCAAAUUUCUUAAUCAUUUUUCAUUCUCUAGUUAUUCUACCCAAGAAUUUGAAUAGAACCUCCAAAUAAUCAACCAAAAUUUCAACUCUUGACAAGCAACCACACUUGGACACUCAUAGUUCCACUCUCCUUACAGUAUAAGAUUCUAAACUUAAGGAAUUUUGAUUUCUUGUUCAGUUUUACUGUCUACUUUGCAUGUUCUUGGUAAGAUAAUGGUAGCUCCACACAAGCAGAAUGACAUGAGUAAGGUACAUGGUGCUACAAGGAUGAGAUGGAGACCAAAAAAAUUCUGUCAUGAUUUGAAUUGUUGCCCAAAUGAGGUUUUCUCAUUGCCAGGGUAUAACUCUCAAAUUAAGCUUAUUUGUAAUGUAUGGGAAAAUUAUAUGCUAAUAAUGUCCAAAAGCUUAUGGCUAGUGAGGUUUGUGUCUAUAUGAAUGUGCUUUUGAGCAUUGAACCUUAAUUUACAAUCUAGAGAUUUAAUAUGGAAUCUUGUUUUUUCUACAAAUGUUGGAGAUAUUACAACAUUAGAACUGUUGAUUUUCUAUGAUGUGUUGAUUGAUUACUACUCAAAAAGUGCUAUUUGAUAGCCUUUAAUUAAUCCUUUUAAACACUUUUGAGUAGUAGUUUAGGCCUUUUAACUCAAUUGGCAUGUUAAGGAUCCUUUAAAGCAAUUUUGAUCACUUUGUGUAAGUUUUGGUGUUUUUGUUAGUAUUUUGAUCACCAAAGCAAGUCAAGAAUGAGGAGAGCUAUGAGGAAUCUUGGGCAAAGCUUAGAAUUCAAUUGCCAAGAGUGAAUCCGGAUUGCAAGGAGAAAAAGCAAAGAGAAUCUGCCAUGAAGCCUAUUCUUGAUGACAGUCGUAGCAGCCACUUUUGGAGCACUUUCUGAAGUCCUAAUGAUGCAUGCUAUAUACCAUUUCAAAGAUUAGGAAGUCAACAAUCCAAUGCUUCAAACGGUGCGCGAUUCGGAGUUGAAACAAAGAAGUUGCAGCCAUUACAAGUCAAUCACUCUAAAGUGUUGCGGAAUCAGCCAUUUGUUGCGAGAAUUUCGCAGCACUUUUGUACAGUAAGGUGUUUCUCCUUCUGACGAUGCACGAACCAUGCCGCGAGAAGGGAGCUGGAAACCUCAAGGUGGAAGCCAACUUUGCAGCCUGGUGAAGAUAGCUUGGUGUUGCGAAAAUAUUUCGCAGCCCUCUCAGGUGUCUGCGAAAUUUCGCAGACACCACUUUUCUCCUGCGAAAUGGCUCCUGAAGCCUCCCGAAGCUUGCUACCGACAUUGGGAGAUAUUUUCCAUUAGAUUUUUGUUGUCUAAAUCCCAAAAUACUCCUUGUAAACCACCAAUUACAUGAUUCCUUAGUUUUUAAGUUAGUAAAAAGACCAAAUAUCUUUGUAAUAAUUAGUUUUAUAUUGUUUUGAUAUAAAUACCUCUCGGGAGCCUGUUCUCAGAGAGGAGUUCCUUCUGUAAACGUUUGGUAAGCUAGUAAAGUCUAUUUUCUUUCUACUGCCUUACCUUCUCACUUUGUAUUUUCAUUUUAUUUCUAAGUUAUGAAUUCUCUGAGGAGUUUUCCCCAGAGAAUGAGUAACUAAACCUCCAAUUCCUUGGAGCUAAGGUUGCCGGGGAAGGUUCCAAGUGCAAGAAUGCAAAGCUUUGUGGUUUUAGCUAUUAAUGAAGAGGAAGUGAAAUCCUUUAGUGAUUUCUAUGUUUUUAGUUAACUUAAAACACCUUGGAGUCACCUGGGCCAACACUUGGUAAGGCAAGUGAUUUCCAACCAUGGAAAUGCACUAGUUUACCCCUUGCGAGCCUCUGGUAGGUGACUUCAAGGUAGGAUUUUCUGGAAUUACCAACACUUGGUAAGCUUUUGGACUCCUAGGAGACAUCCAUUAGUUAUCUCUUGCGAGUUUGUGAAGGGGAAUCCAAGGUUAAAGAUCACCUUGAAUGGGUAAGUGCUCGUGAGAGGCAUGAACCAUUGCAAGUUGCAUCAGUGAGAGAAUUAAAGUGAAAUCUAAUUGAAGGAGUCUCUGUACAUCACCGGUUAGAGAAUUGACUCUAAGUUGAAUCUCUAAUGCGAGGAAAUGAACCAUCUGACCGGAGCUAUGUCUUUUGCAUGAGGAACCACCCCAGUGAACCUAAAUCUCCAAGGAAUGCUUUUCUUCCUAAAUUAUUCCAAACUUCUGUUAAGUUAGUUAGUUUAAGUCUAAACCUUUAUCAAUCAAAGUUUGUGUUUUACUUCUUAAGCUAACCGUGAAAUGAAACAAGACCAAUUCACUUGGAAUUGGUAUCAUUGAUUGCUUGCAAAUCAUUCCCAGUGAACGAUCCUAGAGCCACUAUACUAUAGUAGCUUUGUAUUUGCUACCCUAGUGUAUGGUGUUAUAGGUAUAAAUUUUGUUGAUCACUUCCUCAAUCAAGGAGCGCCAGCUGAACACAAAUCAGCUGAGACACCAAUUGGGCAUGAGUCAAAUGGCGCCGUUGCCGGGGAAUGAGUGUCAAGUUCAUUGUGAUACCAUUGUUGAGCACUUGUGAUUUUCAUCACAAGUUGGUAAAGUUUCUUUCAGUUUACUAAUUUUCAUUCUUUCUUUGUUAAUUCAUAAUCUAAGUUUAUCUUUUUAAAUUUUAGUCUAGUUUAAUUUUGUUGUUGUAGCCCUGUUUUUCUUUGUGUCUUCUGUUUUUAUUUAAGUUGCAGCUGAAUACUAGUUGUGUAUGCCCAACUGGAUACGAGACAUUGGAGGUAGGCUUGUUAAGUGUGAUACACCUCAGAAAGGAGAAUUUGAAGUAAUCUUGAACAUCAUGGAGGCUGCACCUGAAGAUCAGCAUAGUCACCAAGGUCGUCAAGACAAUCUCAAUGAAUUCAGAUCAAUGAGGGACCGUAUGCAUCCACCUCGUAUGAGUGCACCAUCAUGUAUAGUGCCCCCUACAGAGCAGCUAGUGAUCAGACCAUAUCUUGUUCCACUUCUACCAACUUUCCAUGGGAUGGAAAGUGAGAAUCCGUAUGCACACAUCAAGGAAUUUGAAGAUGUUUGUAAUACAUUCCAAGAGGGAGGAGCUUCAAUUGAUUUGAUGAGGCUUAAGUUAUUUCCUUUCACUUUAAAGGAUAAGGCCAAAAUUUGGCUUAAUUCUUUAAGGCCAAGGAGUAUCCGCUCUUGGACUGAUUUACAAGCUGAGUUCCUUAAGAAAUUUUUUCCUACUCAUAGAACAAAUGGCUUGAAAAGGCAAAUUUCAAAUUUCUCAGCUAAAGAGAAUGAGAAAUUCUAUGAGUGUUGGGAAAGAUACAUGGAAGCUAUAAAUGCUUGUCCUCACCAUGGCUUUGAUACUUGGCUAUUGGUGAGCUAUUUUUAUGAUGGUAUGUCAUCCUCAAUGAAGUAACUCCUCGAGACAAUGUGUGGAGGAGAUUUCAUGAGCAAAAAUCCAAAGGAAGCUAUGGAUUUCUUGAGCUAUGUAGUUGAUGUUUCAAGGGGAUGGGAUGAACCAACCAAAGGAGAAGUAGGAAAGAUGAAGUCUCAGUUGAAUGCUUACAAUGCAAAGGCUGGGAUGUAUAAUUUAAAAGAAGAUGAUGACAUGAAAGCAAAGUUGGCAGCUAUGACAAGAAGAUUGGAGGAGCUGGAGCUGAAAAAAAUACAUGAAGUGCAAUCUGUUGCUGAAGCACCAGUGCAAGUGAAGCUGUGUCCCAAUUGUCAAUCAUUUGAACAUUUGGUGGAGGAGUGCCCUGCAAUUUCAGUUGAAAGGGAAAUGUAUAGAGAUCAAGCAAAUGUUGUUGGACAAUUUAGGCCCAAUAACAAUGCUCCUUAUGGAAAUACCUACAAUUCAAGUUGGAGGAAUCAUCCAAAUUUCUCAUGGAAGGCCAGAGCAACUCAAUACCAACAGCCGGAUCCACCAUCUCAACAAUCUUCAAGUAUUGAACAAAUAAUAGCCAAUCUCAGCAAGGUAGUGGGAGAUUUUGUGGGAAAGCAAGAAGCCACCAAUGCUCGAGUUGAUCAAAGAAUGGACAGAAUGGAGAGUGUGUUGAACAAAAGAAUGGAUGGAAUGCAAAAUGACAUGAAUCAAAAGUUUGAUAACAUCCAAUAUUCAAUUUCAAGGCUUACAAAUUUGAAUACACUGCAAGAAAAAGGAAGAUUUCCUUCUCAACCUAACCAAAAUCCCAAAGGUGUCCAUGAAGUGGAAAGCCAUGAGGGAGAAUCAUCACAGGUGAAAGAUGUGAAAGCUUUGAUCACUCUAAGGAGUGGUAAGAAAAUUGAGCAGCCAACACCCAAGCCACAUGUUGAAAAAGAAGAAGAGAUAAAGAAAGGGAAGGAAAUGGAAGAUAAAGAGAAUGAGAUCAGUGAAGAGAAGAAGGACUCUGAUUCAACAAUGAAAGCAAUUCCAGAGAAGGAGCUUCUGAAGGAAGAAAUGCUAAAGAAAUCAACUUUUCCACCUUUUCCUCAAGCAUUACAGGGGAAAAAGGGGGUUAGAAAUGCAGCUGAAAUCCUUGAAGUCUUGAGACAAGUGAAAGUUAAUAUUCCACUGUUGGAUAUGAUCAAACAAGUUCCAACGUAUGUAAAAUUCUUAAAGGACUUGUGUACUAUCAAAAGAGGGUUGACUGUAAACAAGAAAGCCUUCUUGACUGAGCAAGUAAGUGCAAUCUUACAAUGCAAGUCUCCUUUGAAGUACAAAGACCCUGGAAGUCCUACCAUUUCAGUCAUGAUUGGAGGAAAGGUAGUGGAGAAAGCCUUGCUAGAUUUAGGAGCAAGUGUGAAUUUGCUUCCAUACUCUGUCUACAAGCAACUAGGGCUUGGAGAGUUGAAGCCAACAACAAUCACCUUAUCUCUGGCAGAUAGAUCAGUGAAAAUUCCAAGAGGAGUAAUUGAGGAUGUAUUGGUUCAAGUAGAUAAUUUCUACUAUCCUGUAGAUUUUGUUGUUCUUGAUACUGAUCCAACUGUAAAGGAAGCUAAUUUAGUUCCUAUCAUCCUUGGAAGGCCAUUUCUUGCAACUUCAAAUGCAAUCAUCAACUGUAGAAAUGGGCUUAUGCAACUCACUUUUGGUAACAUGACACUGGAUCUAAAUAUUUUCUAUAUGUCUAAAAAGCAAAUCACUCCGGAAGAAGAAGAAGGUCCAGAAGAGCUAUGUAUAAUUGAUACUUUGGUGGAGGAGCACUGCAAUCAACAUAUGCAAGAAAAGUUGAAUGAAAGUCUUGAGGAUAUUGAGGAAGGUUUUUCUGAAUCUCCUAUUGGGCUUGCUACUCUACAAAGUUGGAAAAAGAUAGAAGGAAUUCUACCUUUGUUCAAUGAAGAAGAGGAGGCAUCUAUUGAAAAAGAAAUUCCAAAACUCAAUCUGAAGCCUUUACCUGUGGAGCUGAAAUAUACAUAUCUUGAAGCAAAUAAUCAAUGUCCUGUUGUGAUAUCCUCAUCUCUGACCAGUCAUCAAGAGAAUUGUUUAAUGGAAGUUCUUAGGAGGUGUAGGAAGGCAAUAGGAUGGCAAAUAUCUGAUUUGAAAGGCAUUAGUCCUUUAGUUUGUGCUCAUCAUAUAUAUAUGGAGGAGAAAGCAAAGCCAAUUCGUCAAUUUCAAAGAAGGUUGAAUCCUCAUCUACAAGAGGUGGUGCGAGCUAAGGUGCUGAAGCUACUUCAAGCAGGAAUCAUUUACCCUAUAUCUGAUAGCCCUUGGGUGAGUCCUACUCAAGUGGUACCAAAGAAGUCAGGGAUCACAGUGAUUCAAAAUGAAAAAGGGGAAGAAAUUACUACACGCCUCACUUCAGGUUGGAGGGUGUGUAUUGAUUAUAGAAAGCUGAAUGCUGUCACCAGGAAGGAUCAUUUUCCAUUGCCAUUUAUUGACCAAGUGCUGGAGAGAGUCUCUGGACAUCCAUUCUAUUGUUUCUUGGAUGGGUAUUCAGGGUAUUUUCAGAUUGAAAUUGAUUUGGCAGAUCAGGAAAAGACCACUUUUACAUGUCCAUUUGGAACAUUUGCUUAUAGAAGAAUGUCUUUUGGUUUAUGCAAUGCACCUGCUACAUUUCAAAGAUGUAUGUUGAGUAUUUUCAGUGAUAUGGUGGAGAGAAUUAUGGAGGUUUUCAUGGAUGACAUCACUGUAUAUGGAGGUACAUUUGAGGAAUGCUUGGUUAAUUUGGAAGCAGUUCUUCAUAGAUGCAUUGAAAAAGAUCUGGUGCUGAAUUGGGAAAAAUGCCAUUUUAUGGUACGUCAAGGAAUUGUCCUUGGCCAUAUCAUCUCUGAAAAAGGCAUUGAAGUUGAUAAAGCAAAGGUGGAGCUUAUUGCCAAAUUACCAUCUCCAACAACUGUGAAAGGAGUAAGGCAGUUCCUUGGCCAUGCAGGGUUCUAUAGGAGGUUUAUAAAAGGUUUUUCAAGUCUUUCAAAACCUCUUUGUGAACUGUUAGCUAAGGAUGCUAAGUUUAUAUGGGAUGAAAGGUGUCAGCAUAGCUUUGAUCAACUGAAGAAAUUUUUAACAACAACUCCAAUAGUGAGAGCCCCUAACUGGCAGUUACCUUUUGAACUGAUGUGUGAUGCCAGUGACUUUGCUAUAGGAGCUGUGCUUGGCCAAAGAGAAGAUGGGAAGCCCCAUGUGAUUUACUAUGCAAGUAAAACACUAAAUGAAGCUCAAAGGAACUACACAACUACAGAGAAAGAAUUGUUAGCUGUGGUAUUUGCUUUGGACAAAUUUCGAGCUUAUUUAGUGGGGUCUUUCAUCAUUGUCUUUACUGACCAUUCAACCUUGAAGUAUUUAUUGACAAAGCAAGAUGCAAAAGCAAGGUUGAUUAGAUGGAUUCUAUUGUUACAAGAGUUCGAUCUUCAAAUCAAAGAUAAGAAAGGAGUGGAGAAUGUAGUAGCUGACCACUUGUCAAGGUUAGUUAUAGCACAUAAUUCCCAUCCCUUACCUAUCAAUGAUGAUUUUCCUGAAGAAUCACUCAUAUUCCUAGUAAAAACUCCUUGGUAUGCUCAUAUUGCUAAUUAUUUAGUAACUGGUGAAAUUCCAAGUGAGUGGAAUGCACAGGACAAGAAGCACUUCUUUGCCAAAAUUCAUUCUUAUUAUUGGGAAGAGCCCUUUCUCUUUAAGUAUUGUGCAGAUCAGAUUAUAAGGAAGUGUGUCCCUGAAGAUGAGCAGCAAGGGAUUCUAUCUCAUUAUCAUGAGAAUGCAUGUGGAGGCCACUUUGCCUCUCAGAAAACAGCUAUGAAGGUAUUGCAGUCAGGGUUUACUUGGCCAUCUCUUUUCAAAGAUGCCCACAUCAUGUGUAGGAGUUGUGAUAGAUGCCAAAGGCUUGGAAAGCUAACAAAAAGAAAUCAAAUGCCUAUGAACCCCAUUCUAAUAGUUGAGUUAUUUGAUGUAUGGGGCAUUGACUUCAUGGGACCUUUCCCAAUGUCUUUUGGUAAUUCUUACAUUUUGGUAGGGGUAGAUUAUGUUUCUAAAUGGGUUGAGGCAAUCCCCUGUAAACAAAAUGAUCAUAGGGUGGUUCUCAAGUUUCUUAAAGAGAACAUAUUCUCAAGAUUUGGGGUGCCCAAGGCCAUAAUCAGUGAUGGAGGUGCUCAUUUUUGCAACAAACCUUUUGAAGCUCUGUUAUCCAAGUAUGGAGUGAAGCAUAAGGUGGCCACACCUUAUCAUCCUCAGACUUCCGGGCAAGUUGAGCUAGCUAACAGGGAAAUAAAGAACAUCUUGAUGAAAGUGGUGAAUUCCAACAGAAAAGAUUGGUCUAUUAGGCUUCAUGAUUCAUUGUGGGCAUAUAGAACAGCUUAUAAGACUAUUCUAGGGAUGUCUCCCUAUCGUCUUGUCUAUGGCAAAGCAUGCCAUCUCCCUGUGGAAGUUGAAUACAAAGCUUGGUGGGCAAUAAAGAAGCUGAAUAUGGACUUGAUCAAGGCCGGAGAAAAGAGAUUUCUAGACCUUAAUGAGAUGGAGGAAUUAAGAAAUAAUACUUAUAUCAAUUCCAAAGUUGCAAAACAGAGGAUGAAGAAGUGGCAUGAUCAACUCAUCUCCAACAAGGAAUUUCAGGAAGGGCAAAAAGUUUUGAUGUAUGACACAAGACUCCAUAUCUUUCCUGGGAAGCUCAAAUCAAGGUGGAUUGGUCCAUUUGUUAUUCACCGAGUAUAUUCCAAUGGAGUGGUGGACUUAUUGAAUUCCAAUGGCAAUGACAGCUUUAGAGUCAAUGGAUAUCGUCUUAAGCCGUUCAUGGAGUCAUUCAAAUCAGAAAAGGAGGCAAUCAACCUCCUUGAACCUCAAAAAGCCUAAGUGAAAAGGGUUUGUUGGACGUGGUUUUACCACAGUCCAAAAUUUUUGUAAAUUUUGUAAAUUUUCAAGUUGUUUUUAUGCUUUUGAUCUUAGUUAUUGAUCUUAAAUCAUGUUUUUAGGUGUGUUUUAAUCGUUUUAUAUGAUCCCAGGUGGAAGAAAUUUCAAGGGGAGUGAAAAGAAAAAAAUCGGGUCGAAAUUGGAGCUGAAACAGAGCAAAAACAGGGGAAAAACAAAGCUCUGCGAAAUUUCGCAGGGUGAAGGAAACCUCUGCGAACUGGGCAUUUUGUUGCCAAACCAUUCCGCAGCACUGUAGAAGUCUCUGCGAGUGUAUUUCGCAAUUGCGAAAGUGGUUUUGGCACACGAGUGCCACUUCGUAGUACAGUAGCACCCAUUUCGCAGCUGCGAAACUCAUUGCGAAAUGGAAAAGCGUGAUUUCGCACCAAAAGUCCCAUUCCGCAGGGCAUUUCGCAAUUGCGAAAGUGGUUUUGGCACACGAGUGCCACUUCGCAGCACAGUGACAUCAAUUUCGCAGUUGCGAAACUCACUGCGAAGUUGCUGCGAAAAUGGCAAGUUGCUGCGAAAUUGGCGUUUUGUUGCGAAACUUAAACUGACCCCUGAGCUUCCGUUUUUCCUAUUUAUACCGGUCAAAAGUUCUGCGAAAAGGGUUUCAAAAAUCAGAGCACCAUUCUCGCAGCCCCUUCGUCUUCUUCGCCAAGCCACGCCGUCCGUUUCUCCGGUCGUCUUCUCCGUUUAGCAGCGCCGGCCAAAGAUCGAUAUUCCAAAAUGGCACGAACGCGAGGGGCAAAGUCUUCAUCCCCUUCGAACCGCAAAAGGAGUCUGCGAAAGGAGCCAAGUUCAGGUUCUGUUCCAGAACCUGCUCCAAAGCCUUCGCCGUCGAGACCAAAUCCUCCUUCAGUGAAGCCGGCACCACCAAAGCCGCCGGCAAGGCGAUAUUUAACAAGGUCAGGCGGUCAGCCAUUGAAGAAGAAAACCAGGGUUGAGAGCUCUGAACCAAUUGAUUUGACUGAGCAAUCCCCUGAGAAAUCCCCAAAGCUAACACCGGUUCAAUCUCCGGUAUCUUCACCAAAUCCUUCACCGGUACAAAUUCCAGUGCCGUCACCGGUUCCCUCGCCAAUUCCCUCACCAGAAGCAACUCCAAUUCCAUCGCCGGUACCAUCUCCGGCACCCCAAGAAAAAGCUUAGGAGCCUCAAGCGCCAAUUCCAGAGCCCCAAAUUGCAGCUGAAGCACCUCUGGAAGAAGUGAUUAGGAGGCCAAUGCUGCCUCAGCCCCCAAUCAAAGGAAACUUGGAUUGUCGAACUCGGGCAUUCCAUUCUGAGCUUUGCUUCGAUUUAACAGCAUUCAGAGUGAGGCCAGAGCUUGCCCAAUCCUUCCAGCUACUAAGGAGAUAUCAUAUGGAGCAUCUGCUCGCUCCAAGGGAUUUUUUCUAUCCCCGGGUAGUCACGGACUUCUACUAGACCAUGACAACCAAAGAAGUAAGAAAUCCAACUCUGAUCCAUUUCACAAUUGAUGGAAGACAUGGAAUUUUGGGAGCAAGACAUAUUGCUGAAGCCCUGCAAAUUCCUUUUGAGCCAACCCAAUUCGACAAUUUUAAAGCUUGGGCAAAUCCUACUGAGUUAGAGAUGGUUCACAUCCUAACCAGAGGAGCUGCAAAUCGAUCGCAUUUGCUGAGGGGGGAGCUACCUCCAGUUAUGUUUUUGAUUGAUGCCUUUUUGAGGCAUAAUAUCUAUCCCCUGCAGCAUUGGACCCAAAGAAGGGGAAUUCUCCUAGAAGCCCUGUAUAAGAUGUCAGAAGGAUUCUUCUUUGGGCCUCAUCAUCUUAUCAUGGCAGCCCUUCUAUACUUUGAGGAGAAGGUUCACAAGAAGAAGGUUCACAAGAAGAAGCUUCAAAGAGCAGAUUGCAUUCCACUCCUCUUCCCACGGCUGCUAUGCCAAGUUUUGGAGCAUCUCGGAUACCCCUCUGAGCCUCAGCAGGAAAGAAAGAGAAUAUGCCGUGAGCCAUUUACCCUUGAUAAAUGGAAUAAUAUGACGGCCUACAAAGUUGAUCAGCCAGGGCAACCUCAGCCAGCUGCAAGGAGAGCCUCCCCAAGACGUAUACCUGAAGGUAUAACACUUGCUACUCCUGCCAUCCCUCGAGCUCCACCAACUACCCCAGCUGCAUCACAGCCAUCCACAUCAGCUGAGCCGAGGAUGGCCAUCCCUAUAUCCGAAUAUUGAGAGCUGUGCCGAGCAUUGGAGACUCUUACAGCUUCCCAGACCAAUCUUGCUCAGGAGUUGGCAGCCAUCAAAGCAUGCCAGGAGCAGAUGUUAGCCUCUCAGGCUCAACAAGCUGCCAUCCUAAGGCAGCUUCAAGUCCAUUUCGAUCUGCCACAAGCUGUAGAGCCCUCCACUGAGACUCCACCAGAGCCACACUCUCAGCCUUCAGAGUCUCAUCCUCCAGAGCCCGAAGCCCCAGUUGAUCCUCCUACUGAGGAGGCAGAUCCUUCUGCCUAGCACCAUCACCCCACUCAUCAGACAUUAUAUAUAUUUGCUAUUUAUGUUUUUAUGCUUGUUUUGUUUUAGUUGAAAUGAAAUCCCAGUAUUUUGGUACUAUAUAUGGGAUUCCUUGUGUUACUUGUCUUUAGCAUUGUAAUCAAAUGAACUCAAAGUAAUACAAGUUGAAUUUUUUUUUUCUUGUUAAAAGUUAGCAUUAAGUUCUCCUUAUUUCCUUUUCUCACAUAUUCUAUUUUUUUUGAAACAUGUGGUUUUCCCCAAUCAAUAUUCGAAUUUGAUAUCAGCAUGGAGGUACCACUUCCUCCCUUUUAUUACAGUCACUCAAAUCACAUUGAGGACAAUGCUCAGUUCGGUUGGGGGGUAUGAGGAAGGAAGUAUGCUAAAUCUUUUUGGUAUUGCAAUUAUAUUGGUUAAUUAGUUGUAGAUUUUACGUUUUACUAGUGUUACUCUAUUCUCCAUGAAUUUUGAGGAAAAUUUUCAAAUUAAACCAAGAGAAAUUGAACUGUUGUUUUUCACUUGACUUAGAGUAUGGAUUAUGCUUACUAAAGUGGUUCAAUUGUUGAAACUUCUACUGUAAUUGAAUUGAGUUCUUCCACUUUAAGCUAUCCACACAUUGUGCACAUUAGUUUCCGAUUAUAAGAUGAAAAGCUAUUACCCUCUUGACUUAGGAUAAUUUUGAGACUUGGUAUAUUUGACCUCAUUUGAUAAAAAUUGAAACACCCUGCAAAAGGCCAAUGAGCCUUUGAAAUAAAGAAAGUUGUUUGCUUGCCUUGAAACCCGAGCAAGGUCUGAGGGGCAUAUGGUGAAAGCCUUUAAAGCCUGGUGCCCUAAACCUUAAUUGGUUGGGAGUCACUGACCUCAAUGCUCGUUACAAGGGUGAAUAGGUAGAGUUAGCAUAUGGUAGAUGUUUGGGUAUUAGAAAUUCAUUCUUAAAAGUCCGGGGAAAAAUCCGAGGAGUUAGUGGUUGAAAGAUCCUUAAAACUUGGUGCCCUAAACCUUAAUUGGUUGGGAGUCAUCGAUGGACCCCCAUUACAUGGACAAGUCAGAAAGAGUACCCCAUAAAGCUACCUUGAAAAAAAAAAAAAAAAAAAAAAGAUGAAAGUGUGUUAUUUUCUUAUUGAUUUUGGUCAGUUUGCUAAAGUGUUGAAAAGAGAUAGGUUGGGGGUGAGAUUAGUUUAGCAUAUUAUUCUCGGAAUCUAAGGAACUAAUACACAUAGAUUUUUGUGGAAGAUUGAAAUUUAGUUCUUAGAAAGUGAAAUGAUUUUAAAACUUCGGUUUGCAUAAUGCACUCCCUUGAUUGACAGUGCUUAGCAUAGUUUGUUAUGACUCUUGUUGAGAUUUGGGUUUGUAUUUCUUUAAUGAUUCAUGUGAGAAUUAGAUCAUCAUGCCACUUAAGAAUUAUUUUCUUUUAGCAUGAUGUUGUAAAUUUUAGAUUAGUUGCUAUUUAUUUUCAUUUUUCUCUCCUAUAUUGCUAAGGGACUAGCAAUAUGUCGGUUGGGGGGAGUGAUUACUACUCAAAAAGUGCUAUUUGAUAGCCUUUAAUUAAUCCUUUUAAACACUUUUGAGUAGUAGUUUAGGCCUUUUAACUCAAUUGGCAUGUUAAGGAUCCUUUAAAGCAAUUUUGAUCACUUUGUGUAAGUUUUGGUGUUUUUGUUAGUAUUUUGAUCACCAAAGCAAGUCAAGAAUGAGGAGAGCUAUGAGGAAUCUUGGGCAAAGCUUAGAAUUCAAUUGCCAAGAGUGAAUCCGGAUUGCAAGGAGAAAAAGCAAAGAGAAUCUGCCAUGAAGCCUAUUCUUGAUGACAGUCGUAGCAGCCACUUUUGGAGCACUUUCUGAAGUCCUAAUGAUGCAUUCUAUAUACCAUUUCAAAGCUUAGGAAGUCAACAAUCCAACGCUUCAAACGGUGCGCGAUUCGGAGUUGAAACAAAGAAGUUGCAGCCAUUACAAGUCAAUCACUCUAAAGUGUUGCGGAAUCAGCCAUUUGUUGCGAGAAUUUCGCAGCACUUUUUUACAGUAAGGUGUUUCUCCUUCUGACGAUGCACGAACCAUGCCGCGAGAAGGGAGCUGGAAACCUCAAGGUGGAAGCCAACUUUGCAGCCUGGUGAAGAUAGCUUGGUGUUGCGAAAAUAUUUCGCAGCCCUCUCAGGUGUCUACGAAAUUUCGCAGACACCACUUUUCUCCUGCGAAAUGGCUCCUGAAGCCUCCCGAAGCUUGCUACCGACAUUGGGAGAUAUUUUCCAUUAGAUUUUUGUUGUCUAAAUCCCAAAAUACUCCUUGUAAACCACCAAUUACAUGAUUCCUUAGUUUUUAAGUUAGUAAAAAGACCAAAUAUCUUUGUAAUAAUUAGUUUUAUAUUGUUUUGAUAUAAAUACCUCUCGGGAGCCUGUUCUCAGAGAGGAGUUCCUUCUGUAAACGUUUGGUAAGCUAGUAAAGUCUAUUUUCUUUCUACUGCCUUACCUCCUCACUUUGUAUUUUCAUUUUAUUUCUAAGUUAUGAAUUCUCUGAGGAGUUUUCCCCAGAGAAUGAGUAACUAAACCUCCAAUUCCUUGGAGCUAAGGUUGCCGGGGAAGGUUCCAAGUGCAAGAAUGCAAAGCUCUGUGGUUUUAGCUAUUAAUGAAGAGGAAGUGAAAUCCUUUAGUGAUUUCUAUGUUUUUAGUUAACUUAAAACACCUUGGAGUCACCUGGGCCAACACUUGGUAAGGCAAGUGAUUUCCAACCAUGGAAAUGCACUAGUUUACCCCUUGCGAGCCUCUGGUAGGUGACUUCAAGGUAGGAUUUUCUGGAAUUACCAACACUUGGUAAGCUUUUGGACUCCUAGGAGACAUCCAUUAGUUAUCUCUUGCGAGUUUGUGAAGGGGAAUCCAAGGUUAAAGAUCACCUUGAAUGGGUAAGUGCUCGUGAGAGGCAUGAACCAUUGCAAGUUGCAUCAGUGAGAGAAUUAAAGUGAAAUCUAAUUGAAGGAGUCUCUGUACAUCACCGGUUAGAGAAUUGACUCUAAGUUGAAUCUCUAAUGCGAGGAAAUGAACCAUCUGACCGGAGCUAUGUCUUUUGCAUGAGGAACCACCCCAGUGAACCUAAAUCUCCAAGGAAUGCUUUUCUUCCUAAAUUAUUCCAAACUUCUGUUAAGUUAGUUAGUUUAAGUCUAAACCUUUACCAAUCAAAGUUUGUGUUUUACUUCUUAAGCUAACCGUGAAAUGAAACAAGACCAAUUCACUUGGAAUUGGUAUCAUUGAUUGCUUGCAAAUCAUUCCCAGUGAACGAUCCUAGAGCCACUAUACUAUAGUAGCUUUGUAUUUGCUACCCUAGUGUAUGGUGUUAUAGGUAUAAAUUUUGUUGAUCACUUCCUCAAUCAAGGAGCACCAGCUGAACACAAAUCAGCUGAGACACCAAUUGGGCAUGAGUCAUUGAUGUCUUUUGAUAAACUUAGAAUGAAUUGUGGACUUGGGAAGGAAGUAUUUCAUCAAUAAGCAUGUAAAAAACACCAUAAGCACAUGUCAAUAUGAAAAUGACUAAAUUGGGGCAUAAAUACCAAAAAAUGAAAACCUUGUACCUAUAGUAAAAUAAUGGAAGUUCAAACUUUGGAAAUCAUGUAUUUUUCCUUUUUAAACUGAUCCAUGCAAUGAAAACAUGAAAAAGAUUGUUGAGGUUGUGGCCAUUAACAAUAUAUCCCUAGAAGGAUAAUACAAAUCAUAAAGAGAAAAUUUGUAAAAAGGACACCGUUGGGCUAACCUAGAACUACAAGCUAGGACAAGAAUUGGUCACAACCAUGUACCUACAAAAUCUACUUAUAAUUUCUAGGGAACUUCGAAGUGCAUAUGCAUGUGUGUGUGUGUACAUGUUUGGAUGUAUAUAUAUGUUUACAAGAUAAAAACAAAUCCUUGUACUAGAUGUAGGCAAAGGUAUUCACUAGAUAUAAAAAUUUCCUUGUGUCACUUGUUGAGACAAGAGAAAUACCUAUUUGGAUGUGGUGAUUAGAUUUCAACAUAGCCUUCUGGAUGGUUUUUGAAUUAUGAGGCGGUGGUGUUUGUUGUACCCUUAAAUUUUACUCCGUAUAAAGUAAUUACUAAUUUAUAGAGGCAAAAAUUCCUUGUAUCAUGAAAGGAAUAGCAGUUUCUUGUUCAUACUAUUUUGUUUGGAAGUUGGGUUCCUAUAUUGUUCAAAAUGCUAUUUUGAUUGCUUGAUUGUUGCAACUCACAUUUCGUUUGUUGUUUGUAUUUUGUGUGCAGGGUAAUAUGAUACUAUCAGAUAUUGGACUUGCUGAGAAGCGAAUAAAUCAUGCUACUCUCAAUGGUAAUAAUAGUCUACCUAGUGUUUUGCAUCAGAAACACAAUUAAUAAUAUCAUGGCCUUGCCUCUAGUCCCAAUUGGUUUCUUUAGUUUUUGUCCAUGAAUGACACUUUAUUCAAAUAAGCAUUGGUGUGUUGUUACUGGUAUAAUAUUUUUUCUUAUUCAUAGAAAAGUAACUAUUUAAAUAUGUUGUUCUAUGUCCUCAUGGAUUUCUGUUGACAAAACAUCAAAUCUCAGAGUUUCUUGGCCUUACUUUUUGAGUGUCAAGUCAUUUUCUCAAUAUGUUGAUCUAAAAAAUCUCUUUUGUGUUCCAGGUUUGUUUUGUCGAUGCUAAUUGGGACUCACCAUCUGUAUGUAUCCAUUGUAUGAUUCUAUUAUUAUUAUUAUUAUUUUAUUUUUUUGCUGAAAAAAAGGUUUAUAAUAGAUAUCAUGUUCAAGAGAAGCAUUUUUGUUGACUUAUGAGUUUUGUAUUUCUCCAAAUUUUGGAAUAUUACCAUGAAGCUUUGGUGCCAAUCUUGAAAGGGUUAGCCCUUUUCUUUUUUUGUUUACCCAAUCUACACUUGCUAUCGGCGUUGAAAAGGAUCCAGAACAAAUUGCCAUUCAGUUAUGAAGUGGUUGGGAUAAAGCCAAGCUGUUAUUGCAGCAUGAAAUUGAAUGUAAUAUCAUAAUAUCUAGAUUCAAAUUCUCAGAAGAAAAAUGUUUCUGAUUCACUCCAUUUUUAUGGUGUUUUGAAGGAUUAAAUGGGGAACCUCACAAAUGAGCCUCACAAAAAUUUAAUAAUAAUAACCUAUAACUGCGGCUAACUCCAAAAGGCAACUAUAUGUCAUUUAGUGGGGUCAAAAACAAGAUGCAGCUAUAGGAACCAUUUGUUGACCUUUACUAUGGCUGCUACUAUUGCUCUGACUUUUGCUGCACUUUACAUGUGGUUGACCUAUAGUUGGGGCCAACUCUAAAAUGCAACUAUAUGCCAUUUAGUGGGGGUAAAAAACAAGAUGCACCUAUAAGAACCAUUUUCUGACCUUUACUAUGGCUGCUACUAUUGCUUUGACUUUUGUUGCACUGUACAUGUGGUUGACCUAUAGCUGGGGCCGACUCUAAAAUGCAACUAUAUGCCAUUUAGUGGGGCUAAAAAACAAGAUGCAGCUGUAGGAACCAUUUGCUACACUUUACUAUGGCUACUACUAUUGCUUUGACUUUUGUAGCACUUUACCUAUGGUUGACCUAUAGCUUGGGCCAACUCCAAAAUGCAACUAUGUGUCAUUUAGUGGGGGUAAAAAACAAGAUGCAGUUGUAGGAGAGUUUGCAGCCAAAGUAGUGUUUACUUAAAAAAAAAAAAAAAAAACCAAACUAAUACAUCUUUCAAACUAUUUGUCAAACUAGUCUUUUGAAUCCACAUCAACAAUCCACAUCAGCAGACUUUUACUCUAAAGACCCUUUUUUUCAUCUGAAAUCAUUCAACAAAGAAACCCUAACUAUUAUUUUCUCUUCUCUACGGCUCCCACCAACAGCUUUACUAGCAACGUCUUGUAGUGGCUAGGUAAGUUUUUGAAGCAUUUUAACAAAGUGGUUCAUGAGUUUUUUUUUCCCUCAUUUUCCUUAGCUUUCUUACUAACCAAACAGAGGAAAACAAAAAAUUAAAAACAACUUUUGAAAAUUUUAAGAAUCUCAAGUUGUUUUUUGUGGUUUCUACUUGUGAACGGAAGAAAAAAAAACACAAAAAAAUCAUGGAGAAGAAAAAAAGAAAGAUUAACAGAGAGAGAUAAGAGCACUAAAGGAAAUUGGUUUCUGCACUUUGGGGGUUUGGGUAGAUUUCGAAUUUGGGCGAUGGUGGGUUAGGGUUCAAAGUGGACUAAUCCAAUUGGAUGAUUUGAUGGAGUAGUUCGGGUUCAAAGUGGAUUGAUCCAAUUGGAUGAUUUGAUAGAGCAAUGAAAGAAGAAGAGAGGAGUGUGGAACGAGAGGGAGAGAUUGUGAGAAGAGAGACGAAUGAAAGAUUUGAAGAGGAAGAAGAAGUGCAGGUUAAUGUGCAAAAAUAAUAAAAAUUUUACCCAAAUGCAAAUUCUUUGAUUUUGCCUAGUUUUCUUAGCAACCAAACGCAGGGUCUCAAGAAAAUUAUGAGUUCUGAUGAUAGAGAGAGGACAAGAAGGGGGGUAGAUACCGAAGGGCUGCCGAAAAGGAUGGUCGUAUGUGGAGAGCGCAAAAACCCUACCUGUGUUUAGCUCCUAAUAGAGUAGAUGCCUUUCUCAAGCAAAAACUCUAUUUGGGAAUUGAGAAUCCCAAAGAAGGACAAUUUUAGAAUUUCACAAGUCGGGCUUCAGCUUCAACUUUGAGGGAUAUUUGAUAAUCAUUUUUCAAUUAAUCUUUAUAAUUUUAAAAUUUUGAAAAUUGUAUGCAUUUUUUAAUAUAAAAAUUAUUUGUUUAAUCAUUUUUUAUUUUCCUUUUUUAAUAAAAAAUUAAAAAUUAAUCAUAAUCCACUUAUUUAAAAAUUAUCGUUAAUCCUUAUUUAGUAUGAUAUUUACUUGUUUAUUAUUUAAAUAUUUUGUCUUCUUAGUUAUUAUAAUUAAUAUAUAUAUAUAUAUGACCAAAAUUUAAAAUAAAAUAAAAACUAAAAAAUAUAAUUUUAUUUCCCAUUCAAAUCCAUCACCCUUUAUUAUUAUAUUUUGUUGAAUUUUUUUUAUUUAUAUCUUUUUUCUAUAAAGAGAGUAGAGUUAUGAAGAAAACAUUUAAUUUAAUUUCUUUUUUUAUAAAAAAAAAACCAACUUCUAAACAUGUUUUUUUUUUGUUUUAAUCAUUAUAAAAAAAACAUUUUUUAUUAACUCAACAAAACAUGUUUUAAAAAUGACCUUAUUGGGUAUAUUUUAAUUUAUUUUUUCAAGUAUUUUAAAUUUAUUAAAUUGGUAAUAAGUCUUAAAAAUGGACUUUGGAAUUAAAUUGUAUGAAAAUGUUAAAUAUUUGCAAAAAAAAAAUCUAAAAAACCACUUAGUCCUCCCUUUUAAGCAAAUCAAAAUUAUAUUUUAAAAAUGUUAUUAUUAAUAUUACAUUUUAUAAAACUUUCAUUAAUGACAUGUAAAACCAUUACCAAAAUGUUAAGAACUUUAUAAAAUUGGACCAAAUAAUCUUCCAAAUAUAACCAAAUUACUUCUCAAAUCCAACAAAAUCAUUCCAAAUAUGACAAUGUUAACCAUAAUACCUCCCAAUUCUUACCUCUCAAUAGUAAUAGCACAGUUGCAUUGAAAAUCAAAUUCUUCAAUGCUUGCUCUAUCAUCAUAUGAUUUGUUUUGAAGCUUUUAAUAAUGAACCGUGAACCCAUUGGAUUGUACUAGAGAGGACCCGCAUGAUAAAGGUUUAAAUUUGGGCAACACCCUUAUAACAUUAUUAUUAAUAAGUUGUGAGCCAUAAUGGGGCCAAGUCAUUACUCUUUGUUGGGAAAAUCUUCCAAAGGCAGGCUUAGGCUUUUUGUGGUUCUUGCACAAAAAGCCUUCCUUGGAUUUUGAGCAUUGUUUCUUGUACCAAAAGUCAACUAGAUUUACCGAGAAACCAUCAUUACAAAUGCUUAAGUUUUUCAAAUUAUUUUUAAACUUGUUUUCAUAAUUUAUUAACUUUAUAAAAUUGGAAGUGAUUAUUAAAUUUAUUUUUCUUUCUUUUUCUCCUCUAAAAAAAUAUAUACUUUUUAUUAUAUAUAUUAAAAAAAUUUAUUAGGAUCAAGGAGAUCUGAGUGUGUCAUUUUUCAAUCAUCAUUUUUCUAAAGCUAAUAUUAUUGCACAUAUAACAAUCCCUUCCCCAAUACAGGGCUCCUAGAACUCGAAUCAUGACCAAACUCUAGGGCUCCUAGAACUUAAAUCAUUUAAUGGCAUGUGGAACAUUUAAUAGCACCUCUAGAAAUGCUAAGAACUUUAUAAAAUUGUAAAAAGACAUGUAGAACCUAGGCUGGAUCUCCAAACCAUGAAAAUUGCUUGUAAUUAUUGGUUAGCUUGUGGAAUAAAAAAUCUAUAAGAUGGAGAUAGACUCCUAAAGAUUAUAAGAUAUUUUAAGAACUCAAUAGUUAUAAAAAAGAAAAAAGAAAUAACACUAAAAACAAAUUUAAUAUAUAGAAAAUAUUAGUUUUUACUUAAAAUUUAACUUAUUAAAUUAUAAAUUGUAAAAAUUUAAUUAAAUUAAAAAAAUUAAAUUUAACCAGAUAUAAGCAAAAGUGCAUUAAUAUGUCUAUUCCGCUUUCUCUUUUUUAAUUAUUUUAAUGGAAAAUAUUAAAAUAUUUAUAGUCGUAACUAUUAAAUAUGUUGAAUAUGUACACAUUACAUCCAUUUUUGAAACUUAUAUAAAAUCAAAUUUUGAACAAAUUUAAAAUUUUUUUUCACUUAAUUUGGGUAGAUUAAACAACGACAUUUUAAUUGUUAAUGGAAAAAUAACAACCUUUUAUUCAAUUUUAACGGUAAUAAAUAAUAAGAAAAUAUUAUUAAUAAAAAACAUUGAAUUAUUUGGAUAUUGAGGUGUUAUUUGUUAUUUGAUUAUUGUUAAUAACAUACCCUAUUAUUGUUAUUUGUUAUUUCAUUACAAAUUGAUGUUAUUACUAAUGUUUUCUAUUGUGUAAUUUUGUGGUUAAAAAUGAGAUUGAUUUGAUUUUUUUGGCUUCUUCUAUAGGUAAACUAUGUCUAAUUUAUCGGUGGCAAUAGUUUGUUUUUGUAAUGGGAAAAUGGUGAGAACACAAACCGAUGUUGAUUAUGUUGGAGAUAGAGUUGUGGUUGAACCUAUUGAUGUGCCUCUUGGGACAACAUAUGAACAACUGUUGGAAAUGAUAUACUCGGUCACUGACAUCAAUAAAGAACAUUUUUGAUUAAUUCUUAGUUGUAAGUAUCCUAUGAAAAAAGGGAAUAAAUUCCAACCUUGCCUUGUAAAGAAUGAUAGUGGUGUAGCUCGAAUGUUAGAAAUGCAUAACAGAUUUGGGAUGGAUGAAGUUGAAUUAUUUGUUGAACAAGUACCUAUUGACUUACAAAUGAAUUCACCAAUUGGUAAUUGCAUACCUUUGUUACUUGGUGAAAAUGAUGGUACUAGUAAUGUUCAAAAUCUAUUUACUUUUGAGCAUAGAUUAGAAGAGGAUGAGGAAGACGAAGAAGGAAGACGAAGAAGGAAGAUAAUGUGAUGAUGACAAUGUAGGAGCCGAGGAUGUUCAUAAUGAUGAUAAUCAAGAUAGGGAAGGUAGCUCGCCUUUUUUAGCUGUUUGUGAGGCAAUUGAAAGAGAACAAAUGAGAUAUGUGGCUGUGGAUGGGGAAUGAUGUAACUUGUCAAAUAAUCCAGAUACAGAGGAUUUAGAUGAACCAAUUGAAUUAUCUUCAAUGCAAUAUCAUUUGGCACCAUCACCAUAGUUUGAAAAUGUUGAAAACAUUGGUCAUGUUGUGUCAAGUGAAUGGACCCCAUGGGGAAACACUCUUAUGGGACAUCCAAUUGGAGAGUUCAUACUUUAUAAAUAAUAAUGAUAUUGUUAAAAUGAAUACAACUUUGAAAAUCGUAGUAAUUACCUUCUUAUUGUGCACCAAGAAUCAUGUUCUUGAAGUGGUGAGAGUCUGCUUUAUUGGGUGCAACACUCUCAUAUAUGAACAACUUACUGAUCAAACAUCCCAUGGUUUCCUUGAUGGGACCACAUUUGAAAAGAUGUUUCACAUAUUUUUGUCUUGCUGCUGAAGAUUUGUGAAAUGAGGAUGCAUUAGGCGGUGAUGGAUUCAAAUAUUGAACACUUUGCAAUCUUUGCAUAUGCCUUGUUAGAUUAGUUGGAUGUGAAAACUUACCUAUUAUAAUUAUUAAAAUUAAAAAUAUAUGUUAAUUUAAUAUUAUUGAUAAAGUUGAUAAGAAACAGUAAUAAUUCAAAUUGAUAAGUCAGUCUUCCAUUUUGCAUAUACCUGUUUUUCUUUUAUCUUUUACAAAAUGUUCUUCUUGUUGUCGAUUUCAUUCAAUAGCUUUUGAUGCUUGAACUACCGCUUUAUAAGCAUGUUGCUCAUCAAGGUGCAUGUCAGCCAUACAUAUACACAUCAUCAUCAUCAUCAUCAUCAUCAUCAUCAAGGUUUUUGUAGACCCCCAUAUGGGGCUCAUUUUUUUCUCCCACAUUUCUACAGGUUACAUUCUUUUUCUUACCAGGUGUUACUACCCCAGCGAGGCACGUGUCGCUUCCUUGGUGGCCAUAGGGGAAUCAACCUUGCUUUUUGAAGCUGCAGUGGGAAUAUGACACGUAGGGGGAAUAUUCUAGAGGGUCUGUAGGCCGUUAUGGAGGAGCGGAUGAGAGAGAGGAUAUCCUGCAGAGGGUGGUGUGGCUUUUGGUGGUUUUCUGGAGAUAUAAGAGGGGCAAAUCAGGUAGAGCAAAAGGCAAGGAGGAGGAUUCGGUAGGGGGGGGGGUUGCUUUUUGGGGAGGUUGGCCGUGAUAUUUUCAGCAAGAGUUUUCUUUAUUGAGAGAGAGGGGAGGGGGAAGUUUGAGCAACUGAAAAAAAAAAACAGAGGAGGAGGAGGAAGCUGCCGAGGAGGGUGACUUGGAGACUGGAGAGUGAGAUUUCUUUUUGGAGGGUAUUCUGGCUUGAGGAGCAAGUGAGAGAGGAUAUUCAUUCUGGAGAUCGACAGAGAAGGGAGAAAAGGGAGAAACAGAGGAAAAGAGCGUCUGUAGGUGAGUUUGAGGUGAGUUUCUCGCUUACUUUGAUUCAAAUAUUUUCUCAUCUCUUUCCCAUUUUGGUUUGCUCUUCAUUGCUCAUCAAUUUGGGGUUGAACAAUAUGGAUUAUGUGCCGAAUCUUGUUGAUUACUGAAUCAUUUUUAUACUCUGUUGCUGUUGAUUUUACCGUUGUUCUUGUGAUUUGGUUUGGAGCUAGUGGAACUUUGUUUCUCAUAUAUUGUGUAAACCUGGCUCAAGGUUCUCCCUCAUCCCUCCUGUUUUGAGCCCAUGAUCAUCACUUGAUAUGGGAUCAUGUACAUUCAUGAACUGCAUGCUCACCUGUUUGUUCUACCCUUAGUUUUCACUCUAGUUCAUGCCUUAGUGUUUAUUCCUCUGAUUUUGCCGGGGUUGGGGUGUUAAAUAUCUCGUCUGGGACUGGCUAUCGUGAUUGGGGAUGUUUUUGAGACCUGAAAAGCUAUGUGGACCUCACUGAGACGUCCGGAGAAAAGAACUUGAGCUAAAUCAUCGUGAGAAUGUGGGUACUGUGAACGUUUUGGUUGAUGUCUCUACCUUGCUCACAAACGCACCCUAUCUGCUGAAUCUGGAACGUACUCACCAUACCCAUGACAGCAAGGCCCUUGAAGAUAUCGUGUUACACAAUGGACUAGACAAGGAUAGAUAGCCCUCGCUGCAUGGUUCAAAAGGUUCAAACCAAAAUUGCAUGCGGAAAAACCUGUUCCUCAUGCCGACAUCUGUUCUGAGUGUGGCUCACCAUUAUUUCAUGGCUCAUGGAGUGGGCUCCUUCUACUGGGCCUAUGGACUCAAAUAUACCAAGCUUGUAACCUGGUUGCAAUGGAGGUUUAUUGGUGUUAGUUUGAAAAAGAAGCUUCUUAGGGACUUGCCCUCAUUGCUCCCUUGUGUGAAAAUCUAUUUGUUACUAUGUCUGGGCGCUUGCGAUGAAUCCAAAGGUAGAUAAUGCCCGACAAUAUUUGAGGAUUUCUCUUAGCUGUGCGUCCUGGAAUGACAUGAUGGAGGCUUGUGAUGCUCGGGAUCUUGAUAUUCUGCAAAAAGAGUUCCCUAUUUUAAACAAUUAUAUUCAUUUUGGAGAUGCAGAGAUGGCGCAGAAAUUGUAUCGUAUUAUCCGAGCUUGCAUGGGUGGCUAGAGGCAACUAAGCAAUGCUGCGGCGACUGUUCUGUAUAAUCACUCUGGCGGCGAGACUCUGCACAAUGCAAGUCCUGCGAGCGACGCUGGGGAUGCAGUCAUGGCGUGAUGGCUCCAGUCCGCCGGAUUGCAGCAUCUGACCUUUCCAUUGGCUUCCACCAGAGUUGAUCAUCACCUCCUCCCCGAUCUUCUAAUGCAGGGUUAUGGAGCGCAAUCUGCUGUGGGAAGGCUUUACCUGGAGGUCCAAGGGCUUGGGCAGACAUUCUUUUCAUAACUUACUAGGUUACUUUUCUCAUUGCUGAGAUAUGCCUGUUAGCGGGUUCAGUGAGGAAUGCCUACCCUAUCAAGUACGAGACAAUUUUCAGUGAGGAUCCCCCGUCAUGUGAGACCUUGAGAAAGGGUGUGUUUGGCACUAGGGCCGCUUUCCCAUUCUUCACUGCCAUACCCUCUGAACCUUACUAUGUUUGCUAUUCGUAAGUUAGAGGAAGUUCUCUAGCUUAUGGUGAUUGAAAAACUGGUUUUUGAGAUGGGAACCUACAGCUGGGCUUAGUUAAGAUGAUCAUAAUUGUUUUAAUUCUGAGAAGCAACCUCUACAUACCCAUCAAGCCACCCCACUAAACCCUUUCCCUCUCUCUAAGCCUAUUCAUACCCAUUUCUUACUCCCUAUAGUUUGCCACCCUCACUUUUCCACCUUGUACAUCAUGAAGCUCAUUCAUCAAGCCUACCUAUUUAACCCCCCCUCUUGAUACCUAUUCCAGCACAUGCAUGGCUGUCCCAAAGCUCCUUCCAAAACCCUUGUUAAUAUCCUAGAUUUAUCCACCCACGUGCAUGGGAACCAUGCUAACCUGGUUAUUCUUCAUAUGCCCAUUUCUCAUUUUCCAUACAUGCCACUUUCACCUUCCAUGCUCAUACCCAUCAUCUAUCAUCCAUUCCUUACCCCUACACUCAGAAAUUAUGCAUCCAUAAUCAUCUUCAUACCCACCAUGCUCAUUCAUACCCAUCUUUCUCUCUCUACCUCUUCAUACCUCCGCAUGCCUAUCUCUUCGCAUCAUGCACACCAAACCCAUACCUGUGGCCAUCUUUCUAUGUUCAUUAACCCCAUAUUACAAGUGUUCUUGUUAUUGAUGACAAUCCGAUGUGGGCAAUUACUGGUAAAGCCUGAAGAAGAACAUGAUGGUCCAGUAAAUGAAGAGAAGGCCCAAAUUGGUUAAGACACCUAUAUUAAGUGAAUGAAGAACUGGGGCAACUUAGAUCCAAACGUCCUCAUUAUACCUUUUCUGAGGAUGAGAGUGGCGGAGAGUUCAGUAUGACACGCCUUCACCAGAAUCUGAGUCCGGGCCUUCAUAUUCCUGCAGAGAAGGUUUUUGACUUGUUAUCAUCUCGGCCGCGACCAAGAUGUCACCAUACUCCAUCACCAGAAUUAGGAAAUAAACUAUCAGUUUCCGGUGACCUUGAUCCUUACUUUUCCUUCUCGUUGGCCUCGUCAGCAGACGUCAGCAAAUGUUAGAAAUGAGGAGCCCUGAUGAAGAAAAUGGCCACAGCCGCAGCCCUAGUCCCAUUCCUAGGAACGAUGCAAGUCUUGCUGAUGAGUAUGGUAUCAAGUUCUUUGAAACUAGUGCAAAAACACUAUAUUGAAGACAAUAGGAAUGCCAAAUGGUGUCCCGCUCCAGGCUGUGAUUAUGCAGUUGAUUUUUUAUUGUUAAUAGUGGAAGUUGUGACGUUUCCUGCCAGUGCUCAUAUAACUUUUAAUGGAAUUGUACAGAGGGAGCUCACCUUCCUGUUGAUUGCAGCACUGUGGCCAAUUGGAUUCUGAAAGAAUAGUGCAAGUGAGUGUGAAAAGCCCUCUCUGUCUUAGUCAUCAAGUAAGCCUUCAAUCUGGCAGAAAGUGAAGAGGUGACUCCCAUUUCCUAGGAUCCCACUACAUGAUUUGCCAGAAAGUCUAACAGAUAGAUUUCAGCAGUGCCCAGGCCAGCAGCUUUCCUUGUCGAGCAGCCAGAGUGGUGAACUCAUUAGCAGCCGCAUCAAGGCCGCAUGGUAUUGGCGAUUCAUACGUGGCCUCCCUGUAAGGCAUGAAAGCGUUUGGUGCACUCUUUGGAUCGAUGCUUCUUAGAGAUUCUGUAGCUAUGCAAUCAUGCCAGGGUGAAAACUACAUGUUGUUUCCCCUAGUACCAGUGAGAUUGAUGCAAACAAGCAUGAUGGUGAUAUGGAAAGAUAAAAUAAUCUAGGAUAAUUCUCCUGAAGUUGGUGAGAAUUCUGCAGAGAGUUGUGAAAUCUCUGGACCUGAUUCUGAAGUUGUGGUGGAUAAAGAAACAGAACUGGUAACCAAGGCUCAAAAUCAGAGGUCAAAGUUCCAAGUGGCAAUAGAUGACAAGUAUUGGAAUGACAGCCUCAGCGCGGUCCAUUCUGAUGAGAGGAAUCUAAAACAGACACUGAAUGGUCAGAUGUUAAUGGCUCAGCCAGAGACGAUGCAUCCUGGAUCUCAUGGUUUUACCAUAUGUGGGGAUAUUAUUCCUUCUGUGAAUUUGACGAUGAUUGCAUGCAAGAUGAUUUUGAUGACCUCUAUGGUUUGAGCAAUCAAGUCGCCCAUUAUGAUCAUGCGUUUGACUUGAUUUUGGAUGUUGAAUUCUCGCAUGGUGAUUCUCCCACAGAGAAGCAAAACGAGAUAGUGGAAUCUGUAGCAAAGGCUUUAUGGUCUGUUUCAUUUCUGUUACUUAUUGACUUAGCAAAGACUGACUGCCAUGCUAAGCGAGCACGUAGACUCUGACUUUGGUCGAUAUCCAAGAAUUUGUUGCUGCGGACAAACCUGCUUUCUAGUGACUUUGAUGGGGCCUGUAAUGCCUAUCUAGAAGGGUGAUAAGUGCCUAGCCUUGAGGUGCUUAAACUGACAAAGGAGUGUCUCAUGGAGAAGCUUGCUGCUGGUGUCCCCCAAUUUGUCCCGUCUUUCAUUGGUCAUCUCAUACCCAACUUUGGUGGUUGUACUCCGGGCCCUCAUGCACAAUCCUAAAAAUUGUAUGGCCAUCCUCUUGUGCCUUUUUUUCAAAAUCCAUGUUUCUUCAUUCAUUUUCAUGUCUGUCUUUAAAGAAAUAGGUUUUCAAUUAACUUCAAACUCUUCCAUAUUUCAUCCUUAGAGUUUUUAGGUUUCACAAGUCCUAUUUUCAAUAAAAUUGGUUGCCAUUUUCUCUUCGGCAAGCCAUCUUCCCAUCUUCCAUGUUUUUUUUAAAAUGUUUUAAAAUAAGUGUGAAUUUAUUUUCGUAAUUCCAAGUGAUGGAAUUUACAAAAUUGAUUCACUCACAAAUAAAUCGGGCUUUGGUGGGGGCCCAACAUUAUUGGAUGUUUCCUUUGAAAAUCCAUUUGAUUGAAUUGUGACAUGUGAUGAUUUAUUGCUCGGUUUAGCGACAUGGGUGCCACAUUUUAUGCUCAUCAAUUGUGCAUUAACCCCAUUUUGUGAUAGCGCGUUGCUGUUUAUGGAUCAAGUACGCAUCUUUUCUCACUCUGGCUAUCAUCCAUAUAUGUUUUGGCUUUCAGUAUGUGAUCAUGACGGUAUUCAUUGAUUUCCUUAUCGAUUGCUACAUUAGCUUCAUUUUAUUAGUAGAGACCUGACUUUAAGGACUUAAAGGGGUGCUACGGUCUUUACCGUACCUUCUUGAUAAGUAAACUGACCCCUGAGCCCGAUCCAGUUCUUCACAAACCACCUUUUCCAAAUAAAGAGUCACACUUAGAGUUUUCUUUCUUAUUUUGUUUACCCUUUAAAAAUAAAACAAAAAUAAGUGGCAACUCCAAGUCAUUUUCUAAUAAAUAAAAUAAAAUAAAAUCAUUUUUUUGAAAUAAAGAAUCGAGCACCCCAUCGAGUGGAAGCGCAUUGAGCCGAAAUGCGGGGUCCACAGUUUUCCUCAUCCUCCUCAUCAAUUACAUGUCUAUGUCUUCCUCCCAUUGUGUCUUGCAAUUCAGCUCGAAUCUCUUCUAUAUUUGUGGCUUUCUUCACUUUUGCCUUAUUUUUUUUCCUUUAGAAGUCGACUUAUUUCUUGUUUCACUUCUGGAGGCACAUUAGGACACUUUUUUGUAUUUGAAUGAGGGUUUGUAUGCGACAGGUGAAAUUUAAAAUGAGUAAUCUUACCACUCUUUAUUUUCAACCUAUAGUAAUUGCAUAUUGUUCCAUUUUUGUUCCCUUCCAUAAGUGUACAAUAUUUCCAACUAGGAUCUCAACCCAUGAUACCGCUUCCACUUCCACUAACCAUUUUCUAAACAUGUAUUUUAAAUUCUCAUACGAAACUAAUAUAUGUGAUGUGAUAUCAAAAGGAUUUGCAUUAUAAUUAAAUUUCUAUAUGAGUUAAGUACUAAGUUAUUAAAGAUAAAUAUCUAAGUUAAUUUAAUAUUAAUAUUAUUAAUGAAAUUAAUAAGAAUCAUUACUAAUAAAAUUGAAAUUAAAAUUGAAUUAUGCAUAUAUAUUAUGUGAUAUGAAAUAGAUAAAUAUUACAAUUAAAUUUCCAUAUGAAUUAAAUUUAAAUUUAAAUUUAUUAAAAAAUAAAACCAAAUAUGCAUAUAUGUCAAAUCAAUUUCCAUAUGAAAUUUAAUGUUAAUGGGACAAAUUUUAAAAUUAGAUAAUAUCAAUUAAACUAUAUAUAACAAAUAAAAUUGAAUUAUGCAUAAUAAAAAUAAAUUUUAUGAAAGGUAAAACAUACCUUAAUUAGCCUUGACUUUGAGUUGAUCCCCUUCACCACCAAAUUUUCAAGAUUUAAUUUUAUUUAUAGAAAUAAAAAAAAAUAAAAAUUUGGAGCAAUAGAACAAGAUCAAAAAUUUAUGUAUGAAAUGGAAUGAAUUGUGGGUAUUUAUAGGAUUUUUUUUGGCCAAACUAGCCAUUGGAUGGUCAAAUAGCAGUUAUAAAUUAAUUUUAACCAUUGGAUCAAAAUUUGGCCAUUAGAUCUUCAUAUAACCGUUGGAAACAUUUCUUAGCCAUUGGAUCAAGUCAUGAUUGAUUUUCCACUAUUGGAUCACAAAUAUGAUUGUUGGAUGCCUUUAUAAAAAACACGGGUGAAAUCUAGGCCAUCGGAUUGUCAAAAAUUCAAAUAUGACUGUUGGAUGCAGUAGGAGGAAAUUUCAAAAAAUUGCCCAAAAAAUCGUUGAUUUAUCGUCGAUAUUUUGAAAAAAAUUGGUGAUUUUUUUACAGUCUUCCUCCAUUGCUCCGUGCAUCUCUCCAUGGUUGAUUUUUUCAUUUCCAAACCGACAUAUUGCUAAUAUUCGACGAUAUUACCAAAAUUUUGCCAAAAUUCCCACCAAUCAAUAAUCGGUACCCAAUAUCGUGUCGGGAACCACCAAUAUUUGAUAUAUUGACAUAUUUCAUCGAAAAAACCAAAAAUCCUUAAUAGAAAAUAAUGCCUUAUUAACACACUUUUAUUCAAAGUGUUUGUCCUUAUUCUCGACAAAGAAAGCAUUUUAUUCAAAGUAGAACACUCCUAAAACUAUGACAUCAAUACAUAUUAUCCCCUUUCCAUUUCUGACAAUAUGGAAGAAGCUGGCAUUAGCUUUCAUUUGUUCAUACUGGCAUAGGGUCAAUGAGCAAGGAUGCAAUAUUAUCUUUCAUCACUUUCCCAACAUGAGUGUAUUCAUUGUUUUCCUUAUAAAUGAUGUCUACCACUCGUGUAAGAUUGAGAACUUUGAUAAGGAUUGGGAUCGACAUGGAAGUAGGUAUGAGGAAAACUUGGUUAAUUUCCUUCCAUGCAUUCACAAUUUGCUUGUUAAACUCGUCAUAAGCCUGUUGCUUAAGACACUAUAUUGCUUGAUAUAGCAUUCAAUGGCUAAGGCAACAUGCCCUCUCUCUUGUUCAAACUGCACACAUAUAUAUAGUAAUGCAAAAGAUGAGGAAAAACCUACCAUAAAAUCAUCACGAAUGAACUUAUAUGCAAUAUAUUCUACACAUAUUCCUUAUGUGUCAUCAUAUCGUUCAUGGGCCUGGCAAUUAAACAUGAAGCUAUUGUAAAAGGGUCAUUGUAAACCCAAUCAAAGGCCUCUUUUGUUAUCAUUUAUCCUAUUCCAAUGAAAGAGAGGGUUGUGGCUAAGGGAAGAGCUGAGCCUACUCGUGCAACUUGCAUGUAUUCCUCUAUGGAACCAUUGUACUUUGUCAAAGAGCCAACCUGAAUUUUCAACCAACAAACAUUUGUCAAUGUUACAUACUUGUACAUAUGCUUUAAUUUUUAAUUUGAUAUGAUUCGCCUAUUUAACUCGAGCCCAACACAUUUUGUCAAAAUAAUCUUAAAAUAAUCUCUCUCUCUCCUUCUCUGUGAUUGUUAAAUUUAAUGAAUAAGUAUAUUAUUCUAUCAUAUUGGUAUAUGUACAAAAUUAGCUCUCUCUGUCUCUCCCUCCUCUCUCAUUGUUAAAUUUAAUGAAUAAGUAUAUUAUUCUGUCAUAUUGGUAAUAAACAUUACCACCGUAUAUGUACAAAAUUAGCUAAGCUAAAUAAGAUAAAAUAGCAAGACUAAGUAAGAUAAAUUGUAAUUACAAGGAGAGAUUGACAUUCUACCGGAGGUAAUCUUGGUUGACACCUAAGAUUACCUUUAAUACUGAUCACCAAUUGCCAUGAAUUCAUGCACCUGACUAUGUACAAUGUAUUCACUUGGGCUGUCUCCUAUCAUCCCAGAUCAAGUAUAGGAUACUGAACAAACAUUUAAAUACAUGAAACGAUGUUCACAACAUCAAUGGAAUUAAUGUUUUUUGCAGAAAAAUGUGUGGAUGCAUGCAUGUAUACAAGAAUACUUAGAAUUUGGCUGUGCUGUUUGUUGUCACCUCGCGUAUCCGGUGGUCCACGUUCCUGCUAGAUGGAUGGACACGCGAUUCUCAACACACAAAGGGUUCUUGAUUCAGCGGUCGUACCUGCAAAAGGCAUCCGGACAGGGUGUCUGGACGCACCCUCCGAUGGUUUUGUUAGCCAUGGUAAGAGAGGAAGAUAUAUGAGGCAGUUGGCUUUUUACUAGGUAUCAGGAGGUUACCCAGAGAGAGAGCCCCAAUUCUUCUUCGCGUGAAGACUUAUAUAUAUAGCUUUAAGGGUACUGUUCCUCUCAUUAAUGGUGAGGAGAUGUUUUAUGUUGUCAUGAUGACAUUAAGUAGCAGUAGAGACAUCAUCACCCUACGAGCGGCUGUCAAGAACCAUGGUAGGUGACGCGAUUGUCAGAGAUCGUGAUAGGUGAUCAUGUAGAAUGAUCGUGGGAAGUGACUUGCUAUCACUUCAUCUUGUCUUCUCACUCUGCAGGUGACAAGAUGUGGGCCAUGGCUGCUUGUUGUGAUUGCGUGUAAGACUCGCUUUACUUUAAUUGACCAUCCAGACGAUUUAUAUCCGGAUGGCUCAUGCUGAUUAUCCGGAUGUGUUGUGGAGACUAUCCGGAUGUCUACGCUCUGCCAGCGUCGUUUGCUCUUCCUUGGAUAGGAGAAGCUGAAACGUCGUUUGCCUUUCCUUGAGGCGGUCUGGAUAGGAUAACUGCACCAUGCAUAUCCUUAGGAGAAUCCGGAUGAUGAUGGUCCGGCUAAUAACACGUGCCACGCGUCAUCAUGAGCUGCGUGCCACGUGUUUCCCAAUGGGAGGGGUCCCUACAUUGCCCCCCUUUUUAACUUGCCUAUUUUGCCCAAAAAAUGGGCGGGUUAAAAAUAACUGGCUUUUGAAAAUUGAAGAGGUCCCUUCGUCUGACUGGGCCACGUGGCGAGUGGGGGUGCGGAAGCUAAAAAAGGCAUUUAUGACGAGCCACCGACCCUGUGUAUCCCUAGGCAAUAUGUCGUUUCAAUGAUAACAUGGUUGUCCUGCUAUAAAUAGGGCACUGUACCUCUUUUUGCAUUUUUUCCUACUGCAUUCUCUUGAGAGCCUUUCUUCUUCUUGCUUUUUUCUACGCCCUUUGCUUCUCUGAGAAAAAACUUCGAAAGCUCUUUUGUACCAGUGUUUUUGUAUUGCGACUUCGUUUGUUUGCUGCUGGUGAUUUUGUACCGAGUCAGUAACCGUUCUUCUUCUUCAGAGCUUUAUUUGGUACGUACCUCUUUGCUACUGUCAUUCCUUUGGUUGCGUUUGCUGGUUCUUUAAACUUGGUUUCUGGCUUGCUUGGGCAUUGUUUUGGACAAGUCGCUUGCAAUUGUUGUUGAAUGUUGGUACUUUGUUGGUGUUGGGGGGGUGUUUUUUAGGGGUUUUUCUGACUGCUUUGGGUUAGGGUUUGUGUAUUUUCUGACUGCUUGGUUUGAACCGUUGUAUUGCUUUUGUAUGUAGAUUUUGGUUUGGCUUUGUGGUAAGAAAUGGCUCCAAAAAAGACUGUUUCAUCUGCCCGGGUUAGCGAGGCUGGCGAAAAGGCGAUAGACAAAUUAGAUGUGAAGGAAUUCCGGGAGCGGUUCUGCAUCCCAAAUGGCGUAUCUAUAGACUUGGUGAACGAGGAGGCAGCUAUGCCUACUGAGAAAGGUGAAGAAAACGUUAUCCUCUUCACAAAGGAACAAUUCAACGCGGGGCUCCGGUUCCCUCUGCCGGCGUUGUUCAAGGAAUUCCUCCACUUCUCUCAGAUUCCAUCCAUCUUCAUUCAUCCCAACCUUGUCCGGGUGUUGAUGGGAUGCAGCAUCAUCAACAUGCUGUACAACCUCGACCUUACGCUACUGGAAGUGCUCUUUUUCUAUUCCCUGAAGAAGGCAAAAAAUGAUAUCUUCAGUGUGUCCACGCACCUGCCCUCCCUUCAAAUGGUGACAGAGAUGCCAGAUUCGAUAAAGGGAGGGGCGAAGGGGCUGGUGGCGGUCCGGGGUGGAUGGGCGGGGCUAUCGGAGCAUGCGUCGAGGCCCUUUUCUCCAAAUUAUACCUUAAAAAUUUCGGGUAUUCUUGUUUUGCGAUUCUUUGUCCGGAUUUUACUUUGCUGAUUUUUUGCUGAUUUUUCCGGACGGAAUUCUCACCUUUUGUUGCUGUUAAUGCAGGUCUGGAAUUGAGGGGCCACCUUGUGGAUUGGGUGGAAAAGGCGUCCUUCGCCUGUGUCUGCAAAUUAUUUGAGAUAAAUCCCAAGAAGAGGGCCUGCAAGACAUUGCUUUCCGCGCGGAAUUUGAUGGCGGUCGUCCGGGAGUCCCAGGAAUAUGUUAUCAAUAUUCUCCCCAGGAAACUGCCAAAGGAUGAGGUAGUGCCUGGGGAGCAUUAUACUGUGAAGGAGCUCCCCCUCUAUCAGGAAGCUAAAGAGGCUGAUGCUGAAAGACGGCGAAAGCUCCUGGAGGAUCGAGAUCAGAGAAAAAAUGAAGGCACUAUCCGGAAGGCUCCCGGACAGAAGCGGGGUCCGGACUCUCCUCCAAAGAAAACUCCAGCAAAAAGGAGGAAGCUGGUGAAGAAGAAUGGGAAGGAUGUGAAGGAACCCACUCCUCCCAAGGAGUUUCCUCCUCCGCAAAUUACCUAUGAGGGGGAAGUAAUGAUAGAGGAGCCAGUAAACGCUGCUCCGCACUCUAUCUCAAGCAGCCCCGGACGCAUCUCGGGGUUGAACCAUUCUGGCACUUCCUUAGCCGCGGUUGCGCGUCUGGCUAACGUGGCUGAGGAAGCUGCAUCUAUCAACCGUCCGGGCAACCUUAAUCCGGAUGCUGAUGCAGCUGAAACGACCCCGUUGGAGGAAGCGGUGGUAGAAAGCCAAAGUUAGCCUUCCGACGACCCGGAUCGCUUGGCCAUAAUCCCGGUGAAAGGGCCUCCUUCAAAGAAGCCGCGUUCGACGCGCAAUCUAUGGUCCGGACUCCUUGGGCGGCUUCAAGAGCGGCAGCAAGAGAUUGAAGUUAGCUGCGCUUCUGCCCAUGACGCUCAUCCGGAUGGAGGCGAGGUGGAGAUGGCAACUGAGACUUCAGCCGCCCCGGCAAUAAUUCCGGCUGAAGAUGCAUCCGGACAGAUGCGUCCGGACGAAGAUGUGGGGGUCCCGAAUCCGGGACAAGAGUCACCUUCUGUUUCCUCAUCUGAGGAGGAACCUGCUGACGAUGCAGCUCCUGCUAGCCUUUUCAGCUACGCGGAGUUGGAAGCUAAGCUAAAACAGGUUACACCCGGCUGGACUGCCAUCAAGCCCUCUACUAAGAUGUUUGAUAUGAUAGAAACGGUAUACCGUUGUCUUGUGCUUUUGCUUUUUGAUUCUUUGUUGCGCUGAUGUGUUUGUUGUAGUAUGAUUUAUGUCUUUGCUUUUCUUGUUUGCGUGUCAGCUGGUGAGGAGCCUCCGCGACAUGGCUCAACAACACGAUCUUUUUACUCACCUGCUGCAGACUGCAGACUAUAUGAAGACCUUCUCCUCUCGACGCCGAGAGAUUGAAAAUCAGCUGCGUCUGAGAAUGGAGGAGGCUGAGGCUAGUCUAUCCACCAUGCGAGAGGAAAAUGAAGCCCUCCGAGUGGAGUUGGCUGAGGCGAAGAGUCGAGAAGAAUCGACUGUGGGCCGCCUACAUGAGGCGGAAGGUGAGGCAGCCCGGCUGAGGGAUGAAGUGAGUCAACUCCGGACAGAAGUUUCGAAUGAAAAGAAACAAAAGGAAGACUUGCAGCUGCGCCUGGAUGUGCAAAAAGAAGACCUUGAACAGGAGUUUGCUGUGGAAAGAGAGGAACUUGCAGCGGAUUACCAGCAACAAGUGGAUGAUAUGUUUAUCUUUGGGUAUCGCUGCUGCAUGAAGAAGAACGACAUCAAGCGAGAUACCCCUUCAAUUCCUCCGGGUGAAGAAAAGAAGCUCCAUGAGAAGCCCGCUCCCUGAUAGUUUAUCUUUUUUUGCAAUUUUUCUGCUGUAAUUUUUCCUUCUGUAUUUUUGUGGUCCGGAGAUCUCUUUGUAAUUACACUUAUUCAUAUCAAUAAAAACAUACUUCUUUCUCAUUUGCACUUGUGUAUACUUUUUAUUGAUAGUACUGCUUUAAAUUGGACACAUUCCAUGGUCUGAGUAACGGACUGCCAUCUAGCUUUUGUAAAUGAUAGGCUCCAUUUUCGUUUGCCUUAGACACUAUGUAGGGUCCUUCCCAAUUGGCUUGGAACUUUCCUGCGCCUACUUCAGCAGUAUUUUCAAAAACUUUUCUAAGUACUAGCGUACCAUUUUUGAAGUUUCUGGGCCUGACUUUUCGAUUGUAAUGCGCUGAUGCCAUUUGUUGAUAAUCUGCCAUCCGGAUGGCCGCGCUUUCUCUGACUUCGUCUGCCCAGUCUAAAUUUCUUCCUAGUUCCGUGUUGGCAUCUUCUUGUUUUGUUGCAUCGGUCCGGAUAGUAGGAAGACCUAUUUCAAUGGGAAUGACUGCAUCCAUUCCAUAUGUGAGGGCGAAAGGAGUGUUUCCUGUUGGUCGUCCGGGUGUGGUUCGAUAGGCCCACAGGACGCCGGGUAGCUCCUCCACCCACUUCCCUUUGGCUUGCUCAAGCCUUUUCUUUAAGGCAUUGAUUAGAGUUUUGUUUGUGGCUUCCGCUUGCCCAUUGCUUUGAGGAUAACGCGGCGUGGAGUAUGAAUUCCGGAUAUUCAGUUCCGAACAGAAAUUCCUGAAUGCAAUGCUGUCAAAUUGUGGACCAUUGUCAGCUAUGAUGAUUUGGGGAAUUCCAAAGCGGCAAACAAUGUUCUUCCAUACGAAUUUGGUGACAUCUUUAUCUUUGAUGCUUGCAUAUGCUUCAGCUUCUACCCAUUUACUGAAGUAAUCAGUGGCGACAAGGAGGAAUUUCUUCUGGGCAGGUGCUGCUGGGAGGGGUCCCACUAUGUCCAUGCCCCACUGCGCGAAAGGCCAUGGGCCUGAGACCGAUUUCAAUGUUGCCGAUGGCAUAUGUGGAAUGGGAGCGUAUCUUUGACAUUUAUCACAUUUUUGGACAUAUGCUACCGCGUCUUUCUUCAUUGUGAGCCAAUAGUAUCCUUGUGAAUGAGCUGUAUGUGCCAGGGAUCGUCCUCCCGUAUGAUUUCCGCAUAUUCCUUCAUGUAAUUCAGCUAGCACAUAUUGGGCCUCUGAAUGCCCAAGACAGCGAAGAUAAGGCCCUGUGAAGGAUCGCUUGUACAGGUGCCCCCCAAUCAGGGUGAAACGGGCAGCUUGCACCCGGAUUUUGUGCGCUUGUUUAGGAUCUUCGGGUAAAGUGCCUGUCCGGAGAUAUUCUGCAAUAUCAUGCGUCCAUUCUUGAUCAUCCGCUUGGUUUGCCUCAAUGGUGUUGCAAGUGGAACUUUCUGCGACAGAGGGAUUGACUUGUACAUGGAUAGGCAAUAGAAUGGCUUCUCUGAUGGGGAGGGAAGCAGCUAUACCGGCCAAGGCGUCAGCGUGCCCGUUGUCAACUCGCUUAAUUUUUUCGAUUGUCCACUCGGUGAAUUGCUGUAAGGUGCUUCUUACAUUGGCCAAGUAUCGCGCCAUGCAUGCAUCCUUAGCCUCAUAUUCUUUCUGGACAUGCCUUACCACUAGUUGCGAGUCGUUGUAGAUCCGGAGUUUGGAGACGGAUAGAGCAAGGGCGAGGUCCAAUCCGGACAGGAUGGCCUCGUAUUCUGCUUCAUUGUUAGACGCGGAGAAUCCCAGCCAGAUGGCUUGCUCCAGAUGUUCCCCAGUUGGGGACUGUAGUAAGAGCCCAACUCCAGAGCCUGAUGAGCGUGAGGCUCCGUCAACUCGUAGAGUCCACCACUCCUGUUCACUUGAUUCGUGGUGCUGGUUGGGUCUUCGUGAAUAUUUGAGCACAAAGUCGGCCAUUACUUGGCCUUUUUUGGAUAAUCUGGGUUGGAAUUCGAUUCCAAAUUCGCUCAAUUCGAUGGCCCAUUGUAGCAUUCGCCCAGUUAAUUCUGGUUUGUGCAGAAUGCUACGAAGGGGUUGGUCGGUCAGUACAAUCACUGGGUGGGCUUGAAAAUAGGGGCGGAGCUUUUGAGCAGCACUUCGAAGAGCUAAGGCUGUUAGCUCCAUUUUUGAAUACCUGGUUUCUACAUCUGCCAAUGCCCUGCUGACAUAGUAGACAAGUUUCUGCUCCUUUGGUGAAGGACAGCGGAAUAGAACGGCGCUGAUUGCCCAUUCUGAGACAGCCAGAUACAUGUAUAACUUCUCCUUUGGGAUGGGGCUGCUUAGGAUGGGUGGCUGCAUAAGACAAUGCUUAAUUUUUUCGAAAGCACUUUGACAACUGUCUGUCCAUCCUUGUGCUCCAGCUUCUCGUAUUGCCAAGAAGAAGGGUCGCAAUUCUUCAGUGAAGCGGGCUAUAAAGCGCCCUAAUGCGACGAGCUUGCCUGUGAGUCAUUGUAGCUCCUUCUUGUUCCUGGGAGGGGGUGUUUCCAUGACUGCCUUGACUUGAUCCGGACUGACUUCUAUGCCUCUCUGGCUGACCAUAAAUCCUAGGAACUUGCCAGCACUUACUCCAAAGGCGCAUUUAGAAGGGUUUAGCUUCAUGUCAUACCUUUGCAAGAGGUGAAAAACUUCUUGUAAGUGAAGAUCAUGCUGCUCUCGGGUUUUGCUUUUAACCACAAUGUCAUCAAUAUACACUUCUACCGUGUGGCCUAUUAGAGGUUUGAAGAUUUUAGUCAUUAAUCUCUGAUAAGUGGCGCCAGCAUUUUUGAGUCCGAAUGGCAUGACUUUAUAGCAGUAGAGGCCAUGUGGUGUUAUGAAUGCUGUCUUUUCUUCGUCAUCUGGAGACAUGGGAACCUGGUGAUAUCCGAAGAAGGCAUCCAAGAAAAAGAGCAUCCCUUGCCCGGAAGUGGAAUCUACAAUUUGACCUAUUCGUGGUAAGGGAAAACUGUCUUUUGGACAUGCGUUAUUGAGAUUGGUGUAAUCAACACAGACUCACCAUUUGCCCUCUUUCUUUGGUACCACCACUACAUUUGCCAACCAAUCCGGAUAAGAUACUUCUCUGAUGAAUCCGGCUUCCAGCAAUUUGUCAAUUUCAUUUCGGAUAACUUUUUGUCUAUCCGGAUGAAAGCGUCUAAUCUUCUGUCGAACGGGUCUGGCUGCUGGAAAGACGUUAAGCUUGUGAGAGGCAAUAGAGGGAUGAACUCCCUUCAUAUCCGAAUGUGUCCAUGCGAAGAUGUCAUGGUUGCUUCGAAGGAUAUUUUGUAUGCUCUGAGUUUCUUCUUGUGUCAUGAGGGAACUGAUGUUCAUGAGGUGAUCAUUCUCUUCUGAGAUUUGGAUUGUUUGUAAGGGAUCUGCUGCCAGGGGAUCCUUGUCCGCCGGACCCAAUAAUUGCUAUUGGUCAUGCGUAUGGCUGGGUUCAGGGGGAGAUGCAUCCUCCUGGCUAGUUCCCGCUUCUCGUGCUAUUUGAUAGCACUGUCGAGCGGCCAACUGGCUGCCAUACAAGUCAGUUUGCCCUUCGUUGGUGAGGAAACUCACCAUUUGAUGAUAUGUGGAAGGGAUGGCUUUCAUGUAGUGAAGCCAUGUGCAUCCCAAGAUGACAUUGAAGGGUGAUAACUCUUGUACCACCGAGAAUUGCACGUUGAGAGUGACUGGGCCAGCUUGGACCGGCAGUAUAAUGUCUCCUAAGGAUGUGGUUGAUGACCCGUUGAAUCCGGAUAAGAUUCGUCCGGGGUUUUCGAGACCCGCGAGACUAUGUCCCAUAUGGCCAACGACUGAUGUUUGCACUAGAUCGGCUGAACUGCCUGGGUCGACCAAGAUACGUCUUACAUCGAAAUCUCCUAUUUCUAGGGAGAGGAUGAGGGCGUCGCGAUGUGGCUGUAGCGUCCGGGUGGGAUCUACUGGAGGGAAAAUGAUUGUCCCAUCUAUGGGGCGAGGGCCCUCUCCAGUGAGACCCGACCGGAUGGAAUUAAUGUGUUCGCGUAUUGACGCGGCUCGCAGCAAUUUCUGCCUUUUCCGCCUGGAAUCGUAUUCCUCGUCAGAUGGGCCCCCGUUGAUAUAGUUUAUGACAGCCUUGGGGGCGACUGGGGCCCUCGGGGCCCCAGAGUUAUGAUGUUGAGAUGCGUCCCUUCCUCUAAUAUCUGAGCGGAGGUACUGUUUUAAAUGUCCUGCUUUGAUGAGCCUUUCAACUAGAUACUGGAGGGACCGACAUGUCUCUGUUGUAUGACCAUGGUCUUUGUGGAAGGCGCAUUUCUUGUUGCGGUCUCUCAUGGAUGGGUUCGUUUCGAGGGGUCUAGGCCACCUGAAGUCGGACAACCCUUGGAUCAUUGGGAGAAGUUUUUCGUAUGACACGGAUAGGGGUGUGAUGGGCGGCCUAUCCAGACGACUCGGCCCGUCCUGCCUCCGGUCAACUGGUUUUGGCCGGUUCGGAGGUUUGGCAUGUCUGUCCGCGUCAUCUCUAGAAGUUUGUCCGGCAACCAAAACUUGCUGAGUGGCUGCACGUACGUCAUCUUCGAGCAUUGAAUAUUUGUUAGCACGUCUGAACAAAUCGUCCAUCGUUGUAGGAGGCUUUUUGGCCAGCGAUUCGAAAAAUGGAGUGCCUGGACAGAUGCUUCUCUUGAAGAUCUGUAGGACAGCAUCCAUGCUGCAAGCCUCUAUUUGAAGUACGGCUUGGCCAAAUCGUUUCACAAAUUCCCUCAAGGAUUCGUUGUCUCUCAUUUUUAUGUUCUGGAGGGUGCUGAUAUUCUGCUUGUGUCGAGCAGAGCACAAGUACUGUCCCACGAAAGCUUCAGAGAGGUCCCUGAAAUUGUCAACAGAGUUAGGAGGUAGGCGAUGAAACCAUGAGAGGGCCUGCCCUUGAAGGCUGGCGGGGAAUACUUUGCAUAGCAAUGCAUCGUUGCCAAUAUCGAGCGUCAUAAGCUGUCGAUAGUGCAUGAUGUGAUCGAAGGGAUCGUUGGUCCCAUCGUAUGUGGAAAACUUUGGUACGAAGAAUCCCCUUGGGGGCUCGUAAUAGGUGAUAUGAGAGCAAAAGGGCGUGGAGAGCAUGUCAUCCAGCCUUUUACUGAUGGAGCCAAUGGGUGGCUCGUUUGGGAGGUUUCUCCCAUCUGGUCGUUCCGCUAGGUGUGAGUGAACGUUCCGCAUCGCUGGGGUGACCAUGGGGUCACGAUGCGGAGGUACGUUCUGCACCAUGGGAGCGAUCAUAGGAUCGGGGCGUGGUGCCCGGGUUGUGGCUACUGGUGGCCUUGAUCUCCCAGGCUCUUGUGGGCCUAGUCUUGCGCUCAUAGAACUUGACAACUGUGAUUUUCUAUCACGUUGUCUUUUUACUGAAAAAUGAGUGGAAUCUGAGCUUUCCUCACGGGGAGCUCGAGGCAUAGGUGUACGUGGCUCAUGGGGCCUUGCGUUGUAUGCUCCUGGGACAGCUCCUGUUGACCCAGGAUAUAUUGAUUCUGGCUCUGGCCUUAAGUUUGCCACCUGGCCUCUUGAACGCUGACGACGACGAGGACCUGACGUUGAGGCUUGAAUGCGUAACACAUCGUUUUCUUCCCUUAACCUCUCCGUCUCCUAGAGGAGAGCUCUUAGUUGUUUUUCGCUCGCCAACUGUCUUUUUUCGAUGGCCUGACGCCAUUCGAGAUUAUCUUCCUCCCCUCUACCAGAUGAUCGACUUUGGGAAGGUGUGGCCAUCUUUGCUAGUGACUGAAUCAAAAUAAAAAGUAAAGUUUCCCACAGACGGCGCCAAUGUUGUCACCUCGCGUAUCCGGUGGUCCACGUUGCUGCUAGAUGGAUGGACACGCGAUUCUCAACACACAAAGGGUUCUUGAUUCAGCGGUCGUACCUGCAAAAGGCAUCCGGACAGGGUGUCCGGACGCACCCUCCGAUGGUUUUGUUAGCCAUGGUAAGAGAGGAAGAUAUAUGAGGCAGUUGGCUUUUUACUAGGUAUCAGGAGGUUACCCAGAGAGAGAGCCCCAGUUCUUCUUCGCGUGAAGACUUAUAUAUAUAGCUUUAAGGGUACUGUUCCUCUCAUUAAUGGUGAGGAGAUGUUUUAUGUUGUCAUGAUGACAUUAAGUAGCAGCAGAGACAUCAUCACCCUACGAGCGGCUGUCAGGAACCAUGGUAGGUGACGCGACUGUCAGAGAUCGUGAUAGGUGAUCAUGUAGAAUGAUCGUGGGAAGUGACUUGCUAUCACUUCAUCUUGUCUUCUCACUCUGCAGGUGACAAGAUGUGGGCCAUGGCUGCUUGUUGUGAUUGCGUGUAAGACUCACUUUACUUUAAUUGACCAUCCAGACGAUUUAUAUCCGGAUGGCUCAUGCUGAUUAUCCGGAUGUGUUGUGGAGACUAUCCGGAUGUCUACGCUCUGCCAGCGUCAUUUGCUCUUCCUUGGAUAGGAGAAGCUGAAACGUCGUUUGCCUUUCCUUGAGGCUGUCCGGAUAGGAUAACUGCACCAUGCAUAUCCUUAGGGGAAUCCGGAUGAUGAUGGUCCGGCUGAUAACACGUGCCACGCGUCAUCAUGAGUUGCGUGCCACGUGUUUCCCAAGGGGAGGGGUCCCUACACAGUUGUGACUCAGCAACCACCGCUGAUAGUGACUAAACCUUGCAUGGACUCGAGCCCACGUAGCAUUUAGGCAUAAAACACAAUAACACGUCCCGAUCAUGCGCCGCAAGGCUUCGUUUACUAAAGAAAAAAGGAUACUUUUUCUCCAUAUAUUGCCUAAUUGGGAUGCAAUUUUAUAAUAAGAAUGGAGGAGAAAAAGAGAACAAGCCCCAGACAAGUGACCCAACAAUGACUUCCCACUUCGGAAACACUGUUCCAUUGCCCAUGUUUUUUACGACACCAGAGUGAAAUGGUGGUGAGAGGUCAUGAUCAGUAAGUAUAAUAUUAUUUAUAAGUUGUUUAACACAUAGAAUGUUUUGUUGUAUAGCUAGUCAAAAUCCGCCUAUAAAGUAGCACAAAGCUAAAGUGCAGAGCACACAAAUUUCUUCUUCGAUUGGCAACCUUUUGAAAUGCGAUGCCAGUACUGCUAAUUCAUGCGUACCAAACUGUAUAUAAUAAUAAACUCCAUACUGGGGAAAUCAUUAAUGGAACUUGGAAUAUUAUUCUGGCCCUUGGGCUGUCCACAAGAUUAAAGAUGUGAGACAAGACUCACUAAGUUCUAAGGUUGUGCAGUGUCUUCACACUUGGGGGCAUUCAACUCGAAUGGAAUGUCAAAACCCAGUUCUUGUUUGGUACUAGUUUCAGCACAUGGAGUAGUGCCACUUGUGAGAUGCCAGCAUUCAACCAUUUGACCAUUGGGCCAGACCACCGUCCACAUACAACUGAGUUCCAAAAUGCAAGAAACGUGGCCCCCGCAUAUCACGUGUCUACCCGCCCCAUUGUGAAAUAACUUCUACAAAAACGGCCGGCUAGUUCAUUUACGUUACGUGGGCACGUGAUCUUACAAAUAAACGCCCCUCAUGCACGUUCCAUUCACUAACACAUUUUGGGUUGGCUGUUUCGGGCCAAAUGCCAAGUAAUUUCAAUGCUUGAAGUUGUAGUUCAGUUUUUGGUUGACAGAUACGUGUACCUUACUAUUGUAUACCCUAAAAAAUCCAUGAACAUUUUGAAUAAUGUUGAACAUGUAGUAGGCACAAAAAUAGACACAUUUCAAUAGAUUUGGGUUAGACAUACUCAUGUUUGUGUUAUAAUCAUGUUAAGUUAUAUAUAUAACAUGUUUAAUAACUAGGUCAUAUUUAGUCUAUAUGACUUCUCGACCCAUUAAAGCUAUUUAAUUUGUUCACUUCAUGAAUUUUCCAUUGCACCCAGCUAAUUUCUACAUGAAUUUUUAAAAUAAUGUAGUUUAGGUGGUUGAAAGAAUUAGACUUUGGGAAGGUUAAUUCUGGAUGGUUGGGAUGCACUUCGAGUCUCAUACAUACAUGGAUAUAACUUGGAUGAAUGUUCUUCAGUUGUAUAAGUCAAGCUUACCUAUAAAUAUUAUGUAUAUUUUUUAUAAUGAAUUAGGACGAUAUUAAGUUGGUUUACUAAACAUCCAUAUAAUGUUAAAUAUAAAUAUUGAAGGAUAUGAAAUCCACAUAUCAAUAUAUCAAACUUUUACCAAACCCACCUCAUGACAACCUUCUUAUGGUUCUCACACGGAUUUCUAUUGUUAUCAAACAAAAAGUCUAUAAUAAAAUAUUUUUUAUUAUAAUUCAUAGAUACUCUGACAAUUAAAUAAAAGGAUAAACUUAUUUGUGGAAUAUAAUUAAAAAGAAAAAAGAAAAAAAGAGACGGGUUAGAGUUUUAAAUUAUUAUUAUUUUAUAUACUUUAAAUAAAAUAGUAAUAAUAUAAUUAAAAACAAUGUCCUCUUUCAACUUUCAUACCUUCAACCUAUACGAGCUGUGAUAUUUUCAAGUUGGUAUUCUUUAACACAAGUCCAUUCCUAACUUAUUCAACUUUUACGACUUCAACGUAAACCUCGUGAUGGUACAAAUUAGACUAUUCUGCCCUACCUAAGUUAAAGUCCUAAAAAUUUCAUAAGAAUUAUGGACUCACCUUAUUAUGAAUCUAGACAUUAUUUAUUCUGAUUUAUCUAUUCUUUAAUAUAUAUAUAUAUAUAUAUAUAUAUUGGUUUUAAUAGGCAGAAAUGUCCUUAAUGACCUUGUACAUAGAGUACAUAUAUGAGUGAUAAUAAUACGUGUUUAAGAAUAUGUUUGACAAUAAUUUAAAAAAAUAUUUUUAAUAUUUUUAACAUUUAAAUUAUACAAAUUUUAAAGUGUUAAAAAGUUUGAAAACACUUACUAAAAUCAUUGUCAAUUAAUAUUAUUAUAAGCUAAUUAUUAUUAUUAUUAUUAUUAUUAUUAUUAUUAUUAUAUCAAACAUGUUAAAAUUUUAUUAUAUACCUUAUAAAAAUAAAAGUUAUGCUCUUAUAUUAGGUUGCAAUUUGAAGUUCAAGUUCAUUAAACUAUGCAGAGUUAAGCUUUAUGUUAAAAAUAAUAAAUAAAAAAUUAUAGAGAAUCAAUUCAAUCAAUUCAUUAUUUUCCAAGCAAGGAUUAAGAUAUUGAAGUAUUGAUGGUUAUAUUUUACAAAACAUUGAAACAAAAUAAUAAUACAUUAAUAAUAUAUAUAAUGAUAAUAAUUCAUAAAUCUUGAAAAUAAAUUUAAUAUUAAAAUAUCAUUCCAAGUAAUUCUGAAGUAUUCAAAGAUGUAAAUUAAAGAAAUAAUAAUAUAGGUAUAAUUAUUUUUUAUUUAAAAGUAUUAAUAAUUUCAUUUACAACUUUAUGUUGUCAAAAAUAGACGUAUCAAAAGAAUUAUCAUAAGAAAGCUUUAUAUUUUUAAUAAUAAAUUAAAUUAAGGUGGUGUUUAUUUUUUUAUAUUUAAAUCUGAAUGAAAAUUAAUUUAACUUAAUAGAAUUAAAUAUUAAAUUAUUUGUUUCUUAUCAUUUUAUUUUUGUUAAGUAUUAAAUAUUAAUAGGGUGAAAGCCUUGUUGAGCUUGUGCAAAAAAAUUAUUUUUAAUAUUCAAUAAAAAGUUAAAUAUUUUGGUUUUUGCUAUUCAUAAAAAAUUCUUAAGAAUUAAUUUUUUAUUUUUAUUCAAAAUAGUCGUGUUUGGUCAAACACUUUAAAAUGCAUUAGCAUAUUUGUACUCAAACGUUUUUAUGAAAAUAAUUUUACACUAAAUCUCCUAUUUGUAAGCAUGAUUAAAAUUAUUUGAUCCAUGAAACUGUUUUAAUGAUCCUUAUUGGGCUUCGAGUUCAUGCCCAUUUGUUGAUAAUUUUUCAAGUAUUCUUAGUCCGAGCGAGGAGUGAUGGCUAGGCUAGGGAAUUUUUUCUUUGUUAGGAUUUUGAUUUAAACUUUAUUAUGGACAUUGUUUAGAAGUUAAAAUUUUAUUCAUGUUUGAAUUAUUUGAUUUUGGAGUUAUUUGGAUAAUAACACUUUGGUUGAUGUGUUAAUUUUUUUUAUUUUUUUUUAAGUUGAGAAUUGGGGAUUAUAAAAUUUAUUUAUUUUACUACUCUGAAUAUGAAUUUGGUAAUUGAUAAUUUCUAAUUACAAGAUAAAUGUUUGUAUUGUUUCCACUUUAAGCCUUCGGGCUUAAGGUGUGAAAUGAUCGUCAUGCCCAUGGAGUAGGUUUUGGGGCAUGACAUAAUUAGUACAUUUUCAUUAUAUAGUUAGUAUAACACCCUUGUACAAUGAUGCAAAUUUCAUCCACAUGCAUACAUUAUGUGUCCAUAUAGGAUGUGUGAAUCAUAUUUCCAAUGAUUUUGUUUAGAAAAUGGUGUAAGACAUAAAAACAAAUUUUUUUCCCCAAACAUCAUUAUUGGGAUAAGUAUUUGAAUUAUCAUAUGUAAGUUAAAUAAAGUGCAUGAAAUGAAGGAAUUUGAAAUAGAAGAGUGUGAAGUUAUUGGAUGAUAGGAAAAAAAAAAUAGUUGUUCAAAAUUGACUAAAAUCCUCCACAAAUGGCAACCUUGUAUAGUUAGUGUUUUUACCUUAUACAAUUAGUGUAACACUUUUUUAUAAUGGUAUAAAUUUCAUACAUAUGUAUAAAUUAUGUCCACGCGAGUGUAUAAACUAUGUUUCUAAUGGUUUAACAUUUAAAAUGACUAAAACAAAUAAAAUAUUAUUUUAUUUUAUUUUCAAUGGAAAAUGUUAUUAAAAAUAAGACAAAGAAAUGAUUUAAAAACUAUUAUUUAACUUAAAUUUAUUUAUUUAAUUCGUUCCCAUUCCUUAUUUUCAUAUGCCAAACAUGUUCUUAUUCCAAUCUCAUUACAAUGACAUUAAUACAUAUUAUUCCCUUUCUAUUGCAGACAAUAUGGAAGAAGUUGGAAUUAACUUUCAUUUAUUUACUUAUACCGGCACAGAGUCGAUGAAUACGGAUGCAAUAUUAUCCUUCAUCACUUUCCCAACACGAGUGUAUUCAUCCUUUUCCUUCUAAUUGAUGUCUACCACUUGUGUAAGAUUGAGAACUCCGGUAAGGAUUGGGACCGACAUGGAAGUAGGUAUAAGAAACCCUUGGUUAAUAUCCUUCCAUGGAUUCGCAAUUUGCUUGUUAAACUCAUCAUCAUAAGCCUGUUGUUCUAAGACACUAUAUUACUUCACAUAGCAUUCAAUGGAUGAGGCAACAUGCCCUCUCUCUUCUUUAGAAUUCCUAGCAUACCUUUCCUAUCUUCCCAAGGCCGCACAUAUUUUUUUUUCUCACUUAAAUUUGGAGCACCUUCCUUUCUUCUCACAUAAGCAGUGCACUUUAUUUUUUUUUUUCUUCAAUUGGUGCAUUUUUAUUUAAUUCUCAAGGUGGCCUAUCUUUCUUCACUUAAUGACGUACUUUCUAAAACUUCAUUGCUUCCUAUCUUCUUUUCUUCUUGUUAAAGUGGUGCACCUUUGUUACUUGACACAUCUUUUUACCUUAGGGACUUGGUGCACCCUUGGCUUGUGGGACCAUGAUUAAAUAAAGACUUUUAAUUUUUAUUUGGGAUUUUUUUUCUUCGAUUUGAGAAGUACACAAAAAUUAAAAAGGAAAUUUAGGAUUAGAAUUAGGGUGUAGAUUUUUUUUUCUCCUAUUUAAGGUUUGCAUGAUUUAGAAGGAGCAUAAAGAUUUAAAAUUAGAUUUUCUUUUUGUCCAUUUAAGGUUUCAUUUGGGCACUGCAUAAAGAUUUUGAAAGAAAUGUUAGUAUUUAGAAUUUUUUCCAUUUAGGAUUUGAUUUGGAAAUUUAGGUUUUAAUUUGGGAAAUAGAUUAAGAAGAUUAAAAAAAGAAGAAGAUGAUAUUUUAAUUUUUAUUUAAUAUCUUAAUUUUAAUUAUCUAAAAUUAUUUAAUUAUUCUAAUUAAUGAUAUUUUGAGGUUAAUUGCGAUUAGUAUAUUAAUUAAAAUUAAUUAUAUAUAAAAAUCUUAAAUUAGGAUCAAUGGUAUUUUAGAAAUUUUUAUUAAAUUUAGUUGGUAAUAAUUUGUAGAUUAUUUUGUAGAAAGCUUAAUUAGAAUUAAUUAAAUCUUUAUAUUAAAAAAAAAACUUAAGAAUAAUUAGAUAAUGAGAUAAUAUAUACUAAGAUAAAUAAAAGAUACUUUAGGCAUUUUCUUCGAUUCUUUAACAAUGAUAUCAUUAAUCAACUAACAAUCAAUCCUUAAGGAUAGUCAAUGCUUGAUUGAUGGUCAAGUUAUGUAAUGGUUGAUCAAGGGAGUGUUGGUAUAAUUUCAGAAUCCUGAAGAAUUAAAAUGUAGUUAUCAGAUACCCUUCUUUAAUUGAGAUAAGUUGCUUCAAUGAGUGAUUGUCGAUUGAAAUUUUACUCCUAAAAUAUGUUUGUGGCUUUAGCUUGUCAAAGAAUAUGCUGGGAAUCAGUUAUGCUUGGGUUACGAGUUCCAUAAGCUUACGGCAUUAGAUUUUCAAGAUUGUCUUUCUUUGGAUGAGACCGUUAUAGAGAAGAGGGCCUUGCCAAUCCACUUUCAUUCAAACUGUUUGUCCUUAUUCUCAAUGAAUGAAGCAUUUUAUUUAAAGCAGAACACUCUAAAACUGUGAGAAACUAGCCGCCAAAGCAUUUAUUCCAAUCUUAUUACAAUGCCAUCAAUGCAUAUUAUUCCCUUAAUUUCCAUUGCUGACAUAUGGAAGAAGCUGGAAUUAACUUUCAUUUGCUCAUACUGGCACAGGGUCAAUGAGCAAGGAUGCAAUAUUAUCUUUCAUCACUUUCCCAACAUGAGUGUAUUCAUCAUUUUCCUUGUAAAUGAUGUCUACCACUCGUGUAAGAUUGAGAACUCCGGUAAGGAUUGGGACUGGCAUGGAAGUAGGUCUGAGGAACCCUUGGUUAAUAUCCUUCCAUGCAUUUGCAAUUUGCUUGUUAAACUCGUCAUAAGCCUGUUGCUUUGAGACACUAUAUUGCUUCACGUAGCAUUCAAUUGCUGAGGCAACAUGCCCCCUCUCUUGUUCAAACUGCAUACACAUAUAGUAACGCAAAAGAUGAGGAAAAAAACUACCAUACAAAUUGUCACAAAUGAACUUAUAUGUAAUAUAUUCUACAUGCAUACCUUAUGUGAAGUCAUGUCAUUCAUGAGUCUAGCAAUUAAACAUGAAGCUAUUGUAAAAAGGGUCAUUGUAAACCCAUUCGAAGGCCUCUUUUGUUAUGAUCUCGUCCAUGCCAAUGAAAAAGAUGACUGUGGUCAGGGGGAACGAUGAGCUUACUCUUGCAACUUGCAUGUAUUUGUCUAUGGUAGGUACAUUUCCUUCAUGGAACCAUUGUGCUUCAUCAAAGUAAGCGACAAUCUGAAUUUUCAUCUGACAAAACAUUCCUCCAUAUUACAUACUUCUACUUAUACUUUAAUUUUUAGUAUAAACUUGUGGGAAGGUAAAACUUAAUAUGAUACCUAAACAGAAAUUGAACCCAACACAUUUAAUUUUCUUGGGUUUGGGUUGAGUACAAGCAAGUUUAGGUUAAGUUCAUAUCAAUCUAGCUAUAUAACCCAUUUAAUAAAUAAAUUAUUUUUUUAUCAAUUUGAAUGAUACUAAUCUGAUUUAAAUUGACCUAAUUUAAUAAUUCUAGCUUAUUUAAUCAAUAUUCGAUUCCUAUAAAGCUUGAUUUUGGAUAUACUUUAAUUAAAAUUCAGUCACAAGCCUGUUAGGUUGGGAGAUUAAUAAUAUAAACCAUAUAAAAUCUAAUUCAAUUUUAUUAUUAAAUAACACGUAAUUAUUAAAUAGGUUAUACGUUACAUGUUUAAUAAUUAGGUGAUAUUUUUGAGAAUAUUUUUAACUCAAUUGUUAUCAGUAUUAUAUUUGAGUUGACCUAUUUAUUCGAUCUAUGAUAUGACACAAAAAUUUCAUAUAAACUAAAAGCCCUACAGAAAUUUCAUGAUAAAUCAAAUGAGAGUGAAGAGAGGGUUGUGAAUUGCACUUGGGAUUUCUGCUGAUGAGAGGGAUUUGAUAGAAAAACAGAGCGAAUCGCACCUUGGUAUUGUGCUGGCAGACAGACUCGUUGUAAGCGUGUUGGAGGUUGAAGAUGUAUUGGAGGAAAAAUCACUGGGAAAACAUGGAGAGAUGUUUUUAUAUAUUUAUUUAUUUUUGUUCUCUGAAUAGUAGGAAAAACAAGGGAAACAACUUUUUAUUGUUAUCCGAAAAUGGAGAUUUGAAGGAACCAAGAGAACACCCACUUCCCAAAUGUGUUUUUUGUAUUUUUUUGUUCUCAAAAACAAAAAACAGUUAUCAGAAACACCAACCAAGUAGGCCUUUAUUUUAUUUUAUAUAUGUUUUGAAUAGAUUAACAUUGGUGAAUAAAAUCAAUUGAAAAUAAGAGAUAAGAAAAAAUAAUCUUUUACAUAUUAAAAUUAAUAUAGAAAUUAGGGUGUAAUUAAAAGAAGUUAAUUUGAGAUUAGGUUAUGAUUAUAAAAAGUAGGAAAAAACACUAUUAAACUAAGAUUUUAUUAAUCUCAAUUGUGAUGAUUAUAAAAUAGGGUUUGGAAUUAAUUGUUUUAUUUUAAGUACAAGAUUUUGAGAGGGAUAAUCAAGAAGAUAUAUCAAGGUUGUAAGGAAUCCUAGAUUUCUCUGUUCUUAAAUCCUAAAUCAUAUAGGUGCAUGAAGAUCUACCCUAAGCUUCUCUAAAAACUAUUCUAACGGAAACAACAAUAAUAAAAACCAUUUAGAAUAAUAAACUAAAGAAGAUAGUAGUCAUACUUGGAUCUGGAUGUUCGAAGAUCAGUUUUCUAUCAUGAAGGGGAAGCCUAAAGAGUCUGAAUGUCAUGUCCACCUAAGAUCUUCCGCUGGAUGACUCAAACCACAAUUUUAGCACUCAAAAGUGUGGGCUUUGGAAGGGUGACUACCUUGACUCUCUCUAUCUCUUUAGAAGUGGAAGAUGAUUAUCAAAAGUCUUGGAAAUCCUAACCUUUAAAGGGGUAUUUUUAAGAUUCUCCUAUUGGGUUUAAGUGACUUCAGCUCAUCAAGGCUUAGAUCACUUAGUCUAAUAUAAAUUGAGUUUUAAUUGAUUAAUUAACUACAAAAGGUAAUCUAAUUAAUCAAUUAGUCAAUUCUAAAAACCUUGUUCACUAUCCCUUUUGCAAUCUUGCGUGAUUACCAAGACGCAUUUAAGCACAAUAGUGAACUUAGAGUCAAUCCAAUUCUCAUAAAAUCAUGUUAUCAUGGAAUAUGAGUUUAAAGCAGGGACUACUUGAACCCGGAGGAUUAUUGGCUUCCUUAGAAUCUAAUUUUAAAAUUGAUUUAACACUACGUUAAAGAGAAUCAAUUGCACUCCAAUACCUUAUGUAAAUAACAAUGAGACGAAACUCAGGUUCAUGACCUACUAUCUAUUACAUGUAGACUUCCCAUGAAUUGUUGUCCAUAAUCUGACAAGAUACUACUACCUAUCAAGAUUACAUCUCCAAUCAUUGAGUUACAAAUCUUACUUAGUAUGUGAUCAAUUAACAUAUUCUAGCUCCAAGAAGCAGAUGUUAAAUUCUCACAAAAGGAAAUGCUAUGACCAUAGUUUUCUAGAUCACAUGUUCUUUGGAUCACCUAAGGGGACACACUAUCUCAAUUCUAUAAGAUAUCAAGUAUCUCUAUUGAGAAUCCCUAUUGUCACUAGCCUCCAUCAACAAUGACUUAAUCAAUAGGAAUAUAUGACCACCAUAGGAUCUCACCCAUAGGUCAAAGCCUGUUGUUGACUUUAAAACAAACUCAAUAUUAUUUCAAAGUUGAGAGUCCAUACAGUAUAGUAACUUGGUAAAUCAUGAUAAUUGAUAAACUUACAUCAUAAUUCACUAUAGGUCUUGUCUCGCGUACAUAACAUAUACUAGUGCACUCACCAACUUCCUCACAAUGCAGAGCUUGUGAGAGCUCGAAAAAACUGAGAGCUCAAGAAUUCAAGAGUGUUCCAAAAAAUCCUCUCUCCUACUUUUGUAAUUUUCUCUUUAAAAAAUGUAGUCCUUUGUAUUCAUCACUUUGAGUCAUCCCUCUGCUGUCAACAAGCUUGUAUCAACAACUCUCUGUAAUCAAGGUAUAUUUUCAAUAAAAAAUAUUUUUCAGAUUCAAAUAUCUGUGUUUUUAUGAUUAAAUUUCUACAAUAAAUUAGAAAGAAUUAGAAAGUAAUUAUUUCUGUUUUUAUGCUUGGAGUUCUUUAGAAAAAAUUAAUUAUUGCGUGUAUGAAAUUUCUAGCCCAUUUAUCUAACUUUUUUUAUUUUAAUAUUUUUUUAUUUAAGAUAAAACUAUUAAUUUUUACUUUUAAAUUUUAAUUUAUUUAAUACUAUUUUAAACACAACUUUCUUUCUUUCUUUUUCUUUAAACAGGACUGAACAUCAUACUAAUUUGGUCAAAGAAAUUAAAUAAAGAGUCAAACGUUUACCAUGCAUCAGUAUCCCUCAUCCAAAUGCAUUGCUCAUUGUAGAAUCAGAUGCAUCUAAUUUAGGUUAUGGAGGCAUAUUAAAACAAGAAUAUAACAAUCAAGUGCAUAUAGUUAGAUAUCAUUUAGGGAUCUGGUUGGAUGCUCAAAUAAAUUAUUCAAUUGUCAAAAAAGAAGUUUUAUCUAUAGUUUUGUGUAUUUCAAAAUUUCAAAGUGAUUUGAUAAAUAAAAAAUUUGUUUUGAAAAUUGAUUGUAAAGUUGCAAAAGAUAUUUUAGAAAAAGAUGUUAAAAAUUUAGUUUCAAAACAAAUUUUUGCAAGAUGACAAGCUUUACUUUCAAAUUUUGAUUUUGAAAUUGAAUUUAUCAAAGGAGAGUUGAAUUCCCUUCAUGACUUCCUUACUCGGGAGUUUUUGCAGGGUAAGGAUUCUCCUCCAUCCUAAUAGGUGCUCCCUUUAGGCCUCAACUUCCUUCAUCAUCCAAGAAAACCAAAGCUUCUUAUGCAAUGAUUUCAAAAUUUUCAUAUAUUCAUCCUACUUUUCCAUUACAAACAUCAAAUUCCUUUCAAGUUCUAGGUCCAGAUUUUCCUCAUCUUCAACCUUCAAAAAGUUGUAUUCAAGCUUCUAAAUCAACCCCUAAAAUUUUUUCUAUUUAGAGUCAAUCCAGCCCUAACACUAUUUCAUUAUUACCUUUUCCUUUAUUUUUAUUUUUUUCAUAUAGUCAAUAUGUCAAAAAGCCCAAAACCUUAGAAAUUGCUUUUAUUGAGCCAGAGUUCAAUUAUGAGAAGAUUCCUAAAAUUCUUCCUUAUAUAUUUCCUCAAUGAGUCACCUUGAAUUCCAAUGAUCCUUUGAAAACUAGGCAAUUUUAUGAGUUCAUCCUGGUGGACACGGAUUUAGUUGAAAUUACUCAUAACACUGAUAAAAAUAAUCCUCAGAGGAUUGCUUUUUCCAAAUGUCAAAUUUUCAGAGUCAUGACCAUUGCUAAUUGGAAUCAAAAGCCCUUCACUUGCAAGGCGUUUAGUCAACAUUUCCAUCCCAUGAGCGACAAUUACAUAAAUUAUAUGGAUGCUUGGUACAAUAUGUUUUAUUUGCAAAGCUACCAACAUUCCUGAUUCAUCAAAUUCUCAAGAAAUUGUAAUACCAAAUUUCUUACUUGGUUUCAAAAAUGGUGGACUUUCUUUGGUCUACUAGACUCCAUAUUUCCUUCUGAAAUUCAAGAAAAAUUCAACUUCUACAAGAGCAAGACUUCAUCUCUAUCUAUCACUCAACCAAGACUCUUGAUGUUCUGUUUGAGAUUAAGAAUUCCAUGGAUUCUCUCAUGGAAUAUUAUCAAGAAGCAAGAACAACCUCAUCCUUUUCCAUUAUCUCUCUCUAGAGAAUUCAACAUCAAAUGGUGGGAAAAAUUCAAUCAUGAUUUUGUAUGUCAAUAGAAGACUUUGCAAAUAAUUUUAACAAGGUCAGGAUCAUCAAAUUCAAAAUAUUCAAUAUUGAAGAAGGUAUCAUGAAUGUCGGGCCCCCACCAAAGCCCUAAUUAAUUUCUCAUGAGUUGAUUCCAUAAAUUCCAUGACUUGGAAUUAUGGAGUUUGUUCAUGCUUGAGAAAAUUGAGAAAAAUCAAGAAAAUCGAUUGAAAAUCAAAUAAAAUAGUGAAAAUGCAUGCCGGAAGGAAAAUGACAGCAAGAGUAUGUUAGAAUAUGGAUUUUAUACCUAGAAAGGAUCUAAGAUGAAUUUUUCAAAGCUAGGAAUGUUUAGUUGAACAAUGGUUCAAAAAUUCAAUUUAAAACAAUAAGUUCCCAAUCAAAGAAGCAAAUAGAGGAGAAGGUGUGUAUAGCAAGGUUGCCAUGAAGUGAAGCCGAGAAAUUCUGGAUAGAAGGGACCAAUUCACUGCAAGAGUGUUCAACUGUCAAAUGCUUCAACUUAAAAGACAUCUUGAUUCGUAAGCUCAAUUGGAUUCCCCUCAACAAAAAGUCAAAUACUGGAUUGAAGGUUCAGAAUUUCCAAUUUUCUGCAUUGUUGUAUUUCCUGCAUUUUGAGUUAUUUCCCACCACCGAGACUUGGUUCAGCAGUAUUGUCGGAGUUUGCUUUUUGAUUGUGGGUGGAAAUGGAUCUGGCGAAUCGUGAGUAUCUGACGAGCCAAGCUAUCCGGGUGGAGUGUGAAUCGUUGGCCACAGAUGCUAUCCGGAUAAGCGUUAUCGAAGGAUCCGGACAUGUCUGCCCGGGAAAGUUGAAUCGUCCUCCUCUCUCAUUUGGCGGCGGGCGCUGGGUGUGAAAUAUCCGGAGAAUGUGGAACGUCGGCCGGAUAGAAUUGUGGCUGUGAGAUAUCUGAAGAAAAGUGGCGUCAGCCGGACAGAAUUGCGGCUGUGAGACAUCCGGAGAAAGUGGGAUGUCGGCCGGAUAGAAUUGCUGCUGUGAGACAUCCGGAUAAGGUAAACGUUGGCCGGAUAGAAUUGCUACCCGGAUGGAAUUAGCGAUGAUCCCGUUCGGGUGGAAUGAGCGAUGAUUCCGUCCGGGUGGAAUGAGCUGUGAUUCCCAUCCGGGUGGAAUGAGGGUGGAAUGAGCUGGGAUUCCCGUUCGGGUGGAAUGAGCUGUGAUUCCCAUCCGGGUGGAAUGAGGGUGGAAUGAACUGUGAUUCCCGUUCGGGUGGAAUGAGGGUGGAAUGAGCUGUGAUUCCCAUCCGGGUGGAAUGAGCUAUGCCACACGUCGAAAGGGGGGCGGUCUGCGCGGCCAAGAGAGAGGGAGCCACGUGGCAAUUUUUGGGGAGGAUCCCACAUGUUUAACCCCAAGAAAACCCGUUUUACACAGCCUUAUCAGGUUCCCACCUUUCUCAGAAUGCUCAUGGUCUCCAUAUCUGAGAAUACCAAGGUAAAGAAAGGGAAGAAACGUAGAUACAGAAACACAUAAAAAGACCAAGAAAGAAAAGAAAAGAAAACAGGGGAAAAGAAGAUAGUCGGUGGGUAUUUUGAAGCCAGAUUGGGAUAUAAAUGGGGGCAAGACCCAUAACAUCAAAUUCAAAGGUAAACCUAUAUUCAGAUUGCUUUCACAUGGAACCAAAGACAUUAAAAGGAAUAUUAAAAUAGCAUAAACAUGCAAGCAAACCAGUCUCAACUAAUCAAAUUGUGGCCCUUGCAUCCACACCAAACGACAAGAAUGAAUCUUCAGAAAACUAAGAAGUCAAGAAAGAUUGAAACUAAAUGGUGAUAUAGCAAAAAUCUGGAAACAUACUUGCACGUUCUUCCCUCCAAUUGCUUGGUUCCAGGCUGCUGCACCUUUUCCCGACGGAGAAAUCUGCUCCCCAAUCCUUUUUCUGUCCACCAAUCUUCUCCCUCUCUAUACGUGUUCCAAGUCCCUAUUUUCUAUGCCUCUCUUCCAGACGAUCCUCUCAUGCGUGCUUUUUCUCAUUCUUUUUCUUUUCUCACAUAUAUAUAUAUAUAUAUAUUAGCCUCUCAAACUCAAUUUGAUCAAGAGAAACCACUUUCCUUUCUUCUAUUUCCCUUCCUUUUUUCAAAAAUCAGAAUGUUCCUCUCUUCUCAUGCAGGAUCUUCUCUUUCCAUAUGUAUGCAGCCACAUUAAUUCCUUUUUCCUCACAAAAUAUUUCUCUUACCUUUUUGAGUGCACAUACCUUAGUGAGAGUUGAAUAGCAGCCCCUAUUCUCUUAUCAAACAAUAAAAAAAAUGAAAAUAGAGAGAAUAAAAAAUAAAAAGAGUUAGCAAUCUUGCAACCUAUCAAAGAUUAAAAUAAAAUAAAAAUAAAUAAAGUAAAACAAAAUAAUUGAAUAAAAUAGUCAAUCCUAUGCGGGCCAUGCAAGUUGAUUACUACUCAAAAAGUGCUAUUUCAUAGCUUGUAAUUAACUCUUUUAAACACUUUUGAGUAGUAGUUAUUGCCUUUUAACCCAAUUAACAUGUUAAGGACCCUUGCAAUCAAUUCUAAUCAAAUUGUGUAAGUUUUGGUGUUUUUGUUAGUAAUUUGAUCACCAAAACAAUCCAAGAUUGAGGAGAGUUAUUUAGAAACCAUGGCAAAGCUAUGAAGAGCUCAAAUUCAUGAAGAACCAAGCUUUGGAGCUCCAUAGCCCUUUGCCAAAGUCGUUCAAAGUAUGCAAGGAAAGAGCACUGGAGAGAGGAAAAACAGAGUGAAGAAAACAGAGGAAAGCCAGCUGCAGUCUUAUUUUGCAAUUUUGGAGCACUUUCUGAAGUCCAUUUUCUACAUUCUAUAUACCAUUUCAAAGCUCAGGAAGUCAAGAAUCCAAUGCUUCAAACGGUGCGCGAUUCGGAGUUGAAACGAAGAAGUUACAGCCACUGCAAGUCAAUCACUCUAAAGUGUUGCGGAAUCAGCCUUUUGUUGCGAGAAUUUCGCAGCCUUUUUGUACAGUGUUGUGGAUUUCCUCCUGAAGUUGCCCGAUAUAUGCCGCAAGCUGGAAGCUGAGAACUUCAAGGUGGAAGCCAACUUCGCAGCCCUGUGAGAAUAGCUUUUUGUUGCGAAGUAAUUUGGCAGCCCUUCAUAAGUGUCUGCGAAAUCUCGCAGACACCAUUUUCUCCUGCGAAAUGGUCCUUAGUGCUUCCCGAUAUUUGCCACCGACUCUUUUGGAUAUUUUUCUUCAGAUAUUUUUGUCUAAAUUUCCAUUUUCUCCUUGUAUUCAGCCACUCAUGUAAUUCCUUAGCUAGGAAGUAUCCAAGGAAGGGUAAAUUACCUUCCUAUAUAAACUCUCUUGUAAACACUCUCAGGAGACGCUCGGGGAAGUAUGUAAAAUAUAGAUAUAUCAUAUAUAGAAUCAAGGAACAGAGCACUUGCUCUGUUUUUCAUAUAUAUUCUUGUCUUCUCUUUCAUUUUCAUUUUCUAGCCAACCAAUCUCUGAGGAUUUUUCCUUAGAAGAUGAGAGGCUAGGCUCUUUGUCUCUUGGAGUGAGGAAAGCCGGGUAAGUUUCCACAUGCAUAAAUUGGAAGUUUUGUUGUUUUAGUUUUUAAUGAAGAGAAAGUGUAACCCGUUAGUGAUUUCUAUGUUUUUAGUUAACUUAAAAUGCCUUUAAAUCACCUGGGCCAACACUUGGUAAGGCAAGUGAUCUCCGUCCAUGGAGAUGCACUAGUUUACCCCUUGCGAGCCUUUGGGAGGUGACUUGAAGGUAGGAUUUUCUAGAAUAGCCAACACUUGGUAAGCUUUUGGACUCCAAGGAGACAUCCAUUAGUUAUCUUUUGUGAGCUUUUGAUGGGUAAUCCAAGGUUAAAGAUCACCUUGAAUGGCAAGUGCUAGGUGAGAGGUAUGAGUCAUUGCAAGGUGCAUCAGUGAGAGGGAUUUAGUGUUUGAACCCAUUAAUGGGAAGCAUCUGUACAACACCGGUUGGAGAAGGAACUAUAUGUUAAUUCUCUAAUGCGAGGAAAAGAAACAAGUGACCGGAACUCCCAUUUUGUAUGAGGAACGAGCCUAGUGAUCUGAACUCCAAGAAACACUUUUCUUUGUAAGUAAAAUCAGUUACUAUUUUUGGUUAGUUUAAAUCUAAACCUUUUUCAUUCAAACAUCUUUAUGUUUUCUUUUAAAGCUAACCUUGAAAUGAAAAGACACCAAUUCAGCUUUGAAUUAAUAUCAUUUGCAAAGUGAAAACCCAUCCCAGUGAACGAUCCUAGAGCCACUAUGCUAUAGUAGCUUUGUCUUUGCUACCCUAGUAUAUGGUGUAAUAGGUUAUAAAUUUUGUUGAUUACUCCCUCAAUCAAAGAGCACCAGCUGGACACGAAUCAGCUCAGACACCAAUUGAGCACGAAUCAAAUGGCGCCGUUGCCGGGGAUCGAACCCCGAAUCAAAUGGUGUCAUUGCCACUGCCGCUGCUAGGGACGAAUCACAAGUCAUACAAAAAGUGAGUCUAAAAGUGCUUACUGGGCCAAGUGUGUCUAAAUGGGCCUAGAGCGGUGCCUAAUGGGCUAAGUGUACCUAAAAGCUAUCCUAAAAAUGAACGAAAAAGGCUAAGUAUAAAUUAGGGCUACCAAGAGUCACAAUAAGUGGUCAGAUAAUCCCUCAACCAAAAUCUCCGAGGUGUCUCAGAAAAAGGUAAGUUGUACGAGUAGUAAUAGGCCACCAAGGAACUACUGUGGAGCGCUGAAAAUGAACUUAAAGACAUGUGCUAAAGGGACAAAAUUGAGGGUCUACAUCGAUAUUUUGAAAGAAUUGGUGAUUUUUUUUUUACAAUCUUCCUCCAUUGCUUCGCGCAUCUCUCCACAACGAUAUAUGGAAGAAGUUGGAAUUAGCUUUCGUUUUCUCAUACAAGCACAAGGUCAAUGAGUAAGGAUGCAAUAUUAUCUUUCAUCACUUUCCCAACAUGAGUGUAUUCAUCAUUUUCCUUAUAAAUGAUGUCUACCACUCGUGUAAGAUUGAGAACUCUGAUAAGGAUCAGGAUCGGCAUGGAAGUAGGUACGAGGAACCCUUGGUUAAUUUCAUUCCAUGCAUUCACAAUUUGCUUGUUAAACUCAUCAUAAGCCUGUUGCUUUGAGACACUAUAUUGCUUGACAUAGCAUUCAAUGGUUGAGGCAACAUGCCCUCUCUCUUGUUCAAACUGCACACAUAUAUAUAGUAAUGCAAAAGAUGAAGAAAAAACUACCAUACGAAUUAUCACGAAUGAACUUAUAUGUAAUAUAUUCUACACAUAUACCUUAUGUGUAGUCAUAUCGUUCAUGAGCCUGGCAAUUAAACAUGAUGCUGCCGUAAAAGGGUCUUUGUAAACCCAAUCAAAGGCCUCUUUUGUUAUCAUUUCUCCUAUUUCAAUGAAAGAGAGGGUUGUGGCUAAGGGAAGAGCUGAGCUUACUCGUGCAACUUGUAUGUAAUUCCUCUAUGGAACCAUUGUACUUUGUCAAAGAGCCAACCUGAAUUUUCAACCGACAAACAUUUGUCAAUGUUACAUACUUGUAGAUAUGCUUUAAUUUUUAAUUUUAUGUGAUUCGCCUAUGUAACUCGAGCCCAACACAUUUUGUCAAGAGAUUGGGUUGAGUAUAAGCCUGUUUGAGUUAAAUUUGUAUUGACCAAUGUAAUAUAUUGAAUAAAUAUGUUGUUUUUUUUUAUCAAUUUGCAUGAAUUUGACCUUAAUUGAAGUUUUUAAUAAUUAUGUUGAUUUGUCUUAUUAUCACUUUAAUCUAUUUAACCUAUAUUUGACUUAUUUCAAUUUUGAUUUUGAUAAAUAAGUUAAAUUGAGUUAAGCAUAUUAGGUUGAGAGAUUAACACUUGAUUAUUAGAUGAGUUAAACAAGUCAUAUGAUGUAUUGCAUGUUUAAUACUUAGGUUAUGCUUGGGCUUAUGUUUGAGUUGACCUAUUUAGUCGAAUGUCUGACCCACUACAGAACACCAUCAAAUAAAAAAGGCUCUUACCACUUCUUUUACAUAGUAGAAGCAAUAUGUUUUUCCUUCUUUAUCCAUCUCUUCCCCAAUUUCUUUGUAGACAUCUGAGAGUGCCUGAUAGGUCACUUCCAUGUAUUCUGGCAGUUGAUUGAUGCUUUUGAUAUCCCACCUGAAAAUAAAAGAACAUCCACCUGAGAAUUUUGAUAUCUCCUCGUUCAUUCCUUCCAUGAGCUCUUUGACUAAGGAAGGCUUGAUUACGGUGUGGUUCAAUUUUCUCUUCUUCCUUUGCAGUAGCAAUCAUUUGUUCAUGGUUUUGUAAGGAUGAUAUAAAUUGGUUUAAAGUUGGGUAUGGAAGCUUGGAAAGCAUAGUAGUUUUUCAAAUUAUAAUAUCUAGGUGUAAGGGCUUUAGUUAGUUGGAAGAGUUUAUCAAUUUCAAGAACAAACUAAUUUAUAACAAAUGUUAUCACAAAUAAACUUGAACUUGUGAAUGUAUUCGUCAUGUUUUAACAACAAACCUUUUCUUAAUUGAUAGUGACUAUCCUUUAGAGAACCCCUUCUUUCUCUUUUGUUUCAGGCCGAAGCUGUUCUUCAACUGAGUGCCUGUCCCAUCGUGUAGUGUGUCCUUUGACUGUCAUGCCGAGUACCUCCUUAAUCAUCUUUUGUAUGAGCCAAGACAUCAACAAGCCAUCAUUUUUUAUCCAACUUGUAUAUUUGGGACUGAUAGUUUACCUACCAUCUUCUUCUUCGAUUUGUUGAUUUGGCUUCUCUGCAUCUCCUACGUGGUGUUCUAUACCUAGACUCGUUAUUAGAGAUAGAAUCUGUGAUUUCCAAAGGAUGUAAUUAAAGUUUGACACCUUGAUACAAACAAGGCUUGGAUAUUGAUGGAAAGCUUGGAUUGAUAUUUUUGGCUUCAUAUCUUUCUGCUUUGAUACCAUGAAAAAAUUUGUAGAAAAAUGUAAUUGAAGAAUGAUUCACGAAUAAUAGAAAAACUCGAAAGGAUUCCUUGGUUGAUUUAUUUCAGUUAUGGUAAUAUAUACAAGUAUAUCAAAUAGCCCUUGGAGUUGGUCAACAUCAAUUGGUUGUCUAAGGAAGGCUGCUUAAGAAGGAAUUCUACAUAUUACAUUGAUCGAACAACUAGGGAAGAUUGGUCAAUAAAAAAGAAAAGAAUUCUAGCAAUGCUGACAAUGAUCUUGCUGGCGGUGAUUAAAAGAAACGAAAUUCAAGCAAUUCAACAGUGGUUUUCCAUGAAGUAAUCAGAGGGAAUAAUUUUGGCUUGUUGAAAAUAAUCAACGGAAGCAAUUUUGUCAAUAAUUUUGGCAGUGAUGGCAAUAUUCAACUUUCUACUUGUCAUAAACUUUCAAUGCCACUACAAAACACCAUCAAUGCACUUGAGAAUAGAACACUGCAAAAGCCAAUACAAUCCUAAACUUGUUCAGCAUUAUUAAGGGGUGUUUUGUAUUAAUACAUCCCAUUUGUAAUUACCUUACAACAAACUAAAAAAUCUUACAAUUUUAGAAAUAAUAUUUGCAUCGAUCGGUACCACAAUCUGACCUCAACUUUAUUCCAUUGCACCCAACUAAUUUCUACAUGAAUUUGUUAUGACAAGUAUAUGAUUGAUAAGAAUAGGUGUUUAAGAGAAUGUUUGACAGUGAUUUUAGAAAACAUUUUUAACCUUUCUAACACUUAAACUAUACAAAUUUUAAAGUGUUAAAAAGUUUAAAAACACUUUUUAAAAUCAUUAUCAAACGGAUUUUAAUAUUAUUAUAAGCUAAUUAUUAUUAUUAUUAUUAUUAUUAUUAUUAUUAUUAUUAUUAUAUCAAACAUGUUAAAAUUUUAUUAUAUACCUUAUAAAAAUAAAAGUUAUGAUCUUAUAUAAGGUUGCAAUUUGAAGUUCAAGUUCAUUAUACUAUGCAGACUUAAGUUUUAAGUUAAAAAUAAAAAAUUGUAGAGAAUCAAUUCAAUCAAUUCAUUAUUUUCCAAGCAAGGAUUAAGAUAUUGAAGUAUUGAGAUGGUUAUAUUUUAGAAACAAAAUAAUAAUGCAUUAAUAAUAUAUAUCUAUAUAUAUAUAUAUAAUGAUAUUUGAUAAUAAUUCAUAAAUCUUGAAAGUACAUUUAAUAUUAAAAUAUCAUUCCAAGUAAUUCGGAAGUAUUCAAAGAUGUAAAUUAAAGAAAUAAUAAUAUAGGUAGAAUUAUUUUUUAUUUAAAAGUAUUAAUAAUUUCAUUUACAACUUUAUGUUGUCUAUCAAAAGAAUUAUAAUAAGAAAGCUUUAUAUUUUUAAUAAUAAAUUAAAUUAAGGUGGUGUUUAUUUUUUUAUUUAAAUCUAAAUGAAAAUUAAUUUAACUUAAUAGAAUUAAAUAUUAAAUUAUUUGUUUUUUGUCAUUUUAUUUUUGUUAAGUAUUAAAUAUUAAUAGGGUGAAAGCCUUGUUGAGGUUGUGCAAAAAAAUUAUUUUUAAUAUUAAAAAAAAGUUAAAUAUUUUGGUUUUUGCUAUUCAUAAAUAAUUUUUUAUUUGUAUUCAAAAUAGUUGAUGGAGUUUGAGUUGGAUUCUAAUGAUUACUUGAAAUAAUAAAAUUAAUUUUUAUUAAAAAAAAUAAGAUAUAUAGAUAAUUAUUUUAAUUUAAAUGAAAAAUAUUUUAAAAAAAAGGAAAACAAAAUAAGAAAAAAAGAAGAGAAAAACCUUAUAUAACUCCUUAUUUGAAAAAAAAAGAAGAAAAAAGACAAGUUCAUAAACCAAGAUUGAGUUAAAAGUCAAAUUACCUAUUGAGAAAAUACGGCGAUAAGUCAUACAAAACAACUUUCUAAGCUUAUGUACCUAUAGUCUUUACUAAGCAAAUGAAAUGAAUUAUGACGAUUAAAUAAUUGAUUAUGGAUACUCAAGAAAAGAAAAACACAAUUAUAAAACAAGUCAUGGUGUUUGUUAUGUUACAAAAAUGUAAAAAACAAAUGAUAAGAGAAUUUGCAUAAGUUGAUUUAUGAAACUAAUUAAAAACAUGGGUUUAAUUAUUUCUAAAUUCAAAGGAUUAAAAAAGUUAUUCCAAUUUGAUGAUUUCAAUCGAUUUUAAGUACAAAAGAAAGUUUUGAUUUCAUUUUUUUUUAAGAAAAAAAUGCUUCAAAUUAUUCUAUUUAUAAAGAAAUGGUUUUUAUUUACUUUUUCUUUAAAAAAAUAUAAUUUACACAAAUUCUAUUUACCUUAACAUUCCUUUUUUAUUUUUAUGCAGAAGAGAAUACUUUUAUAAUUUUUGCUACAACAUGAUUUUUAUAAUUUUAUUUUAAAAGAAAGUGUCCAAAUCUAAUCUUAUGUGCAAGAGAAUCUUUUUACAAAUUAUUUAAGAAAAGGAUUUUUAAAAAUUUAUUUACAAUUUUAUUUAAAAAAUAUUUACAAAUUACUUUAAAAAAGAUUUGUACAAAUUUAUUACAAAAAAGAAAUAUAUUCAGAUCCAAUUUUAUUUACAGAAAAAAAAUGAUUUUUUUUUUUUAGUUUUUAUUCAAAAUAAGACUUUUACAAUUUUAUUUAAUUAGUAUGAAAGUCCAAUGUCAUUUUAUUAAUACUAGAAAAAAUUUAUUAUUAUUUUUUAUUAAGACAUGAUUUUUAAAAUGUCAUUUAUAAAAUAAAAUAAAAAGUUUACAAUUUUAUUUACAGAAAAAAAGUUUACAAUUUUAUUUUAAAAAAUAUUUUGCAAUUUUUUUUUAUAAAAAUAAAAAAUGGUUUCAAUGUUUUAUUUAAAACAAAUUGCUUUUUAGAUUUUAUUUUAAAAAAUGCUUUUCACAAGUUAAAAAAAAUUAUAGUUUUAUUUUUUUACAAAAAAUAAUGAAUUUCCAAUUGUAUUUAAAAUUUAUUUAAAAAUGGAUUUUAUAGUUUUAUUUAGAAAAACACUUUAUAAAAAAAAAAGAAGUUCAAAUCUCUCUCUCUCUCUCUCUCUCUCUCUCUCUCUCUCUCUCUCUCUCUCUCUCUCUCCAUACGCUCAUUAAUUUUGAUGUUAAGGUAUCAGCCCAAUUGACAUGAUUUAUAUUGACCUAGUCUUUUGGUCUAAUAGGUAACUUGAUGUAAUAUAGGAGGUCAUGAAGGUGAACUGUGAACCUUACUGAUAUUACGCAAACCCUACCAUUUAUUUAUAAUAUUGUCGUCAUAAUAUUGAAAUAUGGGAAAUUUUAAUAGACCAGACAGACAUCAAUAGACCAAAGCCACCAAGCAGGAAUUGAAGAAACCAGAAAGCGUUUGUUCCAAACAUAGUAUACUGUAGAACAUGAAACAGAAGCUAGAGUAUACUAUCUUUAUUUGUGUCACAUAUAUCUCCACUCUCAUAUUGGCACAGGGUCUAUGAGCAGCAUUGAAAUAUUAUUUUUCGUCACUUCUCCAGGAUGUGUGAAUAUAUCUUUGUGGCUCUUGUACAUCACAUCUCCUGAUCGAGCAAAAUUGAGAAGACGACUAAGGAGAAGCAUUGGAACUGCAGUAGGUCUGAGGCACUCUUCAUUUAUAUCCUUCCAUGCAUUCUCGAUUUGCUUGUGAAACUCAUCAUAUGCUUGCUGCUCCGACACACCAUGUUGCUUCAUGUAAUAUUCGAUGUUUGAUGCAAUAUGCUCUCUCUCUUGCUCAAACUGCAGAAAUAGUAAUAUAAGGUGUUAAAAAGAAAUUGAUAUAUAAUAGAUUUUCUUUAUCUUUAUGGGAUUGAUAUCCAAGUAUCAGUAGGAAGUGUUGUUUCAUUGUACCUUGUGGGAAGCCAUGUCAUCCAUGAGCCUAAUGAUUAUGUAGGUAGCUCUAACAAUCUUAGGGUUUUGUAGCAGCCAAUCAAAGACUUCCUUGGUUGCAGUCUCUCUCAUGCCAAUAAAAGACAGGAUUGUUAACACGGGGCCAGCAAUAGUUACCAUUGCGAUACCAUUUGGCUUGGACCAAUUUAGCUUAGACCAAGCUUUUAAUUUAGGAUAAAAAUUCAGCCAAGUAAAUAUAUCAUGCAAGUGUUAUAUAUAGCAUUUUAUUUACAGUACAAUAUAGGAUAUCAUAAACACAAUAGAGUUCAGCGAAUCCUACUGCAUCUUUUGUAUGGUGGACACAGUAUGAUCUUUCUGUGUUUUCCAUCUCCUCAAUUUCUUUGUAGACAUCUAGGACUGCCUGAUAGCAUGGCUUCAUGUAUUCAGGAAGCUGAUGUAUGCUGUUAAUAUCCCACCUGAAAAUCAAGUACCAAGUUUCCUUUUAAAGUACAAAUAUGAAAUCAAUUCAUUGGUUGUGGGUAAUUUGAAUCUAGCAUAUAUCAAACCUCCCGAUUGCCUCUGUAAAGAGCUCCAGUUCUUCAAAUGUUCCAUAUGCAUCAAUUAUAUCACCCAUAGUUGUUACCAGAGCAACUACUUUGGUCUAUAUUCUUCUAGCAUAUGAAUUCUGGGGCUUAGAACAUGUUGAUGUCCAAAAGUAUGUUUCCACCACUCUUAUCUCUGGAAAAAGGUAGCUUUGAAGAGAAAUCUAGGUCUUUCCACCACCUGAGAAAAUACAUUAAUCCACAUAAAAGGCCUGGUAAACUGUUAAUUUAAAUUUAAGUGCAAGAAUGAUCUGAGAACUAACCUCGAGAUAUUGCUCAGCUCUCUCUUAUGCAGUGACUGCAGUAGGUUGAAGUGUAACUUUGCAAGCUUCAGUCAAGCUUUACUAUGUGAAGCUUCAUCCUGGUAGAUAGACAUGAAAGGCCUUGCCUCUAGUCUCUCCAAACCUUUCCUAAUGGGCCGGUAUAGGGCAUGAGUUACUUGUGCUGCAAGAGAGUAUUCUAAAUGUUCUACCAUAGACUUGAGGUAAGUGGUGGUGAAAGCAAGUGCUUCAUCUAGUAUAUCUUCUUCCCACACCCUGAGAUGUGCAGCUUCAUACAAGCCUAGUAGGCCAUAUGCAUCAUUGAUCAAAGACUCCUUGAACCUUCCCUUUUCAUCUGUGUACCUGUUGAAUAUAUCUGUAAUCAUCACCAAAACAUAGAAUUUUAUAUGUGAGCUUUGCUAGAUGAUAUUCAAGCACCUUAUAAUACAUGAUAUUCAUGAGGCUUACCACAUGAAACAUUGAAGCCUUGUUGUCUUAGUAGUCGAAAUCGAAGUGCAACAUCAUAGAGAUCAUCAUUUAUGUCAUCAAUGCAAUGAUAGUUAUCAUAGGUAUUUUGUAAUGCUUCUUCUAUCUCCUUUUCAAAGUGGUAUGCCACCCCAAGCCGUUGAACUGCAUCAUAGAGAUCAUCAUUUAUGUCAGCUGUUUUGAAGGGUUACUAGCUGCAGCCAUCAGCUCUCUUCUAACUUCCCCUUUUAGAUCUUCCAACUGCUGCUCUUUAUGGGCCAGAGUUAUCUGUAUCAAUAAAUUGCAAGAACAAAAAGUGAGAAAAUCUUUAGGUCUUGUUAUGCAAACUACAUACAUGAUCAGAAAAUCACCUCAUCCUCAGGAGUGUGGCUCACGAUGAAGGUAUUGCCCCAAAUGCUAGGCUGAUAAUUUGCAGUUCGGCGAUUAGUCUCUGGAUUAGCAACUGGGGCUGGAGAAGACCCGUUGCUGGUAGCGAGAAUUAAGGCCAUGUGUAACUCACUCGAGCACUCAAUAUAUGAAUCAGAUGGCUUGCAAUCUUCGGUAUUUAUAGGACGGGAAAUGGUUCAUUACAAUUAUUGAAUAUCAAUCCCAGAUUCCCAGAAGCAUGGAUACUAUUAAUUCAAGGUCACCUAUCAUAUUUAAACCAAGAUUCUUAAAAAUUAAAUAUUUAAAAUAUGGUUUUUGUUCUCUUAGAAAUACGAAGUGUAUCUUAUUCCCUUAAUAAUUCUCAAUAUUCAACCAGCCGCCAAACAGUGAUUAAGACUUUCUCACGCGAAGAUCAAACUUAUGAUUGAUCUUUUAUUGUCCAAUAAUAUCCUAAUAAUAAAAUAAUUUUGAUAUGACUAGGAAACUAAGUUCUUUUAUAUAAAAACCAAAAAUUAUUUUGGUACGAAGCCAUGAGAAACUAGCAGCCAAAUUAAAGCAAUUAGGCCAUGUUUGGUAUGAAGCCAAAGCAAUUAGGCCAUGUUUGGCACGAAGCCAAAACAUGACUAUAUUUGGUACGCAAAAAUGAAGAGUGAGAAUAGAUAUUUUAUCCAUUUUCUUAUUCAUUUUCAUAUUUGAAUGAUUUAAGUGUAGUAAGAAUAAAAUCAAGAAUAAUUUCAUAAAAAAUAAAAUCCCAAUUAUAAGUGGGAUUAUGAUUUAAAAGUUAAAAAUCAAAAACUUAUUUUGGAUAAGUUGUUUUAAAAAUAAUUUUUUAUUUUGAUUUUGUAAAAAAGAAAUUAUAAAUUCAAUUUAUAUAAUAUAAAAUAAAUUUAAUUCAAGUCUUAUAAAAAAAUAAAAAUAAUUUUGUUAAUUAUAAAUAAAUUUUAAAAAUAAAUAAUUUUUAAUAAAACAUGAAUAGGAUUUUAGGGAAAAAAAAAGUUAUCAAUUUCACUUUCAUAUUCAUGCAAUUCCAAAGUUUCGACAUUGAACUAGAAAUUUCUCUAUUCUUACAUGUAAAAAGGCAAAAAAGAAAAACCCUUAAUUAGUAAAAUGAUAAGUUAGUUGAAUUAUUUAAUUAUCCUAUAAAUGCAUCUAAUUUUUUACACAAUUAGUGGACCUAAGUAAAUUGUGUCAUACUUAAACGAACUUGAACUUCCAAUUUCAACCUAAUAAAAGAUCAUAACUUAUAAUUUUAUGAAGUAUAUAAUAAACAAGAAAGAAAAGAUGAAAAGGAAAAAACUAAAAUUAAUAGCUAAUAAUAAUAAUUAAAUAGUAAUAAUAAUAAUAAUUUUCAUAAUAAUGAAUUAAAUAAUAAUAACGCUAGCAACAACAAUAACAUUAAUAAUUCUCUAUAGAGUUAAAUAUUUAAUUAACUUUAAACACACUAGUUAGUGUCCAUUAUAAAGUGAAAAGAAAAUAUUUGGUGAGUAUUGUAGUACUCCAAAACACCAUUACACAUUAACAAGGAGAUCCAGAUUUGUUGUAGGCAUAUAUUCUACAUAUGUAUUUUAAGACUCAGUAUCAAUACUCCUCAUAUUGAAUGACAAUAAUAAAUAUGUAUUAAAGAAUAUAAUAUAAUAAAGUUUAUUAUAUAUAUAUAUAUAUAUAGAUAUAUAUUAGGUGAUUUAAGUAAUACAUAUUCUUAUUUAAAUAUUCAGGUAAUAUUCCAAAGUAAAACACUAUGAACCCAGAGAAACUAGGUGCUUCAUAUAAUGUGUCCCCUUGCCGUAUUACAAUGAUUUAUUUCAUAUUUCUACUCCUUCACCUUAUUAUAGUGAUUUAUUAGAUAUUACUGCUUCCACAAGGCAAUACACGGGAUGGUAAUCAACUACUACAUUUGGUUAUAUUACAGCGUUGAUGAAGACAGACGCAAUGUUAUCCCUCAUCACUUUCCCAACAUGUGUGUACGAAUCUUGCUCUUUGUAAAUGACAUCCAUGGUUCGUGUAAGAUUGAGAAGACGAGCAAGGAGAGGCAUUGAAACAGCAGUAGGUUUGAGGCAUUCCUGGUUAAUAUCCAGCCAUGCAUUCUCAAUUUGCUUUCGAAAUUCACUGUAUACUUGUUCCUCAGAGACACCAUAUUGCUUCAUGUAACAUUCAACAGCUGAGGCCACAUGCCCUCUCUUUUGCUCAAACUGCAUGUAUAAUACAAAAGUUGAGAAAAAACCAGUGUGUUAUAUUCUCCCCAUUUGAAUCAUAUAUUCUUCAUACCUUAUGUGAUUUGAUGUCAUCCAUGAGCCUCGUAAUGAAAUUUGAAGAUGACAUAAUCUUAGGAUCGCUGGUCACCCAAUCAAAGGCCUCCUUUGUUGCUAUUUCUCCCAUUCCCACAAAGGACGUGGUUGCAAGCAGGCAGUAUCCAGAGCUUGCUAGUGCAACACGCAUGUACUCUUCAAAUGCUGGUACGUGUUCUUCAUGUAACCAUUUGGCCUCGGCAAAGUAAGCUCGAACUUGAUUCUUCAUCUAAAGAACAUUCAUCCAAGUUAUAUCUAUGUAUAUAUGAGACCAUAUAAAAUAUCAUCAAUGAAAAAGGUGGGGAUCCAGAGUAAAAGAUGUCCUACUACUUCUUUGGCAUAGUGAACCCGAUAUUGGUUUCCUUCUUUCUCCAUCUCUUCCUCGAUUUCUUUGUACACAUCUAAGAGUGCCACAUAGCAGAGUUUCAUGUAUUCUGGAAGCUGAUUUAUGCUGUUAAUAUCCCAUCUGAAAAUAAAAUAAUGACCCUUGAUUUACGUAUAUAUAAAUACAUCUAUUAUACACAAUCAAGGUUGGUAAUGUGCAAGGAGCAAACCUCUCAAUGGCUUCUAUGAAGAGCUUGAGUUCUUCAGGUGUGCCAUAUGCAUCAUGGAUAUCAUCUAGAAUGGAUGUCAUGGCAAUUACUUUGGUUAGAAUUCGUCUACCCCGUAAGUAUUGGGGCUCAAAAUACACCCCAUGCAUCCAAAAGUAGCCUUCAACCAAUCUGUCUCGUGCAAAAGGUAACUUUGUAGCAAAGUCUAAUUCUUUCCACCACCUAAAAGACAUUAAUAUGAUCAGCAUACAGGAAAGUGAUAAGAAUGGCCAAGUACAUGUGGGGUGAUCUAAACACCAACCUUGCAAGAUUGCUUAGCUCUUCCUUGUGCAGUGACUGCACUAGAUUGAAAUCUAAUUUUCCUAGCUCUAGUAAAGUUUUAUCAUGGAAAGCUUCAUCUUGGUAGACAGAUAUAUACCAUCUUGCCUCUAGCCUCUCCAAACCUUUUCUAAUGGGCCGGUUCAGGGCAUGAGCAACUUGUUCUGCAAGAUGAUAUCCUAAACUUUCUACCAUGGCCUUGAGAUGAGUGGUGGUGAAAGCAAGUGCUUUUGCAAGUAUGUCCUCUCCAUGAACCCUCAGAUGUGCAGCUUCAUACAAGCCUAGCAUGCCUCUUACAUCGCUGAUCAAAGCUUCCUUGAAUCUACCUCGUUCAUCCGUAAACUUGUUGAAUAUAUCUACACAAACAUCACCACUUGAAAAUAAGACUUAAAUGAUAAGCGAUGAACCUGUGUACCUGUGGAAUAUAUCUGUAAUCAUCACCAAAACAAUGUUAUAUGUGAGCUUUGCUAGAUGAUAUUCAAGCACCUUAUAAUUCAUGAGGCUUACCACAUGAAAUAUUGAAGCCUUGUUGUCUUAGUCGAAAUCGAAGUGCAACAUCAUAGAGAUCAUCAUUUAUGUCAUCAAUGCAAUGAUAGUUAUCAUAGGUAUUUUGUAAUGCUUCUUCUAUCUCCUUUUCAAAGUGGUAUGCCACCCCAAGCCGUUGAACUGCAUCGAUAAACUUCAGCUGUUCUAAAGGGUGACUAGCUGCAGCUAUCAGCUCUCUUAUAACUACCUCCUUUAGAUCUUCCAACUGCUGCUCUUUAUGGGCCAGAGUUAUCUGUAUCAAUAAAUUGCAAGAACAAAAAGUGAGAAAAUCUUUAGGUCUUGUUAUGCAAACUACAUACAUGAUCAGAAAAUUACCUCAUCCUCAGGUGUGUUGCUCACGAUGAAGCUAUUGCCCCAAAUGCUAGGCUGAUAAUUUGCAGUUCGGCGAUUAGUCCCUGGAUUAGCAACUGGGGCUGAAGAAGACCCAUUGCUGGUAGCGAGAAUUAAGACCAUGUGUAACUCACUCGAGCACUCAAUAUAUGAAUCAGAUAGCUUGCAAUGUUCGGUAUUUAUAGGAUGGGAAAUGGUUCAUUACAAUUAUUGAAUAUCAAUCCCAGAUUCCCAGUAGCAUGGAUACAAUUAAUUCAAGAUCACCUAUCAUAUUUAAACCACGUUUAUUAAAAAUUAAAUAUUUAAAAUAUGUUUUUUGUUCUCUUAGAAAUACGAAAAGUGUAUCUUAUUCCCUCAAUAAUUCUCAAUAUUCAACCAGCCACCAAACAGUGAUUAAGACUUUUUCACGUGAAGAUAAAACUUAUGAUUGAUAUUAUUUUUAUAAAAACACUAAAAAACUAUUUUUUGCUUUUUAACUUUUUGGCAAAUAAAUGAAGAAGAAUACAAAAAAAAAUUGAAAAAAAAGUAAAUAAAUAAAGAAGAUGAUAUUUUAAUUUUUAUUUAAUAUCUUAAUUUUUAUUAUCUAAAAUUAUUUAAUUAUUAUAAUUAAUGAUAUUUUGAGUUUAAUUAUGAUUAAAUAUAUAAUUAAAUUAACUAUAUAUAAAAGUCUUAAAUUGAGAUAAGUUGAUAAAUGAUUGAUUGUGGAUUGAAAUUUUACUCCUAAAAUAUGCAUGUGGCUUUCGGUUGUCAAGGCAUAUGUUGGGAAGCAGUUAUGCUUGGUUACGAGUUAUAUAAGCUUACGGCUUUAGAUUUGCAUGAUUAUCUUUCUUUGAAUGAGACAGUUACGAAGAAGGGGGCUUGCCAUUCCACUUUUAUUCAAACUGUUUGUCCUUAUUCUCAACAAAGGAAGCAUUUUAUUCAAAACAGAACACUCUAAAAGUUUGAAAAUCUAGCAGCCAAAUUAAAGCAAUUAGGCCAUGUUUGGUACGAAGCCAAAGUAAUUAGGCCAUGUUUGGCAUGAAGCCAAAUCACGACCAUGUUUGGUACAUAGAAAUGAAGAGUGGAAAUAGAUAUUUUAUUCAUUUUCUCAUUCAUUUUUAUAUUUGGAUGAUUUAAGUAUGAUAAGAAUAAAAUCAAAAAUAAUUUCAAAAGAAAUGAAAUCCUACUUAUAAGUGGGAUUAUAAUUCAUCUCUAGAAGGAGUUAUUUUACUUCAUUAUUACAAGUUAAAAUUAUAAAUAAAUUAUAAAAAUAAAUAUUUUUUAAUAAAAUAUGAAUAGGAAUAUCAUAAUAUAAUCAUAAAUUUUAUUUUUAAUAAAUAUUAUAAAAAUAUGGAUAUUAACAUCUUAUAAAAGCAUAAUUGAUUUAUUUUGUUAAAAAUAAAUAAUAAUAAUUUAAAAUUUAUAAUUACUUAUACUAUUUUUUUAAAUUAUUAUACUUACUACUUUGUUUUAAAAAAUUAUUUCGAGAACAAUAACUGGCAGUGGUAUUAAUUUUUAAAAACAAUUUUAUUUUUAAAAGAAAAGCCUAAAUAGGUUUUUAUUAUUUAGCAAAAAAAAAAAACCUCUCAAAUAUUUUCUUUUUUAAAUGAAAAUAAAAAAAUUAAUUUAAAUGAUGUAUUCUGUAAGAGUUUUUUUUUUUUUUUUUUGAAAUAAAAAUAAAAGAUUAAAGACACUAUAAAUUAUGAUUAAAAUAAUGAAAAUUAAUAAAAAGAUAUUGGCUUUUUUCUUAAAUACGAAAUAUUAAAAAAAAAAAGAUAAAUAAAUAAUAUAACUAUGUAUUUUUUUUUUUCUUACAAGAAUUUUCAUAGCUUUAAAAAUAGUAACCUUUUAAUUUUUUUGCUCUUAUUUAUUAUUAACCGAGUUGUAUAAAUUGCAUUAUAAUAGUUUCCUUUAAAACCAAAAUAAAAAUCAAAACAUGUGCUUCAUGACACUAUUGGAUGAAAAAGAAUCACUUAAUUUUCAUCUACUAGAUCCCAGCUGCCACCUAAUAUUAAUGACUUGUUUGGAUAUGUUGAGUUAAUUUAACCAAAGAGACUCUAGAAGGCUAAUAUUUUUCUUGCCAUCAGUCUCUUCCGUGCACAACCCUUUCAAAUCAUGGGCCCCAAAACUAAACCAAAUUCCACAUACUUUUCAACUAAAUACAACCAAUGAAUGCCAGUGCUGCCCUAUAAAUAAUAUGGAGCUUGCCAAGCUAUUUCUCUCAUACUUACCAAUUCAUCAUUCAAGGUAUAAUACUGUUCUAUCAUUGUUCCAAGGAAUUAACAUGUCUACUCAAGUCUCAGCAUCUUCUCUAAAAACAAAUGUUGUGUGCUACAUUUCUACACUGACUUUUAUGUUUUAUGAUAGCGCUUGAAGAGCAGUUCAGGUACGCACCCUAACUCUCCUUUAUUGCAAUUUGAUCGUGUUUGGCAUGCCACUUUUUAAAAUCAUCUAGCCUAUUUAGGUAUCUAUAAUUAGCUGAUUAAUUGCCACACUUCCCUUAACUUUGUCAGUAGAGACCUUUAUAGGGCUUAGAGGGGUGCUACCUUUUAAAGGUACCUUCCCAAUAGGUAACCUGAUCCUCGGAUUUAGACUCGGGUUUUUCAAAGAUACGCUUUUCUAAAAUUUAUGGAGUCAUUUCUUAGGGUUUUAUUUCUUGUUUUAUUUUCCCUUUAAAAUAAAAAUAAAAUAAGUGGUGACUCCAACUUUUUUUCCAAAAAUCAAUUUUUCACCAAUAAAAAGCAAGUCUCACCGAUCGAGUGGGGGCGCACAUGAAAAAUGCGGGUCCACAAUCGACAAUAAAUCGACGAUUUUUUGGGCAAUUUUUUGAAAUUUCUUCCUACUGCAUCCAACGGUCAGAUUUGAAUUUUUGACGAUUCGAUGGCCCAGAUUUCACCUGUGUUUUUUAUAAAGGCAUCCAAUAGUCAGAAAUUGGUUUUCAACAAGAGUUUUAAAUUGGAAAAAAGUGGAGUAAACCUGAUCCUUAGUGAGGAGCAAAUAGAACCAUACAAACCUAGAGUAAUCAUCCAUGAGCAACAGAAAAUACCGGGCACCUGUGGAAGAAGGAACAGGUGCUGGUCCCCACAAGUCUGCAUGGAUGAGUUCAAGAGGAGAGGAGGCCCGGGAAAUGGACAAAGAAAAAGGAACUUUGUGACUUUUGGCACAACAACAAGCAUUGUAAACAUCAACUGUUUUAUUUGAGUUAUGUGAAAUAUUACAUGUAUGAAAAAUUUUCUGAAGAAUUACAGCAGAAGGGUGGCCAAAUUGUUGAUGCCACAGCAUAGUAGUGGGUUGAGUUUUUGUGAGAAAUACUUGAUGUUUAAGACUGGCAGUAGGUGAACUGAUAGAUGAGGUAGGAAACUUGUAGAGUCCACGUUCAAGUUGGCCUUGGAGGAGAGUCACUUUGGUGUCCUUAUCCUUGACAAAAAAUGAAGAAGGAUGAAAUUCCAUAAUGGUAUUAUUGUCAGUACAAAAUUUUGACACACUGAUGAGAUUUGAAGUGAGUUGUGGAACAUAGAGCACAUUGUGUAAGACAAAGGGUUUGGCAGAAGUGUGGAGAAAGGAAUGACCAACUUGGGUUAUGGGUAGAGACUUACCAUUGUCAACCAUCACAGAGUCAGUACCAUUGUAGGGAGUACCAUUGUGGAUAUUAGCAGCCGUGUGGGAGAGAUGGUGGGUGGCGCUUGAAUCCAAAAACCAAGAGUCCAUUAAUGUUGGGGAAGGUGCUGCCAUCAUAGCUUGAGCAAGAGGAAUGGGACCAAUUUGAGAGGUUGAUGAGGCUGGUGCACGUGGCCCUUGAUAAUUCACAUCAAAUCUGUGAUAACAAGAGAGGACCAUGUGCCCAAACUUGCCACAUAACUGACACUGCGGUCGGUUAUUUGUCCGGGAUCGAUUAUUGUUGAAUCGGUUAGGGCGAUAUCCUUGAGGAUAUUGCUGCCGUGAAUCCAGAAGAGUGUCAGGUCGUAUGGUUGGCAUGAACGACUGAGGUGGUUUCCCUUGAGAGGGUUUUUUGGACUGUGACCUUCGUGGUCUAUUAUGAGUUGCAAAGUUGGCAAUGAGGAGGUCUUCUUCAGUAGGCGUGGUUUGAAGAGGCAGCCUCUGUUCAUGAGUCAAAAGGAUGCUAUGUACUGCAUGAAGCUGAAUGUCAUCAUCUCUAGUAGUGAGAGAAGCUAUGAUGGGGUUGUAUUCAGCCCCUAAUCCACUCAGUAAUUGAAGGAUUUGAUCCUUUUCUGGCACUGGUUCUCCAAUAGCUGCCAGACUAUCAGAGAUGUGUUUGAGUUUUUGGAUGUAUUCCAUCAUGGUGAGAGAGCCUUUUUUGUUUGUUUGAAAAGCAAGUCUCAACUGCAUUGUUCUUGCUUUGGUGGAAGCAGAAAAGCUUCGUUGGAGGGCUGUCCAUGCUUCAUGGGAUGUUUGUAGCCCAACAAUUUGACCCAUAACAUCUGGGGUGAGAGAGGAGUAGAUCCAACUCAGGAUCAUACGGUCAUAUCUCCUCCAAACCAGAAAAUCUGGGUUCACUUCACCGGUGGAUAUUGUUUUUGGAGGACAUGGUCUCAGACCUUCAAUAUGGUCCUCAAAUCCAUUGGCAUAUAUCACAUUUUCCAUUUGUGUAUGCCAAAGGAUAUGAUUAUCUCUAUCUAGUUUGAUAGGAAGAGGAUGAUUCAGCAUGCUCAUGUUCAGGGUAGGGAUUACCUGAGAAGAGACAAUCUCCAGCGUGGUCUGUGUUGAUGAAGCCAUCGGAGUAGGUACAGUAUGUUCUUGAAGUGAGUAAGCAAAGAUCAAAAGAAAGUUGCAGCAGAAAAUGUUGCUGGAGAUUUCUUAAUUGUCUUGCUGGGAGAGAAAUCAGAAAAAAAAAUUCAGGAGCCUAUGGCUCUGAUACCAUGAAAGUGCUCAGGCACGGAUUUAGCAAGAAUAAGGAGUUUAUUCUAUUCACAACAUGAUUGUACAGUAUAUCAAUAGCUAUAUAUAUAUAUAUAUAUUACAGCAUCUAACUAAUCUAACCAUCUAACUAAUCUAACCACUUUCUAACUCGGCAUAACAGCAUCUGUUAGAGAAGACUCAGCAUAACAGCAUCUGUUAGGGAGGAGAAGAAUUAGCUACUAACAUGGGUGUUUGUCUAUCAAUACUUGAAAAAGCACUUGCUUUCACCACCACUCAUCUCGAGGCCAUGGUAGAAAGUUUAGGAUAUCAUCUUGCAGAACAAGUUGCUCAUGCCCUGAACCAACCCAUUAGAAAAGGUUUGGAGAGGCUAGAGGCAAGAUGGUAUAUAUCUGUCUACCAAGAUGAAGCUUUCCAUGAUAAAACUUUACUGGAGCUAGCAAAAUUAGAUUUCAAUCUAGUGCAGCCACUGCACAAGGAAGAGCUAAGCAAUCUUGCAAGGUUGGUUUUUAGAUCAUAUUAAUGUCUUUUAGGUGGUGGAAAGAAUUAGACUUUGCUACAAAGUUACCUUUUGCAUGAGACAGAUUGGUUGAAUGCUACUUUUGGAUACUUGGGGUGUAUUGUGAGCCUCAAUACUUACGGGGUAGAUGAAUUCUAACCAAAGUAAUUGCCAUGACAUCCAUUCUAGAUGAUAUCCAUGAUGCAUAUGGAACACCUGAAGAACUCAAGCUCUUCAUAGAAGCCAUUGAGAGGUUUGCUCCUUGCACAUUACCAACCUUGAUUGUGUAUAAUAGAUGUAUUUAUAUAUACGUAAAUCAAGGGUCAUUAUUUUAUUUUCAAGUGGGAUAUUAACAACAUAGAUCAGCUUCCAGAAUACAUGAAACUCUGCUAUGCGGCACUCUUAGAUGUGUACAAAGAAAUCGAGGAAGAGAUGGAGAAAGAAGGAAACCAAUAUGGGGUUCACCAUGCCAAAGAAGUAGUAGGACAUCUUAACUCUGGAUCCCCACCUUUUUCAUUGGUGAUAUUUUAUAUGGUCUCAUAUAUACAUAGAUAUAACUUGGAUGAAUGUUCUUUAGAUGAAGAAUCAAGUUCGAGCUUAUUUUGCUGAUGCCAAAUACACAAGUACUUGGAUAUGGAGUACAAAGAUAUGGAAGCUUAUGUUAAUAUUCAAAGAGAAAAGUGGAAGACUUAUGGAUGCACAAUUAUGUGUGAUGGAUGGACUAGGCCCACAAAAUUAAGCAUAAUUAAUUUCAUGGUAUAUUCGAAAGGUAGGACAAUCUUUCUCAAAUUUGUCGAUGCAUCAAAUUAUAUAAAAGACAACAAAUACAUAUAUGGUUUGUUGAAGGAUGUGAUCAAGGAAGUUGGCAAACAAAAUGUGGUACAAAUAGUUACGAAUAAUGGUUCGGCAUUUGUGAAAGUAGGAAGCUGUUAAUGAAGAAAUAUAAUUUAUAUUGGACUCCAUGUGCAGCAUAUUGCAUUGACUUAAUGUUUGAAGACAUCAAUAAAAGGUCGAGUAUUGCAAAUGUGAUUACAAAGGCUCAAAAGAUAACCAACUUCAUCUAUAACCAUAGUUGGUUGUUUGCGUAGAUGUAGAAGGUGUGAUGGAGACAUGGUUCGCCCUAGAACAAUAAGAUUUUCAACCAAUUAUAUUGCCCUUGAGAGUCUUUUGAAAAAAAAUGUGGACUUGAAGAACGUGUUUAUCAAUGAUGAAAGAGCACAACACAAGUUAAGUCGACAAAGAGGUUGAAAAACUUAUGUUUGACCUUGCAUACUGGGAGAGAAUGGGAAAGCUAGUGUCAAUUUAUAAAGCACUAUACACGAUUCUUCACAUUGUCGAUUUAGAAGUUGUUCCUACAAUGCCAUUUAUGUAUAAAUUGAUUCGAUUUAUGAAAGAAAACCUCAUUCGGUUUAAUGUUAGAGAAUGGGUGUUAGAAAUAAUUGCAGAUUGUUGGGAUAGAACUCUUAAACAUCCUCUUCAUGCAAUAGGUAACUAAGUAUUAUCCAUCUUUAAAAGUUAUCGGUAUUUAAUAUGUUUCUUUCGUAACAUUCUAAUUCUACAUUUUUACUUUACUAUUGUAGCAUUAUUUCUUAAUCCAAGGUUUCAAUAUAAACGUGGAGUUGGUACUAAUCUUCAUCUACUUCAAAUUGUUCAUGAAAUCUUUGUGAAAUUAGAUCCUACAGUAGAAGGUCUUAGUCAAUUUGGAAAUGAGAUAAAUUAUUAGAGUUAUAAUAUAAAUUAAAUAAUUGAAUUUCAUUUACUCAAUUUUUUACUUUCAAUUAUUUAAUAUGUAGCUUAUACUAUUUCGAGAUCCAAAGAGAGGAUUCGGUGAUCGAGCAGCGAUUCCUUCGAGGUCAGAAAUGGUUUUCAAUGAGUAUUAUUUGUGAAUUAAAAUACAUUUCAUUAGCAUAUUAUUGUAGAUUUCCAAUAUAAAUAUUGAUAUCAUUUAUUUGGUUGUAGUUGAAUAAUGGUUCAUGUAUGGAAACUAGACUCCUACAUUAAGAAGGUUGGCCAUCAAGGUUUUAUCACAAACUGUGUCAUUUUCAGCUUAUGAGAGAAGUUGAAGCAUGUUUGCUUUAAUUCAUACAAAGCAAAGAAAUUGGCUUUCUUACCCAAGGCUCUAACAAUUAGUUUUAUGUUAUUAUAACAUGAAACUAAAGAUCCGUGAUAUGGAGGUAGAGAAUGACAAAGUUGUGGAGAAAGAUUACAUCGAUUUACUUGACAUUUCAACCGAGGUAGGUCAAGAAAAAGAUAACCAAUUAUUUCAAUGAGUUAGACCUCUUCGUUUAGAUGAUGAAGAUGGAAAUCCAGACUCACGAAUUGUCACACAUGUUCGAGAAACAGGUGUUGAUGUUGAAUGAGUGUUAUCUAAAGAAGUUCAUACUAAUAGUUUCAACCAAGACACGAGAGAUUCAUUUCAACAAGGAACUUCUUAGCUGACAAUCACUUAUUGACCUUCUUUUGACUCCACGAGUGUUGAACAUAGUAGCAGACCUAAUGUUGUUGGUACUUUUGCUUUCAGUUAUGAUGGUUCAAGAUGAGAGGGGACCAAUGAUGGUAGCGACCUUGGAAAUGAUGGAGGGGAUGUUAGACAACAACAACAAAGUGGACAACCAUUGACAUUUACUUGUGAAGAUGAUUUCACACAUUAUACUCAAGAUGAAGACCACAACUCUAGAAGAGUUGGUCCGGGUGUUGGAGCCAUUGGAAAGCCAUAUAGAGGAAGAUAACGAAGGAUGACACCAUACAAUGAGGACUCAUUGUCGGCCAAUUUUAAGUUAAUGAGUAUAGAGACUCAAUUCAGUGACUCGUCAAAUGAAGCCAACAUUUAUGCCCUUUUUGUAAUGAGUUAUGGUCAGCCUCUUCCAAAUCUUUCAAGUUCCAUUAAUAAAGAGUACGAAAGGUAUAACUAUCCUAUUUCCACACAAAUGUCGUACUACUUUCCAUAUCAGAUGCAACAAUAAGGAUUUCAAACGAACACAUGGGAAAACCCUAGAUUUCCCAUCCAUAGAGAGGUUGUGGGUAGGACUCAAGAAAUUUAUGCAUGGCAUGUUCGUACUUACAAUCAAUACUAUCAAAACUCCAUGUCCUAGUAUGAAUAUUGUCUUCAACAAGAUAGGCACCCUUCAUCUAACAAUAUGAUGGAACCACAUUGAUAUUCAUUUUGGUAUUAAGGAUUAUUGCAAUGUCAUAUGUAUUAUGUUUAUGUAUAAAUUGUUUUCAUUUAAUAAAAUCACAUAUUUCUUAACUCAAUUCUAACUUUCUAAGUGUACAAUUCCAAAAUUCAUAUUUUCUAUUCUUAAUAUCCAAGUAUCGAAUCUACUGAUAUAUCUCUGUUUAUCGAUAUUUUUCUCCUUAACCAUAUUCAUGCCAAUUACACUUACAAAAUAACUUUAACAUGUGUAUUCUUGCUUAUUUUACAUUUUUUGGAGUUUUCCAAACAUUCCCAUCAAUUUUGAAUAAUUUUCGUCUUACUGAUAUUUGUGUAAAAAUAUUCACUGAUAUUUCUCUAGUAUUUCUUAUAUAUCUAUAAAAUCUAUCCUGGUACAUCUUCCUCAUUAUCUAAUUAUUUUUAACUAAUUUUUUCUUAAUGUAAAGAUUUAAUUAAUUCUAAUUAAACUUUCUACAAAAUAUCUACUACUAAUUAUCAUCAAACUAAUUAAUUUUAGUUAAUUUUAAUUAAUAUACUAAUCACAAUUAACCUCAAAAUAUCAUUAAUUAGAAUAAUUAAAUCAUUUUAGAUAAUUAAAAUCAAGAUAUUAAAUAAAAAAUAAAAUAUCAUCUUCUUCUUUUUUUAAUCUUCUUCAUCUAUUUCCCAAAUUAAAACCUAAAUUUCCAAAUCAAAUCCUAAAUGGAAAAAAUUCUAAAUACUAAAAUUUCUUUCAAAUCUUUAUGCAGUUCCCAAAUGAAACCUUAAAUGGACAAAAAGAAAAUCUAAUUUUAAAUCUCUAUGCUCCUCCUAAAUCAUGCAAACCUUAAAUAGGAGAAAAAAAAAAUCUACACCCUAAUUCUAAUCCUAAAUUUCCUUUUUAAUUUUUGUGUACUUCUCAAAUCAAAGAAAAAUAUUAUGAAGCCUAAAUAAAUAAAGUGCACUGCUUAUGUGAGAAGAAAGCAAGGUGCUCCAAAUUUAAGUGAGAAAAAAAAACAAGUACGGCCUUGGGAAGAUAGGAAAGGUAUGCUAAGAAUUCUAAAGAAGAUAGAGGGCAUGUUGCCUCAUCCAUUGAAUGCUAUGUGAAGUAAUAUAGUGUCUUAGAACAACAGGCUUAUGAUGAGUUUAACAAGCAAAUUGCGAAUCCAUGGAAGGAUAUUGCAUCCUUAUUCAUUGACUAUGUGCCGGUAUGAGCAAAUAAAUGAAAGUUAAUUCCAGCUUCUUCCAUAUUGUCCCCAAUAGAAAGGGAAUAAUAUGUAUUAACGUCAUUGUAAUAAGAUUGGAAUAAGAACAUGUUUGGCAUUUGAAAAUAAGGAAUGGGAAUGAAAUUUUUUUUUCCAUUCCUAUUUCUUCUUAAAUAAGAAUAAAUUUGAUAAUUUCAAUUAUUGUAUUUGGAUACAGAAAGCAAUGUAAGGUUUGUAAAGUUUGAAUUAUUAUUUGUUUUUAUUUCAAUGUUAAAGUAAAAACGGGAAUGAUAACAAAAUAAAUAAAUAAAUAAAUUGGCAAUAAUAUUCAUACAUAUAAUUUAAAAUAAUCUUUUAUUUUUAAUUCAAAAAAAAAAAAUCUCUUACACAAUACAUCAUUUUUAUAGUUUUUUUUAUUUUCAUUUAAAAAAGGAAAAUGUUAAAUUUUUCAAAAGUUUCAUGGAAUUUAAGGCCGAUGGAUAUGAAUUUAUUAUCCUUGUCUAUGAUAAGAAAAAUUAUAAUUGAUGUAGAGAGUAAUCUUGGAGCAUAUAGAUUUUUCCUGAAAGGUUCACAAUGUGCUAAUCAUAUUAAUGUAUUUUUGGUGGUUGAAAGAAUUGGACUUGGGAAGGUUAAUUGUGGAUGGUUGGGAUGCACUUUGAGUCUCAUACAUACAUGGAUCUAACUUGGAUGAAUGUUCUUCACUUGAACUUUUCAGAAAUCUGAUGUUCAAAGCUUGCCCAAUCAUCCCAAGCUUCCUAUACUUUUCAAAAAAAAGGUAGAAUAAUUUUUUUCUUCUUUUACUUAGCUUAGUUUGAAUUUAAUUUUUCAAUUAUGAAUAAUUAGAAAUAUAUGCACACAUCUUUGGACAUGUCAUAUGACACUUGAGAGAAUUACCCAAACUCUCAUGAACUUAGGUUGGAAGAAUGACUACUUAAUAGUGAGAACCUUCAAUUUUCCAAGGAUUUUUUAUAAAUGUAUGGAAUUUUUAAAAAUUAUUUUCUAAAAUACUAUAAAUCAGAAAAUAAUUCCAAUUUUACGAUACUUUAGACACAUAGGAGAAAUGUGGAAAAAAUAUAUAUUAUAUUUUAACUUUUUUGACUCAACCUAUUUUUAUAUAUCUUGAAUUUGAUUUUAUGUUAAAGGUGUUUCUUCAAGAAAUAUUUUUCACAAAUUUUAAAUUUGCGAUAUAUACUUAAAAAAUUGAAUUUAAACUAAAAAUGUUUUUUCAAAAGACAUUCUCUAUAAUUUUAGAAAAUUGGAUUUAUAGUAAAAGGUGUCUUUUGAAAACACUAUUUACACAAUUUCACAAAAUCUAAUAUAUACUAAAGGUGUCUCUUGAAAAGACAAUUUUCACAAUUUUAAAAAAAUCAAUACAUACUAACGGUGUCUCUUGAAGAGACACCUUCCACAAUUUCAGAAAUUUUAAUUUAUACUACAAGUGUCUCUUGAAUUUGAUUUUAUAUAGAAGACAUCUUUCACAAUUCCAAAAAAAAAAAAAAUCCAAUAUAUACUAAAGGUGUCUCUACACCUUUCACAAUUUUACAAAUUUUAAUUUAUAUUACAAGUGUCCCUUAAUUUUGAUUUUAUAUUGAAGGCAAACACUUUCUAAAAUUCAAAAAAAAAAAAAAAAUUGGAUUUAUAUUAAAGAUGUCUCUUAAAGAGGCACCUUCUACGAUUUCACAAAAUCCAAUAUAUAUUAAAGGUAUUUCUUCAAAAUGCAUCUUUUAUAUAAAAUUAAAUUUAUUAAAUUUAAGAAACGCUUAUAGUAUAAAUUAAAAUUUUUGAAAUUGUUGAAGGUAAAAAUUAAAAAUAAAAAUAAAAUUCAAGACACCUUUAGUAUAUAUUGGAAUUUGUAGAAUUGUGGAAAAUGUUUUUUUUAAGAGAUACAUUUAGUAUAAAUCCAAUUUUUUUUUAGAAUUAUAGAAAGUGUCUUUUUUAAUAUAAAAUCAAAUCCAAGAAACACUUGUAAUAUAGAUUAAAACUUGUUGUGAAAAGUGUUUCUUGAAGAGAUACCUUUAGUAUAAAUCUAUUUUUUUUUCAAUAUAAAAUAAAAUUCAAGAGACAUUUGUAAUAUAAAUUAAAAUUUGUUAACUUGUGGAAGGUAUCUCUUGAAGGGACACCUUUAGCAUAUAUCAGAUUUUGUAAAAUUAUGAAAAAGUCUUUUCAAGAGAUACUUUCAUUAUAAAUCCAAUUUUUUUGUAAAAUUGUGAAAAAGUCUUUUCAAGAGAUACUUUCAUUAUAAAUCCAAUUUUUUUGAAUUGUAGGUGUCUCUUAAAGAAACACUUUUAAUUUAAAUUCAAUUCUUCUAAGUGAAUAUAAAAUAUUUGAAAAUUAUAGAAAGUCUCUUCAAAAAAACUUUUUACAUACUACGUAAAUCUAUCAAUAUUUUUUCAACUAUCAUUUUUAAAGAAUUAUUUUUUAAAUUUACAGGAUGAGUUAAAAAAACCCCAAUUUUCCAAACAAUAACUUCAUCCCUGCGGUAACCUCAACCAAGUUUCUACGAGCCUAUAACUAAUAUUGAAUUUGGGGGGACUAUUAAUACCUUCAUGGAAUAGCAAGUCUUCGUCAAUGAUCACAUUAUACACGCAUUAGCUAGAAGAAAUAAUGUAUUUCGUACGUGAGCUUUUAAUUUCUUUUCAUCAUCAAAGGUCCUUUCCUUUGAAAGUAUUCAUGGUCCAUAUCAUUAUCUUUCAUGCCAGUGUUAGGCCAAUUUAUGAAUUUGGACCCCUUAUUUCACCAUAUAUAGCUAUUGUGAACAUGAUGGACCAUCUAACUUCAAUAAUUUAGCUUCAAUCAAAUUUUUAGAAUAAUCACCUCAAAUCAAGUUAGACAUGUUAUUACUAAGAUUUGGUAUAUCCUCUAAUUCUCUUAAAUAUUAAAGUCAUUAAAUCAGUAAAUAAGUGAGUUUCUUUCUAUUAUAAGUUUGACUUAAAAGAUAUUUAAUAAAUCUAUAUAAUGAUUUAAUAUAACUUAAUUACUUAUUUUAAAUAAUACGAGCAAUUUACAAUAAUAAAUGAAAAUAAAUAAUUUUUCUAAACCAUAAAUAUCAUUUGAUUUAGUUACUUAUGUUUUUUCUCUUCUUCUCUUUCAACAUUUUAUUUGCUGAUAUUAUUUAAAGUAAAAUAAGUCGAACAAUUUAAGGGUAGAAAUUUUAUUGGGGUUCGAUGUUCUAGGAACCAUAUACUUGAAAAGUCUAAAAUACACUUCGAUGCAUGGAUAUAACUUGGAUGAAUGUUCUUCACUUGAAGAAUCAAGUCAAGCUUACUUUGCUGAGGCAAAAUGAUUUCAUGGAUUAUUCUUAUUAUUAUUACUAGUACUACUCCUUUGUGUUAGACAUCCUUAAUGUUAUAUCACCGAGGGUAUGAAUAUUUUUUUUUUUUUUUCCCUCUUCUUUCUUAGUGCUGUUUUAUUAUAUGCUUCAGAAAAUUUCAGGUUCGAUGUCGAAACUUUGUCUAAAAACAUUGUUGAAAUCAACUAUGGUCUAUGACAAAUAGUGAAUAUAACAUACAACAAAGUACGUACUUUAGAAUUGCAGGAACAUACAAUAACCUACAAUAUCACUGUAUUAGACUGAUAUACUUCUUGAUUUUUUUUUCUAAAAAACUACGUUUGAUUUUUUGCAAUAAAUUUGUUUGACAGCUCCAUUCAGUUGUCAUGUGAUAUAUGAGGGACCAACUAAAGUAAUCCGUGAACCGACAAGAGUUGUGGAAACGUCAGCUCAAUAGGAUGAGAUGAUGCGGAUGAGUCAACACACAACAGUGGAUUAAUUCUGAGAAGUUAAAUAAUCAGCUAGCUUGGAAAUUGGCUUUAAGAGAAAAGCCAUGGAUGGAAUCUUAGAAGAUCUCAAGGAAUAUUAGGGGAUGCCUUCGUCUACAAUAUCAGAGAAUGAAGAGGAAUAUGGCUUUUCAGAAAUCUGAUGUUCAAAGCUUCCCCGAUCAUCCCAAGCUUCCAAUACUUAUCCAAAAAAGGUAGAAUAAUUUUUUUCUUCUUUUACUUAGCUUAGUUUGAAUUUAAUUUUUCAAUUAUGAAUAAUUAGAAAUAUAUGCACACAUCUUUGGACAUGUCAUAUGACACUUGAGAGGCUUACCCAAACUCUCAUGAACUUAGGUGGGAAGAAUGACUACUCAAUAGCAAGAACCUUCAAUUUUCCAAGGAUUUUCUAUAAAUGUAUGGAAUUUUUAAAAAUUAUUUUCUAAAAUACUGUAAAUCAGAAAAUAAUUCCAAUUUUAUGACACUUUUGGACACAUAGGAUAAAGGUGGAAAAAAAAAUUAUAUUUUAACUUUUUUGACUCAACCUAUUUCUAUACCUCUUGAAUUUGAUUUUAUAUUGAAGAUGUUUUUUCGAGAGACAUCUUAAAUCUUAGGUAUACAUGUAAAAGAAUUGAAUUUAAAAUAAAAGUGUCUUGAAAUUUGAAUUUAUAGUAAAAGGUGUUUUUUAAAAAGACAAUUUUCACGAUUUCACAAAAUCCAAUAUAUACUAAAAGUGUCUCUUAAAAAUACAAUUUCACAAAAUUCAAUACAUACUAAAGGUGUGUCUCUUCAAUAAAUUUUAUACUACAAGUGUCUUCUGGAUUUGAUUUUAUAUAGAAAAUAUCUUUCACAAUUCUAAAAAAAAAAUCCAAUAUAUACUAAAGGUGUCUUUACACCUUCCACAGUUUCACAAAUUUUAAUUUAUACUACAAGUAUCUCUUAAUUUUGAUUUUAUAUUGAAGGUAAACACUUUCUACAAUUCGAAAAAAAAAAAAAAGGAUUUUUAUUAAAGGUGUCUCUUAAAGAGGCACCUUCUACAAUUUCGCAAAAUUCAAUAUAUACUAAAGGUAUUUCUUCAAAAAAUGUCUUCUAUAUAAAAUCAAAUUUAAGAAACACUUGUAGUAUAAAUUAAAAUUUGUGAAAUUGUUGAAGGAGAAAAUUAAAAAUAAAAUUAAAAUUCAAGACACCUUUAAUAUAUAUUAAAAUUUGUGGAAGUGUGGAAAAUGUUUUUUUAAAGGAUACCUUUAUUAUAAAUCCAUUUAAAAAAAAAUUGUAGAAUGUGUCUCUUUUAAUAUAAAAUCAAAUCCAAGAGACAUUUGUACUAUAAAUUAAAACUUGUGAAAUUGUGAAAAGUGUUUUUUGAAGAAACACCUUUAAUAUAUAUUGAAUUUUAUCACCUUUAGUAUAAAUCCAAAAAAAAAAUUAAUAUAAAAUCAAAUUCAAGAGACAUUUAUGAUAUAAAUUAAAAUUUGUGAAAUUGUGUAAGGUAUGUCUUGAAGGGACACCUUUAGCAUAUAUUGGAUUUUGUUGAAUUAUGGAAAGCGUAUUUUCAAGAGAUAUUUUCAGUAUAAAUCCAAUUUUUUGGAAUUAUAGAAGGUGUUUCUUAAAGAAACACCUUUAAUUUAAAUUCAAUUCUUCUAAGUGAAUAUCAAAUAUUUGAAAAUUGUAAAAAGUGUCUCUUCAAAAACACCCCGAAGACAUGGUAAUUCAAUGAAAAUAUGUUUAUAUACUUAUUUGGAAGUUAUUUUUCUUAAUUUGUUGGUCUAGGUUACAAGUGCCUACAAAGAGGAGCAGAUUGAGGAUCUGAAAAAUGAAUUGAAAAUGGAAUUAUACAUAGUGUUGACUAUAAGAAUUUUAGUGGAUUCAAAUGUCUUAGUCAACUAAACUAUUCUAAUUUUAGUAAAUGGUAUGCACAAAAUGACAAUUCAUUUUGAUGAUUCCAAUCUAUUUUAAAUACCAAAGAAAGUUUUGAUUUUUUUUUAUUUACAAAAAAUGCUUCAAAGUACUUUUCAUAAAAUAAAAAAAAAAGAAUUAUUUUCACAAAUUUUAUUUACCAACAUUCCAAUUUGAUUUUCAUGCAGAAAGAAACUAUUUUUAUAAUUUUUAUUAAAAUAUGAUUUUUUUUUUCAAUUUUUUUUUUAAAGUAUCUAAAUCUAAUCUUAUGUCCAAGAGAAUACUUUUACAAAUUCUUUAAGAAAAGGAUUUUUAAAAUUUUAUUUUUUUCUAAAAAAAAUUACAAAUUUAUUUAGAAAAGAAUAAAUAUUGGGAUCCAAUUUUAAUUACACAAAAAAUUAUUUUUUUUUAUUGAAAAUAAGAUUUUUACAUUUUUAUUUACAUAAGUAUGAAAAUCCAUUUCCAUUUUAUUUACUAAAAUGCAUUAUUUUUUUUUUACUAUUUUUAAUAAGACAUGAUUUUUACAAUUUUUUUUAAAGUUUACGAUUUUAUUAAAAAAAAGGUUUUGCAAUUUUUUUUUAACAAAUUUUUUAAUGUUUUAUUAAAACAAAAUGAUUUCUAGAUUUUAUUUUUAAAAAAUGAUUUUCAAAAGUUAUAAAUAAAUAAAUAAAUAAAUAUCGAUUUUCCAACUGUAUUUACAAUUGAUUUAAAAACGGAUUUUACAGUUUUUUUAAAAAACACAUUUUAUUGUUUUAGCUCAUUAAUUUUAAUGUUAAGGUAUCAGCCCAAUUGACUUGAUUUAUAUUAACUUAAAACUUUUGUUCUAAUAGGUACCUUGAUACAACGGCAAAGCCUCGAUUUAUACAGGAGGUCUUGAAGGUGAACUGUGAACCUUACUUAUGUGUACUCAAUUCUGGAAGGUUGUCAACGUUGCCGAUUUUGAACUUCAAUAUUCAGCUCAACAUAGUUUUAGGAUGUCACAUUAGGCAGUCUGGAAGUUUCAUUCAUCUAGUUCAGAUGUGUAAGUUCUGACAUUCAGCUUGGCAAAUUUUGGAAUGAUAAUUGGAUCUAGGAUGGCAUGGCACUCUGUUUGAGCAGGAAGAGUUUUGGAGUUUGGGGUUGGUGGACAAGAUGUGUCCCUGAAAAGAGAUUGAUGCCUACCAUUGAGCUUCUCAAUCACUUGGUUUAGAAAUUAUAGUUUUAGGUCACAGGAAAAUGAAAAAAAAUGUGCAAUGCACCACAAAAACAAUUACAUCAUUACCUAGCUCUCAUAUUCCCAAUGAAUUGACCUAGCCAUAGUCGUGGUCCCCCAAUCCAACUGCCCUUAUCAUAACCUGUCAAACCAUAAUAUUUAAAUAUGGGACAUUUUAUGCAUUCAUCAUGUGAAGAUCAAAUAAAACAACAGAGAUCGAUACAACAAAUUCACGUUACAUAAUAAAAAGCAAUAUCAAACGAGGCAAACAAACCUUAAUAGACCAAAGCCACCAAGCAGCAAUUGAAAAAACCACGAAGGGUUUAUCCCCAUACAUAUACUUUGGAAAAUGAAACAGAAGCUAGAAUAUACCAUCUUUAUUUGUGUAACAUAUCUCCACUCUCAUAUUGGCACAGGGUCUAUGAGCAGCAUUGAAAUAUUAUUUUUCAUCACUUCUCCAAGAUGUGUAAAUUCAUCUUUCUGCCCCUUGUACAUCACAUCUGCUGCUCGAGCAAAAUUGAGAAGACGACUAAGGAGAAGCAUUGGAACUGCAGUAGGUUUGAGGCACUCUUCAUUUAUAUCCUUCCAUGCAUUCUCGAGUUGCUUGUGAAACUCCUCAUAUGCUUGUUGCUCGGAGACACCAUGUUGCUUCAUGUAACAUUCGAUACUUGAUGCAAUAUGCCCUCUCUCUUGCUCAAACUGCAUACAUAGUAAUAUAAGAUGUUAAAAAGAAAUUGGUAUAUAUAUAUAAUAGAUUUUCUUUAAGAUCCCUUUCUCUUUAUGUGAUUGAUAUUCAAGUAUCAGUAGGAAGUGUUGUUUCAUUGUACCUUGUGCGUAGCCAUGUCAUCCAUGAGCCUAAUGACUUUGGAGGAAGCUCUAACAAUCUUAGGGUUUUGUUGCAGCCAAUCAAAGACUUCCUUGGUUGCAAUCUCUCCCAUGCCAAUAAAAGAGAUGAAUGUUAACACGGGGGCACCAAUACUAACCAAUGCAACACGCAUGUACUCUUCUAUUGUUGGUAUGUAUUUUCCAUGGAACCAUUUGGCUUCAACCAAGUAAGCUUGGACCAAGUUUUUCAUCUAGGAUAAAAAUUCAGCCAAGUAAAUAUAUCAUGCAAGUGUUAUAUAUGGCAUUUUAUUUACAAUACUAUAUAGGAUAUCAUAAACACAAUGGAGUUCAGAGAAUCCUACUGCAUCUUUUGCUUGGUGCACAGAGUGUGAUCUUUCUGUGUUUUCCAUGUCCUCGAUUUCUUUGUAGGCAUCUAAGACUGCCUGAUAGCAUGGCUUCAUGUAUUCAGGAAGCUGAUGUGUGCUGUCAAUAUCCCACCUAAAAAUCAAGUACCAAGUUCCCUUUUAAAGUUCAAGUAUGAAAUCAAUGAAUUAGUUGUGGGUAAUUUUAAUCUUGCAUAGAUCAAACCUCCCAAUUGCCUCCGUAAAGAACUCCAGUUCUUCAAGUGUUCCAUAUGCAUCAAAUAUGUCAUCCGUAGUUGUCAUCAGAGCAUGUAAUUUGGUCUGUAUUCUUCUAGCAUAUGAAUACUGGGGCUCAAAACAAGCUAUUGCUAUCCAAAAGUACCCUUCCACCAAUCUAUCUCUUACAAAAGGUAGCUUUGAAGAAAAAUCUAGGUCUUUCCACCACCUGAGAAAAUACAUUAAUUCACAUACCGUAAACAGCUUUAACAUAAGUUCAUACAUGAUUUGAAAACUAACCCCAGGAUAUUGCUUAGCUCUUUUUUAUACAGUGACUGCAGUUGGUUGAAGUCUAACUUUGCAAGCUUCAGUAAAGCUUUACUAUGUGACGCUUCAUCCUGGUAGAUAGACAUGAAAGGCCUUGCCUCUAGCCUCUCCAAGCCUUUCCUCAAGGGCCUGUAUAGGGCAUGAGUUACUUGUGCUGCAAGAGGGUAUUCUAAAUGUUCUACCAUAGACUUGAGGUGAGUGGUGGUGAAAGCAAGUGCUUCAUCUAGUAUGUCUUCUUCCCACACCCUGAGAUGUGCAGCUUCAUACAAGCCUAGUAGGCCAUAUGCAUCAUUGAUCAAAGACUCCUUGAACCUUCCCUUUUCAUCUGUGUACCUGUUGAAUAUAUCUGUAAUCAUCACCAAAACAUAGAAUGUUAUAUGUGAGCUUUGCUAGAUGAUAUUCAAGCACCUUAUAAUACAUGAUAUUCCUGAGGCUUACCACAUGAAAUAUUGAAGCCUUGUUGUCUUAGUAGUCGAAAUCGAAGCACAACAUCAUAGAGAUCAUCAUUUAUGUCAUCAAUGCAAUGAUAGUUAUCAUAGGUAUUUUGUAAUGCUUCUUCUAUCUCCUUUUCAAAGUGGUAUGCCACCCCAAGCCGUUGAACUGCAUCGAUAAACUUCAGCUGUUUUGAAGGGUUACUAGCUGAAGCCAUCAGCUCUCUUCUAACUUCCUCCUUUAGAUCUUCCAACUGCUGCUCUUUAUGGGCCAGAGUUAUCUGUAUCAAUAAAUUGCAAGAACAAAAAGUGAGAAAAUCUUUAGGUCUUGUUAUGAAAACUACAUACAUGAUCAGAAAAUCACCUCAUCCUCAGGAGUGUGGCUCACGAUGAAGGUAUUGCCCCAAAUGCUAGGCUGAUAAUUUGCAGUUCGGCGAUUAGUCUCUGGAUUAGCAACUGGGGCUGGAGAAGACCUGUUGCUGGUAGCGAGAAUUAAGGCCAUGUGUAACUCACUCGAGCACUCAAUAUAUGAAUCAGAUGGCUUGCAACCUUAGGUAUUUGUAGGAUGGAAAAUGGUUCAUUACAAUGAUUGAAUAUCAAUCCGAGAUUCCCAGUAGCAUGGAUACAAUUAAUUCAAGAUCACCUAUCAUAUUUAAACCAAGUUUAUUAAAAAUUAAAUAUUUAAAAUAUGUUUUCUGUUCUCUUAGAAAUACGAAAAGUGUAUCUUAUUCCCUUAAUAAUUCUCAACAUUCGACCAGCCGCCAAACAUUGAUUAAGACUUUUUCACGGGAAGAUAAAACUUACGAUUGAUCUUUUAUUGUCCAAUAAUAUCCUAAUAAUAGAAGAAUUUUGAUAUGACUAGGAAACUAAGUUCUUUUAUAUAAAAACCAAAAAUUAUUUUAAAAAAUUAAUUAAACAAUUAUUAUGUCUUCAAAAAUACUAAUGGCAUUUGUUCCCGGAGAAAUUUCUUUUGAUGACAAAUAUCUAAUUUCUCCCAAUAAGGAAAAAGAAAUGGUGGGAGAAGUUUAAGGACUUAUUGGUUUAAGUGUCCCCAUCAUAGUUUUGAAACAUGGAGACUGAUUUCUUUUUAUGAGGCUACUUUCAAUUUGAGUACAUUUCUGGGAAAUUUUUAAGAACAAAGAAUCUGAGAAAGCAUUUGAGCUUUUGGAAAUGGUGGCUAAGAAUUAAAGGUCAUGGGACAUGCCAGCACCAUAGCUGAGCGCUGGCCAACUACCACAUCGAAGGCAUUCAUUGGCAACACUGUCAUUCAGUGGGUCAAUGGUUGUAUGUUGUUGAAAAUUAAGCAAGUGAAACUUGGUUUAAUUUGGGGCCCAUGGUAAGAAACAUUUGUGGUUAGAAGAGACUGAAGACAAGAAAAACACUGGUCUUCAAUAGUCUCUGGCUAAGUUCCCUCAAAAAAUCCGGACAAGUCAUUAUUAUUAGGUAUGCCUCGAAUCAAAUUAUUGUCCUAGCUGUCGAAAAUUCAACUCCUAACAAUUUUAGUUGAUAAAAUUAUAAGUAUAAAGUUAUAAUUUCUCAGUUUUAAAUUGCUUUGUUUAAAAUAAUAAUAGUAAUAAUGAUUUUGAUCUAUAUUUGCAAAAAAGCAAAUAUAAUCUCCAAUUUUAUCAAUUAUACCUAUUGAAUAGGUAUUUUUUCAAUUCAUGUCAUGUUUCUAAUUGUAAAAUACCUUUCUCUAAACUCAAUAGCUAUUUUUUGAAUAAAUAAUAUUAUAUGAAGAGCUUGAUUUUAUUAUUUAUUUAUUGUUUUUUGAAUUUUGAGUUGAUUGGCUAGCUGGUGAGUUUGUGAUGUUAUCAUUGUCUAGCUAGUAGGAUUCAAUUGCACAAUGCUCAUCAUAUUUACUAAAAAAACAAAUUUAAUGAAUUUAUUUUGAGUUUUCUUAUAUAGUAUUGAAUUCAUGAGAACAAGAGAGAGAAAAAAAAAAGCAUAUCCUUACGAGAAAAUGAGCUUUGAAAUGAUAAAGGAUCCCGUAAAAAAGAAGGUAUUUAAAGAAGAAAAAAAAUGCCGAUGUUAUUGAAAAGAUAGGAUAGUUACAAAAGUUGAAUGAAUGAAUGAAUAUUAUUAAAAAAUAAUUAUUUGAAAAAUAAAUAUAAUAAUACCAUGUUUAUAUCUAUUAUCUUAUUUUUAUAUUAAAUUUGUCUAUUCAAAAGAUCAAUUCACUUUUUCAUAUUAAAUUUAUUUAAAAAAAAUAAAUAAAUAUUAGGUUGUUUGAAUCACUUGCUACCUAGAGGAAAAUCGAUACAAAGAUAUGUUUUGACUUCCGGUAGAAGAUAUUUGAAAUCCUAAUUUAUGGUAGAAUUAUUCUCAAUAGAACAAAUUUUUUAAAAUUACUCUACCAUGCAAAAAGUCAUUCAAUGGUUGUAUAUUGUUUGAAAAGCAAUUUGGAUCCGUUUGGGGGCUAAUAAUGGUAAGAAUGGAAGUGAUAAAAAUUAAAUUUGUAACAAACUUAAAAUAUAAAAUUAUAAAUAAAGGGUUACAAUUUCUCACUUUUUUUCUAAGUAAUAUAUGAUAUUUCCCAAGAAAAUAAAAAUACCCUUUUUCCAUUCUCAAUAGCUCUUUCUCAAUAAAUAAUAUAUGAAGCAUUUGAUUUUAUUUAUUUAUUUAUUGAAUUUUGAGGUGAUUGACUGGCUAGCUUGCAGAUAAGUUUUUUUAUGCGGUCAUUGAUCAAUAUCUAGGCCAAUAGAUAAGUUUUUUAUGUGAUCAUCAAUCAAUGUCUAAGCCAAUAGAUAAGGUUUUUUUUUUUAAUUUAUUUAUGUGGUCAUUAAUCAAUAUCUAGCUAGAAGGUUUCAUUUUCCACUAUGCAGCAUCAUACUCACAAAAGGGAAAAGGAAAAAAAAAAUGAUUUUUAACAUUCAUUUGAAAAAAAGUACAAAAUCGAAAUCCAAGUUUAUAAAAUACAAAUUUCAAGUAAUUAUUUAAAAAUAAUUAAUAUGUCAUACACUUUUUGAUUAAAAGUAGUCUUUGAUUAUUUAGAUACUACAUUUUUAUGAUAUAUGUAUUAUUUAAUUAGGUACUUAUUUUUUAUGAUAUAUGUAUAAUAUUUCAUCAUCUUAGAUAAUAUAUUUGAUUAUUAAGUAUAUAAAAUUUGAAUUAUUUUUAGAGAGUUAAUAUUUUAUAAUUAUUUUUACAUAAGUACAUGCAAGCUCACUAUUUCCAAAAAAAAGAAGUCGAUUUAAUGAAUUUGUUUAGUAUAAAGGGUUACAAUUUCUCACUUUUUUUCUAAGUAAUAUAUGACAUUUCCCAAGAAAAUAAAAAUACCAUUUUUCCAUUCUCAAUAGCUCUUUCUCAAUAAAUAAUAUAUUGAAUUUUGAGGUGAUUGACUGGCUAGCUUGCAAAUAAGUUUUUUUAUGCGGUCAUUAAUCAAUAUCUAGGCCAAUAGAUAAGUUUUUUUAUGUGAUCAUUAAUCAAUGUCUAAGCCAAUAGAUAAGGUUUUUUUUUAAUUUAUUUAUGUGGUCAUUAAUCAAUAUCUAGCUAGAAGGUUUCAUUUUCCACUAUGCAGCAUCGUAGUUACAAAAGGAAAAAGGAAAAAAAAUAUAUGAUUUUUAACAUUCAUUUGAAAAAAAGCACAAAAUCGAAAUCCAAGUUUAUAAAAUACAAAUUUUAAGUAAUUAUUUAAAAAUAAUUAGUAUGUCAUACACUUUUUGAUUAAAAGUAGUCUUUGAUUAUUUAGAUACUACAUUUUUAUGAUAUAUGUAUUAUUUAAUUAGGUACUUAUUUUUUAUGAUAUAUGUAUAAUAUUUCAUCAUCUUAGAUAAUAUCUUUGAUUGUUAAGUAUAUAAAAUUUGAAUUAUUUUUAGAGAGUUAAUAUUUUAUAAUUAUUUUUACAUAAGUGCAUGCAAGCUCACUAUUUCCAAAAAAAAAAGAAGUCGAUUUAAUGAAUUUGUUUAGUAGAAAGGGUUACAAUUUCUCACUUUUUUUCUAAGUAGCAUAUGAUAUUUCCCAAGAAAAUAAAAAUACCCUUUUUCCAUUCUCAAUAGCUCUUUCUCAAUAAAUAAUAUAUUGAAUUUUGAGGUGAUUGACUGGCUAGCUUGCAAAUAAGUUUUUUUAUGCGGUCAUUAAUCAAUAUCUAGGCCAAUAGAUAAGUUUUUUUAUGUGAUCAUUAAUCAAUGUCUAAGCCAAUAGAUAAGGUUUUUUUUUAAUUUAUUUAUGUGGUCAUUAAUCAAUAUCUAGCUAGAAGGUUUCAUUUUCCACUAUGCAGCAUCAUACCGACAAAAGGGAAAAGGAAAAAAAAAAUGAUUUUUAACAUUCAUUUGAAAAAAAGUACAAAAUCGAAAUCCAAGUUUAUAAAAUACAAAUUUCAAGUAAUUAUUUAAAAAUAAUUAGUAUAUCAUACACUUUUUGAUUAAAAGUAAUCUUUGAUUAUUUAGAUACUACAUCUUUAUGAUAUAUAUAUUAUUUAAUUAGAUACUUAUUUUUAUGAUAUAUGUAUAAUAUUUGAUCAUCUUAGAUAAUAUCUUUGAUUGUUAAGUAUAUAAAAUUUGAAUUAUUUUUAGAAAGUUAGUAUUUUAUAAUUAUUUUUACAUAAGUACAUGCAAGCUCACUAUUUUCAAAACAAAGAAGUCGAUUUAAUGAAUUUGUUUUGAAUUUGUUUAGUAUCGAAUUAUACUGAGAAAUAACAAAAAAGGGAAAAAAAAAAAAGUGACAAAUAUGGUCAUAAAAGGCAGUGCAAUAAUAACCCUUUUAGGCAUCGGAGGGAGCAACCCGGAAGCUACUCCGGGUAGUCCUUGUUUGUUUUGUAGGUCCCGAGGGCUCGCUGGAAGACAGAAGUUUCCAAGUUACCAACACCAAUACGAGAAAAUGGGCUUUGAAAUGACAAUGGGUUAUCAAUAUCAAUCCUUAAGUAUUUAACAGAAAGACCCUGCUGGCGUGAUUGAGCUUCUCAGCUUCCUUGCCAAUGCAAUUCACAUGUAUGAAGAGACACAUGUCAAGUCGAACUUUCCCACAUACGAAUUUUUUAAAAUUUGGACAACUUUUCUACAAAAUUUGUCUAAUUCCUAUAAGUUAAAGCCUAUCAAUACCAAAUUGUAUUUAAUUUUUUUAAUCUUAUCUAAACUUCAAAGUGCUACCAUGAGAUUGCAAUAGUGUAGUAGUUCCAAGUAAAACAAAUUUCUGCAAUUUCUUUACAUUGAAAAGAAAAAAAAAUGUUAUUAUGAAAAUGUGAGAAUAUGUGAACUACUCUUUACAUCAUAUUUUUGUGAAAUUUUAUGAGUUAGGUAGGUGGCCAUGUUAUGUUUAAUUUCAAAAUUAUUUGAGUCAAAGUUAUGUAUGAGGGUGAAAAGGGUUAAGCCGUUAUUUUAAUAUAUGAUUUGAUGCCUAAAUAAUAUGAUUACUGAUCUUCUUUCAUCAAUAUAUUUUAUAAAAUUGCUAAAUAACUUUUAAGCUUUCUAUGGUACACCUGGAUUGAGUUAAGGAAUCAAAAAGGGGGAUUACAGAUAUAAUGUAAUGACCUACUUUGAACCAUGUAAAUAUUGUCCAUCUAUACUUAAAGAGUUCUCAUAACUUUAAAACAUGUCUAUAAGAUUAAGAUGAUCUCAUACAAAUAUAAUAUCAGAAUAUUUUUAUUCUCUCUGAUUUGAGAUGUCGCACAAAAUAACCAAUUAUGUGUCAAUUUUUUAUUUAAUUAAACAUAUUUUAGCUUAUAGCCACAGAACUUGAUAUAAAGGGCAACAAUUAAGAUGUUCCUCUAUCUUAAUAAUAGAGGAGCAUUCAAGGAAGUGUGAUGCAAGAUGGCUAUCAGUCUAAUAACCAGCCAUUUAGGACAUAUAAGAGACUAUUUUUUCAAUCACCAAGUGUGAGUCCCCUUUCAUAGAUUGUCUUCCGUUACAAUGCUCAGCUAGCAAACUUAAAACAAUUCAUUUUGUUGUCAUACUUUAUAGGGUUUAUGAUCAUUAGAUUGAACUUGAGGAGGUUUUCUCCACUUUCUGAGAGCCUAAUGUUAACUUGGAGAAUUUAAAGAAGAGAUUAUUUUCUUUUUCUUUAAAAGAAAUGGGUAAAGAAUGGGUAUAUAGCUUGACAACAAGGAGCACUGACUCUUAGGAGAAAUUACUUUUGAUGACAAAUAUAUCUAAUUUCUCCUAAUAAGGAAAAAAAAAUGGUGGGAGAGGUUUAAGGACUUAUUGGUUAAGUGUCCCCAUCAUAGUUUUGAAACAUGGAGAUUGAUUUCUUCUUUUUAUGAGGCUACUUUCAACUACCACAUCGAAGGCAUUCAAUGGCAACACUGUCAUUCAAUGGGUUAGUGGUUGUAUGUUGUUGAAAAUUAAGCAUGUGAAACUUGGUUUAAUUUGGGGCCCAUGGUAAGAAACAUUUGUGGCUAGAAGAGACUGAAGACAAGAAAAAUACUGGUCUUCAAUAGUCUUUGGCUAAGUUCCCUAAAAAAAUCCGAACAAGUCAUUAUUAUUAGGUAUGCCUCAAAUCAAAUUAUUGUUCUAGCUGUUGAAGUCGCGACCCACCGGGAUAUCUGUGUCUCCUUGACGUUGGUGCUCAAUCAACUGAGAAUGAUGCUUCCUUCCUUGUUACUGUAAAAGAUGUCUGGAUAGGUUGUCCAAACACACUCUCCAAAGCUCUUGUUAGUUUGACAAUUCUCUUUGAUCUUUCCUUUUGGGAGUCAAUCUGAAGUUUGUCUUACCUCCUCUCUUCAUUGAGUUCCCUCAAGGGUUUUAUAUUGUCUGGAGUUUUUGUUGUCACAUCUAAGCUAGUGGGGUCCAUUUACUUCCACAGUCAUCAUGGCUACUCAUAGGGUGGCAACGCAAUCAUUACUCUUUUGGGUGAUGGAUGGUGAUUGCUAAUGGGGCGAUCGAGCGGCGCAUCUGUCACUUCAUUCCGCAGACGGCACAGUGCAAAAUGUGUCAAGUGGCCUGAAAAGACAUGAAGAUGUCCCAGCUAGCACGCCUUUAAUGGAAGGCGAAUGAUGGAAUGUGGAGUAUGGUUAGAGACGUUGUUUGAAGCAUGUCCUGUGGCUUCAUAAAAGCAUGGGCAUCUGGCCAUUGAUCAUUGGAUCCGGAUAGAAUGGAUCCAACAUGUAUGUUACUGGCCAAUGGAUCCUGUCCGGAUAAAGGCGAAGGUUGCCAUAUGUCUACAGAAGGUUUGCUAGUGAGGGUAAGGCAGGCCGCCAUGUGUCAGCUCAGGAGGAGGGUCCUACAAUACCUUUUUUUAACCCGUUUGAUCUGUCUGAUCAGAAAAUGUGUGUUAAAAUGAUUCAUUCAAAAAAUUUUUGGGGAUUGUGCGACAUGUGGCGCCUGAGCGGGAUAUUUAUGAUGAGACACCGACCUUGAAAUUACCACCAGGCGGCAUGUCGUUUCAAAAGUAGUGCAGUUGGGUGCCUUAUCGUUUGGGGUUCUUAGGGAUUCUAUCCUAUAAAUAAGAAUCCAAUCCCCAUUGACGGUACUUUUUCUUCAUUUCGCCUUUUGCUUCUCCCUAAAUCAUUCCGACCAUCCAGAAACAGCAGUUUUGGCAUUCAAUUGGCAACGCCUUCCCCAAAGAUUCCUUAACUUGUUAACUCAGGCGAUUGUAGCUCGGUUCAUCCCCAUCUUGUAAGCAUUCACCAGGUUCGCUUCUUCUUUCUCUUCCACGUCUUCUACUUCUUAUUUUCCAUUGAUUGAGAUGUUUGUCUAUGGUUGGGGGUUUGUGGCGACGCUUAAGAGAUUCGGUGAGUCAGGGGAUGACUUUUCUAGAUUUUGCAGAGAAGGGCAUAGGGUGAUUCUGGGGUAAUAUAUCCCGCCAAGGUCGCGUCCUAAUGGGCCUUAUUAGGGUAUAUUUUAGUUUUCGCGUUUUGAGGCUCUACCAAGUCUACUAGAUGUGCGUUUUCCUUUGGUGUGCUUGUAAGUCGUAGAGGGUCAAUCCCUUGCUAGGGUUAGGAACUGGCCAAUGGAACUGGAGUUCCUGAUUUGGGAUGUCGCUAAGUCGGGCGUAUUACCCAAUAAGAUUUCUUGGGGGUGUUGUUCUUGAGGCAGUAGGGUCGGGUGACUACUUCUUAACUGUCGGCAUUGUGCCAUGCACGUUUGACUCGGCCCGACGCUUCAAGAUGCUUGCAAAGAGGGGUACUACCUCGUCCAACGCAGCUGGGCAAAGUGGGAAAAGUGGCUGGACAGCCCCGAGUUCUGUACUCCCUUAUCUGGAGAAGCCCACUAAGCUUCUCAAUGAGCGGGAGUUUCGCGACCACUUCUGUUUUACGAAUCGUAUCUCCAUUCAACUGGUAGAGGGGGAUCCAAUGCAUAUGGAAAAAACCGGACACAACGCUAUGUACUCCACCAAGGAGCAAUUCAACGCGGAGCUUCGCUUUCCCCAUCUGUCCCUUUUCAAGCAAUUCCUUCACUACACCCAAAUCCCCCCAACCUUUAUUGAUCCCAAUAUUGUUCGGGUGCUGAUGGGGUGCAGUAUCCUGAAUAUGCUCUUCCACCUAGACCUUUCCCUAUUGGAGGUCCUUUUCAUCUGUACCAUCAAGAAGGGCAAGAAGGACAUCUUCAACAUGCUUGCCCAUAUCCCAUCCUUCAAGCUAGUGAUAGGCCUCCCUAAUUCGAACAAAGGGGAAGCCAAGGGGCAUGCGCUAGUCAGGGGAGCAUGGGCAGGUUUGAUAGAGCACCUACAAAGGGACUUUUAUCCUAACCAUUUGUUGAAGAUUCCGGGUAGGGAUGACUCUGAACACCUCCUCCCUGUUAAUAUUUUAGCACUGGGUUAGUUCCACUAGGUUGCUAACACUCUUCGUUUUGGUUGGUGUAGGUACAAAUAAGAUGUGUCAUUUGGUUGAGUGGGUAGAGAAAGCUUCGUUCGUCCGUUUGAACAAGCUGUUCAAGAUCACUACAAGCGAAAUGAAUUAUCAGACGCUCAUUUCUGCCCGGAAUCUUCUAGCGGUUGUCCGGGAAACUCGACCAUACGUCCUUAAUAUCCUCCCUAGACAGUUGCCUAAGGUUGUGGUGCCCAGGGAGCAUUUUGUUUUGUGAGACCUCCCCCUUUACGAAGAGGCAUGCAAGGCGGACGCAAAGGCUCAUCAAGAGCAUCUCGAGCAACGAGAAGAGAGAAGGCAAGAGGGGACCCUACGGAGGGCGCCUGGUGAGAAGGGUCGCGUGCAAUCAUCUACGGCUCGUCCUUUAGCAGAAAAGAAAAAGAAGAUGACCCUUGUAAAAGUGACCAAAGCCCCCCACUCCGGCUCUUACCUCUCCAUCUACUUCUUCUCCUUCUGCGUCGGACAACUCUGCCCACGCCUCUGAAGGUGUCUUUAGCUCCUUGAGGCUUGAUCCUAGCAAUCCAGGAACCUGCCCUUCCGAGCUUGAGCCAGAGCCUAUAGCACUUGGAGUAAUAAAUGAGCCAGAAGAAGAAGAAGUAGACAUGUCAGCUGACUUGAGAGCUGGCUUCAAAGAGAGGCAUCACAAACACCUCUAUGAAGCCAUUGACAUGGUUCCUCCUCCUACUAAGAAGGCUUGUCCAGAAAAAGUUCGGGAGGAAACCGAGAGAGAGGCUCCUACAACACCAGUGCCCCAACUGGAUGUUAUGGGGCCAAGCAGUGUGCCCGCUGCUGAGGAAGAGGUUGGCCCGGCCCCAGGGGCCCUCUGAUGGCACUGCUCCUGAUGAAGAAGUCUUGGAUUAGAAGGACUCUCUUGCACCCGCUUCUCUUCAUAGUUGGGAUGAAAUGAUGGAGAUGUUAAAGCAUAUCCCAUGCUUUACAGAUGCUGAGUCGCCCUCUACUAAGAUGUCCGACUUCUUCCCUCUCACCAAGCGGAUAUUUGUGAACCUUGGUGGUGACCCCCCUUCCUUUGUCUCAGCCAAACUUUCCUUCAGCACGCUUAAGUCCACAAUCGCCCAUAUUUAGCAACUUCAGGAUUGUACUAUGUCGAAAAUUGCAUAAGUGGUACUUUCUCAUACUUUGCUUCCUUUUCCGGAUUGAUGCACACUCCACUUAAUUAAUGCUAAUUUUGUUUCUGUUGCAGUUGGUGGCUAGUAUCCGCAACAUGGUGCGACAGCGCACCCUCCUUUUUGUGCGACUAAAGGUUGUUAAAGCCAUGCAGUCUUUCAUUUCCUACCGCCUGGGUGGCAGCGAGGAUUUCGCUCAAGGCUGGAGCGAUCAGAGACCGAUCUCGCUGCUACUCAGAAAGCUGCUACGGAAGGAGUCGAGGCUUUGAAAAAGGCUGGGGAAAAGAAGGAGGUGUUCCAGGUUGAGGCAAACAAGCUGAAGAAUGAGGGAGAGGUCGCGAAGGCCAAGCUUAAGAAGGCGGAGCAGGAGACUUCUCAUCGAAGAAGGAUACAGAAUAGCUUCGAGAUAGGCUCGCGACUAAAAAAAAAAGACAUAGAGGAAUUACAAGCAGGUUUCGUCGCUCAGAAAAUGGAACUAGAAGCCAGAUUUGUGCUCAAAAGAAGGAACUGGAAGUGAAGUACCAAAAGCAGGUGGACAAAAUGUAUUUCUUCGGCUAUCGCUGUUGUAUGAAGGAAAAUGGUAUCAUGCAUGAUAUUCCCUCUCUUUCUUCUAAUGACGAGGAUGAGAUACUCGCGCGGUCCUCCUCAAUGAGAUAGUGCCCUCUUUAUGUAAUUUUUCUUCUUGAUGUAAUUUUUGUCGUGAAGUGGUUCGACUGAGUAUUUGUAAAGACAAUUUUUAAUAUGUUUAAGCUAUGAAUAUAACGUUGCUUUACUUUUCCUUUUUGCUUUCAUUGAUAAUAUUGCUUUAAGUGAACUACAUUCCAUGGGUGGAGUAAAGGGGUUUCGUCUAGUUUCUGCAGAUGGUAGGCUCCAUUCUCACUUGCCUUUGACACAAUGUAAGGACCUUCCCAAUUUUCUCAGAGUUUCCAGCUCAUUUUUCAGCCGUGUUUUCAAAGACUUUCCUGAGGACAAGUGUCUCAACUUUGAAGGUGCGGGGUCGUACCUUUCGGUUGUAGUAUGCAACUACCCUUUGCUGAUAAGCAAUCAUUUGGAUAGAUGGGACUAGUGCUUUGCAAGUUCCAUAUCUUCAUUUAUCUACCCCUGUACGGUGGUCCGGGCCGUGGGCAUGCCUACUUCUGUGGGGAUGACUACGUCCAUUUCGUAUGCAAGAGCGAAAAGGGUGCUUCCUGUUAGUCGCCCAGGUGUUGUCCGAUAGGCCCACAAGACGUCGGGCAAUUCUUCCACCCAUCUUCCCUUGGCUUGUUCCAGCCUUUUCUUCAAUGCGGAUAGCAGAGUUUUGUUGGUUGCUUCUGUUUGUCUGUUGCUUUGGGGGUACCGAGGUGUGGAGUAUAAAUUCUUGAUUUUAAGCUCCGAACUGAUAGUUCUGAAGGCAACACUGUCAAACUGAUGGUCGUUGUCAGCUAUGAUCAUUUGGGGGAUUCCAAAUCGGCACACGAUGUUCUUUCAAACGAACUUUGUGACGUCUUUAUUCUUGAUGUUAGCAUAAGCUUCGGCCUUUACCCAUUUGUUGAAGUAAUCAGUGGCAACAAGUAGGAAUUUCUUUUGUGCAGCUGCAGUAGGUAAGGGUCCCACAAUAUCCAUCCCCCACUGUACGAACGGCUAGGGGCUUAUUACCGAGUUGAGUGUUUCAAAGGGCAUAUGCGGUAUAGGCUCAUACCUUUGGCACUUGUCACACUUCUUGACAUACGCUUCUGCAUCUUGCUUCAUAGUUGGUCAAUAAUAUCCUUGUGAGUGUGCGUGAUGCACUAGAUAUCAGCCUUCCGAGUAGUUGCCACAAACACCUUUGUGCAGUUUUGUCAGCACAUAUUGGGCUUCCGACUGGUCUAAGCACCUGAGGUAUGGGUCUCCGAAAGACCGUCUAUAGAGGUAAUCUCUAAUCAAAGUGAAAUGAGCAACUUGCACCCGGGUCUUAUGUGCAUGCUUGGAGUCUUCAGGCAGAGCACUUGUCCGGAGAUAUGUUUUUAUGGAGUUUGUCCAUUCCUAGUUUUCCUUGAUAGUGCGGCAGACGGGCGACUCUAUGAUGGAUGGAGCGGUAUGGAUACAUAUUGGCAACAAUAUAGAUUCACUUAUGGGAAGUGAGGCGGCUAUGCCUGCUAAGGCGUCGGCUUGCAUGUUACCUGCUUGGGGAAUCUUCUUGACAGUCCACUCGUCCAACUGCUGAUUACUACUCACAAAGUACUAUUUCAUAACUUGUAAUUAACUCUUUUAAACACUUUUGAGUAGUAGUUAUCACCUUUUAACCCAAUUAACAUAUUAAGGACCCUUGCAAUCGAUUCUAAUCAAAUUGUGUUAAGUUUUGGUGUUUUGAUAGCUUAUUGAUCACCAAAACAAUCUGAGAUUAAGAAAAGUUCUUUGGAAUCCUUAAGCAAAUCCAGAAUACAAGGAGUAUGGGAUCCUGCACAUUCCAUCCGACUGCCGCGCCAUUCCAUCCGGCUACCGCCACUUUACACCCGGAUGUAUCACAUCCGGAAAUCUGCUACUGUCAUCAUUCCAUCCGGAUGUCUUACAUCCAGAAUUCAAGAGCCGGAUGGGAGAGGAGGGCGUUUCAACUUCUCCGGACAAACAUAUCAGGAUCCGCCGAUAGCAUUCACCCGGAGGAUUUCGCAGCAAUUUUGCACAGUGCCGCAGUGUUCUCCUGAAGCUUCCCGAUAUGUGCGACCGACAUCUUUAGAUAUUUUUCUUUAGAUAUUUAUCUUUAAAUAUUUGAUGUCUAAAUCCCCAAACUCUCCUUAUAACCCACCAAUUAUAGGAUUCCUUAGUUAUUAAGUUUGGAAAAAUGAUGAAUAACCUUGUAGAUAUUAUUAUUGUAAUUUUCAUAUAAAUAUUUCUCGGAAGCCUGUUCUCGAGACGACGCAACUUUUGUAUAAUUUUCAAAGGAAGAAAAAUACAGAGCUUUGCUCUGCUUUUACCUUCUCAUUUUGAUUGUAUUUUCUUACUAGCCAAACAAGCUCUGAGGAUGUUUCCUCAGAGAAUGAGUGGCUAGAAUUUUAGUUCCUUGGAGUUAAGGUUGCCGGGAAAGGUUCCAAGUGCAAGAAUUAGUAGCUUUGUGGUUUCAACCAUUAAUGAAGAGAAAGUGUGACCAGUUAAUGGUUUUAUCUUUUUAGUUAACUUAAAACGCCUUUAAAUCACCUAGGCCAACACUUGAUAAGGCAAGUGAUCUCCAUCCAUAGAGAUGCACUAGUUUAUCUUUUGCGAGCCUUUGGGAGGUGGUUUGAAGGUAGGGUUUUCUAGAAUAGCCAACACUUGGUAAGCUUUUGGACUCCACGGAGACAUCCAUUAUUUAUCUCUUGCAAGCUUUUGAUUACUACUCAAAAAGAGCAUAUUUUAGAUAAUAAUUCUCACGAGUUUCACAUCUUUUGAGUAGUAAUUAUGCCUAAAACACUCAAUUAGCAUGUUGUUGCCCUUGCAAGAGUUAUUAAGAAGUUUUAUGAAGUUUUGGAGUCAUUUCAAGGUAUAAUUUUGAUAAAUUGGUGACAAAAGAGAUUAAUCAAAUUGAAGAAAACAAAUAAAGUUGAUGAUGAUCCAAAUGCAUAAUGAAAGAAGCAAUGCAAUCAGUUUGGAUUGGGAUUUGGAGCUUAAUUGAAGGUGAUGGAAAUGGAUUAAACAUGAAGAAAUGAGAGAAAUUACAAAGAGGAGUCGGAAAAGCAUAUUUCUCGAUUUCGCAUGACCAUGCGAAAUGAAACAGCAUGGCUAUUGGCUGCAGCACAUAAGGGAAUUCUGAAAAGCAAUUUCUUUCGCACAGUCAUGCGAAAAGCUCCAGAAGAACUAAAAUGAAGCUGAUGGACUCUCCACUUUGCACCAUCAUGCGAGAUUGCUAGGGGCUCAUGCGAAAAUGCAUUUUCUCCAGAUUCCUUGAUGAAGAAGCAUCUGGAAGACCUCUAAAAUGUUGCCAAGUGUCCUUUUAACCUUAGCCUAUAAAUAGAAACGAGAUUUGACUCAUUUAAGAACUUUUGAUACAUUUUCUAAUCGUAGAACUUUUCAUACUUCUUCUCUCUAUAUAAUUCUCUACUUUCCUUCAGUUUCUCUUAUUUUCUCGGUAGCUAAACAUGUCUUGUGAGAUCAAAUCUCCAAGCAUGAGUGGCUAAAUCUCAUUUUUCUCGGAGGAGGGAGGAUCUAGAGGCAAGAUCUAUGGUGAAUUAGAGAAUUGAGCUUGAAUUGCAAAGGUAAUUUGAUCUAAUUGAUUGAUUAAUUGAAAUUUGGGGAUUUUUCUUUUCAAAUUGUCUUGGAUGAUUACUACAAUGCAAGCUAGGUAGAUUCAUCAAAUUCUUAAUGCUAGAUUUGAUAAGAUUGAAUAGUUGCAUUGUGUGAAUCAUCGGAAGAUAAUUUAAGAUGAAUUGAAUAUAUGAUUCAAAUUGAUCUCUUGGAUUAGAUUACCUGAUUUGAAGAGCAAUUAGAUCUAGAUCUAAAGCUAAAUCAAAAAUUAGUUUAGAUGAAAAUUUAGGUUUUCAAUCUAACUUGAUGAAAAUUAGAUCUCAACACCUAUUCACCAUGGAAAUUGCUCUCUAGAAAAUCCUAACUCCGAGAAUCUCACCUCUUAUUAAUUUUCUUCUCUUUUACACUUCAUUUUCCUCUCAAUUUGAAUACAUUGCUAUUUUGGAAUUUUAUCAUGCAUUUUCAAAUCAAUUUCAUUUUAUCACAAUCAUUUCUUAUCAUCUCAUUCAAGCCUUAAUUACCAAGAAUAAUCCAUCCUUGUGGACGAUACCUAACAACCACUAUACUACAGUAGUUUGUACUAAAACCACUUUUUGAUCGGGUACAAAUUGCUAUAGAAUAGUGAGUUAGGUUAUAAAUUUUGUUUUGAUCCAAUAAACGACAAAAUCUAAGCGGUAAUCCAAGGUUAAAGAUCACCUUGAAUGGCAAGUGCUAGGUGAGAGGUAUGAGCCAUUGCAAGGUGCAUCAAUGAGAGAGAAUUAUUAUUUGAAUCCAUUAAGGGGAAGCAACUGUACAAAACCAGUUAGAAAAUUGACUAUAUGUUAAUUCUCUAAUGCGAGGAAAUGAACCAAAUGACUGGAGCUCUGUUUUUGCAUAAGAAACCUCCCUUGUGAACUUAAACCUCCAAGGAAUGUUUUUUUUUAUAAGUAAUUUCCAUUACUUCCUUUGCCGUUAGUUUAAACCUAAACAUUUUUCAAUCAAAGUUUGUGUUUUAUUUCUCAAGCUAACCUUGAAAUGAAAAGACACCAAUUCAUCUUUGAAUUGGUAUCAUUUAUGAAUUGAAAACCCUUCCCAAUGAACGAUCCUAGAGCCACUAUGCUAUAAUAGCUUUGUCUUUGCUACCCUAGUCAUGGUGUAAUAGGUUAUAAAUUUUGUUGAUUUCUCCCUCAAUCAAGGAGCGCCAGCUGGACAUGAACCAGCUGAUACACCAAUUGGGCACAAAUCAAAUGGCGCCUUUGUCGGGGAAGGUGCCAACUUCAUAGUGAUAUUAUUUCAGAGUACUUGUGAUUUUCAUCACAAGUUUGGUAACUUUUCUUUCAUUUUACUAAUUCUUAUUUUUUUAUUUAUUGUAUCUUUACUUGUUCAUAAUCUAAUAUAUCUUUUAAAUCCAAUUUAGUUCAUUUUAGUUUGGUAGCCCUGCUUUCUUUUGUUUUCUUUUAUUUUUAUUUUAGUUAUAGUUGAUACUAGUUGUGUAUGCCAAAGUGGAUACAAGAUAGUGGAGGAAGGCUUGUCAAACGUGAUAUACCUCAUAACAAGGAAUUGGAAUUGAGCUUAAAUAUCAUGGAAGCUACACCUGAAGAUCAGCAUAGUCACCAUGGUCAUCAGGACAAUCCCAAUGAAUUCAUAUCAAUGAGGGACCGCAUGCAUCCACCUCGUAUGAGUGCACCAUGAUGUAUAGUGCCCCCUACAGAGCAGCUAGUGAUCAGACCCCAUAUUGUGCCACUUCUACCAACUUUCCAUGGAAUGGAAAGUGAGAAUCCCUACGCACAUAUCAAGGAAUUUGAAGAUGUUUGUAAUACAUUCCGAGAGGGAGGAGCUUCUAUCGACCUGAUGAGGCUUAAACUAUUUCCUUUUACUUCAAAGGAUAAGGGCCAAGAUUUGGCUUAAUUCUUUAAGGCUAAGGAGUAUCCGUACUUGGACUGAUUUACAAGUUGAAUUCCUCAAGAAAUUUUUUUCCCACUCACAGAACAAAUGGCUUGAAAAGGCAAAUUUCAAACUUCUCAGCUAAAGAGAAUGAGAAAUUCUAUGAGUGUUGGGAAAGAUACAUGGAAGCUAUUAAUGAUUGUCCUCACCAUGGCUUUGAUACAUGGCUAUUGGUGAGUUAUUUCUAUGAUGGGAUGUCUUCCUCAAUGAAGCAACUCCUCGAGACAAUGUGUGGAGGAGAUUUCAUGAGCAAGAAUCCUGAGGAAGCUAUGGAUUUCUUGAGUUAUGUAGCUGAAGUCUCAAGGGAAUGGGAUGAACCGCACAGAGGAGAAGUGGGAAAGUUGAAGUCUCAACCGAGUGCUUUCAAUGCUAAGGCUGGGAUGUAUACCUUGAAUGAAGAUGACGAUAUGAAAGCAAAGUUUGCAGCUAUGACAAGAAGAUUGGAGGAGCUAGAACUGAAAAAGAUGCAUGAAGUGCAAGCUGUUGCUGAAACACCAGUGCAAGUAAAGCUGUGUCCUAUUUGUCAAUCUUAUGAACACUUGAUGGAGGAGUGCCCUACACUUCUAGCUGUAAAGGAAAUGUUUGGAGAUCAAGCAAAUGUCAUUGGACAAUUCAAGCCCAAUAACAAUGCACCAUAUGGAAAUACUUACAACUCAAGUUGGAGGAAUCAUCUAAAUUUCUCAUGGAAGGCAAGAGCACCUCAGUACCAACAGCCGGCUCAACCAUCUCAACAAUCUUCAAGUCUUGAACAAGCAAUAGUGAAUCUCAGCAAGGAUGUGAGAGAUUUUUUUGGAGACCAAAAAGCAUUCAAUGCUCAAUUGGAAGACUUUGUUGGAGCCCAAAAAGCCAUCAAUGCUCAACUCAGUCAAAGGAUUGACAGUAUAGAGAGUACUUUGAAUAAAAGGAUGGAUGGAAUGCAAAAUGAUCUAUCUCAAAAGAUAGAUAAUCUCCAAUACUCAAUCUCAAGGCUCACUAACUUGAACACAGUGCAAGAGAAGGGUAGAUUUCAUUUUCAACCUCACCAAAACCCCAAGGGUAUCCACGAAGUGGAAACUCAUGAGGGAGAAUCUUCACAGGUGAGAGAUGUUAAAGCCUUGAUCACUCUGAGGAGUGGUAAAAAGGUUGAGUCACCAACACUCAAGCCAUAUGUUGAAGAGAAGAAAGACGAAGAAACAAAGAAGAGGGAGGAAAUGAAAGGAAAGAAGAAAGAUGUCAGUGAAAUGAAAGAGGACCAUGAUUCAAUAGUGAAUACAAAUCCGGAGAAAGAGCUUCUUAAGGAAGAAAUGCUAAAGAAAUCAACUUCUCCACCUUUUUCUCAAACGUUGCAUGGGAAAAAGGGGAUAAAAAAUGCAUCAGAAAUCCUUGAAGUAUUGAGACAAGUGAAAGUCAAUAUCCCAUUGCUGGACAUGAUUAAGCAAGUUCCAACAUAUGCAAAGUUCCUAAAGGACUUGUGUACUAUCAAAAGAGGGUUGAAUGUGAAUAAGAAAGCCUUCUUGACUGAGCAAGUAAGCGCAAUCAUACAAUGCAAGUCUCCUUUGAAGUACAAAGAUCCGGGAUGUCCUACCAUUUCAGUCAUGAUUGGAGGAAAGGUAGUGGAGAAAGCUUUGUUAGACUUGGGAGCAAGUGUGAAUUUGCUACCAUACUCUGUCUACAAACAAUUGGGACUUGGUGAGUUGAAGCCAACAUCAAUCACCCUAUCUCUAGCAGAUAGAUCAGUAAAAAUUCCAAGGGGGGUAAUUGAGGAUGUCUUAGUUCAAGUUGAUAAUUUCUACUAUCCGGUAGAUUUUGUUGUUUUUGAUAUGGAUUCUACUGUAAAGGAAGCUAAUUCAGUUCCUAUCAUCCUUGGAAGGCCAUUCUUUGCUACCUCAAAUGCAAUCAUCAAUUGUAGGAAUGGACUCAUGCAACUCACUUUUGGCAACAUGACACUUGAGCUCACCAUUUUUUAUAUGUCAAAAAAGCAAAUCACUCUGGAAGAAGAAGAAGGUCCAGAAGAGGUAUGCAUUAUCGACACUUUAGUGGAGGAGCACUGUAAUCAGAAUAUGCAAGAUAAGCUGAAUGAAGGUCUUGGGGAUCUUGAAGAAGGGUUGUCUGAACCCCCUGAUGUGCUUGCUACUCUACAAAGUUGGAAGAGAAGAGAAGAGAUUCUACCUUUGUUCCAUAAAGAGGAAGGAGAAGCUGCUGAAGAAGAGACCCCAAAGCUCAAAUUGAAGCCUCUGCCCGUGGAGCUGAAAUAUACAUACCUUGAAGAAAAUAAUCAAUGUCCUGUUGUUAUAUCUUCAUCUCUUACCGGUCAUCAGGAGAUUUCUCUACUUGAAGUUAUCAAAAGGUGCAAGAAAGCAAUAGGAUGGAAAAUAUCUGACUUGAAAGGAAUCAGUCCUUUGGUUUGUACACAUCACAUAUAUAUGGAGAAAGAAGCUAAACCAAUUCGUCAACCUCAAAGAAGAUUGAAUCCUCAUUUACAAGAAGUGGUGCGGACUGAGGUGCUGAAGCUACUCCAAGUAGGUAUUAUUUAUCCCAUAUCUGACAGCCCUUGGGUGAGCCCUACUCAAGUGGUACUAAAGAAGUCAGGGAUUACUAUGGUUCAGAAUGAGAAAGGAGAAGAAAUUGCUACACGCCUCACUUCAGGUUGGAAGGUGUGUAUUGAUUAUAGAAAGUUGAAUGCUGUGACAAGGAAAGAUCAUUUUCCAUUGCCGUUUAUUGAUCAGGUGCUGGAGAGAGUCUCUGGCUAUCCUUUUUAUUGUUUCUUGGACGGGUACUCAGGGUAUUUCCAAAUUGAAAUUGAUGUUGAAGAUCAGGAGAAAACCACUUUCACAUGUCCGUUUGGAACAUAUGCCUACAGAAGAAUGCCUUUUGGUUUAUGCAAUGCACCUGCAACAUUCCAAAGAUGUAUGCUUAGUAUCUUUAGUGAUAUGGUGGAGCGAAUUAUGGAGGUUUUCAUGGAUGACGUCACCGUAUAUGGGGGUACAUUUGAGGAAUGCUUAGUCAAUUUGGAAACAGUUCUUAAUAGAUGCAUUGAGAAGGACUUGGUGCUCAACUGGGAGAAAUGCCAUUUUAUGGUACGUCAAGGAAUUGUCCUUAGCCAUAUCAUCUCCGAGAAAGGCAUUGAAGUUGAUAAAGCAAAUGUGGAGCUUAUUGUCAAAUUACCGUCCUCAACAACUGUGAAAGGAGUAAGGCAAUUUCUUGGCCAUGCAGGGUUCUAUAGGAGAUUUAUACAAGACUUCUCUAAGCUUUCAAAACCUCUUUGUGAGCUUUUGGCUAAGGAUGCUAAGUUUAUAUGGGAUGAAAGAUGUCAAAAUAGCUUUGAUCAACUGAAGCAAUUCUUGACAACUGCUCCGAUAGUAAGGGCUCCUAACUGGCAACUACCCUUUGAAGUGAUGUGUGAUGCCAGUGACUUUGCUGUAGGAGCUGUACUUGGCCAAAGAGAAGAUGGGAAGCCCUACGUGAUCUACUAUGCAAGCAAAACAUUGAACGAAGCUCAAAGGAACUACAUAACUACAGAGAAAGAUUUGUUAGCUAUGGUGUUUGCCUUAGACAAGUUUCGUGCUUAUCUAGUAGGGUCUUUCAUCAUUGUUUUCACUGACCAUUCAGCCUUGAAGUAUUUAUUGACAAAGCAAGAUGCUAAAGCAAGGUUGAUUAGAUGGAUUCUUUUGUUACAAGAGUUCGAUCUCCGAAUCCGAGACAAGAAAGGGGUGGAGAAUGUGGUAGCUGACCACCUUUCAAGGUUGGCUAUAGCACAUAAUUCCCAUGUAUUACCUAUUAAUGAUGACUUUCCUGAGGAAUCACUUAUGUUGCUAGAGAAAGCUCCUUGGUAUGCUCAUAUUGCUAACUAUUUAGUUACUGGUGAAGUUCCAAGUGAGUGGAAUGCACAAGACAGGAAGCACUUCUUUGCAAAAAUUCAUGCUUAUUAUUGGGAUGAGCCUUUCCUUUUCAAGUAUUGUGCAGAUCAAAUAAUACGGAAGUGUGCCCCUGAAGAAGAGCAACAAGGAAUCCUCAGCCAUUGCCAUCAAAAUGCAUGCAGAGGCCACUUUGUCUCUCAGAAAACAACCAUGAAGGUCUUGCAAUCAGGGUUUACUUGGCCAUCACUUUUCAAAGAUUCCCACAUCAUGUGUAGGAGUUGUGAUAGAUGCCAAAGACUCGGGAAGCUUACAAAAAGAAACCAAAUGCCCAUGAACCUCAUCCUUAUAGUUGAUCUUUUUGAUGUUUGGGGUAUUGACUUCAUGGGACCUUUCCCAAUGUCUUUUGGUAACUCUUAUAUAUUGGUGGGGGUUGACUAUGUUUCCAAAUGGGUUGAGGCAAUCCCCUGUAAACAUAAUGAUCACAGGGUGGUUCUCAAAUUUCUUAAGGAGAACAUCUUCUCAAGAUUUGGGGUGCCCAAGGCCAUAAUCAGUGAUGGAGGUACUCAUUUUUGCAACAAACCUUUUGAAACCGUAUUAGCCAAGUAUGGAGUGAAGCAUAAGGUAGCUACACCUUAUCAUCCUCAAACUUCCGGGCAAGUGGAGCUAGCAAAUAGGAAAAUAAAAAACAUGCUGAUGAAAGUGGUGAUUGCAAGCAGAAAAGAUUGGUCUAUUAAGCUACAUGAUUCAUUAUGGGCAUAUAGAACAGCUUAUAAGACUAUUCUUGGCAUGUCCCCCUAUCGUCUCGUCUAUGACAAAGCAUGCCACCUCCCUGUGGAAGUUGAAUAUAAGGCGUGGUGGGCAAUCAAGAGGUUGAACAUGGACUUGAUCAGAGCUGGAGAAAAGAGGUGCUUAGACCUUAAUGAGAUGGAGGAAUUAAGAAAUGAUGCUUACAUCAAUUCCAAAAUUGCAAAACAGAGGAUGACGAAGUGGCAUGAUCAACUAAUCUCCAACAAAGAAUUCCAUAAAGGACAAAAAGUUUUGCUUUAUGAUUCAAGACUCCAUGCCUUUCCAGGGAAGCUCAAGUCAAGGUGGAUAGGCCCUUUCAUUAUUCACCAAGUGCAUCCUAAUGGAGUGGUGGAAUUACUGAAUUCCAAAACCACCGACAUUUUCAAGGUCAAUGGUCAUCGUCUCAAGCCAUUCAUUGAGCCAUUCAAACCAGAAAAGGAGGAAAUCAACCUCCUUGAGCCACAGAAAGCCUGAUCAGAGAAGGGAUAGAUGGACUUGGUUUCACCAAAGUCCAUGAUUUUGUUAAAUAUGUUAAUUUUUAAGUCUUAUAAAUUAUUUGAUCGUAAAUUUGAUCUUAAAUUUUGUUAAUUGUAAGAUCAAGAGCUCAGGCCCAGCACACUACCAUCCUGGGGCAGAUCCAGCAUCAUCUCGGCAUUACAUUAGCUCCUAAGCAUGCCAUUUCCCAGCUCAUCAGAGCCAUCACAGGCCCCUCCUUUUGUUGAUUAGCCUAUGCCUCAUUAAGAGCCUCCUAUAGGAGAGGCAGCUGAGUAUCACUCCACGUCAUUCAGGAGGUACCACUUCCUCCCUAUGUUUCAAUCACUUUUAUCACAUUGAGGACAAUGUUCAGCUUGGUUGGGAGGAGAGUUGAGGAAUUAAGUUUUUGUUAUUAAUGCGAAGUUAUUUUGGUAAUUUAGUUGCUUUUUGCUUAAUUUUAAAAUUUUAAAAGUUUUUAUUCUACUCUCCAUGCUUAUUAAGGAAAAAAAUUUCAAAUUGAAAUAGGAGAAAUUGAAUUUUUGUCUUUUCACUUGACUUAGAGUUUGUAUUAUGCUUAUUAAAAUUGAUGAAUUGUUGAAACUUCUAUUGAAUUCGAGCUUAUGUCUUCCACUUUAAGCUAUUCACACACUGUGCACAAUAGGUUCCGAGUAUAAGAUGAAAAACUAUUUCCCUUUUGACUUAGGAAAAUUUUAGACUUGGUACCUUUGACCUUAUUUAAUAGUGUUGGAACACCUUAUAAAAUGCCAAUGAGCCUUUGAAAAAAAAGAAGAAAGAAAAAAUGUUUGCUUGCCUUGAAACCCGAGUAAGGUCCGAGGGGUAUAUGGUGAAAAUCUUUAAAACCUGGUGCCCUAAGCCUUCAUUGGUUGGGAGUCACCGACCUCAAUGCUCAUUACAAGGGUGAAUAAGUGGAGUUUAACAUACUGUAGGUGCUUGGGUAUUAAAAUUUUAUUCUCAAAAGUCCGGGGUAAAAUCCAAGGAGUUAGUGGUUGAAAUAUCCUUAAAGCUUGAUGCCCUAAACCUUAAUUGGUUGGGAGUCAUCGAUGGACCCUCGUUACAUGGACAAUUUAGAAAAGAAUACCCUUAAGCCUUGUACCCCUGCAAUGAAAAAAAAAAAAAAAGGGUGCGUUCUUAGCCUAUUGAAGUUGGUCAGUUUGCUAAGUGUUGAAAAAAGCUAGGUUGGGGGGAGAGAUUAGUUUAGCAUACUAUAUUCGGAAGCUAUCAAGUAACACUUAGAUUUUUGUGGAAGAGUAAGGAUUGGUCCUUUGGAAGUGGAAAUGAAUUUAAAGCUUAAAUUUGCAUAAUGCCUUCUCUUUAAGAAUUGUGAUUAGAUAAGUUAUUUGAUAACUCUUGAUGAAGUUUAAGUUUUAUUUCUUUAAUGUUCCAUGUGAGAGUUAGAUCAUCAUGCCACUUGGAAAUUGUUUUUGGAUCAGCAUGAUGUUGUAAAUUAUAGUACUGUUUAUUUUUAUUUUUCUCUCCUUCAUUGCUAAGGGACUAGCAAUAUGUCGGUUGGGGGGAGUGAUUACUACUCACAAAGUACUAUUUCAUAGAUUGUAAUUAACUCUUUUAAACACUUUUGAGUAGUAGUUAUCACCUUUUAACCCAAUUAACAUAUUAAGGACCCUUGCAAUCAAUUCUAAUCAAAUUAUGUUAAGUUUUGGUGUUUUGAUAGCUUUUUGAUCACCAAAACAAUCCGAGAUUGAGGAAAGUUCUUUGGAAUCCUUAAGCAAAUCCAUAAUACAAGGAGUAUGGGAUCCUGCACAUUCCAUCCGGCUGUCGCCACUUUACACCCGGAUGUAUCACAUCCGGAAAUCUGCUGCCGCCAUCAUUCCAUCCGAAUGUCUUACAUCCGGAAUUCAGGAGCCGGAUAGGAGAGAAGGGCGUUUCAACUUCUCCGGAUAGACAUAUCUGGAUCCGCCGAUAGCGCUCACCCGGAGGAUUUCGCAGCAAUUUUGUACAGUGCCGCGGUGUUCUCCUGAAGCUUCUCUAUAUGUGCGACCGACAUCUUUAGAUAUUUUUCUUUAGAUAUUUGAUGUCUAAAUCCCCAAACUCUCCUUGUAACCCACCAAUUAUAGGAUUCCUUAGUUAUUAAGUUUGGAAAAAUGAUGAAUAACCUUGUAGAUAUUAUUAUUGUAAUUUUCAUAUAAAUAUCUCUCGGGAGCUUGUUCUCGGGACGACGCAACUUUUGUAUAAUUUUCAAAGGAAGAAAAAUACAGAGCUUUGCUCUGCUUUUAUCUUCUCAUUUUGAUUGUAUUUUCUUACUAGCCAAACAAGUUCUGAGAAUGUUUCAUCAGAGAAUGAGUGGCUAGACUUUUAGUUCCUUGGAGUUAAGGUUGCCGGGAAAGGUUCCAAGUGUAAGAAUUAGUAGCUUUGUGGUUUCAGCCAUUAAUGAAGAGAAAGUGUGACCAGUUAAUGGUUUUAUCUUUUUAGUUAACUUAAAACGCCUUUAAAUCACUUGGGCCAACACUUGAUAAGGCAAGUAAUCUCCAUCCAUAGAGAUGCACUAGUUUAUCUCUUGCGAGCCUUUGAGAGGUGGUUUGAAGGUAGGAUUUUCUAGAAUAGCCAACACUUGGUAAGCUUUUGGACUCCACGGAGACAUCCAUUAGUUAUCUCUUACGAGCUUUUGACGGGUAAUCCAAGGUUAAAGAUCACCUUGAAUGGCAAGUGCUAGGUGAGAGGUAUGAGCCAUUGCAAGGUGCAUCAGUGAGAGAGAAUUAUUAUUUGAAUCCAUUAAGGGGAAGCAUCUGUACAAAACCGGUUAGAGAAUUGACUAUAUGUUAAUUCUCUAAUGCGAGGAAAUGAACCAAAUGACUGGAGCUCUGUUUUUGCAUAAGAAACCUCCCUUGUGAACUUAAACCUCCAAGGAAUGUUUUUUUUUAUAAGUAAUUUCCAUUACUUCCUUUGCCGUUAGUUUAAACCUAAACCUUUUUCAAUCAAAGUUUGUGUUUUAUUUCUCAAGCUAACCUUGAAAUGAAAAGACACCAAUUCAUCUUUGAAUUGGUAUCAUUUAUGAAUUGAAAACCCUUCCCAGUGAACGAUCCUAGAGCCAUUAUGCUAUAGUAGCUUUGUCUUUGCUACCCUAAUCAUGGUGUAAUAGGUUAUAAAUUUUGUUGAUUUCUCCCUCAAUCAAGGAGCGCCAGCUGGACAUGACCAGCUGAUACACCAAUUGGGCACGAAUCAACUGUUGCAAGGAGUCUUGGACUUUCAAUAGGUAUUAGGACAUGCGUUCGUCUUUAGCUUCAUAUUCUUUUUGUAUAUGCCCCACGAUGAGCUGAGAAUCACUAUAGAUCCUCAGUUUAGAAGCAGAGAGUGCGAAGGCUAGGUUUAGUUCAGACAAAACUGCUUCAUAUUCAACUUCAUUAUUUGAUGUAGGGAAUCCUAGCCGGAUAGCCUGCUCUAGUUGUUUGCCUGUCGGAGAUCUUAGAAGGAGGCCCACUCUUGAUCUGGACGACCGGGAGGCUCCAUCAACCUACAAAAUCCACCACCCUUCCUCGCCAAUCUCCGUGCUUUAGGUAUGCUGUCGGGGAACCUCGGCUAUGAAAUCAGCCAUGACCUACCCCUUCAUAGACAACCUAGGUUGAUAUUCAAUUCCAUACUCACUCAACUCUAUGGCCCACUGGAGCAUUCUUCUUUAUAUGUCUGGCUUAUGCAAGAUACUUCGAAUUGGUUGGUUAGUGAGCACGACUAUUGGAUGAGCUUGGAAAUAUGAGUGAAUUCUCUAAGCGGCAUUUCGCAAAGCUAAGGCGGUCUACUCCAUUUUUUAGUACCUAGUCUUUACGUUGGCCAUCGCUCUGCUGAUGAAAUAGACAGGUCUUUGUUCUUUAUGCAACAGGGAAUGAAACAAUACAAUGCUAAUCGCCCAAUCAGAUACUGCAAGGUACAUGUACAAUUGCUCUUUAGGUUGAGGGUUGCUCAAAAUGGGGGGUUGUGUAAGGUAAUGUUUGAUUUCAUCGAAUGAAUUCUGGCAGCCGUCCAUCCACUCUGUUGCAUUGGCUUCUCUGAGCACUAGAAAGAAGAGUUGCAACUUGUCUGUGAAUCAAGCUAUGAAUUGUCCGAGCGCAACAAGCAUGUCUAUGAGGCGUUGCAGCUUUUUUUUGCUCCUAGGCUCAGGUGUAUUCAUGAUUGCCUUGAUUUGGUCUGGUUUGACUUCUAUUCCCCUCUAGGAGAUCAUGAAUCAUAGGAAUUUGCCUAAGCUUACACCAAGGUGCAUUUAGACGAGUUGAGCUUCAUACUCUAUCUUCUCAACAGAUUGAAAACUUCUUGCAAAUGCUGGGCAUGCUUUUCUCGGGUUUUUCUUUUGACCACUAUAUCGUCAAUGUAUACCUCUACCAUGCGACUGAUCAGAAGUUUGAAGAUUUUAGUCAUCAACCUUUGGUAAGUGGCUCCAGCAUUUUUGAGCUAGAACGACAUGACCUUGUAAUAGUAGAGUCCGUGCAGCAUUAUGAAGGUGGUUUUUUCUUUGUCCGUUAGAGCCAUAGGGAUCUGAUGAUAUCCAGAGAAGGCAUCUAGGAAAGAGAGCAUCCCAUGUCCAAAGGUGGAGUUCACUAUCUGGUUUAUCCAUGGCAGUGGAAAACUAUCUUUGGGGCAUGCGUCGUUGAAGUUAGUGUAGUCACGCAUACUCGCCACUUCCUUUUUUUCUUGGGAACCACCACUACAUUAGCCAGUCAUUCUAGAUAAUCAACUUCCCUAAUGAAUUUAGUUGCCAACAACUUUUCUACCUCACUUUGAAUGAUCUUUUGUCUAUCCGGAUGAAAUCGUUGGGCCUUUUGCCGUAUAGGUCUUGAUGAUGCUAGGAUGUUGAGUCAAUAAGAGGCGACCGAUGGAUGGAUUCCAGGCAUAUUGGACUGUGUCCAUGCCAAAACAUCUCUGUUUUGCUGGAGUGUGUUUUGAAGGUGUUGCGUCUCGUUUGGCUGUAAGAGGGAACUGAUGUGCAUAAAGUGAUCUUCUCUCUUCUAGACCUGAACGAUUUGCAAGGGAUCUACUACCGGGGAAUCCUUAUCCGCUGGAUAUUGCAAUUUCUAUUGGUCAGGCUAGUCUGCUUGCUUAGAGGGAGACUCACGAUCCUUGCUGGAUCUAGUCUCCCAUACAACUUGGUAACAUUGAUGGGCAACCAACUGUCUACCGUAGAGAUCGAUCUAUCCAUCAUGUGUGAUGAAAUUCACCAUCUGGUGAUGUGUGGAAGGGAUGGCCUUCAUGCUGUGCAACCAGGUACGCCCCAGGAUAGCAUUGAAGGGUGAUAAAUCUUCUACCACUGAUAAUUGUACAUUAAGGGUGAUUGGACCUGCUUGGAUUGGUAGUACGAUAUCCCCAAGGGAUGUUGUUGAGGCCCCAUUGAACCUUGACAGUAUCCGUCCCGGGUUCUCCAAGCUGGAGGGCAUAAAUCCCAUUUGUUUAACUACAAACACUUGUAAGAAAUCUGUCGAGCUACCCGGGUCAACCGGAAUCCUCCUCACAUCGAAGUCACCAAUUCCUAAUGUCAAGAUGAGGGUGUCUCGGUGCUGUUGCAACACCUGGGCAAGGUCCACUAGAGGAAAGAGGAUUACUUCAUCUAUUGGGUGAGCGUUUCCGCUAGCUAGAUCAAGCCGGAUGGAGCUAAUAUGCUCUCGGACCGUGACGGCUCGUAGCAACCUCUGCCUCUUCCUCUUGGAGUUGUACUUUUCAUCCAAGGGUCCAUCAUGGAUGUAGUUAAUUAUGGCUCUGGGAAUAACGGGAGCUAAGGGAGCCCUGGGGGCUUGAUUGUGACUCUUUACUCCUGAGUGGACAUACUAUUUUAGAUGUCCUACUUUUAUGAGUUUUUCCACCAGAUAAUGGAGACUUCUGCAUUGCUCCGUGGUAUGUCCAUGCUCUUUGUGAUAAGCACAUUUUUUUUAGUGAUCUCUUUUGGUUGGAUCCGUUUUCAGUGGUUCUGGCCACCUGAAAUUAGACAGCUCACGAAUCAAAGAGAGUAGCUUCUCAUACGUCACGAUGAGAGGUGUAAGCGGGGAUUGUUCCUGUUGGCGUUGCUCACCUUGCCUCAUUUCGGGAGGCCUUCUUUGACUUGAAGGCUUGAGGUUCCUUGCCGCGUCGUUUCUGACCGAUUGGCCGGUGACUAAGAUCUAUUGUGUGGCUACACGGACAUCAUCUUCCAACAUAGAAUAUUUUUUUGCGAGCCGAAACAGAUCAUCUAUAGUCGUGGGAGGUUUUUUGGCAAGAGAUUCAAAAAAUAGCGCACCCAGACAUAUGCUACGCUUGAAAAUUUGGAGGACAACAUCCAAGUUGUAGGAUUCCACUUGCAAUACAGCUUGUCCAAAGCCCUUCACGAACUCUCUUAGGGACUCAUUCUCCUGCAUUUUUAUGUUUUGCAAGGUGUCGAUAUUUUGCUUAUACCGAGCUAUGCAUAGGUAUUGUCCCACGAAGGUUUCUAACAGAUCCCUGAAAUUAUCAACCAAAUUCAUGGGGAGCCGAUGAAACUAUGAGAGAGCUUGGCCUUGGAGGCUAGCGGAUAAGACUUUGCAUAAUAGCAUGUCAUUCCCUAUGUCCAAAGUCAUGAGCUGCCGAUAGUUCAUGAUAUGGUCAAACGGAUCGUUGGAUCCAUCAUACGCAAAAAAUUUUGAGACGAGGAACCCUCUUGGGGGUUCGUAGUUGAUAAUAUGAGGAUUGAAAGGCAUGGAGAGCAUGUCGUCCAAUCAUCUGCUAAUGGAGAUUGAGGGGGCUUCAUUUGCUGGAUCUCCCCCGACUUGUUGUAGUGGUUGGUGCGGGGUAUAACCCUAUGAGAUGGGCGCGGCUGAGGGCCCGGGGUAUGUCCCCUAUGUCAUGGCUAUGUGCGACCUAUCUUUGCCGGGAGCUUAAGGUCCUAACCUUGCAUGCAUCGCGUCAGAUAAUUGGGGUCUCUUAUCACGUUGCCUCUUUGAUGAGACACGAGUAGAGUCAGAGUUUUCGUCUUGCGGUGCGCGAUACGCAGGUAAAGGUCCUUUGUUAGGCCAUACACCACGUACAUUAGGGGGAGGUCCCGCUCUUCCAAGAUAUGUGGCCUCCUGGUUAUGCCUAGAGUUUGUUCCUUGGUCUCUUGGUCGGUGGUCACGAGGAGGUUCUGAGGAUGAAACUUGGAUUCUCAACACCUUGUUUUCCUCCUUGAGUUUCCUCGUUUCUUAGAGCAAGGCUUGUACCUGCCAUUUGCUUUCUUGCUGUCGUCUUUCCAUGCUCUUAUGCUAGUCAAAAUAACCUUCAUUACUCAUAGUUGAUGAACGACUUCUUGAGGGUGUGGACAUCUUCGUAAAGGAGAAAGUCGAGUUCCCACAGACGGCGCCAAUGUUGAAGUCGCGACCCACAGGGAUAUUUGUGUCUCCCUGACGUUGGUGCUUGAUCAACUAAGAGUGAUGCUUCCUUCCUUGUUCCUACAAAAGAUGUCCGGACAGGUUGUCUGGACACACCCUCCGAAGCUCUUAUUACUUUGACAAUUCUCUUUACUCUUUCCUUUUAGGAAUCAAUCUGAAGUUUGUCUUACCUCCUCUCUUCGUUGAGUUCCCUCAAGGGUUUUAUAUAGUCUGGAGUUUUUGUUCUCACAUCUAGGCUAGUGGGGUUCAUUUACUUCCACAGUCAUCAUGGUUGCUCAUAGGCUGGCAGCACAAUCAUUACUUUUUUGGGUGAUGGAUGGUGAUUGCUAGUGGGGCGAUCGGGCUGCACAUCUAUCACUUCAUUCCAUAGGCGGCAGAGUGUAAAAUGUGUCAGGUGGCCUGAAAAGACAUGAAGAUGUCCCAACUAGCACGCCUUUAAUGGAAGGCGAAUGAUGGAUUGUGGAGUAUGGUCAGAGACGUUGUUUGGAGCAUGUCCUACGGCCUCGUAAGAGCAUGGGCAUCUGGCCGUUGAUUGCUGGAUCCGGAUAAGAUGGAUCCAACAUGUAUGUUACUGGCCAGUGGAUCCCGUCUGGAUAGAGGCAAAGGCUGCCACGUGUCUACAGAAGGUUUGCCAGUGAGGGUAAGGCAAGCAACCACGUGUCAGCUCAGGAGAAAGGUCCUACACUAGCAGUCGAAAAUUCAACUCCUAACAAUUUUAGUUAAUAAAAUUAUAAGUAUAAAUUUAUAAUUUCUCAAUUUUAAAUUGCUUUGUUUUAAAAAAAAAACAUAAUGUUAUUGAUUUAUAUUUGCAAAAAAGCAAAAAUAAUCUCCAAUUUUAUCAAUUAUACCCAUUCACAUAUGUAAAAAUCCAUUCAAAUUUAUAUCAUGUUUCUAAUUGUAAAAUACCUUUUUCUAAACUCAAUAGCUAUUUUUUGAAUAAAUAAUAUUAUAUGAAGAGCUUGAUUUUAUUAUUUAUUUAUUUAUUUAUUGUUUUUUGAAUUUUGAGUUGAUUGCUUAGCUAGUGAGUUUGUGAUGUUGUCAUUAUCUAGCUUGUAGGAUUCAACUACACAAUGCUCAUCAUAUAUACUAAAAAAAUAAAUUUAAUGAAUUUAUUUUGAGUUUUCUUAUAUAGUAUUGAAUUCAUGAGAACAAGAGAUAAAAAAAAUAAUAAAUAAUAAUAAAUAAAUUAAAAUUUACCCAUACGAGAAAAUGAGCUUUGAAUGAUAAUGGAUCCCGUCAACAAGAAAGGUAUUUAAAGCAAAAAAAAAAAAAGUCGAUGUGAUUGAAAAGAUAGGAUAGUUACAAAAGUUGAAUGAAUGUAUGAUUGUAAAAAAUUCCAUGAAUGUGAAGUUGAACUUUAAGAUUGUUCUCAAGAAACCAAUUAAAUACUAUUCAUUUGUAUUUUGUAAUCUUAUGUAAGUUAGAAUAGAGUCAUUGAAACUUUUACAGAUCCGACAAGCGAAAAUCCUUUCUUUUCUUGAAUGAUUACUUGAGUUCAACAUAUUUAGACUAGUUCUGAGUCCUAAUUUUCAAUCCUUGGAUGAACUUAUGGGUCUAAUUAGUACAAUGGACCUUGAAAGAAUAUUGAAUAUGUUAGUUGAUUACAUAAUAGAAAGAUCUAAAACUUAAGGAUUAAAAAGGUAAAAUUUUGAGAGGUUGAUAGCAUAUACUUCAACGGAUUCUAGACAUCAAUUCAUGAGGAGUCUUCAUGUAGUGAAUAAUAGGGUAUAAACCCAAGUUUAUAUUUUCUUCUAAUAUUGUAGGGUACUACAGUGAAGUUGACUCUUUAUAGUGGGAUGCCAAGUCAACUUCAAAAUUUAAUUUUGUGGGAGCUAGUAUUUGUUGGGAUAGAGCCCUAUAAAGCAAGUCAUUUUGUGACAGAUUUUAGAUUAAUUAAUCAACUUAUUUAUUUAUGGUUCUGGUUCUAUUUAUUAUCUCUUCUUGCAUUAAUUUUUUAUCAAAGCAUCACAUUUUGUAUCAUUUAUGUUAUAUAUAACUUGAGUGCAUUAGGAGUUAUAUAGAAGAUAUAAGUCAUAAAUUUUUGAGAAGGUGAUAAGUGAUUUACAGUCAAUUUAUAGAUUUUGACAAUUCAUAAAAAACUGUAGUGCACUAUCUCCUAAUUAAAGAGAUAAUUUGUCUUAAAUCAUCAUGAUAGUUUGAUUUGAAAUUAUUUUUAUUAAUUAAUAAUUCUUUGUAUUAAGUAUAGUUUGAUUUGAAAUUUAUUUAUUUAAUGAAAAAUUUUGGAGAGAUUAAAGAAAAUUUUUAAAACAAGUGUAAUUCAAAAGACGAUCAUACUUGAAGAUUUUCAAUUCAUAUCAAUAUUGGAUCGUGGAAAUAGAAGAGGAAAGAUAUCAUGUUAAAUUUUCAUUGCUUUUUUAUGGGUUUUUUUUAAAAAAAAACAAAAUUUUGUUAAUGUUUUUGUUUUGUUCUUAAAAAUUGAUGAAAACAAUUUCAACUUCUUUUCUGAAAACCAUUCUCUAUUUCAUCAUGUUUUUAAAACCUGGAAACAUAAGACAACAAUCAAAUAAUGAUACAAAUUUUUUAAAAUUGGUUUUCUAUUAUUAAAAAUAGAAAUAUAUAUAUAUAUAUAUAUAUAUAUAUAUAUAUAUAUAUAUAUAUAUAUAUAUAUAUAUAAUCACACUACAAAAUAGGUUAUUAGUUUUUAUAUGAAAAUAUAUCCAUUUAUGAUAAUCCCUAGUUUAAUAAAAAAAAUAUUUAUAAAUUUAUUUUAAGAUAAUAUUUAUUUUGCAUAGAUCUGAUAUCAUAUUUUUUUAUAUUCAUAUUUUUAUAUUUAUGAUAGUCAUCUUCUUAUUAUGUUACGGGUUGCACAAAGCCCUUUAUGUGAUUUUUCUUCAAUUCUUUAUUUUAAAAUUUUUAAAGAACAAUUGAAGAUGAUCAUUUGCUAUUUUCACUCUUUCUAUUUUCUUAACAUAGUUUUCCAAGAAAUGAAAAUGCAAAAAGACCAUCCAAACAUGGUUUGAAGCAUGAUUUUUAUUUUCUUUGAACCUUUUUUCCCCUGCCACCAUGUUUCCCAACAAUGCGGAAAAGCUCCUGGGCUUGUGUUUUUGUCUCUUAUUCUCUUCUACUAAAGGAUAUUCCUAGGAUGCCUCCUGUGAUUCUUUCAUGUGUCUUGAAGUUUAGGGAAACAUUUGGAAAACAAUAAAAGGUCUUCUUUGUAGCUAUAAAAUAGUUCUUUCUCCAUCCGCUUGGGGAAGGCCCUAUGCAUUCAUUUUCUUCAUGUUUUAAGUAAGAUUAGUGUAACUUCUUUUUUAAAAGCAGAAAAGGUAUGAAUUUGUAAGCUUGUGAGUGUAGUCUCUUCUAUGAUUCUUUUAGCUUUUCUUAAGCCUUAACCCUGGUUUGGACCUUGAUGUGUCUUAAAUUACAGCUCGAACCUCUGCGUUUCUUAAGCUAGCCUUGGACUUUGGCAUAUCUUGAUCACCUGAACUUGGACAUUAACAUGUUUUGGGUCGGGCUCAGAUCCUAGUAUUGUCUUAUGUUAGGUUUGGACCUUGACAUAUCUUGACUUGAGCUUAGACGUUGCCAUGUCUUGGGUUGGGCUUGGAUGUUGGUUUAUCUUUAACUAUGACAUGGACUUGGAUUUCGGCUUGUUUGAGGCCAGGGUAUGGACUUAUACCUUGACUUGUUGAUGCCUAAAAUUUAAGCUGACGACUUUAGAUUUGCAUUAUUAUCUUUCUCUGGAUGAGACAAUUAUAGAAAAGGGGGUCUUGCCAAUCCACUUUUAUUCGAACUGUUUGUUCUUAUUCUCAACCAAGGAAGCAUUUUAUUUAAAGCAGAACACUCUAAAACUGCAGGGAUCUAGCGGCCAAAGCACAUAUUCCAAUCUUAUUACAAUGACAUCAAUAUACAUUAUUCCCUUAAUUUCCAUUGCUGACAUAUGGAAGAAGCUGGAAUUAGCUUUCAUUUGGUCAUACUGGCACAGGGUCAAUGAGCAAGGAUGCAAUAUUAUCAUUCAUCACUUUCCCAACAUGAGUGCAUUCAUUGUUUUCCUUAUAAGUGAUGUCUACCACUUGUGUAAGAUUCAGAACUCCGGUAAGAAUUAGGACCAACAUGGAAGUAGGUCUAAGGAACCCUUGGUUAAUUCCUUCCAUGCAUUCACAAUUUGCUUGUUAAACUCGUCAUAAGCUUAUUGCUCUAAGACACUAUAUUGCUUGACAUAGCAUUCAAUGGCUAAGGCAACAUGCCCUCUCUCUUGUUCAAACUUCACACAAAUAUAUAGUAAUGCAAAAUAUGAGGAAAAAACCACUAUACAAAUUGUUAUGAAUGAACCUAGAUGUAAUAUAUUCUACACGCAUACCUAAUGUGCAAUCAUGUCGUUCAUGGCUCAUGAGCCUAGUAAUUAAACAUACAGCUACUGUAAAAAAGUCAUUGUAAACCCCAUCAAAGGCUUCUUUUGUUAUCAUUUCUCCUAUUCCAAUGAAAAAAAAUGGUUGUGGCCAAGGGGAAGGCCGAGCUUACUCAUGCAACUUGCAUGUAUUACUGUAUGGUAGGUACAUGUUCUUAUUCCAAUCUUAUUACAAUGACAUUAAUACAUGUUAUUCCCUUUCCAUUGCAGACAAUAUGGAAGAAGCUAGAAUUAACUUUCAUUUAUUUACUCAUACCGACACAGGGUCAAUGAAUAAGGAUGCAAUAUUAUCCUUCAUCACUUUCCUAACACGAGUGUAUUCAUCGUUUUCCUUAUAAUUGAUGUCUACCACUCGUGUAAGAUUGAGAACUCCUGUGAGGAUAGGGACCGACAUGGAAGUAGGUCUCAGGAACCCUUGGGUAAUAUCCUUCCAUGGAUUCGCAAUUUGCUUGUUAAACUUGUCAUAAGUCUAUUGUUUUGAGACACAAUAUUACUUCACAUAGCAUUCAAUGGUUGAGUCAACGUACAUGCCCUCUAUUUUCUUCAGCAUUCCUAGCAUACCUUUCUUUCCUUCCCAAGGCCGCACAUGUUUUUUCACUUAAAAUUGGAGAACCUUCCUUUCUUCUCACCGAAGCAGUGCACUUUACUUAUAUUUUUCUUCAAUUGGUGCACUUUUAUCUAAAACUUGACUGCUUCCUAUCUUCUUUUCUUCUUCUUAAAGUGGUGCACCUUUGUUACUUGACACAUCUUUUUACCUUAGGGACUUGGUGCACCCUUGGAUUGUGCGACCAUGAUAUAAUAAAGACUUCGUGAUUUUUUUUUUUUUGAUGACGUUAUUGUGUCAGGAUAGAGAAAGUUGUGAGAGAGGUCAAGGAAUCAAAAUGAGAGAAGUUGGGGUUUAGAGUGGGAACGAAGAAUGGUAUUUGAUGAAGAUCUCGGUUUAAAAUUGAAAAUUUAGUCUUCAUAAUAUUUUUCUUUGAUUUGAGAUUUGAUUUCAGAAGUAUACGAAAAUUAAAAAGGAAAUUUAGGAUUAGAGUUAGGGUGUAAUUUUUUUUUUCUCCUAUUUAAGGUUUGAUUUAGGAAGAGCAUAAAGAUUUGAAAUUAGAUUUUCUUUGUCCAUUUAAGGUUUCAUUUGGGACGUGCAUAAAGAUUUUUUUUUAAAAAAUUAAUAUUUUUUUUCCACUUAGGAUUUGAUUUGGAAAUUUAAGUUUUCAUUUGGGCAAUAGAUGAAGAAGAUUAAAAAAGGAAGAAAAAGAUGAUAUUUUAAUUUUUAUUUAAUAUCUUAAUUUUAAUUAUCUAAAAUUAUUUAAUUAUUCUAAUUAAUGAUACUUUGAGGUUAAUUGUGAUUAUUAUAUUUAAUUAAAAUUAACUAAAAUUAAUUAUAUAUAAAAAUCUUAAAUUAGGAUCAAUGGUAUUUUAGAAAUUUUUAUUAAGUUUAGUUGGUAGUAAUUUGACUAGAAUUAGGAGUAGAUUAUUUUGUAGAAAGUUUAAUUAGAAUGAAUUAAAUCUUUAUAUUAAAAAAUUACUUAAGAAUAAUUAGAUAAUGAGAUAAGAUAUACUAAGAUAAAUAAAAGAUACUUUAGGCAUUUUCUUUCUAUUCUUUAACAGUGACAUCAUUAAUCAACUAACAAUCAAUCCUUAAGGUUAGUCAAUGAUUGAUUGAUGGUCAAGUUAUAUAAUGGUUGAUCAAGGGAGUGUUGAUAUAAUUUCAGAAUCCUGAAGAAUUAAAGAUAAGUUGCUUCAAUGAUUGAUUGUCGAUUGAAAUUUUACUCCUAAAAUAUGCUUGUGGCUUUAGCUUGUCAAAGAAUAUGCUGGGAAUCAGUUAUGCUUGGGUUACGAGUUCCAUAAGCUUACGGCUUUAGAUUUUCAAGAUUGUCUUUCUUUGGAUGAGACCGUUAUAGAGAAGAGGGCCUUGCCAAUCCGCUUUCAUUCAAACUGUUUGUCCUUUUUCUCAAUGAAACUCUAAAACUGUGAGAAACUAGCCGCCAAAGCACUUAUUCCAAUCUUAUUACAAUGCCAUCAAUGCAUAUUAUUCCCUUAAUUUCCAUUGCUGACAUAUGGAAGAAGCUGGAAUUAACUUUCAUUUGCUCAUACUGGCACAGGGUCAAUGAGCAAGGAUGCAAUAUUAUCUUUCAUCACUUUCCCAACAUGAGUGUAUUCAUCAUUUUCCUUGUAAAUGAUGUCUACCACUCAUGUAAGAUUGAGAACUCCGGUAAGGAUUGGGACUGGCAUGGAAGUAGGUCUGAGGAACCCUUGGUUAAUAUCCUUCCAUGCAUUUGCAAUUUGCUUGUUAAACUCGUCAUAAGCCUGUUGCUUUGAGACACUAUAUUGCUUCACGUAGCAUUCAAUUGCUGAGGCAACAUGCCCCCUCUCUUGUUCAAACUGCAUACACAUAUAGUAACGCAAAAGAUGAGGAAAAAAACUACUAUACAAAUUGUCACGAAUGAACUUAUAUGUAAUAUAUUCUACAUGCAUACCUUAUGUGAAGUCAUGUCAUUCAUGAGCCUAGCAAUUAAACAUGAAGCUAUUGUAAAAGGGUCAUUGUAAACCCAUUCAAAGGCCUCUUUUGUUAUGAUCUCGUCCAUGCCAAUGAAAAAGAUGACUGUGGUAAGGGGUAACGAUGAGCUUACUCUUGCAACUUGCAUGUAUUUGUCUAUGGUAGGUACAUUUCCUUCAUGGAACCAUUGUGCUUCAUCAAAGUAAGCGCCAAUCUGAAUUUUCAUCUGACAAAACAUUCCUCCACAUUACAUACUUCUACUUAUGCUUUAAUUUUUAGUAUAAACUUCUCGGAAGGUAAACUUAAUAUGAUUCCUAAACAUAACUUGAACCCAACACAUUUAUUUUUCUUGGAUUUGGGUUGAGUGCAAGUGAGUUUAGGUUAAGUUCAUAUCAAUCUGUAUAACCAUUUAAUAAAUAAAUUAUUUUUUUAUCAACUUGAAUGAUACUAAUUUGAUUUAAAUUGACCUAAUCUAAUAAUCAUAUUGAUUAACUUGAUUAUAAUUCUAGCUUAUUUAAUCAAUAUUCGAUUCAUAUAAAGCUUGAUUUUGGAUAUACUUUAAUUAAAAUUCAGUCACAAGCAUGUUAGGUUGGGAGAUCAAUAAUAUAAACCAUAUAAAAUCUAAUUCAAUUUUAUUAUUAAAUAACAUGUAAUUAUUAAAUAGGUUAUAUUUUACAUGUUUAAUAAUUAGGUGAUAUUUGAGUUGACCUAUUUAUUCGAUCUAUGAUAUGACACAAAUAGGAUCCAGACGAUUUGCCAACCCUAGGUUUCUAUGCCACUAUAAACCAACAUCAAAUCAAAUAGUAGGGCAGCUACAAUUAGAAAUCUCGUACCGCUUCUUUUGCAUGGUGGAAGCUGUAUGCUUUUCCUUCUUUAUCCAUCUCUUCUUCAAUUUCUUUGUAGACAUCUAAGAGUGCCUGAUAUAUUACUUUCAUGUGUUCUGGAAGUUGAUCGAUGCUAUUGAUAUCCCACCUGAGAAUCAAACAACACCAAGGUGGUGUUUGUUUUUUUGGCUUUUUGCUGAAAAUCAUUUAGUUUUAGAAUUUAGGUUGUUUGUUUUUUUACUUUUUCAUGACUUAUUAUAAACUUUUUACUAAAUAGAAAAAGCCAAAAUAUGUGGCUUUUUCUAAAUAGAAAAAAUAACACAAUGGUUUUUUUUUACUUUUUAAUACUUAAUAGAAAUAAAAUACUACAAAAACAAACAACCUAAUAUUUAAUACUAUUAAGUAUUAAGAUUCUAUUUAGAAUUAAGUAAAAAAACAAACACCAUCCAAGUCUUGAUUAAGUUUAAACACGAGUAUUUCAAAAUUGUGGACAAAAUCAAGGUGAAUUAUUUGCAUAUUAGAAAACCUUUCAAUCAUUUCUGCAAAAAGCUUAUGUUCUUCAAGCGAACCAUAUGCAUCAUACAUAUCAUCUAUAGUGGAUAUUAUGUAAAGUACUUUGGUCAGAAUUCUUCUAGCUCGUGAGUAUUGGGGCUCAAAAUACAUUGCAAGUACAAAGAAGUAGACCUCCACGACUCUAUCUCGUGCAAAUGAUAUCUUCACGGUAAAGCCUAGUUCUGUAUGCCACCUAAAAUAAAUUAAUAUGGUUAGCAGUAAGGGAACUGAUCAUAAAAUCACUAAGUAUAUGCGUGGGUGAUUUAAAAAUUGACCUAGAAAGAUUGCUCAGCUCUUCCUUGUGCAGUGACUGCAUCAGGUUGAAGUCUAACUUUGCCAGCUUCAGCAAAGCUUUAUCAUGCGAAGCUUCGUGUUUGUGGUAGAUAUAUACCACCUCGCCUCUAGUCUGUUCAAACCUUUCCUAACGGGCUGCUUCAGGGCAUGAGUAACCUGUUCUGCAAGAGGAUAUAUUCUAAAUGUUCUACUGCCGACUCGAGGUGAGUGGUGGUGAAGACAAGGGCUUCAUCAAGUAUUCCUUCUUCACGCACCCGGAUAUGUGUGGCUUCAUACAACCCUAGCAUGCCUCUCACAUCAUUGAUCAAAGAUUCCUGGAAGCCACCUUUUUGAUCCUUGAACUUAUUGAAUACAUCUACAUUUAUUCACAAAAAUAUGAUAUAAAAGCAUUCCGGAAUAAGAUUGUGAUGAUAUUAUGAAGAUUUCAUUUUAUCUAAUAGAUGAUAGUUCAUGCCUUACCACAUGACAGAUUGAAUCCUUGUUGUCUUAGGAGUCGAAAUUGAAGAGAAACAUUGUAUAAAUCAUCAUCUUUAUGCUCAACAUCAUAAUAGUUAUCAUACAUAUGUUUUAAUGCUUCUUCUAUCUCUCUUUCAAAGUGGUAUGCCACCCCAAGCCGUUGAAUUGCAUCUAUGUAGUUCAGCUGUUGUGAGGGAUUACCAGCGGCAGUUAUUAGCCUUCUUCUCACUUUCUCUUUCAGAUCUUCAACCUGCUUCUCUUUAUGGGCACGGGCUAUCUGUACCGGCAAAUUGCAUAGACAAACUAUUGCUGAGAUAGAUGGUUAAUAUACAUAUAUAGAUAGAUAGAUAGAUAGAUAUUAGAUAUCGUGAAUUACUUCAUCAGCUGGAGUGUAGCUAAUGAACCUCUCACCCCAUAUGCUAGGUGAAAAAUCUGCAGUUGGACGAUUAACCACUGGUUUAGCAUUUUGGGCAGGAGAACAUGCUGAUACUCUAAGGGGCAUGUUGGUUGGAACAAGAACUGGGGCACAGGUAAUGACCUGGUUACCCCAAGUUCUAAGGUGAAAGUUUGACAUUGGAGGGUGAAAGUUCAGUUUAGGAUUUUGGGCUGGAGAACAUUUUGAGAAGCUUAUAGACAUGUUUGUUGGAUUAACCAGUGUAUUUUUGUAUUCAUAAAUACACCGUCACUUUAACAAAGUACACGUCAGUCAUAACCUCAUAUUUUUGUAUUCAUAAAUACACCGUCACUUUAACAAAGUACACGUCAGUCAUAACCUCCAUUGGCAGCCAAAUGCCCAUGUAGUGCAUAUUGUAUUUAGUUUUUUCAAUCAUUCAACUCAAAUUAUGUUUGAAAGCAAAAAGGAUAAGCUGUUACUGUAGGAUAUAUAAUUUUAUUCAAUAGAUAAAAUAACAUUCAAAUGACCUUAAAUUUUUAUCAUAAUAUUAUUGAUAUGUUUAUAUUCCUCGCUUAUAAUCUCUUGGUAGUUGCAGAGAAAUCGAUCUUUUUGUAGAUGGUUAGAGUUUGUAGUAUUAAUUUACUUUUUAGGAGAAUUUUGGGCUUAUUUAGAGUUUUUGAAAUCUGUUUUGAAAAACUGUUUUUAAGACCAAUUUUUUUAUGUUUUUAGAAAAACAUAAUUGUGUUUAGAAUUGAAUUCUGAAAAAUAGCUUUUAUUCUAAAAAAAAACAUAUUUAAUUGAGUUAAUAAAAAAAAAAUAUAACAAAUAAGACAAAAAAAUAUAUCUGGAAGUUGUUGUUGUUUUUAAUUGAGAUUUUUUUUAACUAACUUGAUAUUGUAAUCAUAUACAUAAUUUUUAGAUUUACAUUUUAAUUAAAUUAAAAAACUAUUAUAUUAUGAAAUUUAUUUGCAUGAGUUAUAAUUUUUUCAACAAAGGAUUACUUUACCAGUAUAUUAUACAGAAUGGAAGUCUACAAAUUUGUCCACCAUUACUUCUUCACCUCAUCCUUGGACUACUAGUUCUUCAUUGCUUGUAGUCAUUUCCUUUGCAUACUCCUUUAGUUUAUACUCACUUUAAAAGUAGCCAUUACAUGAAAACCACCAUGUCAAAGUACACACUACAUGAGAAGAAUGUUUCAUUGUAAUGUAAUUGAUGAAGGGUAAUAAAGGGACUCAGAAAUGAAUACAACACCUUCUCUCCUUGUCAGCCCACCUCUGAACAAUUGAGCCGAACCUAACUCAAUGGUGUAGUUAAUACUUAGAUCAGGCCUACUUCCCCUGGAAGUUGUAAAAAUAGUCUAGGAAGAAUUUGUAGUGAACCACUCCAAUGCUAUGAGCACCUGCAAAUCAAAACAAUGGAACAGACAAAAACCAUUUUUUGUGACACUACAAGAACUAGAACAAGAGUAGAACCCGUAAAAUCAUAGUAAUCAAACACCAAAGGUCCCAAACCAGUGAUCCAUUUGCAAGAAAAGAGAAAUCAAAUUAAUGAAACACAAAUCACAAUCAUUUUAAAUAGAGCAGAGAUCAUUCAAAACCGAUGAAACUCUAGACGAUGUGUUAAUGAACCAGGAAAUAUUCUAAGAAAUCACACGAAGUGAUCUAUAUUAGCCUAGUGUUAAUAUAAAAGAUUCAUAAUUCCAAGAACAUAUGAUUCUCCAUUUUUGGAAACCACAACGCAAGAUAAGGGCUUCAAAGUAUCUAUCCUUUUUCAUAGUCUUAGUUUUUUAUCAACCAAAAUAGAGAAAAAAAAAAUACACAGCCUAUAAUCAAACCAAUUAAGUAAAAGACCACAAAUAUAUAUAUAUAUAUAUCAAAUUAAAGAUAUACUCCAAUCCAAAUCUCAAAACCAUAAAUUACUUUCAUGGAGAAGACAAAGAAAGGAAGAAAAAGACAAUACCUAAGAAACUGACAGUCUCCUUCUCAAUGAAUCCCCUUGAUGCAAAAGAUGCUAAGGUUAUUCUUAGCCUAACUGUUAGGCGAAAAGAAUCCAUAUGUUGCGACAUCUGCAAAAGCCUAACUGUUUUCUCUCCUGCCAAUAUCCAGAGGGUAGAAUAGGCCACCAGCCUAAAAUUCAAAGCUUCAUAACACCAUCAAAUAGCGUACAUACAAGAACAUGAACACAUAGAGAGACUUUUUACCCGAACAACACCUUCUCUGGCAGCUAAUAAAAGAAUAUCAGCACAUGAAACAAUUCCAGGGUAGGUUGCUUCCAGCUCUUCCUUGAUGGAGUCAAUUAUAUCAAAGCCUUUUAGAGUUUCAUUAGAAAGCGAAUCUUUCUUUGAAUGGAUUCCAUUAACCGCAUCCAACAGUACUGAUGCAUCACAUCCCUUGAUCAAUUUCAAUUAGCAAGUGGUGCAAACCAAUGACAAAUAAUCUUAAAAAUUUCCUCAUGAAUAUAGAAACAAUUUCAAGAAAUGAAAUGAAAUGAAAUGAAUUCACCUCAAAAUCUGAAAAAAAGAAAAAGAAAAAAAAAAAAAGACAAUCCAGACUAAAAUCAAUAAUGAAUAGGAAAAUUUUCUUCAAAACCAAGUUUGAAAUCAGAUUGAUUCUAGAAGAUCACUAGAAAAUUAAUGAAUCUUAGAUUAAAUAGUGAAAAAAAUAAUGACAAAUACAAGUGAACAUCAAGGAAAAUGAAUAAGAAAAAUCGCUUCAAGACCAAACUUGGAACCCAACUCAUGUCGAAUUCAGAAAAAAUACAAGAAACCCAUAUCAAAAUCAGUAAGAAAGAGGAAGAAAAACACCAAUGCAAAAUAUCAUAAACUUCUUCCCCCUUUUUGGUUUUUUUUCCAUUUCUGGUGCUUUGUUUUUGGACCCAAAACUACUAAGAACUUGCAAAUCACUGUCCUUAUGAAGAAAAGAAAAAAAAAAAAACCCUAAAUCUAGAUUUUCUCAACAACUAAGCAGAGUAACCAAGAAGAAGCAUGCAUGAAAACUAAAAGCCCUAUAGAAAUUUCAUGAUAAAUCAAAUGAGAGUGAAGAGAGGGUUGUGAAUUGCACUUGGGAUUUCUGCUGUAGGAUCUAAUUUCGCAAAGACUUCAUGAACAACUUGAAGUAGAUCAGGAUCAGUACCAGCUCCACGUUUAUAUUGAAACAUUGGAUUAAGAAAGAAUGCUACAAUAGUAAAGUAGAAAUGUAGAAUUAGAAUGUUAUGAAAAAAAUAUAUUAAAUAGAAAUAACUUUUGAAGAUGGAUAAUACUUAGUUACCUGCUGCAUAAAGAGGAUGUUUAAGAGUUCUAUCCCAACAAUCUGUGAUUAUUUCUAACACCCAUUCUCUAGCAUUAAGCCGAAUGAGGUUCUCUUUCAUAACUCAAAUCAAUUUGUACACAAAUGGCAUUGUAGGAACAACUUCUGAAUGGACAAUGCGAAGAAUCAUGUAUAGCGCCUCAUAGAUUGACACUAGUUUUCCCAUUCUCUCCCAAUACGCAUGGUCAAACAUAAGUUUUUUUAACUUUUUUGUUGAUUAAUGUGCGACUUAACUUGUGUUGUGCCCAUUCAUCACUGAUAAACACUUUAUUCAAGUUCGCCUUCUUUUUUAAAAGACUUUCAAGGGAAAUAUAAUUGGUUGCAAAUCUUGUUGUUCCAGGGCGAACCAUGUCUCCACCACACACCUUCCACAUCUGCGCAAGCAACCAACUAUGGUUAUAGAUGAAGUUGGUUAUCUUUCGAGCCUUUGUAAUCACAUGUGCAACACUCGACCUUUUACCGAUGUCUUCGAACAUUAAGUCAAUGCAAUGUGCUACACACAGAGUCCAAUAUAAAUUGUAUUUCUUCAUUAACAACUUCCUCGCCUUCACAAAUGUCGACCCAUUAUCCAUAACUAUUUGUACCACAUUUUGUUUGCCAACUUCCUUGAUCACAUCCUUUACCAAACCAUAUAUGUAUUUGUUGUCUUUUAUAUAAUUUGAUGCAUCAACAGAUUUGAGGAAGAUUGUGCUACCUUUUGAAUAUACCAUAAAAUUAAUUAUCCUUAAUUUCAUAGGCCUAGUCCAUCCGUCACACAUAAUCGUGCAUCCAUAAGUCUUUUAUUUUCUCUUUGAAUAUUAACAUAAGCUUCCAUGUCUUUGUACUCCAUAUCCAAGUACUUGUGUUUGAUUUCAUAAGGAGACGGUGGUUCUAUACCCAUACCUACCUUCCAUAUAUAAUUAAAGCAUAUAAGAACAUUUUUGGCAAUCGUACUUUAUAAAUAAUAAUGAUAUUGUUAAAAUGAAUACAAUUUUGAAAAUUAUAGUAAUUACCUACUUGUUGUGCAUCAACAAUCAUGUUCUUGAAGUGGUGAGAGUCUGCUUUAUUAGGCGCAACACUUUAAAAAAUGAAGAACUUACUGACAAACGUCUCAUGGUUUCCUUGAUGGCACCACCUUUGAAAAUAUUUUUCAUAUUUUUCUGUCUUGCUGCUAAAGAUUUGUACAAUGAGGGUGCACUAGGCGGUGAUGGAUCCGAAUAUCAAACACUUUGCAAUCUUCGCAUAUGCCUUAUUGGAUUAGUUAAAUGUGAAGACUCACCUAUUAAAAUUAUUAAAAUUAAACAUAUAUGUUAAUUUAAUAUUAUUGAUAAAGUUGAUAAGAAAUAGUAAUAAUUCAAAUUGAUAAGUUAGUCUUCCAUUUUGCAUAUACCUGUCUCACUUUUGUCUCUUACAAAAUGUUCUUUUUCUUGUUGAUUCCAUUCAAUAGCUUUUGAUGCUCGAACCGCCGCUCUAUAAGCAUGCUGCUCAUCAAGGUGCAUGUCAGCCGGAUACAUAAACACAUCAUCAUCAUCAAGGUUUUCCUCAUCCUCCUCAUCAAUUACAUGUCUAUGUAUUCCUCCCAUUGUGUCUCGCAAGUAAGCUUGGAUCUCUUCUAUAUCUAUAGUCUUUUUCGCUUUUGCCUUUUUUUUUUUUUCCUUUAGAAGUCAUCUUAUUUCUUGUUUCACUUUUAAAGGCACGUUAGGACAAUUUUUUGUAUUUGAAUGAGGUUUGUAUGCGAUAGGUGAAAUUUAAAACGAGUAAUCCUACCACUCUUUAUUGUCAACCUAUAAUAAUUGCAUGUUGUUCCAUUUUUGUUCCCUUCCAUAGGUGUACAAUAUUUCCAACAAGGAUCUCGACCCAUGAUACCGCUUCCACUUCCACUAGCUAUUUUCUAAACAUGUAUUUUAAAUUCUCAUACGAAACUAAUAUCAAAUUUAUAAUUAUUAAAGAUAAAACAUCUAAGAAAUUUAAUAUUAAUAUUAUUUAUGAAAUUGAUAAGAAACAUUAUUAAUAAAAAUUGAAAUUACAAUUGACUUAUGCAUAUAUGAAAUUGAUAAUUAAAAAGACAAACAUUAUCAUAUAUGUGAUGUGAUAUUGUAGACCCUCCAUUUUGUCCUACUAACAUAUGCCCUAUUGCCUGUUCGUUUAGUACUUUACAACAAUUCCCUCGUGGCCCAUUACUACUUGUGUAGCCUAUCUUUUCUAAGCCACUUUGGGGACUUUGGUUGAGGGAUUUAUCUAACCCCAUUGUGACUCUUGGCAGCCUUAAUUUAGACUUAGGCUCACUUAGGUACCUUAUGCCCACUUGGGCACCCUAGGCCCAUUUAGGCACACUCGGCCCAUUAGCCACCACCCUAGGCCCACUUAGGCACCUUAGGCCCACUUAGGUACACUUGGUCCAUUUAGGCACCCUAGGCCCAUUUAGGCACUUUAGGCCCAUUUAGGCACCCUAGGUCCAUUUAGGCACACUAGGUCCACUUGGCAAUUGCAUGGAUGCAUGGUUUGCAUGGCUUACAUGGUUGCAUAGCUCGUAUGGCUUGCAUGUACAUGAUUUUGUUUUUGUUUUUAUUUUUAUCUUUCUCUACACACCCUAGGCCCACUUAGGCCCACUAGGCCUACUUAGGCAACCUAGGCCCAUUUAGGAAUCCUCACAUUCUUCGUACCCUCCCAAUUCUCCACUUAUUUGGACUUUUUAAAAUUUUUUGGGACUUCAUAUGGGUUGGAUGUUGUUUAAAUAGAUUCAUUACACUUAGAAGGUGGUGAAAUGAUUUCCGGAAAAAUCCAAAUCCAAAAAUAUUAAAAAAUUAACAAGGGUACGAAGAAUGUGAGGAUGUUUAAAAUUUGUUGGGACUUCAUAUGGGUUGGAUGUUGUUGAAAUAGGUUCAUUACACUUAGGAGGUGGUCAAAUGAUAUCCGAAAAAAUCCAAAUCCAAAAGUACUAAAAAAUUAACAAGGGUACGAAGAAUGUAAGAAUCCUCACAUUCUUCGCCCCCUCCUAAUUCUCCACUUAUUUGGACUUUUUAAAAUUUGUUGGGACUUCAUAUGCGUUGGAUGUUUUUUAAAUAGGUUCAUUACACUUAGGAGGUGGUCAAAUGAUUUCCGAAAAAAUACAAAUCCAAAAAUACUAAAAAAAUUAACAAGGGUACGAAGAAUGUGAGGAAUCCUCACAUUCUUCGUACUCUCCCAAUUCUCCAUUUCGUUGGACUUUUUAAAAUUUGUUGGGACUUCAUAUGGGUUGGAUGUUGUUAAAAUAGGUUCAUUACACUUAGUAGGUGGUUAAAUGAUUUCCGGAAAAAUCCAAAUCCAAAAAUACUAAAAAAUUAACAAGGGUACGAAGAAUGUGAGGAAUCCUCACAUUCUUCGUAUCCUCCCAAUUCUCCAUUUCUUUAGACUUUUUAAAAUUUGUUGGGACUUCAUAUGGGUUGGAUGUUGUUUAAAUAGGUUCAUUACACUUAGUAGGUGGUUAAAUGAUUUCCGGAAAAAUCCAAAUCCAAAAAUACUAAAAAAUUAACAAGUACACACAUGUAGUUGAUUAUCGUCCCCUAUGUAUUGCCUUGUGGAAGAAGUAAUAUCUAAUAAAUCAUUAUAAUAAGGUGAGGGAACAAUACGUAAUAAAUCAUUGUAAUAUGGAAAGGGCGACACAUCAUAUGUAGCACCUAGUUUCUCUGGGUUCAUAGUGUUUUACUUUUGAAUAUUCCCUGAAUAUUUAAAUAAGAAUAUGUAUUACUUAAAUCACCUAAAUAUAUUAUUUAUUAUAUUAUAUUCUUUAAUACAUAUGUAUUAUUGUGAUUCAACUUGAGGAGUAUUGAUACUGAGUCUUAAAAUACAUAUGUAUGUAGAAUAUAUGUCUACAACAAAUCUGGAUCUCCUUGUUAAUGUGUAAUGGUGUUUUGGAGUACUACAAUACUCACCAAAUUAAUUAAAGAUUUCACUCUAUAGCAAAUUAUUAUUAUUAUUGUUGUUGUUAUUGUUGUUGCUAGCGUUAUUAUUAUUUAAUUCAUUAUUAUGAAAAUUAUUAUUAUUAUUACCAUUUAAUUAUUAUUAUUAUUAUUAGCUAUUAAUUUUAGUUUUUUCUUUUUCAUCUUUUCUUUUUUGUUGUUUGUUAUAUACUUCAUAAAAUUAUAAGUUAUGGUAUUUUAUUAGGUUGAAAUCGGAAGUUCAAGUUCAUUAAAGUAUGACAUAGUUAACUUAGGUUCACUAAUUUUGUAAAAAAUUUAAUGCAUUUAUAAGAUAAUUAAAUAAUACAACAAACUUAUCAUUUUACUAAUUAAGGUAUUUUAUUUUAUUUUAUUUUAUUUUUAACUUUUUUACAUGUAAGAAUACAAAAAUUAUGGUUCAAUGUGAAACUUUGGAAUUGCAUGCAUAUGAAAGUGAAAUUUGUUGGUGUCGUUCCCAACUAGAGUUAGGUUCAUCCAACUUCACUAGAGUCAGGUGGACUGCUUCCUUUCUCCAAGUCGUGAACUUAGCCGAUACUAAGUGAUUACUACUCAAAAAGUGCUAUUUGAUAGCCUUUAAUUAAUCCUUUUUAUCACUUUUGAGUAGUAGUUUAGGCCUUUUAACUCAAUUGGCAUGUUAAGGAUCCUUUAAAGCAAUUUUGAUCACUUUGUGCAAGUUUUGGUGUUUUUGUUAGUAUUGUGAUCACCAAAGCAAGUCAAGAAUGAGGAGAGCUAUGAGGAAUCUUGGGCAAAGCUUAGAAUUCAAUUGCCAAGAGUGAAUCCGGAUUGCAAGGAGAAAAAGCAAAGAGAAUCUGCCAUGGAGCAUAUUCUUGAUGACAGUCGUAGCAGCCACUUUUGGAGCACUUUCUGAAGUCUAAAUGAUGCAAGCUAUAUACCAUUUCAAAGCUCAGAAAGUCAACAAUCCAAUGCUUCAAACGGUGCGCGAUUUGGAGUUGAAACGAAGAAGUUGCAGCCAUUACAAGCCAGUCACUCUGAAGUGCUGCGGAAUCAACCUUUUGUUGCGAGAAUUUCGCAACACUUUUGUACAGUAAGGUGUUUCUUCUUCUGACGAUGCACGAACCAUGCCGCGAGAAGGGAGCUGGAAACUUCAAGAUGGAAGCCAACUUUGCAGCCUGGUGAAGAUAGCUUGGUCUUGCGAAAUAAUUUCGCAGCCCUCUUGGGUGUCUGCGAAAUUUCGCAGGCACCACUUUUCUCCUGCGAAAUGGCUCCUGAAGCCUCCCGAAGCUUGCUACCGACAUUGGGAGAUAUUUUCCAUUAGAUUUUUGUUGUCUAAAUCCCAAAAUACUCCUUGUAAACCACCAAUUACAUGAUUCCUUAGUUUUUAAGUUAGUAAAAAGACCAAAUAUCAGUGUAAGAAUUAGUUUUAUAUUGCUUUAAUAUAAAUACCUCUCGGGAGCCUGUUCUCAGAGAAGAGUUUUCUUCUGAAAACAUUUGGUAAGGAAGUAAAGGUCUUUUCUUUCUACUGCCUUACCUUCUCACUUUGUAUUUUCAUUUUAUUUCUAAGUUAUGAAUUCUCUGAGGAGUUUUCCCCAGAGAAUGAGUAACUAAACCUCCAAUUCCUUGGAGCUAAGGUUGCCGGGGAAGGUUCCAAGUGCAAGAAUGCAAAGCUCUGUGGUUUUAGCUAGUAAUGAAGAGGAAGUGAAAUCCUUUAGUGAUUUCAAUGUUUUUAGUUAACUUAAAACACCUUGGAGUCACCUGGGCCAACACUUGGUAAGGCAAGUGAUUUCCAACCAUGGAAAUGCACUAGUUUACCCCUUGCGAGCCUCUGGUAGGUGACUUCAAGGUAGGAUUUUCCGGAAUUACCAACACUUGGUAAGCUUUUGGACUCCUAGGAGACAUCCAUUAGUUAUCUCUUGCGAGUUUGUGAAAGGGAAGUCCAAGGUUAAAGAUCACCUUGAAUGGUAAGUGCUCGUGAGAGGCAUGAACCAUUGCAAGUUGCAUCAGUGAGAGAAUUAAAGUGAAAUCUAAUUGAAGGAGUCUCUGUACAUCACCGGUUAGAGAAUUGACUAUAAGUUGAAUCUCUAAUGCGAGGAAAUGAACCAUCUGACCGGAGCUAUGUCUAUUGCAUGAGGAACCACCCCAGUGAACCUAAAUCUCCAAGGAAUGCUUUUCUUCCUAAAUUAUUCCAAACUUCUGUUAAGUUAGUUAGUUUAAAUCUCAACCCUUACCAAUCAAAGUUUGUGUUUUAUUCCUUAAGCUAACCGUGAAAUGAAACAAGACCAAUUCACUUGGAAUUGGUAUCCUUGAUUGCUUGCAAAUCAUUCCCAGCGAACGAUCCUUAGAGCCACUAUACUAUAGUAGCUUUGUAUUUGCUACCCUAGUGUAUGGUGUUAUAGGUAUAAAUUUUGUUGAUCACUUCCUCAAUCAAGGAGCACCAGCUGAACACAAAUCAGCUGAGACACCAAUUGGGCAUGAAUCACUAAGUUAUGUGAUAGCACCCAAUUUUUCCGUUCGUGCUUCUUGAGAGUCCGUCCAGUUGUACUGGAAUCAGACAGACUUCUUCCCUGCACAAAAGGAUGUCCAGACAGGUGAUUUGAGCACAUCCCUCCCAAACUUAAGUCAGUUAAGGAUAGCUCUAACUUAUUUUUGUGGCAAAAAAUGAGUGUAUGGGCAUGCCUACCUUGUUCGUGCUUUUUGAGGGGUUUAUAUAGAACUGAUGAUACUGUCCCUAUAGUGUUGACUAUACACUCUAGUCUUUCUUGUAAUGAUGAUUGCCCUUAGGGCGGUUGAUUGGUGCCAUCUAUUGAUGUGCCAAAAUCUCAAACCAUGCAACUAAUUGUCCAUUUAGCUUGCCAAUGUCUGGGAUUGUGUGUAACAAUUAAUUGACAUUGACUUUUGGGUAUAAAUGGAGUCCCGUCCGCUGCUUAGAUGUCAGGCGUCUAAUCCGCCGCUCAAAUGUCAUGUGUAUGGGCCAACGCUCAGACAUCAAGCAUAGUUGAUCAUGCAUGCCAGAAAUCCUAAGGACUUGAUUAGACUGAUUUUUUCGUCUGAGAGUCCAACGAGCCCAGCCUAUCGAUUCCCUCCGACCUUGUGGAAGAAGAGAAACCUCUCACUUCUUGUGUCAGACAUAACUUAUCUUGGUCCAAACGGAUUGAUCCCAGACGGGUUACAAGUUUGUCCUGGUCGACCAAGGGGUCUUAAGCUUGAAAAUGACACAUGAAGGGAAACCCCCCACAAUGCCCCUUUAAUCCGUUUACUUCUAUUCAAAUGAAGAGGAGAUGUUUUUGGAGCGUCCAGUUAGUCUCCUAUCUGAACAGGAAUUUCGGGAUCAUUUCCAUAUUCCAGACAAUAUCCCUAUCCUUCUAAUAGACGACGAGGCGUUAUCCUCCGUUGACCUGCCCAACAACAUGAUGUAUUUUUCUAAGGAACAAUUCAUUGCAGGGCUCCGUCUACCUAUCCCCUCUCUCUUCAAGCAGUUCCUUCAUUUUAUGUAAAUCCCUUCAGCUUUUCUUCAUCCGAACGUUGUCCGGGUAUUGAUGGGAUGUAGUGUUCUAGACAUGCUCUUUUAGUUGAAUCUCUCAUUGUUGGAAGUUUUGUUUGUUUAAAAUGUCAAAAUGAGCUGGAAGGAAAGGUUCAGCUUUUCUUCCCAUAUUCCUUACUUGCAGCCGGUGACUGGUUUUCCUGAUUCAUGCAAAGGCUAGGUAAAGGGGCAUGUCCUAGUCUCCGGUCCUUGGAGUGGUUCGUCUAAGGAACCAAAUGGAGUCUUUUCUCCACAACAUUCAUUGGAGAUUUCGAGUAGGAUACACUUCCAUCACUUUCUCUAUAUUUUGCAAUUAUUUCUUCCUCGUUGUCAAUUUAUUGUUGAUCUUUUUGUUUGUGUGAUAUAGGCAAGGAGAGGCGGGGACGCCUUGUAGAGUGGGUAGACAAGGCUUCUUUCACCUACUCAACAAGUUGUUCGAAAUAAACGCAUUCGAAUGGGCCCCUAAAGUUCUUCUGUAAGAUAAUAAGUUGCUAACGCUAAUCGAUAAUCCAAAGUCGUUCAUCAUCCCCGUAUUUCCUCAUCUGGCUCCCCCGUCUUUGGUACCUGGUGAACAUUUCGUGCUAAAGGAUUUUCCAUUCUAUGAGGUUGCUCGUCUGGCAGAUUAUAAGGCACGUUAGGCACAUUUAGAGGAGUGGGAGAAAAAACAUCAGGAAAGGACAUUGAGGCAAGCUCUGACUACUAGUCUUCUAUCUUCCAAUUUUGUUGUCCAUCCUCUCACUGAAAAGAGGAAGAAACCUACUACUUUGCCUAUCUGGAGGGUAAGGACUCCACCUCCUUCAUCUUUAUCUUCUCCAUCAGCUUCAUCAUCUUCGUCAUCUCCAUCUUCUUCAUCUUCCAAUGGCAAGCCAAAAGCAUGGGUUGUCCAGGUAGUGUCCCUUAUUAUUUGUGAUGAGGAAAAAGAAGAGGAUAUGGCUUCAAACUUAAGGGUCGGAUUUCGUGAGAGGCAACACAAGGGCUUGUCCAAAUCCAUUAUUGUCAACCCUACCCCCUCUAAGAAAGCUUGUUCAAAACCUACUUCAGCUUCUGCGCUCGUGUCGGUUCCUCUGACUACUGCUAUAGUCUUCACCCCUAAGCUAGAUGAGAAACUUCCUUCUGUUGAUGAACAUGCUUAUCAUAAGACGAGGAGACCCUUCAUCAGCCCGAACAACUUCAACAAGGAAUCGUUCGAAUACAUGACUUUUUUUUCUCUUUGUUCGAAGUCAACCUAUGUCCCCAAUCGGGAGGAGGUAUUCAAGCUUUUGAAGUGAAUCCCUGUCUUCACCGAAAGAGAGUCCUUGGUACAAAACAUGGGGUACUCUUUCCAGCUACUCAACAAAUCCCAAUCGAGAUAGACAACGAUCCCAGUCGAUCUUUCAUGACCUGGCUUCUGUACGACACUCCGAACAUUGCCAUUUCUCGCAUUAUUCCCAUGCAAGACUAUAAGGCUUUUGAAACGACAAAUAUGGUAAGUCACCUACCCUUUUCUUCUCAUUUUUCCUUAGCCUCUUGUUUCACAACGAUUUCUUUAUUGCAUCUUCAGGUGAUAGUCGAAGUCUGAAACCUCAUGCGGUAGCACGCUCCUCUUUUCUAUCGAUUGGAAACAAUCGAGACCAUGAGGCCAUACUUUGCCCAUAAUAUGGAUGGGAAUGAGAAUCUUCUUGCCAGCUUGGAGACGACAAAGAGUGAAGCCAUUGUUGCCCAAAAGCUUGUUAAAGAAGAAAUCGGUCUGUUGAGGAAAACCGAGGAAGAGAAUGAGACAGUUCAAACUGAAGCUCGCCAGCUGGUUGAAAAGAAGGAAACCAUGGUGGUUGACAAAAAAAAAAAAAGGCUGAAGAAGAGGCUGCCUAGUUGAGGCAGGAGCUACAAGAUCUCCGAGCAGGGUUUGCCUCUCAAAAAGAAGACUUGGAGGUUCACUACCAAAAGCAAGUGGAUGACAUGUUCUUGUACGACUAUCGUUGUUGUAUGAAGAAACAUGGCUUCAUCCAUGAUGCUCCCAGUUUUCCUUUGGAUGACGAGGAUGAGUUUUUAGGCGACCUUGCCGAGGGAGGAGGAGAUGUUUUCAAAGGCGGUCCUUAUGGCGAGUAGGCUUGAUCUCUUUGUUUGUAUUUAUUUAUUAUGGAUGGACGUGGCCUAGACUACUACAUCUAUAAAGACAAUGAAUGCUUUAUUUUUUCAAAUAUAUUUACUUUAUCCGUUUGUCUCUCAUACAUUGUUUUCAUAAGCAAACUUUAUUGAAAGUAAUGCUUUAAAUUGGAUACAUUCCAAGAGCAGAGCAGGGGUACGUUGUCUAGUGUUUGAAGAUGGUAUACCCUUAAGUCUCUAGCCUUAGUUACAACAUAUGGCCCUUUCCAGUUAGCUUGAAGCUUUUCGGCUCCUAUUUCAGCUGUGUUCUCAAAUAUUCUUCUGAGGACUAAAGUUCCUAGCCAAAAAAACUAUGGUCGUGUUUUUUUGUUGUAAUGAGUGAUCGUCUUUUGAUGGUAAGAAACCAUUCAGAUAGUUUUGUCUCCUAGCAUUUCAUCUGCCCAAUCCAGUUGUCUUAUGAGUUUUUCAUCAUUGUUCCUCUUAUCUUAUACAACUGUUUUAGCGGUAGGCAUGUCAAUUUCAGUUGGAAUAAUGACCUUCAUCCCAUAAGCAAGGGCAAAAGGAGUAGCUCCUGUUGGCCAUCUGGAUGUCGUUCUAUAAGCCCAUAAGACUCCGAGCAGUUCAUCCACCCAUUUUCCUUUAGCUCCUUCCAGAAUUUUUUUAAUGCAUUCAGUAGGGUUUUGUUUGUCGCCUCAGCUUGCCCAUUACUCUACGGAUAGCAAAGUGUUGAAUACAGAUUCUUGAUGUUUAACUUCGAACAGAAAGUUCGGAAGACGGUACUGUAUGAUUGCUCACAAAACUCCAAAUCGACAUACGAUGUUUUUCUAGACGAACUUGAAGACAUCCUUAUCUUUGAUGCUAGCAUAGGCUUCUGUUCCACCCACUUGCUGAAAUAGUCAGUUGCAACGAGUAAAAACUUCUUUUACGCUAUUGCAACAAGCAAGGGAUAGAUUAUGUCGAUCCCCCACUGCGCAAACAACCAAGGGCUUGUAACCAGGAUGAGAGCUUCAUAAUGUACACGGGGAAUGGGAGCGUGUCUUUGACACCAGUCACAUCUCUUAACAUAGUUUUCAGCGUUUUGUUUCAUGGUGGGCCAAUAGUACCCUUGCAUGUAAGCACGAUGUGCCAAGGUUCGUUCGCCUGUAUGAUUUCUAUAUACGCUUUCAUAGAGUUCGGCUAGGACAUACUUGGCUUCUGGCUUGCUCAAACACCUUAGGUAUGGUUCUCUAAAUGAUCAUCUAUAAAGCAGGUCAUUGAUCAAAGUGAAGCGGGAUGUUUGCACGCAGAGUCUGUGCACUUGCUUCUAGUCUUCUAGUAAUUCCCUCGUCUAGAGGUAUUUUACGAUGUCAUGCAUCCAGCCAAGGUUUGCUUCAUUGGUACUGCACACUAGUUCAGGUGUGAUUAAUGGUGUGGCUUGGAGGUAGAUAGACAACAUCAUUGCCUCUUUUAUAAGGAGAGUGGCAACUAUUCUGGCCAAUGCAUCCGCCUUCAUGUUCUCCUUUCGGGGUACCAGUCUAACAAUCCACUCAUCUAGAUUUUUCAAGCGAUCUUCCACCAUGGUGAGGUAGCGAGCCAUGCGUUCGUCCAUUACUUCAUACUCUCGUUGAAUUUGCCCGACAAUUAGUUAAAAGUCGCUUCUGAUUUUCAACUUUGUUGCAGCCAGUGUUAGGGCAAGAUCUAGCCCAACUAGGACAAAUUCAUAUUCUACUUUCGUACAAUCUCUCACAAAAUUCGUACACUCUCUCACAAAGUUCGUAUCCUCUCUCACAAAGUACGUAUCCUCUCUCACAAAGUUCGUACUAUCUCUCACAAAGCCCAUACCAUCUCUCACAAAGUUCGUACCAUCUAUCACAAAGUUCGUACCCCUUCUAACAAAGUUUGUACCCCCUCUCACAGAAUUUGUACUCUCUCACAAAGGUCAUACCCUCUCUCACAAUGUUUGUACCCCCUCUCACAUUGUUCAUAUCAUCUAUCACAAUUUUCGUACCCCCUCUCAUAUUGUUCGUACCCUUUCUCACAUUGUUUUCCUUCUUCAAGAUAUAUAAAACUUCAUCUUCAAAUUUAAUCUACAAAUAAACAAAAUAAUAAUAUAAAAAUAUUGAUGACAAUUUCAUAAAAAAUGACUAAAUUGUCUCAAUUUGAUUAAUAAUAACUCAUAAAAAAUUCAAAAAUCUAAAUGUUAUAAAGCAUUACAUAUUUAAAUGUCAUUUAACAUGACAUUUAUACCUACAACAAUUAUAUUUAAAUGAAAAAAAAAAAAUAUCAAAUGUUACCUUUUAACACUUGUAAUCACUUGACAUCCUUCAUAUAAUGUCUUCUUCAAGACAUAUAAAACUUCAUCUUCAAAUUUAAUCUAUGAACUUACAAAAAAAAAUGAUAUAAAAAUAUUAAUAACAAUUUGAUAACAAAAUUUAAUAAUAGACUCAUAAAAAAUUCUAAAAUUUAAAUUUUAUAAAUCAUUACAUAUUCGUUAUUUAACAUCACAUUUUUACCUACGAAAUUUAUAUUUAAAUAAAAAAUAUCAAAUAUUACCUUUGACACUUGUAAUCACUUGAAAUCUUUCAUCUUUUUCGUAUAAUAGAAAUUUUAAAUUUUCUCCCUCAAAAAGUUUCAAACUUGAUCUUCAAAUUUGAUUUAUCAAAACACAUCUCACAUAUUUUAUAAUAUGGUAGUUGAAACUAUUUAAUUUUCAUAUUAAAUUAGUAUCCCUUUUUGUAUAUAUGAAUAAUGAGAGUAUAAGGGUAGUUGGUAGAAUUUUCUUUUUUUGAUAGAGUUAAGUAGCAUUAAAUAACAAAUUAUAUUUGAUAUUUAAUAAUAAAUUAUAAAAAAAUUAUAAUAUUUAGAUAUGUAUGAAUUGCAUGUGAUUAUUUCUCACAAACAAGUAAGUUUUUAAUUUUUUUUUUUAAGUGGGUAGGUACCUAAAAUAAAGAGUGGGUACCAAAGAACGAUAUAUAUUUUGUCUAUAUUCUGUAAGUGGCUGAAUGAUAAGAUGCCUGUUGGUGAAAGAGAUGCCUGUACGUCGUCUUAAAAGAUGUUUAUAUCAAACAAUAUAUAUUUGUCUAUAUUCUGUAAGGGGCUGAAUGAUAAGAUGCCUGUUGGUCAAAGAGAUGCCUGUACGUUUGUCUCAAAGAUGCUUGUUUAUAUCUAAGAAACAAAAGAUUCACAAAAAAAAAAAAAAAAUGAUGCUUAGAUUAUAAUAUUGAUCCUUGUUCUAUUUGGUUUAAGAGAAUAGUUUGACAUACAUGCAUAAGGUAAUUAUACAAUUGUAUCAAACAAAUUCCUGGUCAAGUGUCACGUUCAAACAAGAAGAUUAAUUAAUAAAAAAGGUCAUUUCUAGGAGUAAAAAAAUUAUGAAAAAUAUAUCAGUUUUAACCACUAAUAUUAAUUAUUAGCAAAAGUCACUUUGAACCAUAAAAAUAAAAAGAAUAAAAAAAAUUGAUAACAAAAUAUCACGUUGAACCACAAAUAUUAACUCACAGCAAAAGGUCACCCUACGCCAUACCUACUAACAGAAACAUGUUCUGUAGUUAACAUGUACACCAAACCAUCACUUUAACAAAGUAACGUCGGUCAUAACCUCCAUCUUACAUAUUUUAUAAUAUGAUAAUUGAAAUUAUUUAAUUUUCGUAUUAAAUUAAUAUAUUUUUUUUAUAUAUGAAUAAUGAGAGUAUAAGGGUAGUUGAUGAUAAGAUUUUCUUUUUUUAGAUAGAAUUAGGUAGCAUUAAAUAAUAAAUUAUAUUUUUGAAUUAAAUCUACCGCAUUCAUUGAACUGACUUAGUCCCAUUUUCCCAAUCAACUUAGCACGUUGUUUGAAUUAAAUACCUACGGAUUGAUAUUGUUUGAAACUCAAGCAGACCAAUAUUUUAUAGUCUAUUCUGAGCACGACUGUUUCACACCGUGGGCCCCAAAACUAAACCAAAUCCCACGUACCAUUCAACUUAAUACAACCGCUGCACGCUACUGACCAAUUCUUUCUAAUUUUAGUAAAUAGUACAUAAAAAAAGGACAAGAGACUCUAAAAAAAGGAAAAAAGAAUAGAAAAAAAGGUCCAAUUCAUACCUUAGCCGCCCCUAACGGUUUGGGCUUUUGCGUGAAUUUAGGCAAGGGGUUUCUCUUUCAUGUCAUCAAUCUCUUUCAUACAUUAUAUUCAACAACAUACAGCUUCAGGAGGCCAUUGCUCCCCUAUAAAUGCAAUGGAGCUUCCCAAGCUUUUGCACUCAUACUUUGCAAGUCAGUUUUCAAAGAAGUGUUCUACUACCAUUCCAAAAAAUUAACAUGUCGGGUCAAGUCUUAGCAAGCCCUCUAGGCCAAUUUCCUGAUCUGGAAAAUCGUCCAGUGGUCAAGUAUCACCCUAACAUUUGGGGUGACCAGUUCUUAUCCCACACUCCCGAAGACGAGGUAAUUGAAUGAAAAUCUGUGUUAAAUACCUGUAUAUUCGAAGGUUGUUUUUCUUGAUGUGUUGUUUAGUAAAAUUACUUGGUUGCCAUAGGUAACACGUGCCUGCAAAGAGAAGCAGCUUGAAGAUCUGAAAGAGGAAAUUCGAAGGAAGCUAAUGAAUACAGCUGGUAACACUUCCCAACAACUAAAAUUUAUCGAUGCUGUGCAACGUCUUGGGCUGGCAUACCACUUUGAAAGAGAGAUAGAAGAAGUGUUACAACAUAUUUAUGAUAGCUAUCCUAAUGGUGAUGAUAUGGAAGGUGAUAUCUAUAAUGUUGCUCUUCAAUUUCGGUUACUAAGACAAGCUGGGUUCAAUAUUUCAUGUGGUAAGAGCCCAAAGAAUUGUCAUGUAUAAGCUAAAAUGUAUCCUUCUCAUAAUUCCAAUCUUAUGUAUGUUUAAAUUACGGUAUUGUGUAGGCUUGUUCAAUGAGUUCAAGGAUGAAAAGGGUAACUUCAAGAAAGCUUUGAUCAGUGAUGUAAGAGGCAUGCUAGGCUUGUAUGAGGCUGCACAUCUCAGAGUUCGUGGAGAAGACAUACUGGAUGAAGCACUUGCUUUCACCACCACCCAUCUUAGGUCCAUGGUAGAACAUUUAGAAUAUCCUUUUGCAGAACAAGUUGUUCAUGCCUUGAAGCAGCCCAUUAGAAGAGGUUUAGAGAGGCUAGAGGCAAGGUGGUAUAUAUCUAUCUACCAGGAUGAAACUUCGCAUGACAGAACUCUACUAAAGCUGGCCAAGUUAGAUUUCAAUCUAGUGCAGUCCCUACACAAGGAGGAGCUAAGCAAUAUUUCUAGGUUUGCUUUCAAAUCACUAGCAGAUAUACGUAGUUACCUUCUCAUUUUAACCUGAGCUAAUUGUUUCAAUGAAUUUUAGGUGGUGGAAAAAAUUAGACUUUGCUACAAAGCUACCUUUUGCGCGAGAUAGAUUGGUGGAAUGCUACUUCUGGAUACUUGGGUUUUACUUUGAGCCUCAAUAUGUCUGGGCUAGACGAAUUCUAACCAAAACAAUUGCCUUGACAUCCACUAUGGAUGAUAUAUAUGACGCAUAUGGCACAUUUGAAGAACUCAAGCUCUUCACCGCGGCCAUUGAGAGGUUUGAUACAUGCAAAUUACCAACCUUCAUCAUUUAUACCGUAUGUGAUACUUAAAUCAGGCCUGGUUUUAUUUUCAGGUGGGAUAUUAACAGCAUAGAUCACCUUCCAGAAUACAUGAAACACUUUUAUGUGGCACUCUUAGAUGUGUACAAAGAAAUUGAGGAAGAGAUGGAGAAAGAAGGAAACCAAUAUCGGGUUCAAUAUGCCAUAGAAGCAGUAGGACAUUCUGCAUUGACUUUGUUUUGUAUACUAACAUAUCGUUGGGAUAUAGAUGUGACUUGAUUGAAUGUUUGACAGAUGAAAAACCAAGCUAGAGCUUAUUUUCAUGAGGCUAAAUGGCUCCAUGAAGGACGCAUACCAACAGUGGAAGAGUAUAUGAGUGUAGCACAGGUAAGCUCAGGUGACUCCAUGCUUACAAUCACGUCUUUCAUUGGUAUGGGAAAAAUCGUAACAAAGGAGGCCUUUGAUUGGGUGAUCACUAACCCCAAGAUUGUCACUGCAUCAUCUGUAAUUUCUAGGCUUAUGGAUGACAUCACUUCACAUAAGGUAUUGUGAAUAUAGUAUUUCUUGUUAAGCUAUAAUUUGACCUUAACCUUAAAGCUCAAUCAAACAUAUUUACUGCACUGUUCUUCUAAACCAUAUAUGCAGUUUGAGCAAAAGAGAGGACAUGUUGCCUCAGGCGUUGAAUGUUACAUGAAGCAAUACGGUGCCUCUGAGGAAGAGGUAUACGAUAAGUUUCAGAAGCAAGUUGAGGAUGCAUGCAAGGAUAUUAAUGAGGAGUUCCUACGACCUACGGCUGUUCCGAUGCCUCUCCUUAUGCGUGUGCUUAAUCUUUCUCGAGUGAUGUAUGUGAUCUACACGGGGGGAGAUGGGUACACUCAUGUUGGAAAAGUGAUGAAGAAUAAUGUUGCAUCACUGCUCAUUCACCCUAUCGCAUGACCAAAUGGAUCAAGUUGAUGAGCAUCUACAUAUUUUGCCAUACCUAAGGAGUAAGAUGAAUAAAAAUGAUUGUAAUAAUAUGGGAUAUUGUUACAAUGUUUGAUACUAGUUUCUCUCUCGGUUUGGUCGCAUCCAUUUUAAUAUAUGUUUAAAACACAUGGAUCAAGUUUGAUACUUUUCUGUCAUUUAAAGUUCACGUGAGGGAGAAAAUUCUCCAUAGAAAAUCACUUGGCGGAGAAAAUUCAAACAACACGUGUAUUCACUAUGGAAGUUACCAGGAAAAAGAUGUUUUGGUCAGACCGCUUAUAUGACCUUAUUAGCAGAAGAGGGUUCAGAGCAAACAAAGACAUAAAACACUAAAAAAUUCAUCCUAACGGGUAAAAUAUGAUUAUUAUUAUUAUUAUUAUUAUUAUUAUUAUUAUAAUAUUAGACAUGAUAAAAGUUUUAUUAUAUAAGUUAUGAUAUUACAUAAGAUUGGAAUUCAAAGUUCAAGCACAUUAAACUAUGCAGAGUUUAAAUUUUUGCCAAAAAAAAAAAAAAAAAUUGGAGAAUCAAUUCAAUCAACUCAUCAUUUUCCAAGCAAGGAUUACAAUAUUGAAAAUUAUAGAAGGAUCGAUGAUUAUAUUUUAAAAAAAAAUCUUGGAAUGAAACAAUAAUACAUGUAUAGAAGUUUUUUAAAUAAUAUAUAUAUAAUAACAUUUGUGAUAUUGAAUAAUAAUCCAUAGAGCUUGAAAAUGCAUUUAAUUAUAAAAUAUAUAUGAUUCCAUGUAAUUUGAUAAUAAGUAUUUAUAAUUUCAUUUACAACAUUAUUUCUUCCUCAUUAUUUAAUUGAUAUAGACAAGGUAUAAAAAAAAAGACUUACAAAAAGAAUUAUCAUAAGGUUUUAUUUUUUUAACAAUAAGUUAAAAUAAAUUUGAAAAAAAAAGAUAAUUAAAAUUAAUACAUUUUUAAACAUUUUAUUUAAUAUUUUAUCUUGUGCAUAAAUAUGUCAUAAGAAUAGGAUAAAUAUAGUACAUGUGAUUGUAAACAAUAAGGCCAAGUAGCCUAGGUGGCGAAGUAGCCACCUCCCUUCCUAAUGUAGUUGAAAUUACCAUAAAUUGCCAAAAUUAGUGAUUAAUUGAAAAAAUAACAAAAGAACAUGAUUAAUCAAGAUAGAUUAUCAAAAUUUCAACAAAAAUUCAUUGAGUGAAAUUCUCCCAUAAUUUCCUAUAUUGGUGAUAUUUUAAUUAAGAUUAUGUUCUAAUGGUGAUAAAAACAAAUUAAGACAGCCUUCAAAUCAAAUGUACUUUGCAAUGAAACAAAUUAUGCUUAGUAGACAUAUGUAUGUUUUUGAAAAGGAUGGAUGUUAAUUUCAGAUUUUGCUUUGAAAUUAAGCCAUCUGACACAGUUGUCUUUUAAAGACGACUUUAGUGAAUGCAACUUCAAAUGACCAAUAAUGCACGGUAGCAGUAAGCGAAGACUCAUUAUUUUGACUUCAAGGCAUUAAUUCAUAUUUUAACCAUUACACAACAGAAUAUAUAUAAUAUUUAUAAGUAACAACUUUCUUCUUAAGCAAAGCAGACAAGAAAGACUACAAAAUCUAUACCAAACAGAAUAUCUACUAGGAAUUUAAUUGAUUGGCUCGAACCCAAACUACCUAUGGACAAAUUUGGAUAAUUAUUUCUAACACAAUGAAUUUUUCACAUGUUCCUACUCAAUGAGGAUACUCAUUUAUUAUGAAAAAUGAUUAUUUGAAAACCCUUUUUAGGUUUUUUAGAGUGAUCAUUUAUUUUAUUUAUUUUUAAAAAAGGAAAACAAAAUGAGAAAAAAAAAAAAAAAGACAAGUUCAUAAACCAAGAUUGAGUUAGAAGUCAAAUUACCUAUUGGGAAAAUACAAAGAUAAGUCAUACAAAACAACCAUCUAAGCUUAUAUACCUAUAGUCUUUACUAAGCAAAUGAAAUAAAUUAUGACAAUUAAAUAAUUGAUUAUGGAUGCUCAAGAAAAGAAAAACACAAAUAUAAAACAAGUCAUGGUGUUUAUCAUGUCAGAAAAAUAUUAUUAAAAAAAAACAAAUGAUAAGAGAAUUUGUAUAAAUUGAUUUAUGAAACUAAUUAAAAACAUGGGUUUAAUUAUUUCUAAAUUCAAAGGAUUAAAAAAAUUAUUCCAAUUUGAUGGUUUCAAUCUAUUUUAAGUAUAAACUAAAUUUUUGAUUUCGUUUUUUUUUUUAGAAAAAAAUGCUUCACUUUAUUCAAUUUAUAAAAAAAUGUUUUUUAUUUACUUUUUCUGCAUAAAAAUAUAAAAAAAAUGGUUUUUAUUUACUUUUUCUUCAAAAAAACAAAUGUAGUUGUCCUAUCUGGUUUUUGUCAUAGUUGGCACCCGAUCCAAUUGGUCAUGACAGUUUAGUAUCGUUUUCAACGUAAGGUGCACCUGCACGAUCAGUCAUGUUGUUGUCCUAUUUGGUUUUCGUCACAGAUGGCACUUGAUCUUAUUGGUCACAACAACUCAGUAUCAUUUUUGGUAUAGACCCUACCUAUACGAUCGAUCACGUGAAGGGAAAAACCCAGAUCUCUCUAUUUCCCAAGUUCGGAUAGGUUAGGAACAUGCAUAACUAUCCUAGGCUUUUUCUAAAUCAUAUACACAAUAAAUAAAUAAAACAUUUUAUACUUUCAAAGGAAUCCAAAAGUGAUAAUGAAAACCAUACCUCAUACAUAAAUGUUCUUGAAUCAAAUCCGCAUAGGGAAAAUAAAGAAGGAAAUCAUAGAAGUCUUGUAAACCCGAAGUCUUCUGCCCAAUGAUUGGAACCUUGAUCUUGGCAGACUUCCGAUGGGGAUGGAAGGGAGGGUGGAAGCUAUGACUCUUUCUCUCUCUCUCUCUGGAGGUGGAAAAUGACUCUCUAGAAAAACUAUGGGAACCCUAACCCCUAAGGGGGUAUUUAUAGGGUUUCCUAUUAGGAUUAGGUGACUUGAGCCCACUAAGGGCUUAGGUUACUUAAUGUAACCUAAAACGAGGACCUAAUUGAUUAAUUAAACCAAUAGGGCCUACUAAUUAAUCAAUUAGCCCAAUCUAGAUACCUUAUUCACUUACCUUGCAUAAUUACCAAAACAUCUUUAUGAAUAAUAGUGAACCUAGAGCAAAUCCAAUCCUCAUAACCAAUUCUAACAAGGUAUAUGAGCACAAAACGAGGACGAUUGGGACCCAUAGGAAUAUUGGCUUCCUUAUAAUCCAAUUCUAAAGUUGAUUCAACAUUCCACUAUAGAGAAUCAAUUGAACUCUAGUAUCCUAUGUAAAUAACAACGAGACACCAAGUGCUUAGGUUUGUGACAUGUUAUCCAUUGUGUUUAAUCUCCCCAUGAACUAGUGUCCUUAGUUAACAAGGUGAAAACUAUCAGCCUUUCAAGACUACCUCUACCAUAUUUGAGUUAUAGAUCCUCCUAUUGUGUGUUCAAUUGACAUAUUUUAACUCUCAAAGAGCCUAUGUCAAGUUCCACUUAAGGAACUACUAUGGCCAUAGUUACCAUGAACACAUCUCCUUAGGAUCACCCAAGGGGACACACUAUCUUAAUCCUAAGAGAUAUCAUGUUGCCUCUAUAUACCUAUUGAGAAUACCUAUUGCUAUUGGCUUUCAUCAACAAUGACCCAAUCCAUAGGGAAUAUAUGAUCAACUUACAAUCUCACCCGUAGGUCAAAGCCACUACUAACUUCAGCAUAAGCUUAUUACUCUCUCAAGGUUGAGAGAUAAACACAAUGAAACAUCUUAGUGGAGUCAUGACUACUUGAUAGCCUUAAGUCAUAACUCACCAUAGGUCCUGUCUAAUGUGCAACCUACACACUAGUGCACUCACCAUGGGAAACUCAUCCCAAUAGCCAAGACCAGUUAUCCCUCCAAUUAGGAGGUGGUUCACUAUAGUCUCUAAUGGAUUGCCUAGGCCCAUGAACCGAUUGUGAACAAGUCAUCAAUUUGUAAGGAACCCAUGACUUAGAUCGUAUGUGCAACUCCUAAUGCACCUAAGUCACGUACAAUGCAAAAUACGUAGGUAAGAAUGCUCAUAAAGUAUAAUACAUGUAAUAAGGAUAGGUAAGAGUGAAACUAAAACAUCAUUAAAUAACUAAUAAAUUCCAAACUUAUUACAUCAUGUCAUGCUUUUAAGGGCUCUAUCCUAACAUCACGUCGUUGUGCUACUUGGUUUUCAUCACAAAUGGCACCCAGUCUGAUUGGUCUGAUUGGUCAUGAUAAUUUUCCUGGCCAAAAAGUGAUACAUAUACUAAACAUUCCUUUUUUAUUUUUAUGCAGAAGUGAAUACUUUUAUAAUUUUUGUUACAACAUGAUUUUUACAAUUUUAUUUUAAAAGAAAGUAUCCAAAUCUCAUCUUAUGUGCAAGAGAAUCUUUUUACAAAUUUAUUUUUAAAAAAAUAUUUAGAAAUUACUUUAAAAAAGAUUUGUACAAAUUUAUUAAUAAAAAAUAAAUAUUCAGAUCCAAUUUUAUUCACAAAAAAAAAAUGAAUUUUCUUUUUUAGUUUUUAUUGAAAAUAAGACUUUUACAAUUUUAUUUAAUUAGUAUGAAAAUCCAAUUCCAUUUUAUUAAUACUAGAACUGAAUUUGAACCAAUAAUAAUUAUUUAAAUGAGCAAGUCUAUUUUAUAAAGAGACAAUAAAGUUUGGAAGGAAGUACACCCGUGUUGGACGUUGGUUUGGAGUGGGGGACCAUCACCAUUGAAUAACGACCUUCAGUGUUCUUCUAUAUAUAGAAAGGGAUGUGAGGUGAUGUUGUGGGUUUUGGAUGUUAAUAUGAAAAAAAGGGUCAAGUGUUUUGCAAAUGGCCCCACUUGGUAUUACUGAGUGUGGAUAUGUUGGAGUUGUUUUGGGGCUUAAAGUUUUAGUUUGACUUGUUUAAAUUUCCCUUUUUUUCACGUACAUUGUAUUGACUCUUCUCAUCGUUGUUGUCGCAUUCCUAGGUCCUUAUUUUAAUAAUUUAUUAUAUAUAUAUAUAUAUAUAUAUAUAUAUAUAUAUAUAUAUAUAUAUAUAUAUAUAUAUAUAUAUAUAUAUAUAUAUUUUAUAUGAAAUGCAAAAUAUUUGAGUGGUUGCUUAUAAUAAUUUAAAAAAGGUUGAGUAUAUAAUAUUUGGUCAAAUAUGUUUCUACUAUCAUUUAUUAAAAGUGGUAAAUAUUUGCUAUACCAUUUGUAAAGAAAUUAAGAUUUGUUCUACUAUCAAUUGUUAAAGUCGUAAAUAUUUGUUAUACCAUUUGUAAAGAAAUUAAGAUUUGGCAACUAUAUUUCUUCUAUCAUUUGUUAAGGUGAGUAAAUAUUUGACUAUAAUAUUUCUAAAGAAGUUAAGAUUUGGUUAUGUGGACCCCUACAUUUUGGAUCAAUGAGUUCCAUUCGAUGGCGAACUCGUUUUUUAUUUGAAAAUAAUUUUUAUUUAUUAAGAACAUGACUUGGAGUCGCCAUUUAUUUUUGUUUUAUUUUUAAAAAGGGUAAACAAAAUAAGAAAUAAAACCCUAAGUAUGACUUCUUAUUUUAGAAAAGAUGGUCCAUGAAAAACCGGAUCGGGAUUAAGGGUCAGAUUACUUAUCGGAAAGGUACAGAAAAGAUCACAGCACCCUCUAAGUCCCUAAAAUCGGAUUUAUAAAAUGAAACUGAUGUGACAAUCAAUAAGAAAAUCAAUUGAUACUCAAAUCAAUCAUGCACAUAUCGAAAUCAGAACGUGCAUAGAGAAUGACCAGAAUGGGAGUGGAUGCGUACUUGGGCUACAAUGCGCUAUCAAGAAAUAGGGUUAAUGCAUAAUAAAUAAAUAUAAAAUAUAAUACACAUGCAUCACUAAAUAGGGUAAAAAUAGUCAUUAGAUAGCACUCCACACUUCACUCAAAUUUAUUUUUAAAACUUGGAUGUUGGGCCUCCACCAAAACCCAAUUUAUCACAAAUUUCAUUAUUUCAAAAUUAUGAAAAAUUUGUUCUAACUUAUGCAAAAUAAAGAGAAACAUAAAGUUAUUUGAAAACCAUAAUAAAAUUAAGACUGAUCGAGAGAAAACUAGAUUUUUGAAAUUUAUUUGAAAAUUGGAGUUUCGAAAAUUAUUUGAAAAUUGGAGUCUUGGAAAUUAAAUUUAAGAAUUGGAAUUUUGAAAAAAAAUGUUUAAAAAUGGAAUUUUAAAAUAAAUAAAUAAAUAAAUAGAAUAAUAAUAAUAGCAAAAAAUAAUAAUGAUUAAAUAAAUGAAUGUCAAUAUUGAAAAUUUUUAAAUUGGAAAAAAAUUAUUUAAAGAUGAAAUUUUAAAAUAAAUAAAUAAAUAAAAUAAUAAUAAUAAUAAUAAUAAUAAUAAUAAUAAUAAUAAUAAUAAUAAUGAGAAUAAUGAUUAAGUAAAUAAACGUGAAUAUUGGAAUUUUUGAAAUUAGAAAUUAAAUUUGGAAUUUUGAAAAAUUGUUAUUGUUUAAAGAUGAAAUUUUAAAAUAAAUAAAUAAAUGGGAUGAUAAUAAUAAUAAUGAAAAUAAUAAUUAAAUAAAUGAACGUGAAUAGUGGAAUUUUUAAAAUCAUAAAUUAAAUUCGGGAGUUGGAAUUUUGAAGAAUAGUUAAAAGAUGGAAUUUUAAAAUAAAUAAAUAAAUAGGAUGAUAAUAAUAAUAAUAAAAAUAAUAAUUAAAUAAGUGAACGUGAAUAGUAGAAUUUUUUAAAUCAUAAAUUAAAUUUGGAAGCCGAAAAAAAAUAAAAAUAAUAAAUAAUAAAUGAAUAAAGACAUAGACACCACCUAUAAUCUAUUUCUAUUUCCAUAUGUUUGGUUUCUAAAAUUUUGAAGACUAGCGGGGUUUUACUGCAAAUUCGGGUCGAUUUGAUAAAAAGGGUUUUUACGGAUACUGCAACUGGGGUUUGGGGAUGCUGCUUGAGAUGGACAGGUAAGAGUGAGGUAGAUUUGAGUUUGCUGGUUUGGAUUGUCUGAACAUUUCCCUUUUUUAUUUUGGGGGUUUAAUCUUUGAGUUACUCUACUCUGGUGUUUGGCUGAGCCCAUUUGGGGAUGUGAUUUGAAGGCAGAGCAAAAUAAUUGGGUUUUUGGAAAAUAAACAAAUGAAUAAAAAGAAUAAUAAUAAAAACAAAAUGAUAAUUAAAUAAAUGAAUAUGAAUAUUGGGGUUUUUUUUUUUAAAUGAGAAACUAAAUUUGAAAACCGAAAUUUUAAAAAAUUGUUUAAAAGUGGAAUUUUGAAAUAAAUAGAAUAGUAAUAAUAACGAAAAUAAUAAUUAUUAAAUAAAUAAAUAUGAAUAUUGAGAAAUGGAAUUUAGGACCUAAAAAUUUUAAAGAUGAAAGAUUAGAGAGUUAAAUUAUUUGGAAACUAGAUUUUUGAAAAUCAAUUUUUAAGGAUUGUGGGCUUUGGAAAUGGGCCAAGAAAGGUGGCCAUGCAAACUGGAAUCAUGCACGUGGACCCAAUCAUAGUUGGGCUCAACCUCUUUCAAAGAGCCCAAAAUAUCAGGAAUGAAAUACUUGUGGUUUCUCAGUAAACAACAUCUCCAAUUGGAUUCCGGUUGAAGUAGCCAAACAAAACAUGUCUUGUGAUCACUACUAGGCCUUCGCUCCUAGCCUUCAAUGAUACCAUCAUGCGCACGUACUCCUCAAGCUUUUGGACUAGGAAAUAACAAUCUCCAUGACUUCAACCCCAAGCUGAACUUCACCAGUAUGACCAUGUUCAUGGAAAUAACAAACUCUACCUAAAUCAGUUUCUAUCCAAUUAAUACUAUAUCGAGAUAUUUUCAUUGUAUAACUAGGUCCAAUUUAAACAUGAAAUAAGAGGUGACUAGUUAAAGAUAUGAUACCAGUAAUAAAUAUAAUAAUUCCAUGCAUUAAUAAAAGGAACUGAGCAUUCAAGGCAAGUUGGUAAUUAAUUUAGCAAAAAUGUAGUGCUUUGAAACUACAUGUCCUUUUGCAAGGUGUCCUAAUAUCAUAAGAAUCAACCCUACUUUAGGCAGGUCAUGACUCUUAUUACUAAGAUAGAGACCCUAUUUAUUUGAUAAACUUGCCUUAAACUUUAAAAGUUAACCUAAGGCAUUGAUCAACAUACCUUUCUUGUUUAGCCCUUAACCCAUGCAAUUGGUACUACUUGAAGUGAUUCUACCUCUUCAUGUCCAAGUUAAGUGUGUAACAAAGAUCCUUGACAUAAAUGUUAACAAGUGAAGAGUUUCAUCUUUAGGAUUGGCCGCUCUCACCACAAACAUAUAUAGUCUCAUCCAUAAAGGAUAGUCCAUAUCCCUUAAUUCCUUGGGUCAUCCCCUCUUUAGGAUGGUGAUGUACCCAAAAUCAAGAUGGGCUCGAUCUUGGAAGCUAUGGGCUUGCCUAUAGCCCUCUUCCACUUAAUCUUUUGAAAUUAGAGCUUUUAAAACAUUAGUAAUUGCCUAUCCUCUUUAAAAUUUCAAUGAGAGUAUUUUAUCCACAAAUGAAUUUUGAUAAAAUGUCCAUUCUCAAAUUUUAAAAUCUAUUUUUCAUAAAAAAAAAAAAAAAAAAAUCUCCUUCUUUACACAAUUACAAUUAAUAAAUAUUUUGUCUAUGAAAUUGUGGACCCCGCAUUUCGGCUCAAUGCGUUUCCCACUCGAUGGCAAGCUCGAUUUUUAUUUUGAAAAAUAAUGAUUUAAUCGGCUAAAAAAAAAGCGGAUUUGGAGUCACCACUUAUUUUUGUUUUAUUUUUAAGGGUAAACAAAAUAAGAAAUAAAAACCCUAAGUGUGACUCCUUGUUUUGGAAAAGGUCGGUCUACGAAAAAACAGAUCGGGUUCGGGGGUCAGGUUACUUAUCAGGAAGGUACGGUAUGAACCGUAGCACCCCUCUAAGCCCCUAAAAUGAGUCUCUACUAAUAAAAUGAAGUAGUCAUGGCAAUUAAUUAGGAAAUCAAUGAAUACUCGGAACUAUCAUGCACAUAUGAGAAUCAGAGUAUGUAUAGUGAAUAAUCAGAAUGAGUGAAUGCGUACCUGGGCAACAAACAACAACGCGCUAUCAUAGAAUGAGGUUAGUGAAUAAACACAAAAUGGUGAUAUGCAUAUCAUGGAACAUAGCAAAUCAAUCAAUCAAUCAAUUAGUCAUGAAUUCACAUAUGUAGGGCCCCCACCAAAGCCCAUUUUAUCUUACCUGAAUCAAUUCCGAUAACUCCAUCGUUCGGAAUUACGGAAUUUGAUUCCUUGCUUAUUUCAAAACAUUUUAAAAACAGAGGAGGUAUGUAAAUUACUUGCCAGAAAUAAAAGCGGCGGCAAAGUGUUAUUGAAAAUGUGAUUUUGGAACCUAAAGAAACUCUAAGGAUGAAGUAUGAGACAAUUGGGAUUAUUUGAGUACCAGGAUUUAAAAGAAUUUACAAAAUGGGAUUCCGGAUGAGAUAUCCGGGGAAAGCGGAACGUCGGCAGGCAGAAUUCCGGGUGCGAGAUGUCCGGGUGGAAUGUUGGGGGGGAGGAAUUCCGGAUGCGAUGCGUCCGGAUGGAAUGGCGGCGGGAGGAAUCUCCGGAUGCGGGGGGCGUCCGGGUGGAAUGGCGGAGGGAGGAAUUCCAGAUGUUGGGGCGUCUAGGUGGAAUGUUAGCGGAGGAGCGGGAGGCAUUCCGGGUGCGAUGUGUCCGGAUGGAAUGGCGGCGGGGGAAUUCUGGAUGCGAUAUGCGUCCGGGUGGAGUGUUAGCGGAGGAGAAAUUCCGGAUGCGAUGGGCGUCCGGGUGGAAUGGCGGCGGGAGGAAUUCCGGAUGCGAUGCGUCCGGAUGGAAUUAACAUGGUUGUGAGUAGCAUGAAGAAUGGGUAUGGACUGUAUGGACAUGGGGGCUUGGGUGAGUGGUUUUAAUGGGUAUGCAAAGGAGUGAAGGAUGGCAUGCACCCGUGAGACUCCAUGUAAGCGGGGGAGUGGGAUGGAGAAUGAAUGAGAGGCGGAUAGGUGUGGUGGAGGAUGCUUGACUCCUGCAAGCUCGAGUGAGGAAAAUGGAUAUGACGACCUAGAGAGAGAGAUAGAUAGAUGAACGAUGGGUAUGUAGGCAUAUUGGAUAAAACGAUGAAUAACAAAUGAAAAUGGGUAUGGAGAGGCUGAUGAGGUGAGCUUUGCCGCCAUGACAACUACCCCAGGUUUUUUAGGAUCUCUUUCGAGCGGGGAUGAGAAAUUGGACGCGUACCAUAACGGACAUCAAGAAACAGGGGAAGUAGAGAAACAGAACGUAAAAGAAGAUGAAUAAAUAAAGGAAAAUAUCAGAAAAUCCACUUCAUGAAUCAUGCAUAAAUCUUCUGAGCAGGUGGGUAAACCAUAUCGGAUGCAGCCACCCUCAUGACUCUCAAGCAUUUCAUAACCACAACAGGAACAUAUCAAAUUAAAAUGGACAAUGGCAAACACGUUUGCAAGGUCAUACUUCAACAAGCAGACUGGUGGCCUUCAUUAUCCACCCUAAACAACAUUAUGUUAUGGAAAAUCAGUGAAUAAUGAGAGACGAGGAGAAAACUGUGUACGUACCUGGUUCCUCAAGCAAAAAGAAAUCAAGUCUCAGCUCUCUCAAUGGAUUUUCUCUCUGCCGUCAAGAACUCUCCCCUGGCCAUGGAAGACCUUGCCGAGCAAAUCUCCUUUCUCUCGAAAAUCCCUCAUCUAGCCAACUCUUCCCUCACAAAACUUUCUUCCUUCUUUCCUUUCUUUUCUCUGCCUUUCUUUCUGGAUUUACCUUCUCGACCAUCUCUGCCGCAGCCACCUUUUCUCUGCCCUUAUCCCCCUUCUGCGGCCACCUUUUCUCUGCUCCACUCCUUCUACAGCCACAUUUUUCUAAUUCACUCAUUCUAUAGCCACCUUUUUGUCCCACUCCUUUUGCAGCUUCAAAAAGCGAAGUUGAUUCCUUAUGGCCACUAAGGAUGUGACACGUGGCCCGUUGGGAUAGUGACACCUGGGUAAAAAUGUGAUCUGCAAAAACAAAUAGAGAAGAAGUGACCCAUACCUAAAUGGGGGUCUACAAAUAUGCCCCUCUUCGGUAGAACUCACGAGUGCAAGGAAUAUGAACACUGAAGUGAAAGGGAAGUGUGAAUAGUGAGUGGAAUGAAGUGAACUCUACCGAAGAACCAAGGAGACCCCCAUAGGGACACUAGCAAACACUACAAGGAAAAUGUAAAAAGAUGACGUUUUUUAAGCAUCAAGAUAGAUAUAAGAUGACGCUUUCCAAAAGCGUCAUCUCUUAGACUGACAUCUUAUGAAUUUCCAAUUGUUGAUGCUUUUCAAAAGCGCCAUCUUCUUUGGCGGUUAACCAUGACGCUCAUAGAAAGCGUCAUUAUUCUAAACCUUGGCACUCUAUAAGUGUCAUUGUAAGUCUGCAAUUUCAUUCAUCUCAAUAUUGACACUCAAUAAAGCAUCAUUGUAUAGGUAGGAGCAACAUCGACACUCAUGAUAAGUGUCAUCUUAUAGCAUUUUUCAACCUUGACGCUCAAAAAAAGCAUCAUGUUCUUAAAUCUUCAACCUUGAUGCUUAUGAUAAGUGUCAUCUUAUAGCAAUUUUCAACCUUGACGCUCAAGAAAAGCAUCAUGUUCUUAAAUCCUCAACCUUGAUGCUUAUGAAAAGCGUCAUUGUAUAUUUUAAAGUGACGUUGACACUCAUAAUAAGUGUCAUCUUCUGCCUUUAUUAUCCUAUGAGAACAAAGCAUGACGCUUUAAAAAAGUGUCAUCUUAUCUCAUUCGAAAUUUUAAUAACCCAUAAAAGUCCUAAUUAUGCCCUGUUUUAUAAUUUUUCACAAACAAUGAAUGAGUAAUAAAAAGUUAAUUUAAGAAAGUCCUAGGAGAAAAAGUACUAAUUGUGGUGUUUCUCUUUCACUAUUAAAAUUUACUAAUAAACAGACAUAAUUAAAUAUGAAUUUUCUUAGCAUUAAAUUUAGUUGAAAUUGUUCAAAAAACUAAAAAAUUUACAACUUCUUUUUCAACUUUGAGUUGUUCAUAGUCUUUUGCUGCAUCUAGUUCUACAUCAUCUUUCUUCAAAAUGUAUAAGGAUGGUUACAAGUCACAUUCUAGAUGCUCAACCUGCAAAAAUAAUUGAGAGGUUACAUAUAACUAAUAUUGACAAAUAGUAAAAUAAAAAAACAACUCUAUAAAUGAAAUGUGUAUAUACCAAUUUUUUAAAUUUCCAAGAUAUAUUUCUUCUACUGCAAUAAAUUUUAACAUGUUGGAAGAACUAAACAAACCCCAAUAAUUUUGUUACACCAAAUUUCUAAAUAUUCCUUGAACUCUUGUUAUGUGUUUAAGAAAGCAAUCAAUAAACCACUUUCUAGUGUUUUCCCAAAUGCAAUAUUUGAUUUUGUCUAACUUGGGUUGAAUGCAAUAAUUAAAUUUGUCCAACUCAUAUUAUCAUUCAUAUUGUAAUCAUGAGUGAAUGAUGACUUGCAUCCAUGGUUAUCAAAAUAUGUUAUAAGUAUAUCUAACUUGGGUUGAAUGUAAUAAUUAAUUUUUUUCAACUCAUGUUAUCAUUCAUGUUGUAACCAUGAAUGGAUGAUGACUUCCACCUAUGGUUAUCAAAAUACGCUAUCAACAUAUUGGGUCUUGUCUUAAAUUUAAAGCAUGUAUACACUUAAUCAUUUUCUUAGACUAACUUAUUAUGGAUAGAAUUAAACCAAUUAAAUAACUAGGUUAGGUGGUUUCCCUUCAUCAAUGAAGAUUGUAUAUCCAUGUGGUUGCCUUCCUCCCUAAUUAGGCAUUACUAUGAAUUACAAUUAGCUAAAUGACCCAUUGUUCAUCAACUAUCUCCAUUAUAUGAUGGUCUUUUAGCCCUUCCACCCAAUUGGCCUUUACAAGUCAUCAAUUAUAUGUAUAAACAAAUGUCUCUAACUCUUAAAAAACUCAAAAAAAGAAAAGUCUUGAUCUUAGUGACUAUUUUGGUAUGAUUUAUAUCUUAUACAUGAAACUUCAACCAUUAACAUCUUUUCAUCCUUCUUAUAGGUCCUACAAGACACUGGAUGUUUUGCAAAGAAAGCAAGUAAGGAAUUAAAAGGAAAAAACUAUAAGUUUGAAAAAUUCUGAAAUUAUAAGUUAAAAUAUCUAUGUUCUUCCUACUGUUAAUAUCUAUUAUAGAUGAAAUUUACAAUUCAUUGGUUUUAUCUAUUUAACCAAUUAAUGUAGUUGGUAUGAAGUAUAAUGUCAAGAGAAGAGCUAGCUUGCAUGGGUACAUUAACAUCUAAUCAUGUGAGGAUAUCUAUUAUCCUAAGUAAACAUCCUAAAUAUGAAACUUACAUGAAAUGAUUUUGUAAACAUGGAAUUUAUUCAUAAAACUAACAAUAACCUAAGCAUCUUACCUCAACAUUCUUUUAUGAAAAUUUUCAACUAUUGCAGGGAGUCCUUCAUGUCAUUGAACAUGUUUAGGUCUGAAUAAGCAAGAGUAGUAGUGACGUACUUAAGAGAAUGACCUAUGUCUUUCAGUACAACCUGAAGAAUAUACAAUAAACAAUUUAGCAACAAAAUUAGAUUCUUAAAAGUUUUAACACAUUAAAUUCAAUAAGCUCAUUAAUUUCAAAGAAGGUUGGUAGCCAAAGGUAGUAGAAUAAUUGAGAUAAAGAAACUAGGAAUAAAGAAAAAUUAAUUUUAGGUAAAACAUUAUAAUUAAAUUGAUAUUUUAACUUGACAUGUUAUGAAUCCAUGAAAAAUAAUACAUUGGCAAUACUUAAUUGAUUAAAAGAGUAAAAUAACACCAAAUAUAGCAAAAAACUACAUGAUAUGGACAAAUGGUUUAUUUUUGUAACAGUCAUUAGCAAACUAAAAUUAAAAGGGCCUUGGUGGAGGAAAAAACUAUUAUAUCAAAAUGACUAGUUUCUUUCCUUAGAAUUGCAUUUAGAUUGAGGAGCUAUUAUUCAAGUUGAUACCCUAUUUUAGACAACGAGGCUUUGGAGGCCUAUUUAGAGAGAAUGAGAUGUUUUUUUUUUUUUUUUCCUUAGGCUUAUUUGUAAGAAGUCUUAAUCUAAUUUCCUAUUUUUUUAAUGUCAAAGAAAAUAUAAGUAUAAGAUAUUUUAAACUUUAAGCCCAUUAGUUUAGGAGGAGGCCUCUACAAAUUUAAAUUGAAAAAAGUUAUACAGCAAGUGAUCUUAAGGAUCUAAAAUGUUUUUUUUUUUAGGAUAGACAUAUUCUUAAUGCAUGCACAUGUAAUGAGACUAAAGACUUUCCUAAAAAUAGUUUGAAAAUGCAUGAAUUUUCGUACCAUUACAACACUAGGAUUUCAACAAAUCCAACUAAUAAGGAUGUAUACAGGAAAUACACAAAGGGUGUGACACCUACCAUGUCUACUAGGCUUCACCUCUCAAUUUGCCAAUUACACAUCCAUCAAAAUAGAGCAACCAUUGGAUGAUCCAUAUUGAAAACACUGCCAACUAGGAGUACCAAGAUAUAUAUUAACAAAUCAUGACUAAGAAUAAAUUAUAAAAUUAACAUUAACAAAAUAUUCACUAGAUCUUUAGAAUAAUAUGAAGUUAUAUUAGACUAUAGGUCAUACAAGGUACCUUCAAACAUGAGUAAUGAUUAAUUGAGUCAUUAACAUAACCCAAUCUGAGCGAACUUCAUUAAUUUCCAUUUCACUAUAUGUUUUUCUCCCAUUAAACUGAAAUGGAAUAACAUACAUCUUCACUAAGUUGAAAUGGAAAAUCAAGUGCUAUAGAAAAAUGACCAACCAUAUGAAUUGCAUUGCAUACAAACCUUUGAUGUUAGUUGGUUUGGAUUAGCAAUGAUUUCUUUCAUGUAUCUCAUCACGUAAUACCCACAUUCCACACUACCUGGUUGUCUUGGACACUAUGGCAAAAGUAUCAACAAUUACAACAAACAUAGCAUGAUGUUCUUACUUCUUUAGUAUCUAACUGAUCAUCAUAUUAAUCAUCGCCCAUUUCCUAAUUUUGUGUAGUGAAUUAAGUGGUCAAACAAUAUAUUUUAAUCUAAAGGAAUAAGUACUUACAACCACUUUCACCCAAGUCGGCUCUCUCUUUGAUGUUUUCUGUUUUUCUGGUGGGUUGAUUCUAAUUGCCCUAUAAAAAAGAAAUGAUGUUCUAUAGAUAAUAUGCAUUGUACUAAAAUAUGAGAAGUACACACUUACAUGUUAACUAUCUCCCUAAGAUCAUCACAUGGUUGACAAGCCAUUGGAUCAAGGUAAUAUGCAAUCAUUCUCUUCAUCUCCAGUGACACUAAGACCCAGUGGAAACUAAAGAAAAAAGAAAAAAAAUUGUAAUAUAAUAUCCACAAAUUAAUACAUCACAAACUAACUUAUAUACAAUAUAUCGAGAUUUGGGAUAAAAGGUUACUCUGGAUUGUAUGGAAUAAGCAUAUAUUCAGCAUGUUUUGCAUUCCUUAGUCGAUCCGCAAUGACCCUUGACCUGUUUUCUUUACUUCCCUCUCCCAUUCCAGCUUUUGAAACCAAUGCUGGAUUGACAAAAACAUAUUGUUCAACCUGCUUUCCAUCAAUCAACUUUCUAUGCAGGUGCCUAAUUAAAUCCCACAUAAUAAGUUAUCAACAAUCAUUAUAGGUCAUUAGCAAAUAACCUUUUACCUAAAAAAAGUGUGAAGAGUAAUUAAAAAAAUUAUAAAAUCCCUCACCAGAUGUAGUAUAAGAUACAAUUGGAUGACACUUCUUUUGAUGAUAUAAUCAUGUCCAUAUCUUCUUUCAUUAGGAAGGUCUUGAAACUCUCACCAAAAACAUCAUCUGGGAAGUCAACAGGAUGUACUCUUGAGGUACUCAGCAUGAGGCCAACCAAUGCCUCAAAAUUCUUGAUAUCUUGUGCUUUCUCACCCUUAGAUUUGACUUCAACUUCAUUUUCUUUUUGUUUCUUUCCUUUCUUGGAUGUCUAUACAAUUAAGAACCAUGAUACAAAUCAAAUCAACUAGUUGAAUAUACAAAAAAAAUGAAAAAUAAAAUAAAAUUUAAGGUUAUCAUAAAGCUUGGUAAAUAAAUUUACUCACCGAGAUAAGAGUAUGAAUGAUGACUAAAUGAGCUGGCCACAAAACUUGGUAACCAAUUGCAGCCCUAACAGUAGUAGUUUGUCCAGGAAUAGGAAUGGGAAGGGGUGCACUUGAAUCAUAAGAAGCAUCAACAACUACUAGAUAGUUGGGACCACAUUCAAGUAUAAUUGUGCCACCGGCCACUAUAUUUUCCUUGGUCUCCACAGCCAACUCACAUUUUCUAACCUACAAAAUGAAGUUAUAUUAUUAGAUAUGAGCCAAUAUUCUAUAUUUCAUUCUUUCAAGUCUACAUCUUCAAAAUAACAUUGGUUAAUAUUGAAAGCCAUCUAUAAGGUACAAGCAAAAAUGUGAGAUAUGAAGUAAUUUUAGAUCACAUUGGAAAGAUUAAAUGAAGGCAUGCAAAUUAUUAUGUGUUUAUAUAAAGAAUAGCUAUUCUUAAAAUAAAAGAGGUUAGUAAUGCAUAAUCAAUCAAAAUAAUUAUUGAACAUUAAAAAGUUUCAUAAUAUAUGAAAUAAAAAUCUCAUAUGAUCUAAUUAUGUAGACAACAAAAUUAUAUUAUCUAUUUUGUAAAUGCCCAAAAUGCUAAAAAAAAAUUUGACAACUUUUUGAUUUUCUUAUAUUGCACCACAUAAAAGAAAACCAUAUAUGUUCCACCAACAAUUAAAUUAAAUUCAAACAAAAAAAUUUACCUAAAUUAUAUCUCCUAUUACAACAAAAAUUAUCAUCAAAUUAACUAGAUAAAUACCUUGUUCUUUGGUUCUAUUGGCACUAGUGGACUUGCAUCUUCACCUCUACGGAUUGGCUUCUCCACUACUUCUAGUAGGAGAAGCUGUUUUUGUUUCAUGUUCGAACUGCUAACAUCAGAUUGGGGAGUGACUACUCCCACUUGAGACAGUUUUGCUAGCACUUCUGCUUGAAAGUUUCUUUGCUCUUCUUUAGAUGCUGCUAUAAAAUCCCUAACAGCACGAUCUACAGCACUAUUAAAAUAUUGACGAGGUAUGUGGUGCUUCCCUUUGGCUCUAACUCGACCACUAUACUCAGGAGUACCCAAUGCUUCUACAAGUAUAUCAUUACUCCCAUUGACACUCCUACCAUUCUCUUGAGACUCUUUCAACAACUUAUCCUUAAAAAAAAUGUUAAUUAUGAAGUUCAAUUAUAAAUUUGUUAUCAUAAAUUAGCUAUUAUAAAUAAAUGAAAUUAAGGUUGAAAAUAUCCACUUACUAUUUUUUCAAUCACUGGUAUGGCCACUUCAUCAAAGGUGCCAUCUUUUUUUUCUCUUGCUUUCUUCCAUAAUAUGCUUCGAUCAAUACUUUCAGUUGACCCACUUGCAACCAUCUUUUAAAAGGAGACAAUGUAUAAUGUAAUAAGCAUAUAACACUAUUAUGUAUUAUGUAUAAAAUAAAUAAAUAAACUAUAAAUUAGUAUAAACUUACCAUCUCUUCCUCAAGACCAGCAUUUCCUUUCCUACUUAGAUGGUGAUUAUAAAUGUGUUUCUUUCUUCUUUCUUUUUGAACUUCUCGAUAUUCCUAUAAAUUAAAAAUGCAUAAUUAAUGAAUGUGAAUACAAGAUAUGUAAAGAGUUGUAAUUAUACCUUAAAUCUAUCAGACAAUCGAUCUUUAACAAACAUUUUCCAAUCUUCAUCCUCAAUAAAAAUAUAUUGAAUUGGCGGUUUUUUGAGGAGCUCCGGUUGGUCUUUGAAAGGAAGAAUGUACUUCACUGUUAGCAUGUUCUUAAAUGAUCGAAAACAUUUUCCAAUGGUUAGCAUACAAUUCCUCCUACUUUUGGGAUUCAAUGAAAAAGCACCCUACACAUUAAUAGUAUACAUGUUAGUAACUUAAUAUGGUUAGGAAUGAUUGAUGUUUUGCAUAAAGAUGAUGUAGGUAAGAAUGUGUUACCUCAAUGCUAUCCCAUAACUUAUCCUUCAACUGUUUAGGUACAACAUGCCACGUUUGAUAUCUUAUUGGCACCAUAGUGUGUGCUAAUACGCCUAAAUAGCUUGUUAGAUGAACUGCUGAUUCUCCUAUGAAAAUGCCAUCAAGAUUGUACUUAACCUGCAACUUGAUCCCUUUGCUUCUGUUCUUGGUAAUCAUGGACUUUCGUGUCAUUCCUCUGUACUUCCUUUUUGUGGUUUUUUCUCCUUUCUCUGGAUCCAUUCUGGUAACAAAAAACAAAAAAACAAAACAAAACAAAACUAAUAAAGAUUAGUUAACAUUAUAUUAGAUAUAACCGUGUUAGAGAAGAGUUGUAAAAAGAAAAUUUUAGACAAAACAAUCCCUCAUCAUUGCAUAAUGAAAUGCCACCAAUGAAAUGGCCUUAUCUAUUCUCAGUUUCUUAUUCACUUGUGCCAUAAAAGUGAGACAACGAUAGUCUUUAAUUAAGUUCAUUUAGUUGUGUGCUUCAAUUAUUUGGACCUUUUGUUGUUUCAAAUACUUUUUUUUAGUGAAUUGUAUGUAUUUAGAUCAUACAUUUCAUGGACCUUUUUUUUGGAAUGGUUCAUCACAUAACGAAGUUGACAUUUCAGUUUAGCUAUUUUUUCUCCCUCUUUCUUGCUCAUUUGAUUUAUUUUAAUUUAAAUUUGUUUUAUUUUAUGAACUUUUAUAUUCUAGUAUGUGUUUCUCUUAUUAUUUUUUUCUAAUCCAUUGUCAUUUUCUUUUGAAUUUUCCUAUGAGAGCCUUUUAGAAUUGCAUAUUUAACUUACUGAAUUGUUAACUAGUUCAUAUCAAAACUAAAAUUUACAUAUAAGAAUUUUACAAGAAUCAUACUUGAUAUUUGCUUUAGUAUAUCAAAUUUUAAUAACAAGAAAUGUCAAAUGUAGAAGCAAAAUAAUAAUAAGAAUAAUAAUAAUAAAUAAUAGUAAUAAUAAUGUCAAAAUGGCAUCAACUUAGGCAAUCAACUUGAUGUUCUUUGGAAACAAAAAGAAUUAAAAUUACCUGUUUUGUGGGAUCUGCAACCCACUCGGCAUCCUUUAUUUCUACAUCAUUAUUAUAAGUUUACAAUUCAGCUACAUAGAGGAUUUGUUCUCAAUCCAAAUCCCCUCACAAUCACCUCUUAUACAUAUUGCAUCUGAGUCAUCCAUUGCAUCAAACGCUUCAACUUCUGGCAAUGUCCCUAUAAAGGGAUGGUGUUCAAUAGAAUUGUCCACAAGGUCAUCACUUUCUUCCUUAUCCAAGAAAUCUUUUUAAGGAGUUGACAAAACAACUGAAUAUCUUGGAUCAAGUUGGUCUUGCACAUAAAAUACUUGCUUGGCUUGAGAUGCCAAAAUGAAAGGAUCUGAUUUAUGAGCAAUUUUAUUAAAGUCAACUAAUGUAAAGCCAAGAUCGUCAACUUUUAUGCCAUUCUUAUUAUCAAUCCAAUCACACUUGAAAACUGGUAUCCUAAACAUGGUAUAAUCAAGGUCCUAGAUCUCGUUAAUAAUCCCGUAGAAACAAAGCUCACCAAACACUGGCUUUUGAUCCUUGGCACUUGCAAUUUGCAUUGUUGAAGCUAUAAUACUAACUCCGCUAUUUUGGGUAGCUCGUAAGUCAUCACGCUCCUUACUAUGGUAUCGACAUCCAUUAAUGACAUAUCCAUGAUAUUUCGAGACAUAGUGGCUAGGACCAUGAGCUAUCCACUUAAGGGUCUCAGAUAUAGGUUCAUUGUUACCAAUUGCAACUUCAAUCUGCAAUUAUAAAUAAUAGUUACUAUGUAUGUUCAACAUUAGUAAAAAGAAUAGUUCAAAUUUGAGCACCAAUUUGAUACCUUUUUUCGAAACCAAUAAGUAAAUGUUCGCAUGUGUUCAUUCUGGAGCCACUUUUGUCUUUUAGAUUGACGAGGAUUUUUCAAUUUCAACCAUUCCAUGUGCUCUCUAUGCAAUUAUUUAUAAAAAUUUCAAAGUUUUUGUCCUGUAGUUAAUUUAAGUAUAACAAAUAAAUAUUAAGUGUUAGUAGUUCUUACUCGAUAUAAGGUUGGACAAUAGUUGUAUUCUCUAAAACAUAAUGAUGUGCAUGCAACCACAAAUUAGAAUCAACGAUCACAACUUGACCUCCAGGUAUCGGUGCCCCAAUUUUUUGGUUAAUGUUUACACUAAUAGGAAUCCCAAUUGCAUCUACAUUUGAUAAGUACUCUGUACAAAAUUCAAUAGCUUCCUCCACAAUAUAGCAUUCGACGAUGCAACCUUCGGGUCGGUUACGAUUUCGCACAUACCCUUUCAAAACUUUCAUGAAUCUUUCAAAAGGGUACAUCCACCUUAGGUAAACCGGUCCACAAAGUCUGACCUCUCUUACAAGAUGCACAGUAAGAUGGAGCAUGAUAUCGAAGAAGAAAGGUGGGAAGUACUUCUCAAGUAAGCAUAAUGUCACCACUACAUCAUUUUGUAACUUAUCCAAUGCAGGCACAUCAACCACUUUGCUACAAAGAGCAUUGAAAAAAAAACUCAAUCUACAAAUAGCAUGUCUUACAUGCUUUGGUAAAACUGAUCGUAAUGACACUAGCAAUAACUGUUGCAUUAAUGCAUGAUAGUCAUGGGAUUUAAAACCAUAAAGCUUCAAGUCUUCCAUUGACACAAGGUUUCUCAUGUUAGAGCAAUAACCUUUAGGAACCUUUAAUUGUGAUAAAGUUUGGCAAAAAAGCUUCUUCUCCACUUUAGAUAGUGUGUAACAUGUAAGUGAGAGGUAAGUUCGAUUUGAUUCAAACCUUGGCCCUAAUUCACACCUUAAGCCCAUCUCCAGAAGGUCUAAACGAGAAUUAAGUCCAUCCUUUGUCUUACCUGGAAUGUUAAGUAAGGUACUGAUGAUGCUUUCACAAACAUUUUUCUCUAUAUGCAUUACAUCCAAGUUAUGACGAACAUGUAGGUAUUUCCAAUACUCAAGAUCAAAGAAUAUAGACUUUUUCUUCCAACAAUUUCUAGUUUUGACAUUCAACUUACCUUGAGUCAUCUUAUUUUUUCCCCAUGAAUUACAAAUGACAUCAAUUUUCCUUAGAAUUUCCUCUCCACUCAAUGGUUGCAAAGGUGACCGAAACUCUUGUUCCCCAUUAAAUGCUUUUUUUGUUUCCUAAAAGGAUGAUUGCAAGGAAGAAAUCGUCUAUGACCUGUAUAUGAGUUCUUUUUCCCAUGCUUCAAUCUAUGAGAGUAGGUAUCUUCCCCACAUAUGGGGCAUGCAAAAUAUCAUUUAACUGUGCAACCAGAUAAGUUUCUGAUAACCCGACUCUUGGUAGCUUGGCAUGUAAGGGUAUCAACAAAAUUUAUACCUAAGGUCCUUACACUAAAGUAGCAAAGCUACUGUAGCAUAGUGGCUCUAGGAUCGAACACUGGGAAGGGUUUUUACUUUAACUAGUGAAGUUCGGAGGAUGGAGUGAACUUUUCUUAAUAAAAAUUAGGUUAAGAUGAAAACAUAAAAAGAUGAAGGUGUUGUAAACUAAACCAACAUGAAAAUAGGUUAAAAGAUGGAAAAAGAAGUUUCUCAAAGCUUUGGAUAGCCAUGCUUAACUCACUGUGUAAAAAUGGAGAUUUUGGGACUCUUCACCUCGAGUUGGGGAAGCAACUAAGGUGAUGCUUACUUCCCGAACCGGUAUGAGUUUAACAACUGAGUUUUAGUCCUUGAAAACUUACAAAAAGGGUAGUUGAACCUCAUAAAUGCUCUUUUAAUGAUAUAGGUCAUCUCCUCGACUUGCAAUACAAUGGCUCGUAGGAGAUAACUAAUGAACAUCAGUGGAUCUAACAAUAAGAAUCCACUGAGACCAAAAGGUUAUCAAGUAUUGGCCAUUCAAAGCAAGUCAGAGGGAUUAAAAGCUUUACUUUGAAUGAAAACAUUUAUGACGCUCAGCUACUUACAUUCAUGGCUUGGAAAUCUCCAUCCUGACACGGGAGCUUCACAUGGCAUCCAUUACUUCAAGAAACUAAAAGGUUUUAGCCUCUCAUCCUUGGGGAUUUCAUCCUCCAAGGGUGUUUGGCUACUAAGAAAAUGAGAAAGAAAAGAGAAAAGAAGCUUCUGAACAAAAGUGCUCUUAUAACUUAUAAAGUUACAGGUUACAAGAUUUUAUAUCCUUGUCUGAGGCUCUUCACCUUUAUUUAAAGACAAUAACAAGCUAAAUUACAAGAGCUAUUACAAAAGCAACCUAUUCAUUGGUUGAUUACAAGGGUAAAAUAGGUAUUUACAAAGCUAAAAAUCAAGCAAAAUAUCUUGGAGAACCGGUAGUGGAAUAACAUCAACAACGUCUCAAAACAGGGGAUUCAAAGGAAUUUCGCAAUGUGCCUAAAUCCUCCUUGCGAAAUUUUCGCAAUGUGAAAUUCACAUUGCGAAAUGGCAAAAUUUCGCACCAUGAAGAAAAUCCCCUUGCGAAAUGGCAAAAUUUCGCACCAUGAAGAAAAUCUCCUUGCGAAAUUGGUCAUUUGACAUGAUGCAGUUGCCUUCCAAAAGUCAUAUCUUCCUCAUUUCAGCUCCAAAUCAUACACGGUUUGAAGCGUUGGAUUCUUGACUUCCUAAGCUUUCAAAUGGUAUAUAGCAUGCAAAAAAUGGACUUCGGGAAGUGCUCCAAAAGUUCAAAGGAAGACUGCAGCUGUUUUCUUCACUCUGUUUUCCUCUUCUCCAUUGCUUGUGCUCGUGUUUCCACUUGAAAUUCAAGCCUAUAAACGUACAAAAUCCUUGCUUAACUCGCCCAAGUAGCUCCUCCAUCAAUUGGCAUGCUUGAAUCGAUUCAUAAGCUGAUAAAAACAUGUAAACUUGCCACAAAAUGGUUAAAACCAAUUACUAAGGACCUUAAUGAAUUAAUUGGGUUAAAUGAAUAUGAUUACUACUCAAAGGUGCUUAAAACCAUUAUUAUUAGGUCUACAAAAUAGCACUUUUUGGUAGUAAUCACACCCCCCAACCGACUCAUUGCUAGUCCCUUAGCAAUGGAGGAGAUAAAAACUAAGUAAACUAUAAUAAUAUACAUAAAAGGGAUCAUGCAAAUCACUCCAAAAAAUGAUAUGAGUGGCAUGAUGGACAUCCAUGGAUCAAUAAAGAUGUGAAACUCAACCUAUAAUAAGAGUUGUCAAAGCAUUCACUUGAUCAUAGAGUACAAAGAAUGGAUAUUAUGCAAGUUUAAGCAUCAAAAGAAUUUCCACUCUCAAAAGAUCCAAAUCAAAUUCUUCCACUACAAGCUAAGUGUUAAUGUGAUUAGCUUCCGAGUAUAGUAUGGAUAACUAUCAUCUCCCCCCAACCUAAGUCUUUCUUUAAGCUUAGCAAAAUUAACCAUCUCUUGAUAGGCUAGGAACGCACCUCUUAUUCACAAUUCUUUUCACUUACUAAACUUAACCAAUUCACCCAUGUAACAAGCAGAGGAUCGGUGACUCCCAACCAAUAAAGGCUUAGGGCACCAGGCUUUAAAGGCUUUCGCCACCCCUUCGGACCAUGCUCAGGUUUCAAGGCAAGAAAAGAAGUUUAUUCUUUUUUUUUUUUUCUUUUUCUUUUUCUUUUUCUAUUUUUUCAAAGACUCAUUGGUCUUUAUGAGGUGUCCCAACACUAUUAAAGAGAGGUUAAAGGUGACAAAUUAUGAUUUCUCAAGCUUAGAGGGUGAGAUAGUUUCACAUCUUAUAAUCGGAAUCUAAUGUAUGUGUGUGCGAAUAGCUUAAGGUGGAAGAGAUAAGUUUGCAUGCAAUGGGAGCUUCAACCAUUCAUCAACUUUUAGAAGAGCAUAAUACAAACUCUAAGACUCAUGUAAUCAAGUUGAAACUCGACUUCUCUCAUUUAAUUUUGAGAGUUAAUCCUUAAUAUCCAUGGAGUUUAAAGCAAAAAUUUUAAAAAUUUAAAAAAGUAGCUAAUUUAACUAAGUAUGAUAAAAAUUUAAACUAAUACUUACUUCCUCAUCUCUCCCCCCAACCGAGAUGAACAUUGUCCUCAAUGUUUGAAUCGAAAAUAAGGAGGAAGGAAGUGGUACCUCAUGUGAUGUGGACUUGGAGUUGAGAAGGUUGAACACCUGUUUCAAAAUUCAAAAAUUGAAUGAGAGAGGAAUUUAUACUAAAUAUUUACAAAAAUGAUGAGUGGGCCCCACUUUGAGCAGCUGAGGACAAGACUCAAAGGGUCCAUGCCAUGAUGGUAUAUUCAUAUAAGUUGCAAUGACAUUUGAAUGUAGCUUGCAGGGGUGUUAAAAUUGGAGAUUUUUGGCUAAAACAGGGGAAAACAAAGGAGGAGUGAACAGUGAGUGCCAAAAUUGGCACAGUCACUGUUCACCUCCUUUGAAGCCCGACUGUGUGUUUUCCAAGUUUUGGGAAAAAAUUCAAAAAUGGUUUUUUAAAAGGUAUGGUUAGGCUCUAAACAAGAUUCCUGAGGUGUUUGGGUAGUUUUUAAAUGAUGAAAAACAAAAUUAAAUGAUGGAAAAUGAAAAUCAAAGUGGACGGCCAUGCAUGGAAUGGUUUUGAAAAUUGAUUUUUAAAAAGUUUUGGAUGGAUGGGAUUUCUAAAAUUGGGUUUGGAUUUGAAAACAAAAGGUUUGGAAAUGCAUUCAUGAAUUUUUAAACUUGGAAAAACAUGGAAUUCAAGAAAAAGGCCUUUCCGAGAGCUUUGUUUUUAGAAAUUAGCUUGAAAAUCAUUUCGCACCAAGAUAAACAAGGUGCGAAAGUUUUCGCACUGGUAAUUGAGGUGCAAAGAUAGCAUCCCGGGAGGCUUGGCUUUCCAAAAUGUAUAGAAAUUCCUUUUCGCACCAUGCACUGUCACUGUGCGAAAAAUUCGCACUGAGUGUGUUCAUGGUGCGAAAUUCCACUGAGAGCUUUGCUUAUGCAUUUUGGCUCCCCUGUUUCCUUUGUUUCACCUCCAUUUCGAUUUUUGCAAGCAUCGUACCUGCAUGAACACUUCAAAACUCAUCUUAAAACCAUAUUAAAACUAAAUUAAAGCUAAGAAUUCAAACUAAAACAUGCAUAAAUUUAAAGAAAGCAUAGAAUUUAAAUGAAGCUGAUAGCAUGUACCCCAAAAAGAAGAUGAACUAUUUAGCUCAUCCUCACUCACACACCCACUUCAUGCUGAAUUCCCCCUGGAUCCCAAACAAAAUUGGCAUCCCUCACUUGAGACUUGCUUUGUAUGAUCUUGCCAUACAAAGCUUGGGGGAAAAAUGGAUGCAUCUGUUUCUUCAUUAUUUCUUCUUUGAUGACUAUCUUCUGAGGUUCUUCGUCUAUAUAGUCAUCUUUCUCUAUGCUUUUCCCCUUUUUCUUUCCUUUGAUUUCCUCCCUCUUUUCUUUCUCUAUUUCAUUCUCUACCUCAUGCUCUAGUUUGCAUGUGGGCAGAUCAACCUCUUUAUCUCCCUCCUUAGCCUCCAUUUCAUGGAUACCCUUUUGAUUUUGAUGAGGUUGAGAAGGAGAGUUUUCUUUCUCUUGCAUUGUGUUGAGGUUGGAAAACCUUAAGAUUGAAUCUUGGAUAUUAUCUAUCUUUUGAGAUAGAUCAUGUUGCACUCCAUCCAUCUUUUUAUUCAAUGAACUCUCUACUCUGUCAGGGAGUGAUAUUUUUUGACUGAGCUGAGCAUUGAUGGAUUUCUGAGGUUCAACAAAAUCUUCCAUGACUUUGUUAAGAUUCAUCAUAGCUUGUUCAAGGUUUAAGGCUUGCUGUGGUGCUUGAGCAGGUUGCUGGUACUGAGGUGGCUGUGGUUUCCAAGAGAACUUUGGAUGUUUCCUCCAAUUGGAAUUGUAGGUGUUGCAAUCACCAAACAUUUUCCUUACCACUGGAAUGGUAGGACACUCCUCCACUAAGUGCUCAAAAGACUGACAAAUGGCACAAAGCAUAGCUUGCAAUGGUGUCUGAGAGAUGGCUUGCACUUCUUGCAUCUGGUUCUUUUCUAGCUCUUCCAAUCUCCUCUCCAUAGCUGCAAUCUUUGCCUUCAUGUCCAUGCCAUCAUUCAAAAUAUACAUCUCACCCUUAGCUUUAGGUUGAGACGUCAUUCUUCCCAUAUCUCUAGCAUUUGGUUCACCCCAUUCUCUUGAAAAUUCAGCCACAUAACUGAAGUUCAUGGCUUCCUCUGCUAUCUCAUAUUCAAUAUGGCAUGCACAACUAGCAAUUUGUGAAUUAAAAACAGAGAAAACAAAAGAAAAUAAAAGAAAAUAAAAUUCUAAAGAAAAAAAAUUAUUAAGAUUAACUAAAAACUAAAUAAAAGAUAUACUAACACAUGAACAAAGAAAAAUAAAAUAAAAUAAAAAGUUAGUAAAAGGAAAAUAAGAUAGAAUUCACCUCACUCAUGAGAAGUCUCACAAGUUACCUCCGGCUGAUAUAUUCAUAGUGAAGUAGCACCUUCCCCGGCAACGGCGCCAUUUGAUAACCCGACUCUUGGUAGCUUGGCAUGUAAGGGUAUCAACAAAAUUUAUACCUAACGUCCUUACACUAAAGUAGCAAAGCUACUAUAGCAUAGUGGCUCUAGGAUCGAACACUGGGAAGGGUUUUUACUUUAACUGGUGAAGUUCGGAGGAUGGAGUGAACUUUUCUUAAUAAAAAUUAAGUUAAGAUGAAAACAUAUAAAGAUGAAGGUGUGUAAACUAAACUAACAUGAAAAUAGGUUAAAAGAUGGAAAAAGAAGUUUCUCAAAGCUUUGGAUAGCCAUGCUUAACUCACUGUGUAAAAAUGGAGAUUUUGGGACUUUUCACCUCGAGUUGGGGAAGCAACUAAGGUGAUGCUUACUUCCCGAACCGGUAUGAGUUUAACAACUGAGUUUUAGUCCUUGAAAACUUACAAAAAGGGUAGCUGAACCUCAUAAAUGCCCUUUUAAUGAUAUAGGUCAUCUCCUCGACUUGCAAUACAAUGGCUCGUAGGAGAUAACUAAUGAACAUCAGUGGAUCUAACAAUAAGAAUCCACUGAGACCAAAAGGUUAUCAAGUAUUGGCCAUUCAAAGCAAGUCAGAGGGAUUAAAAGCUUUACUUUGAAUGAAAACAUUUAUGACGCUCAGCUACUUACAUUCAUGGCUUGGAAAUCUCCAUCCUGACACGGGAGCUUCACAUGGCAUCCAUUACUUCAAGAAACUAAAAGGUUUUAGCCUCUCAUCCUUGGGGAUUUCAUCCUCCAAGGGUGUUUGGCUACUAAGAAAAUGAGAAAGAAAAGAGAAAAGAAGCUUCUGAACAAAAGUGCACUUAUAACUUAUAAAGUUACAGGUUACAAGAUUUUAUAUCCUUGUCUGAGGCUCUUCACCUCUAUUUAAAGACAAUAACAAGCUAAAUUACAAGAGCUAUUACAAAAACAACCUAUUCAUUGGUUGAUUACAAGGGUAAAAUAGGUAUUUACAAAGCUAAAAAUCAAGCAAAAUAUCUUGGAGAACCGGUAGUGGAAUAACAUCAACAACGUCUCAAAACAGGGGAUUCAAAGGAAUUUCGCAAUGUGCCUAAAUCCUCCUUGCGAAAUUUUCGCAAUGUGAAAUUCACAUUGCGAAAUGGCAAAAUUUCGCACCAUGAAGAAAAUCCCCUUGCGAAAUGGCAAAAUUUCGCACCAUGAAGAAAAUCUCCUUGCGAAAUUGGUCAUUUGACAUGAUGCAGUUGCCUUCCAAAAGCCAUAUCUUCCUCAUUUCAGCUCCAAAUCAUACACGGUUUGAAGCGUUGGAUUUUUGACUUCCUAAGCUUUCAAAUGAUAUAUAGCAUGCAAAAAAUGGACUUCGAGAAGUGCUCCAAAAGUUCAAAGGAAGACUGCAGCUGUUUUCUUCACUCUGUUUUCUUCACUCUGUUUUCCUCUUCUCCAUUGCUUGUGCUCGUGUUUCCACUUGAAAUUCAAGCCUAUAAACGUACAAAAUCCUUGCUUAACUCGCCCAAGUAGCUCCUCCAUCAAUUGGCAUGCUUGAAUCGAUUCAUAAGCUGAUAAAAACAUGUAAACUUGCCACAAAAUGGUUAAAACCAAUUACUAAGGACCUUAAUGAAUUAAUUGGGUUAAAUGAAUAUGAUUACUACUCAAAGGUGCUUAAAACCAUUAUUAUUAGGUCUACAAAAUAGCACUUUUUGGUAGUAAUCAGUUUCCAUACGCAGGAAAAUCAUUGAUUGUCCACAGUAGAACAGCUCUUAAUGUAAACAACUCUUGUUGAUGUGCAUCAUAAGAUUCAACCCCCACCUCCCACAACAAUUUUAGGUCAUCCAAAAAUGGUGCUAAAUAAACAUCAAUGUCAUUUCCAGGUUGUCGUGGACCCGAUAUUAACAAAGACAACAUCAUAAACUUCCUUUUCAUGCAUAACCAGGGAGGAAGGUUAUAAAUUACCAUUAUAAUAGGCCAACAACUGUGUCUACUACUCAUUGAACUGUGAGGAUUUAUACCAUCUGCUGAAAUAGCAAGUCUAAGGUUUCUAGGUUUUGAAGCAAAAUCAGGCCAUCUGUGAUUGACUAGUUUCCAUGAUGGGGAGUCAGAUGGAUGACGUAAUUUUCCAUCAAAUUCUCUUUCUUGGGCAUGCCAUAUGAGGUAUUUUGCAACUGUUGGGGACCGAAACAAUCUUCUAAAUCUUGGAAUAGGAGGAAAAUACCACAUUACUUUUGCAGGGACUCCCUUCCUCUUUUUAGUUUUUGUUCUAUCUAACUUCCAUCGUGAAGUUCCACAAGUUGGACAUGAAGAUGCAUCCUUCAAAUCAUUCCUAUACAAUAUGCAAUCAUUCGGACAAACAUGUAUUUUCUCAUAUUCCAUUCCCAAUGCAUUCAAUGUCUUUUUUGCUUCAUACAUAGACAAGGGUAACUCAUUGUUUAGAGGUAACAUAUCUCAAACAAUUCCUAAAAGCUCUGAAAAACUUUUAUCAGACCAUCCAUACCGUGCUUUCAGGUUGUAUAAUUUCACCAAUGCAGACAACUUUGUAAAGUUUCUACAACCAGGAUAUAAAGGUUUUUGGGCAUCUUCAAGCAAUGUUUCAUAAAAUUCUGGGUCAUUCUUACAAUCAUCAUGUGCAGCUGAACCAUUUCUACUGUACUAUCCACAUCAGUAAAUUGAACCGUAUGAUGACAUUCUGCCCGACUAGUUGGUGGUCCACUUGGAGCGGCAUCUCCAUGCCAAUACCAUGUAUGAUAACUCUGAUCAAUUCCAUAGAAAAAUAAAUGCUCUCUAAUUUUUUGAGAAGUAUGGAAUAUCAUAUUACCACAUUGAAGGCAUGGGCAUUUAAUGGAGUUUUUAUAUGCAGAAUGUUUUAAUGCGAAUGCGAGAAAGCUUUCUACCCCAUCCGCAUAAUCCUUUGAUCUCCUAUCCUUUGUCAUCCAAGAGCGAUCCAUUUGAUGUACAACAGAGAAACAAAGCUCCUAGAUACCACCAACCACUAAAGUUAUUAAUAACUAUCCUAUUAAUAACCUCAAAAUAUAUGAUCCACCAAUUUCAAAUUUCAAACAUUGUCACAAAUACUUUUACCAAUCCAAAAAACAAUAAUGUGUAAGUCAUCUAACUAUAAGCAAUAUGACAACAAAUAUAAUUAGUAUAUUAGGUUAUUAAAAAAUUAGAAUAAAAAAUGGAUCUGAAUUCCAUCAUUAUGUUUGGUUUGUGCAUGAAUAGGAAUCAAAAGUUAGAUGUAACUCUCAAUCUUGUGUUCUAUUCUCAAGUACACCAAGUUUGAAAUUUUAAAAAGUUUGAAAAAUACUAAAUCACAUAAUUUCUGUAAUGCCACAAGAUGAGCAAGACACAUGGAUGGAAAUAUCUUUUUAAUUAUGGGUUGAAAAUCAUUUCUUUUAAAUCUAAGUAUCUUCUUAACAUCAUCUUGAUUGUUGAAUAGUAUCAAACAUAGACAUAUGAAAGAGUAAUAAUUGAGAUAAUACCAACUAAUACAUAAAUAUCACUAUGGAAAACAACAAAAGUUUCCAAAUGUUUCAAUUAAUAGGAAAAAAUGGGUUUACUCCAUCAAAAUUUGAUAGAGUACUUAAAAUGAGACUUAAAAGUUCACUUGUUAGAUGAAGCACAAAAUAAGAAAGGUAAGUAGAAGGAUGAUACUCAAUGAUAAAGCUUUCAUCAAUUUCAUUGAAUUUGCUCCUAGAGGAGACAAUGAUAACAUGAACUAAAAAAGUGAACUAAUAUGGCUAAGCUUUCGAUGAGUACAAGCAAGUGAUUUAUGCAUGAUUUAUGCAUUCUAACAUCUCCAACAUCCUUAAUUAGGUAGUGGUUCCUAUCCCAUAUAGGAAUACAUAAUCCCUAUGUAUCAAUUGCCUUGUACUCAAUUUAAUUUUAAAGAAAUUUCGGCAGCAUUUUCCUAUAGUUCUCCAAGUACACAAAAUGGACAAGGCACAAUAUGUAACCUUGUCCAAAUAUGCACCCAGAGAACAAGAGGAAAGACUACCAAACUUUCUAAAAAUUGAAUUAAGAACAAAGAAUUAACUUCAUAGAUAUUAUGUUUUCCUAUACUGUCCUAUUGGACAAUUCAAGCAUCAUUUGUAGAGAAAAGAACUUUAUCACAAGCUAGACAAAUUUAAAAGUUGUCAACUUGAAAAUGGCCUAGAUAGACAAUUUUCACCAUUUGACAACUUAAAUGUCUUUAUUAUGUAAUAAGAGAACCUUUUGUCUUCCAAUGAUACUUGAAUGGGAGCUCUAAGGUUUCAUGCAUGCAUGUUUGAUUAAAAUUAAAACAUCAUAAUGAUUUAUUGAAUUAUUAUAACAUAGCAACAUAACUCUCAUUCUAUCAUGUUUAUCUCAAAUAUAUAACAUUUAAGAUGGAGCCAUAAGAACCUUUUCACAACUUAGACCAACAUCUUCUACAAAAAGGGUUCAUAGUAAAUAUAAUCAAAUUAAUAUGAUUUGACAAUUUUAAAUGCACAAUAAGUAAUUAUCUUACAAAACAAAUAAUAAGAGAACUAAAAGAAAACCAUGGUGACAUGAUCAUGCAAAUGAAUUGCACCUAGAAAACUAGUAAUAUGAAUGUCACUACUUAUAAUAGAAUAUAAGGUUCAGGAGGAGGUGGAUAAGCAUGCAAAGGAAAAGUCAUGACUGAUAACCCAUUUGUUGGUUUUAGUAGCCCAUUUGGACACUCUUAGACCCUUUUAGGCACAUUUGACCCAUCUAGGCUCAAUUAGUUUAAUCUAGGCACACUUUGGAUCACCUAGACCCACCGUAAGCAUACUUAGGUCACCAUUUAGGCAUUCUUUACGUAACUUGCAUGGUUGCAUGACUUGCAUGACCCUCAAUUUAUUUAUUUAUUUUUAUUUUUAUUAUAAAAAUAAAUGGAGAGAUUAAGUUUUAAAUAAAAAAAAUCAGGAUACUUUUUAAACGGAGGAGUUGACACUUAAAUGUUUUUUUUUUAAAAUAAAAUAUUAAGUUUUUAGAUUUGAAAAUCAGAUUUUUAUUUUUUUUUAAUAAAAUUAAUUUUGUAAUAAAAUAUUGAAAAAUUGAUGCCAUAAUAUUUUAUGUUUUUAAUAAAAAAAAGAGAAUUAACUUUAUUGUUAUUAUUAUUAUUAUUAUUAUUAUUAUUAUUUAUUUAUUGCAAAAUCAUUUUUUUUAUUGGAGAGAUUAAGUUUUAAAUUGAAAAAUCAGGAUAUUUUUAAAAUGGAGGAGUUGACACUUGAAUGUUUUUUUAAAAAAAAUAAAAGAUUAAGUUUUUAGAUUGGAAAAUCAGAAUUUUUUUUUAAUAAAAAAGAAGAUUUUUUUUAAUAAAAAAGAAGAUUUUUUUUAGUUUUUUUAAUAAAAGAUUGAAAAAUUGAUACCGGAAUAUUUUAUUUUUUAAAAAAAAAAAUAGAAUUAGCUUUAUUGUUAUUAUUAUUAUUAUUAUUAUUAUUUAUUUAUUUUUUUAUUGAAAAAUUAUUUUUUUUAUUGGAGAGAUUAAGUUUUAAAUCGAAAAAUCAGGAUUUUUUUAAACGGAGGAGUUGACACUUGAAUGUUUUUUUUUUUUUUGGAAAAUAAAAAAUUUAAGUUUUUAAAUUGGAAAAUCAGAAUUUUUUUUAAUAAAAAAUGAGAUUUUUAUUUUUUUAAUAAAAUCAAUUUUUUAAUAAAAGAUUGAAAAAUUGAUGCCAGAAUGUUUUAUUUUUUUAAUAAAAAAAAGGGAGAAUUAGCUUCAUUGUUAUUAUUAUUAUUAUUAUUAUUUAUUGAAAAAUCAUUUUUUUAUUAGAGAGAUAAAGUUUUAAAUCAAAAAAUUAGGAUAUUUUUUAAACGUAGGAGUUCACGCUUGAAUGUUUUUUUUUGAAAAUAAAAUAUUAAGUGUUUAGAUUGGAAAAUAAGAUAAUUUUUUGAAAAAAAAGAGAUUUUUAUUUUUAUUUUAAUAAAAUCAAUUUUUUAAUAAAAGAUUGAAAAUUUGAUGCCGGAAUAUUUUAUUUUUUAAUAAAAGAAAAAGAUAAUUAGCUUUAUUGUUAUCAUUAUUAUUAUUAUUUAAUUUAUUUAUUUAUUUAUUUAGUGGAAAAUUAUUAUUUUUUUAAAUGGAGAUAUUAAAUUUUAAAGAUCAAGUCAUCAAAUGAUUAGCCAUAAGGUUUUAAGAUGAGAUUCACUGUACAUGUACAUGUAUAAAAGGGAAACAAAUAUGGAAGUUGGUUGUUGUUUACAGUAAAUCAAAAUAAGAAUGAGAGAUAUAACAAGGAAAAAGGCAAAGAAUAUCAAUUGUAGCUCUUAACUCCUCCUAAGUGCUGAAUAACAUAUUAGUAUCAACCUCAUUUCAUGGUUAAGGUUUCUAUCAUGGCAUAUUCACAGUUUCUGUCAUGGCAUAUUCAUAGUGAUCCAAUGUGGAUAUAAUGGAUACACCACCAUUAUGCUUUUCAUGGCUCAUUUAGGACAAAGCAAUGCAUGGGUCUCUUUGAGUGUCAUAGGAGGGACUAUGAGGAAUCAAGGCAUGGAGAUACAAUGGUGCUUGUGCUUCUUGGCAGCUACCUAGUAGUUGGUGUAUUUGUAUCAAGAAAUAUUUAGUGAUGAAUGCAUAGGAAAACCUUUUGAUUUGCCAAAUCAUGAGAAACAAUUUAACCAUCACUUGAUUUUCAAAGUGGAAUUUCAAACUAGCCUUGAGUUAUUUCAUCUUACACACAAUUACUUUUUGCAUAUUAUAAACCAAGGUUUGGGUAAUAGAAUGGAUAAUCUGUCUUGAAAAACUAACCUGUAAACAAAAGUCAAAUGUGUCUGUAUGCCCUCAGAUUCCAGCAACCUUGAGGCCUCUAUUCCCUGAAUUGAAAACCAACUAUUAAGGGACCAUAGUGGGAUGAAAGUUAUUAGCUUCUAUAUACCAAGCACUAAAUUCAGAUACUCACUUGCCAAGUUGAAGGAAUUUUAAAUAACAAACACUUUGGAGGGACAUCAAUUUCAUUGUAUAGGGUCAAAAGGUCAUGCACCUACAGAUUAUGAUAAACUAAAUGCAUCAGACUACAUAAAAAUGUAAUUACUGAAUAAAGAAAAAGGUCAGCGUAUCAUAGUUUGAACCAUCCAUCUAAAUUCCCAAUAUUGUCUAUGUAUCACCCAAAAGAGAUCUUAGUGGAACAUGCUCUCUUUCUCUCGCAUACACGGGCACAAAAGCAAAUGCUUAGAAAUAUGCAGUAUUUUUGUUUGAAAGAAAAUUCCCAAGAAAGAGAAUUGCUACAUUGAGCUGCACAUUUUCAACUUGGAUCAGCCUUCAGUAACCAAAAGGGCCUCAUACAUUGGUUUUUUUAAAAAGAGCACCAUAAGAAGGAAAGGAAAAGUGAGACCAGUCAUCACCAAACGCACAAGCAAAAAUCUCCAGCAGCCAUUAUGAGUCAUUUUUCCUUGAAAUUGCUUCCAAAUGCAACCAGCAAUACUAUACAUAAAUUCAAAAUAUACUUCCUAAAAGCAUAAACUAAAUAGGUGUCACAUAGAUGGACAUUUGACCCUUUAUCCUCUAUAUGAUCCACCAACCCACUCCAUCCUUUCAUAGAAACGUGUUUGAUUGCUAUUUAAAAAAUUUCUUAGUACUUAAAUAUCUCUGUUGCAGCUGGCAUGGAUUCAUCAUACUCCUUGGCCCCACUGGCUACUGUCAGGUCAAGAUGUGUUUCAUUACCAAAGCAUGCCUUCUUACAAGAACUAUAGUGGAAACUAGACCCUCACAUAGAUUCUCUGUCCAUAACCAUCCAAUAUAAACAUUAAACUAAGUAAAUGAGAAUGACUAGCUUGUAACUUGACAAAGAAUAAAUCAAAAGGUAAUUUAAAAGGACAUGACAGAAUAUCAAUUAGCAUAUAAAAGGUGGAGGGUGUAGAAGAAUUAUCAGAAAAAUAAAGACAUGUCUUCAUUUUAAGGCAAUAAUAGAUAUGGCUUACAUUGAUAAACCUAGAUUACCAUUCCAUGUGAAUGGUUGAUAACAAAUAGGACAAGCUAAAAUGCUCUUGCUGAUGCUAACCUCCUUUUCAACUGAAAUAGAAUCCUGAACAUAAGAAAUAAGAUACAAUAUAUUGUGUCAUGACAGGAAAAAUUAAUUAUUUCGUAAUUCCUCAUGUGAACUGACUGUAAUUGAAAAAAUAAAAAGACAUCAUCUCAUUAGCACCGUAUGAUAAUUUUCCUCACAUUUUCCCUCAAAAUUUCCUAAAACCAAUUAUAGGGAAAAAGAAAAAGAAAUUAAAGCAUAAAAGAUGAAUUUGGUUGUAUAGAAUUUGCAGCCUUGGAAUUGAUAAUUUUCCCCUUUUGUGGUGGAUGCCCCAGUGUCAAGUCCACCGUUUGGUUGUUUUCUAUACCAACUGGAUUUCUAGUUGAAUUUAAAAGCCAUAAACCCAAAUUCCUCAAGAACAAGUAAGCAACUCCAAGAUAAAAGUUGGUUCUCCAGUUCCGUAAAAAUUGAACUUUGAACCAAAUCCAAUUCUACCCAACCAAAUGCAGCCUAAUUCUUCAAGAACCAUAAAAGAAUAAUGAAUGAAUCAAGAAUGGACAAAUACAUUGAAAAAAAAAAUCGGGAGCAGUACAAAUUCUCAAAAAAACUAAUCAUAAAGAAUCACAUAUGAAUUAAAACAAUUCCUAUGAAUUUUUUUUAUGCUCGAUUGACCAAAAAAAUAUAACAGUAGAACUUGUUUUGUCUCUCACGUACAUUCAUUGCACAUGCACACACAGUUACCAAUUGACACAGCCACCAAUUGCAAUGGAAAAUGGGGGCUGGUGGUUUUGGAGAGUGGAGGAAUUUAUUUUAAAAGGGACAUUCAACAUGCACAGAAGGAGAUGGGAAUAAAAAAAAAAAAAAAUUGGAAAGAUAAGGGGUGAGAAGACACAACCGAGAAGGAGGAUGUCUUUGAGGGUGGAGAAAACACACAGCUGGAACUCUCCACUACCAGCCACAAGAAAAGUAAAAAAAUGUGACCAGAUCAGGGCACAAAUGGGUAAAUCAAAAUGAACAAAACCCAUAUUUCAUGCCUAAUCAACAAAUCAAGAACAGAGUAGAACAGAGCAUGUACCACGAACCGUGUUUCUUCUCCACUACAGCCCAUAAAAUUAGGGCACGAUUUGAAACUCGACCAACAUCAGAACACUUGCAAUAAAUGAUGAAUAUGGAGUUGAAAGAGUGGAGAAUCACCUGAUUUGUCGCUCGUUGGUGGAAUUUGUAAGAGAAGAAUGGAGUUUCAGUGCUUAUUCUCUGUUAUGAGAGUCACAAAAUGGAGAUUCAAAAAUGAUCUCCAAUUUUUAAUACUUAAGAUCUCACACUAAGGCUUGGAAACACACCGUCUAGCUAGAUCUCCAAUGUCAAGAGCCUCAUCUGGAGUCAUUGAUCGACGUUGAUUACGGUUAACUGGGCUUCUAGGGUUUGUCGGGGUUUUGCGAAAAUGGAGGGAAUGUUUGGCACUAUGAGGUCGUGGGUAAGAAUGGGAAAUUUUUGAGCCAUAUAUAAAGGUGUUAUUUUAAUGUCACUUUUAUAGAGCGCCAAGGUAAAAAUUGAUAAAUGAAAACGCUUAUAUAAAACAUCGUGCUAUAAGAAGCACCAUCAUCCUUCAGCAUAAAGCGCCAUGGUCUAAAAUUUUCCUUUUAAGCGCCAACUUCGACCACUUAUUUACUCAACUGCCACUCUAAAAGCCAAGUAAUGACGCUUAUUUGAAAGCGCCAAAGAAUCAAGCGCCAUAAAUUGUGUUUUUUGUAGUAGUGAAAACACGAAUUCGCUCAGGCUGACAGACUAACACAAAGGCUCUGAUCCUAAAACAAAAUGAUGUCUCAAAAUGCCUCUACGGCCACACUAAGGAUCCAAGCUCCCUCUAAGAUGUCUCCAAAAGUGACCCGAAGAUCGAUGUCGAAGAUGAGUAACGGUUGAACCACCCUAGAGUACGAACAAGAACGUGUCCAAAGGAGACUGCCCUAUGUGGACUACGAGAUGAAUAUGAGAUAAGCACAGGGUAAUGACGUGAGGAGAGUGAGAAUAAGUGCAAAACCAUGAGGGUAAGAUGUGCAAUGCCAAUGAAUAUGAAUGCUGGGAGCUGUGACUCUGAAUGACGGGACUGACUCUAAACGCUAAACUGAGAAAAACAACGGCUCUGGAAGCCAAACCAAAAAGCUAACUCUAAACGCUAAACUAGAAAAUAACAGCUCUGGAAGCCAAACAAAAAAAAAAACUAACUCUAAAAGCUAAACUAGAAGGCCCAUAGGUAAAGACCUACGAUGGUGAUACAAUAAAAAUGCCCAUAGAUGAAAAUCUACGGUGGUGAUAGCUGAAAGAAUGGGGAUUCCCUCAACAAACUAACGGUAGGGGGAUGCCCUAAACAAACCAACAAUAAUGGCUCUGGAAGCCGAAUCAAAAAGCUAACUCUAAACACUAAACUGGAAAAAUAAUGGCUCUGGAAGCCAAACAAAAAAAAAACUAACUCUAAAUGCUAGACUGAGAAAACAAUAGCUCUGGAAGCCAAAUCAAAAAACAAAACUCUAAACGCUAAACUAGAAAAUAACAGCUCUGGAAGCCAACCAAAAAGCUAACUCUAAAAGCUAAACUGGAAGAAUAAAGGUUCUGGAAGCCAACCCAAAAAAACUAACUCUAAAUGCUAGACUGAGAAAAUAAUAGCUCUGGAAGCCAAAUAAAAAAAAACUAACUCUAAAUGCUAAACUGAGAAAAUAAUAGCUCUGUAAGCCUAAACAAGAAGCUAACUCUAAACACUAAACUAAGAAAAUAAUAGCUCUGGAAGCCUAAACAAGAAACUAACUCUAAACACUAAACUGAGAAAAAAAAAAAAAGCUCUGGAAGCCUAAACAAGAAACUAACUCUAAACACUAAACUGAGAAAAUAAUAGCUCUGGAAGCCUAAACCAAAAAAACUAACUCUAAACACUAGACUAGAAGAAUAAUGGCUUUGGAAGCCAAACCAAAAAACUAACUCUAAAUGCUCAACUGAGAAAAUAAUAGCUCUGGAAGCCAAAUUAAAAAGCUAAACUCUAAACGCUAAACUAGAAAAUAACAGCUCUGGAAGCCAACCCAAAAAGCUAACUCUAAAAGCUAAACUGGAAGAAUAAAGGCUCUGGAAGCCAACCUAAAAAAACUAACUCUAAAAGCUAAACUGGAAUAAUAAAGGCUCUGGAAGCCAACCCAAAAAAACUAACUCUAAAAGCUAAACUGGAAGAAUAAAGGCUCUGGAAGCCUAAACAAGAUGACAGUAGGGGGAUGCCCUAAACAAGAUGACAGUAAUGGCUCUGGAAGCCUAAACAAGAUGACAGUAAUGGCUCUGGAAGCCUAAACAAGAUGACAGUAGGGGGAUGCCUUAGGUGAUAGCUCAUAAAGAUCGGCAAAUGGGUCUAACAAUCAUGGAAUCUGCACGAGGCAUGGCAAACCCAAAGAGAGGGUGUAUGACCCAGUAGGAAAUGUGAUAAAGGGGGUAUGCCCCGGUAUGAUGACUCACAAAGAUCAAGAAAUAGAUCGAGCAGUGAGGCAGUACACAAAAGGCCUGAUAAACUCAAGGACGGGGGUAUGCCCCAGUGCGGCAUGCCGUUGCAAAUCUCAAUCCGCUGGAAAUGGCUGAAAGGGGCUCUACGAGUCUCGAACGACGCUCCACUAAUAGCUCAUAUCGAUGAAGAGCUCAAGAAUAAUGGUCAGUGAGGCGAAUACAAUAUAUCCCGGCCGAGUGAUGGAAACUGUGGCGGACAUGUGAGAGAACGAUCGCCUCCAUGGCUAAAUGAGGGAAAUAUGCCCCAGUGUGGCAUCAGAUGUACCCGAUAUGCCCUGAUGACCCGAGAACAACAUCAUGGGGAUGCGUAAAAGGCCUUACGCGUACCCCACUAAAAUGAUGACGUGGGAAUCCAAGCACUCGACAUGACUUCGUCCAAGAACCACGACUAUAUCAGAGAGUAAUAAUCUGGCUGAACGACUCAAGAGAGGCUCCUCGGAGUAUCAGCACAAAAUAAAAUCGAAUCAUCAACCUAGCAUGUAUCUCAUAUCCGUGGAUGAUCAUGUAAACCAGUGGGGGAUCUCUACAUCUCAACCGAAAUGAGGAAUAUGCCCCAGUGUGGCACCAAGAAUGCAACAUGUCACAAAAUCAGAUGAGCUUAAAUCAUCUAUGCCUGCAACUGAAUCAAACCCACAUAUCAAAGAGGCGUCCCUCGGAAGGAAGCAUGACAACAUCUAAGCAUCUAAAAGCGCGGGCCUGGCUCCACUAAGGAAUCAUCGUGAGGAUAGCGAAUAUAUCAUCAUCUCUACAUACAUCUCGCAAAUAAGGAUAAGCACGCAACUCCCUCAUGAUCUGUAAAUCUCAUCUGGACGGAAAUAUGCCCCUGUAUGGCAUCUGAUUCGUGCCCAAUUGGUGUCUCAGCUGAUUCGUGUCCAGCUGGUGCUCCUUGAUUGAGGGAGUAAUCAACAAAAUUUAUAACCUAUAACACCAUACACUAGGGUAGCAAAGAAAAAGCUACUAUAGUAUAGCGGCUCUAGAAUCGUUCACUGGGAAGGAUUAACAAGCUAUCAAUGAUACCAAUUCAAAGUGAAUUGGUCUUGUUUCAUUUCAAGGUUAGCUUAAGAAAUAAAACACAAACUUUGAUUGGCAAAGGUUUAGACUUAAACUAACUAACACAACAAGUAAUAGGAAUAACUUAGGAAGAAAAACAUUCCUUGGAGAGUUAGGUUCACUAGGGUGGUUCCUCAUGCAAAAGACAUAGCUCCGGUCAGAUGGUUCAUUUCCUCGCGUUAGAGAUUCAACAUAUAGUCAAUUCUCUAACCGGUGUUGUACAGAUACAUCCUUCAAUUAGAUUUCACUUUAAUUCUCUCACUGAUGCAACUUGCAAUGGCUUAAGCCUCUCACUAAGCCUUAACCAUUCAAGGUGAUCUUUAACCUUGGAUUACUCGUCAAAAGCUCGCAAGAAAUAACUAAUGGAUGUCUCCUUGGAGUCCAAAAGCUUACCAAGUGUUGGCUAUUCUAGAAAAUCCUACCCUAAAGUCACCUCCCAGAGGCUCGCAAGGGGUAAACUAGAGCAUUUCCAUGGUUGGAAAUCACUUGCCUUACCAAGUGUUGGCCCAGGUGACUCUAAGGUGUUUUAAGUUAACUAAAAACAUAGAAAUCACUAAAGGAUUUCACUUCCUCUUCAUUACUGACUAAAACCACAAAGCUUUUCAUUCUUGCACUUGGAACCUUCCUCGACAACCUUAGCUCCAAGGAAUUAGAGGUUUAGUUACUCAUUCUCUGGGGAAAACUCCUCAGAGAGUUCAUAACUUCGUAAUAAAUAAUAAAUACGAAGUGAGAAGGUAAGGCAAUACAAAGAACUAAACUUUACUUGCUUACCCAAAACUUUACAAAAGGAUCUCUUCUCCAAGAACAUGCUCCCGAGAGGUAUAUAUAUGAACAUAAUAUAAAACUAAUUAUUACAUAGAUAUUUUCUCUUUUUUACUAACUUAAAAGCUAAGGAAUCUUGUAAUUGGUGGCUUGCAAGGAGUAUUUUGGGAUUUAAACAACAAAAAUCUGAUGUAAAAUAUCUCCCAAUGUCGGUAGCAAAUAUCGGGAGGCUCCAAGAACCAUUUCGCAUGAGAAAAUGGUGUCUACGAGAUUUCGCAGACACUCAAGAAGGGCUGCGAAAUCAUUUCGCAACAACAAGCUAUUCUCGCAGGGCUACGAAGUUGGCUUCCACCUUGAGGUUCCCAGCUUCCCUCUCGCGGCAUAUGUCGGGUAUCUUCAGGAGGAAAUACACCACACUGUACAAAAAGGCUGCGGAAUCACUUCGCAACAAAAGGGUGAUUUCGCAACACUUUGGAAAAUGCUUCCUUCAACUGGGAGUGAUUGGCUUGCAAUGGCUGCAACUUCUUCGUUUCAACUCCAAAUUGUGCACCAUUUGAAGCAUUGGAUUGUUGACUUCCUAAGCUUUGAAAUGGUGUAUAGCAUGCAUCAAUUGGACUUCAUAAACUCUCCAAAAGUGGCUGCUACGACUGUCAUCAAGAAUAUGCUUCAUGGCAGAUUCUCUUUACUUUUUCUCCUUGCAUUCCGGAUUUACUCUUGGCAAAUGACUUCUAAGCUUUACCCAAGAUUCCUCAUAACUCUCCUCAAUCUUGACUUGCUUUGGUGAUCAAAUUACUAACAAAAACACCAAAACUUACACAAAGUGAUUAAAAUUGCUUUCAAGGGUCCUUAACAUGCCAAUUGAGUUAAAAGGUCAAAACUACUACUCAAAAGUGUUUAAAAUGAUUAAUUAUAAGCUAUCAAAUAACACUUUUUGAGUAGUAAUCAACAUCGAAUGUGUGAUAAACCAGAAAAGGCCAAGUGUCAUCAAAUCAUCCUCCGUCAAAUGCACGAUCCCGAUAAUCCAAACACAACUGAAACGAAUCUAACCAUCAGAAAGACGUCUCCCAGAAGAAGAAGCAUGACAAUAUCUAAAAAGCAACCAGAUCUCAAACACCUGUCCAAGCAGAGGCUGUCGAAGACGACAUCUGAUCCCAUGGCCUCAGGGUGGUCUUAAGACACGGGACGUAACGUAGGCUAGGGUGAUAGGGUGAUAGAAAUGAAGGGAAACUAGUCCCAAAUACCCAAUGGUGCCUAAUGUGAACAUAGUGUAAAUGAGGAGACAAAUGAAGCAAAUCAAACUGAUAGUGAGAUGUGUGAUGAUGAUGUGAAGGAAGUAUCAAACCCAAGAUGGGUCACUGUAGGAAAAGAAUGAGAGGUGAAGUGAGAAUAAUGAAUCAGAAACGAAAACGAGGAUGAUGAUAAUGAAGCAAAUAACACCAAAAGGAGUAAUGAUCGACUCGGAUCAAACAUGGAGUGAAGUCACGUCAACUACGAACACGAUGAUGGAAUGGACAAUGAGCCAAAGCUCCUAAGAGAAGGUCACUCAUCCCGUUCACAAGAUAUACGACAAAAUGAAUACAAAGCCUGAGGGAUCCCGGGAAGCUCACAUACGAACUCCCAUCAACAAACAUGCUCGAUCAAGUGACCCUCGAAUAUCAAUACAUACUCAGUGAUAGAUAACAAUACACACAUGCUUUUAUUUCUUUUUCCUUUUUUUUUUUACAACAUAUAAAUGAACUGUACAUGCUCUCUGAACGCAUACAAAGAAGACUCAAAAACGGGAUUAAAAAUGAAUAAACAUGCUCUCAAAUAUCAAUAUAUCACAAACUCUCCCUGAUGAGGUGACCUUCUCAAACUGAGGAUCCUUGGAUCAGUGUCCAUAGGAUAGAUAGUGGAAAUGACAUGACUACCCUCCAUGUAAUGAACUGAGGAUGAUCAUCCUUCAGGAUGAAAGAAGAUGAUGUGAAACGAACAGUAGAUAGGAUAGGAUGAUGAGAUGAAUAACACAAACAGUGAGAUGAGAUGAAAUGCAAUGAUGUAGUGAUGAGAACAGAUAGUGAGAAGAAAUGCGCCCCUAUGUCUAAGGCUCAUGGAACUCUCAAACAAUGCAUGCACACACUAAAGGGCCCCGAUCCCGAUAUGAAAGUGCGAGCAAUUCAAUGAGAAAGAAAAGCUAUAAUGCGUGUGUGAGGCUCAAGUGGGGUAGCAAACGGACUGUAUAUAUCAGAAGGGGGAUAAAGGGAUAUAGCUAACCGAAAUGAUGGCCACCCAUCCUGCGACCAUGGACUCAAACAUAGUACCUCUUUAGCUGAUCCACGUUGGUCGACUCUGAGAAUUGGUUUCCAUCUAAAUCCAUCAACCAUGCAGCGCCCUCUGGAGACAACUCUCUGAUGAAGUAAGGUCCGCUCCAAUUGGGUCUGAACUUCCCUCUAGGAUCUCUGAUCAAUCCUCUGAUGGCUCUCAAAACUAAGUCACCUACAUGUAGUGGUUUGGGCUUGACCCGCUUUUUGAAAGCACGGGCCAUCUUCCUCUGAUAUGCACGGACGUGAUCUGCCCCCCUCAAUCUCUUCUCAUUUAGGAUAUUGAGCUGAUCAAAUCGAGCCUGAGCCCAAUCCAUCUCGGGAAUCUGCUGCUCUAGUGCUACUCUCAAUGAUCCCAUCUCAAUCUCAACAGGUAGCACUGCCUCCAUGUCGUACACUAAGGAAUAAGGUGUGGCUCCUUUAGAGGUACGAAAAGAGGUCCUGUAAGCCCAUAGUGUGAAAGGAAGCUUCUCGGACCAACCCCGAGAAGUCUCAACCAUCCUUCGCAAAAUCCUCUUGAUAUUCCUAUUCGCGGCCUCUACUGCCCCAUUCAUCUGCGGCCUGUAUGCAGACGACCUAUGAUGCCGGAUGCCAUAUCGCCGUACUAAGGCAUCAACCUCUGCUCUGAAAUGUACACCUCUAUCUGAAAUAAGCUCGUGAGGGACUCCAUAGCGACAAAUGAUAUGUGAUAUGAUGAAUCUGGCAACUCCAGCUGAUGUCAAUCUCGCAUAUGAGGCGGCCUCCACCCACUUGGUAAAGUAAUCAAUACCGACAAGGAUAAACUCAUGACCACUGGAAGAUUUCGGUGAAAUAUUCCCGAUGAUAUCGAUACCCCACACUGAAAACGGCCAUGGUGAAGUCAAUGCAUGCAACUCCGAGGGCGGCACGUGAAUGAGAUCUCCAUGUAUCUGACACUCGGGACAUCUCUGAACAAACUGGCAGCAAUCCGUCUCCAUGGUCAACCAGAAGUAACCAUUCAUCAUGAUCUUACGAGCCAACAUAUGUCCUUCUAUAUGUGGUCCGCAGACUCCCGCAUGAACCUCUCUCAUCACUCGAUCGGCAGAGGCGCGGUCCAAACACAAUAAUAGCAUCCCGUCAGGAGAUCGCCUGUACAGUGUCUCGCCACAGAUCACGAAUUGAGCAGCCAAUUGUCUCAAUGCUCUCUUAUCCUUGACCGUGGUUGCCUCAGGAUAUAUGCUAAGUCUCAAAAAGUGAUAUAUGUCGUGAUACCAUGGCAAACCAUCAUAUGGCUCUACAUCAUCAAUCAAGCAACAGUAAGCAGGAGCAGAUCUCGACUCGAUCAGCAAAGGUCGAACAGUGGCGUCAACAGGAAUAUCAAUCAUGGAAGCUAGAGUAGUUAAGGCAUCAGCAAACUGGUUCUGCGCUCUAGGCAGAUGUGUGUAUCUCAAAUCCUUGAAUUUCGCGACCAGUAACUCCAAAUAUGCGUGAUAAGGCCUAAGCUUCGCAUCUCUAGUCUUCCACUCGCCCUGAAUUUGUCUAAAUACCAAAUUGGAGUCACCAAACACCUCCAUCUGUCCAAUCCCGAGCUCAAGGGCCGUCUUCAAUCCUAGAAUACAAGCCUCAUACUCAACGAUAUUGUUCGUGGCCGGAUGUCGAUCCGAGAAUGUCAAACGAAUAGAUCUGGGAAUGUGAUCACCAUGAGGGGAUAUCAAUAAGACACUUAUCCCGUACCCAGAAUGGUUGGUUGUACCAUCAAAGUACAUGCGCCAACCUGACAGACUAGUCACAACUGCAACAUCCUCGUUUGGAAAAUCAUCGUCACUGGCAUCAGAAACUGGUAAUGAGGCUAGGUAAUCUGCGACAAUGCUCCCUCUAAUGGAUUUCUGAUUGACAUAAUGGAUGUCAAACUCAGUCAGAAGCACCAGCCAUCUCAUAAGGCGACCAACUAGAGCGGGUCUAUCAAACAAAUAUCUCAAAGGAUCUAGUUGGGAUAUCAAAUGCACUGAAUACUUUGUCAUGUAAUGUCUCAAUCGGCGAGUAGCCCAAACCAAUGCCAAGCAGUAACGCUCAAUCAUGACAUAUCUCGUCUCGUAGUCUAGCAUCCUCUUACUCAGAUAAUAAAUGGCCCGGUCUUUACCCGAAUCAUCGAGCUAAGCUAACAUACAUCCCAAAGCCACGUCUGAGAUUGAUAAGUAUAGGAAUAGAGGGCGGCUCGGUGUAGGAGGCGCUAAGACUGGAGGUGACAACAAGUACUCCCUGAUCCUCUCGAAUGCAUGCUGACACUGAUCACCCCAAACAGUAGGUUGACUCUUCCUCAAGAGUCGAAAAAUGGGCUCACAGAUGUCUGUCAAUCUGGCGAUGAAUCUUCUGCUGUACUGAAGUCUGCCCAAGAAGCCUUUGACCUCUCUCUCUGUCCUCGGUGCAGGUAUGUCAAGGAUGGCUCUAAUCUUGUCCAGAUCUACCUCUAUGCCUCUCUCACUGACCAUAUACCCCAAGAGUUUCCCAGAAGUCACUUCGAAAGUGCACUUCUUGGGGUUCAGUCUCAAUUUGAACUGCCGGAUCCUAUUAAAGAACCUCUCUAGAGCUGCUAGGUGAUCUGAUCUACCUCGGGAUUUCACUAUCAUGUCAUCUACAUAAACCUCGACAUCCCGAUGCAUCAUGUCAUGGAAGAAGGUGGUCGCUGCCCUCUAAUAGGUGGCUCCUGCGUUUUUCAAUCCGAAUGGCAUGACUCUAUAGCAAUAAGUGCCCCACUCGGUAAUGAAGGACGUCUUUUCCAUGUCAUUUGGAGCCAUCAAGAUCUGACUGUACCCGGAAAAUCCGUCCAUAAAGGACAACAUUGAAUGACCUGUCGUACUAUCAACUAGCAUGUCGAUGUGUGGAAGAGGAAAAUCAUCCUUAGGACUAGCCUUGUUGAGAUCUUUGAAAUCAACGCAAACUCUCACCUUGCCGCCCUUUUUGGGAACAGGGACGACAUUGGCCAGCCACUCCGGGUACUCAACCACUGAUAAGAAUCCUACACUAAGCUGCUUCUGGAUUUCCUUUUUAACCUCCAGGCUCCAACGAGGAUGCAAUUGCCUCAACUUCUGCUUAACCGGUUUGGCAUGGGGCAGAAGCAGCAAACGAUGCUGGACGAUAGACGGAUCAAGGCCCGGCAUGUCCUCAUAGGACCAUGCAAAGACAUCCAAGUAUGCUCUGAGCAACUGGAUGAGGCUGUCCCUCUCAUCUAUAGAUAAAUCUGAUCCGAUCCGCAACUCUCUAGGUUGAUCUGCUGUGCCAAAAUCAAUAAUCUUCGUGUCCCCUACAGCGGGUGAAACUCUCCUAUCAACGAGAUCCGAAUCGGAAGCAGAAGACGAGUCAUCGUCAGAAUCGUGCUGUGCAAUCUCAUCAUCAAUGUCAAAAAUCUGUGAUGUGGGUGAAGAUGGUGUAGAUAGAUCAAUAACAUUAGAGAUAGGCAAAUACUCAAAGAUGCUCAAAUCCAUAGAUGAAACAUCGGAAACAAUGUCAGAACGGGAGACGAACCCCGAUAGAACGUCAAAUAAAAGAGGUGGGUCCACAAAGUCGGACGCUCCCUCGAUAAUGCCAACAUGGCUAUCAAACAAAUCAUAAAAAACUAUGAUGUCCUCAGCAGACUCUAAAGCAGAAGCAGUCAGGAUCUCCUCGGAAAGCUCGAUAGUGGACACCCCAAAAGGGUCAAAUAAUGAAGCAAGCCCUGGUUGAACAGUCUCCUCAAUCUGGCUCAAGCUUAGUGCGAGCAUCUCGUCAAUAUACUCGUCAUGUGGUGCGGCUCUGUCUACCAUGUCACUGAUCUCGACAAAUGUCCCGUGAUCAUCGAUCUCAUCUGGGAAGCAAAGCGUCAUAAGGCUCGUGCGAUCCGAAGAGGAAGGAGCAAUCAACACAGAAGUCGAAGGACCAGGGGCUCCGUCUCUCAAUCGUAGCUGCUGGAUAAGGCGCUGAAGCUCGGCCUUCUGGGUGGUGCUAAGUCCUCUGAUGAUCCCAUCAGAUGGUGUGUGCGGCUCCGAUGCCCUCAAGAAGUAAUCUGCUAGGCUCCUAGUGUACAGACGCAUGGGAUAAUAGAAAGGAGUAUGAGUCAGUCGAGUCCUCACUCUCUCCUUGCGCAAGCGCACCAUAUAUCGGUAGUCAGCCUCGGUGGGGAUGAACCCGAGCCCAAAUGGUACGUCAUGAUCAGGAAUGGCGAUGAACUCGCUCGGUCCAUGCUGACGUCGACCCAAUCCCAUGCCGGGAAGAUAAGACAUGCUCCGCAUAAUAUCGAGCACCACUAUGCUGCCGUGCUGGUCAAAUGACAUAGCUACAAAGUCUCGGCAAAAGUCCUCCAUCUCAAGGGUCUGCACCUCGUCAAAAGUGAACCCGAUCAGCAAUAAGUCAUCGUCACUAUGGCUGAUCUGGAGCACGGGCUCAACAGAAAUGAACAUGUGCCCUGUCGACUAUACGGUGACUACCUGGCCCUCAUGGAUGAAUUGCACUUUCUGAUGAAGUGAAAAAGGGAUGGCCCCGGCUCGGUGAAUCCAUGGUCGGCCCAAAAGUAGGUUAAAGGAUGUAGGAAUCCUCAAAACCUGAAAUACAGUGACAAAUGUGGUCGGACCUAUCAGGAGCUCAAUCUCCAAGGUACCCAUGACCUCUCUACGGGUACUGUCAUAAGCGCGAACGGUCUGAGUGGAGGGACCGAAAUCGUAUGGCGCAUAUCCAAGGGCAAUGGCAGUGGCAAGAGGGCAUACGUUCAAGGUCGAGCCAUUGUCCAAAAGGACAGAUGGGACUCGGUGGCCUGAACAGCCAACAGAUAUGUAGAAGGGACGAGUGUGGUCCGAGCCCUCCGAUGGCAAAUCGUCGCCCGAGAAUACGAUACAUGUGGCUCGGCCAGCUGUCAUCAUGUGAAUCAAACCCUUAGGAGUGGUGGUGGUCUCAACUCUGAUCUGGCUCAAGGCUCGAAUCAAUGCAUCUUGGUGAGUGCUCGAAGAUGCCAACAAACUCCAGAUAAAGAUACAAGCCUGAGUGCUUUGUAGCUGCCUCAAAAUCUCAUCAUCCUCUACUCGGACCUCCUCAGAAACAGAUGUACCCUCAACUGGCCUAGCUGCCGCGGGAGGUGGCUGUCGCAUCACUCUACCCCCUCGGAGAAUAUACUGGAUGUCCGGAGUCUGAGAAAUAUCAACAUGUGGAGCCCGAACCUCUUCAACAUCCGGGGCUAAAACGAACGGCGUCUGAACGCUAUAACGCAUGAAGGUCGGAGGCUCGACAAUGGACACAUGUACUGGGGCUGUCUCAGGAAAUAAUCUAAAAUGAGUGGGCACCUGAGGCUCCAAAGACAUGCUGCUCAUCUCAUAAAUAUCCCCCAACUCUAUGGGCUUCGGAUCCAUGUCAUCCCAGCUCAUCAUGCGGACAUGGUCAUCAGAAUCAACAAAGUCCAGGAAAUGAAUACCUCCGUCUGGUGGAGGAACUGCAUGCGUGGUAUGGGCUGGUAGUGGGUUUUAGGUUACACUUGGCUGACCCAAGUGAACCAAACCCUGAUCAAUCAAGUCCUGGAUGACAUGUCUCAGUGCGGUGCAUCGAUCAGUCUCAUGUCCUAGCCCCUAAUGAUAGGCACAACGCAGAUCCAUCCUGAAGUGAGGAGGUAGAGGCUGAAGGGGCGGUCUCGGAGUGAGUGCAGUCAGCAGAUCGGCCUCUGUGAGCUUCCGAAGAGCCUGGCUCAACGGCAUGCCUAUCUGUGAAAACUGUCUCUGCGUCCUCAAAGCAAAGGGUGUAGAGGUCUGCUGAGAUCGAGGCCUGGGGUAUGAAGGUGCGGGCCUCGGAGUGAACUGUUCAGUGUAGCACGGCUGUCCAGUGGCCGUGUAUGAAACAGGAGGCCUCUCAAUGCCCUGAGUGGCAUAGUAAGGUAGAGCCAAUGGUUGAGCCUGAUAUGUCUGAUCAAAAGUCGGGCAAGGUGCCUGUGGCCUGAACUGUUAAGGUGUGUAAGACGAAUGAGUCUCGAGGAGCUGUGGGAUCGGCUGAUGACGCCUAGGAGGCCUCUGACUGGAUGAACUGAUAACACUAACAUCUAUCGUCCUCCGUCCUACGAAUGGUUUCUUCCCCUUAACAUCACUAGGGGAAGAAUCUACCCAUAAACCUCUCGAGAUGACGUCCUCGACAUCAUACAAAGUCAUAACCAGAUACCCAAAAUCUGUGAACGAGACCCCGACCACAUGUCUGGCAAUCACCGGCUGUAGACUCCUCAAAGCCAUCUGAAUCUGGUCUCUCUCUGAUGGUCUAUCCACUAUCUCAGCUAUCUUCCCGCGCUAGCGGGAAAUGAAAGAAGAAACAGACUCCUCUGCCCUCUGUCUCAGAGCCUUGAGUUCUUUCCUCGAUACAUCUACGACAGUGUUAAGCGAAAACUGUCAUAGGAACUCCUGGGCCAAGUCAUCCCAUGUGCGGCGUCUUGAGGACUCCAGAGACGCAAACCAACGCUGAGCCGCCCCACUCAGAGAUAGGGGGAAAAAAGUGAUCAUUUGAGGCUCGUCUAGUCCAUGAGCCCUCAUCACGGUGCUGUACAGUCAGAGAUGGAUGCGUGGACAACCAAUGCCUAUAUACCUCUCAAUAUCCGGCAUCCUGAACUUAGCUGGCAAGCUGGCUACCGGCACUCCAUCAAAACCCUCCCAAGUAAUGGCUCUGUUUGAAGUCCUCAACUGCCUCAAACCCUACUCAAGCCUAUCCAGGCGAGCAUGUGGAUCCUCUGAGGUCGGGGUAGACAUGGUGAUGGGAGGCGGGGCAACCUCGGUCUGACUAUGCAGAGUGAACGGCAUGGCCUGUCGCGCUGACUGACUGGGUGGAGGGGGUGGUGGCACUGUAGGGUCAUACUGGGCGCCAUCUUGAGACGGGACCUGCUGGGCCUGCUGCCCAUCUAUCCUCUGGCCGAGGCUAGCCAAAGCCUCCUGGAUAGAAGCCAUGGCGGCCGUGAACUAAUCGACAGUGACGACCUGCUGAUCCAUAUCUGGUGUGUCUGAAACCCGAACUAAUCUGCCCUCAACUCUGACCCAAGAAGGUGUGUCCAGACUGCGAAUGAAAUCUGAUCCUGGCAAGGUGAGAAGCGGAAUGAGGAUACGGUAUAGGAAAAGUAUGAAAUGAAUGAUAGUCUGAACUGAAACGGGCAAAUGCAUCCAAGACGAAGACGAACUGUCCGACCAUACUCAAACUCAUAUCGAUCCCCAAGCACUCUCAACUGGAGACUAAAGAGAGGGAAAAUCGGAUCCGAACUGUAACUAAAGAGGCUCUGAAGGCCCUCAGAUACACCCACGUGUAGGGAGGGAGUCCUAAUCGGAGGAUCUAUGGCUCAACCUACAAGGUCAAGGUGACUCUAAAUGGAUAUGGGUGGACUUUAAAAGAUCCCUAGCAGAAGCGAUCUUACCCUCCGGCAGUACGCAACCCUCUGCACGCCUCCGAAGAGACGGGGCACUUCCAUGCAAGGUGGUCAUCACCUCCACACAUGCACUACCUCGCAUCCCAGGGGGCUUCCUAUGGUGAAACCUCUCACACUCUCAACACUCAAUAGUCAACUAAAGUGCACAGUGAACGGUGUGGGUACAUCCGAAAACCUUAAGAAGCUAAAACAUAAAAUGAAACACACUGGCCACACAAAUAUCCAUGAAACCUAGCUCCGGGCUAUACAGGUCUUCAAUGAUCGGACUCCAAUCGACAUCAAAGUGUCGCUCUCCUCCAGAAUGCUCCCGUGCAUCGGUAUAGCCCGUCGCUAGACCCUACUCCUAAUCUCUGGCUCGGUCAGAGAGCAAGCAAAUAGAAGGCCUCACACUUGCAAUAGUGAGAACCGGGAUGAAAGGAAUGACCGAAACUAAGAGAGUUGGAAGUAAGGGGAUAUAUGUGCGACCCACAUGGACAAGCAACAUGCAAUCAUGCAGAGGGAGGGCAAUCAUGCAUCAUACAGUCAAGCAGAGUACAAGAUAUAUCACUCAUGUCCACACAAAAAGCUACAACUAUCAGGAUGAAUAGCGAUAUGAACAUCAUGCUCAAAAGACGAUCAAGAUAAUAUGCAAGCCAGAGAAAAUAGCACAGCAAGUCAAAUGCUAUACACCAGUGAAUCCAUGCAUGUGAGGUGAACAGAACAAUCAUGGCAAAAUCAGAAUGACUACGCUAAGCAAUGCAAGAUGAUCAAUCAAUAUAAUCAGCAUGUCAAUGUACUCAACAAACAUGACAAUGAAGCACAGAAAAAUCAAAAUCCUCAAUGUGCAAUCAAGAUAUGAGCGUCCACUGAUCGUCCAAUUGAAUACCACGUUUGCUUCAUUCUAAGUUCAAGUUUGACCCUCUAAACAUCCCCAGCGGAGUCGCCAUUUUGUGGACCCCGCAUUUCGGCUCAAUGCGUUUCCCACUCGAUAGUGAGCUCGAUUUUUAUUUUGAAAAAGGAUGAUUUAAUCGGUUAAAAAAAAACUGACUUAGAGUCGCCACUUAUUUUUGUUUUAUUUUUAAGGGUAAACAAAAUAAGAAAGAAAAACCCUAAGUGUGACUCCUUGUUUUGGAAAAUGUCAGUCUACGAAAAAACAGAUCGGGUUCGGGGGUCAGGUUACUUAUCAGGAAGGUACGAUAUGAACCGUAGCACCCCUCUAAGCCCCUAAAAUGGGUCUCUACUAAUAAAAUGAAGCAGUCAUGACAAUUAAUUAGGAAAUCAAUGAAUACCCGGAACUAUCAUGCACAUAUGAGAAUCAGAGUAUGUAUAGUGAAUUAUCAGAAUGAGUGAAUGCGUACCUGGGCAACAAACAGCAACGCGCUAUCAUAAAAUGAGGUUAGUGAAUAAACACAAAAUGGUUAUAUGCAUAUCAUGGAACAUAGCAAAUCAAUCAAUCAAUCAAUUAGUCAUGAAUUCACAUAUGUAGGGCCCCCAUCAAAGCCCAUUUUAUCUUGCCUGAAUCAAUUCCGAUGGAAUUAUGGAAUUUGAUUCCUUGCUUAUUUCAAAACAUUUUAAAAACAGAGGAGGUAUGAAAAUUACUUGCCAGAAAUAAAAGCGGCGGCGAAGUGUUAUUGAAAAUGUGAUUUUGGAACCUAAAGAAACUCUAAGGAUGAAGUAUGAGACAAUUGGGAUUAUUUGAGUACCAAGAUUUAAAAGAAUUUACAAUAUGGGAUUCGGAUGAGAUAUCCGGGGAAGGCGGAACGUAGGCCAGAUGGAAUUCCGGAUGUGAGGUAUCCAGAGAAGGUGGAAUGUCGGCAGACAGAAUUCCGGGUGCGAGAUGUCCGGGUGGAAUGUUGGGGGGGGGGGGGGGGGGGAGGAAUUCCGGAUGCGAUGCGUUCGGAUGGAAUGGCGGUAGGAGGAAUCUCCGGAUGCGGGGGACGUCCAGGUGGAAUGGCAGCAGGAAGAAUUCCGGAUGCUGGGGCGUCCGGGUGGAAUGUUGGCGGAGGAGAAUUUCUGGAUGCGUAGGGCGUCCGGAUGGAAUGGCAGGAGGCAUGCUGAGUGCGAUGUGUCAGGAUGGAAUGGCAACGGGGGAAUUCCGAAUGCGAUAUGCGUCCAGGUGGAGUGUUGGCGGAGGAGAAAUUCCGGAUGCGAUGGGCGUCUGGGUGGAAUGGCGGCGGGAGGAAUCCUAGAUGCGAUGCGUCCGGAUGGAAUGAACAUGGUUGUGAGUAGCAUGAAGGAUGGGUAUGAACUGUAUGGACAUGGGGGCUUGGGUGAGUGGUUUUAAUGGGUAUGCGAAGGAGUGAAGGAUGGCAUGCACCCGUGAGACUCCAUGUAAGCGGGGGAGUGGGAUGGAGAAUGAAUGAGAGGCGGAUGGGUGUGGUGGAGGUGUAAACCCUCAAUUUUGUCCCUCGACACUGGCAUUUAUCCUUCGGGUGUCACAUCCACCCAUUGUUCGCAUAUGGCACCACUAGGGCCCCUUUUGGGCUUAGUCGAUGUCCGAGCCUUGUGUGGGUUUGUCUGUGGUCCAUUGUGGUGCAUAUGUGGUUCAUUUUGGAGGGUCACCCUGGCCAUUUUCCUAGUCGUUCACAUCACGCUAUAGGAAGGAAGUGGGGUCAUCCUGAUGUCUUAGCUUAGUUGGAGUUUAUAGGGGCAUGUUGAGGUUCGGAGCACUCGGGCUUGUUUUGAUCGUAUCUCCCUCAUCCAAACUCAGAAUCAAAAACCGUUUCUUUUUAUGGAUUCCUUAUUCUUCCAGGAACAUUCUGUAAAAUUUUCAAAAUUUUUUGCAACCGGUCGGCUGGUUGGCAGCCGGUUCAUCGAGUCAACCGGUGUAGAACACUGAUUUUUGGUAAUUGUUUUGAUCAUAUCUCCCUCUUUCGAACUUGGAAUCACAUACCGUUUUUUUUAAUGGAUUCCUUGCUCUACUAGGAACAUUUUGUCAAAUUUUCAGAAUUUUUUUCCAUCGGUUCGACCAGUUGGCAUCCGGUUCGGCCGGUUCAGCCGGUUCAUUGAGUUAGCUGAGGUAAAACACUAAUUCUAGUAAUUUUGAGGCCCAAAUCCUACAUGGCUCAGGCCCAUAAGCUCCAGAUCAGUUUUGGGCAAUGUUGUGGGUCCAUUUUAGGCCUUGGUUUGGGUUCCUUGCAGCCCACCAUGAAUCCAUAUGGAUUCUUGGUGGUGAAGCAAGCUGAAAAAACUGAAGGGAGUGAGCUGGCCUUGUAAGUCUAAGAGAAGUAAUGAGGGGUGUGGUUCCCAUGCUGAUGAAGGGAAUUUCGGUGCUGAAGGGGAAGGAACCCAGGAGGCUCAAAUGCUAAGAGGGGUAUGAGUAUAAAAGGUGAGAGGAUAGGAGAGCAAAUGACCUUUGACAUUUUGGAGAGGGGAAAUUCUGCUGGUGAGAAAAACAAAAGGUCAGUAGCAUCUUCUGAGUUGAGAGUGUGGGGGAAGCUUCAGCACUGUGGUUUUUUUGAAAAGGAGAGUGACAGCCUCUCAGUUUAGGAAGUCAUCAUCGGCAUGCACGAAUCAUAUUUGGUGGAGAUUCUGAGGUAACCACGAUGAAUUUUCUUUACUUACAGUUUAUCUUCCUUGUCUUCAUAUGCUUUUUCUCCUUCCUCAUCAUCUUUUCUUCCCUUUGAUAUGAAGAUUGUAUUGAUUGGGUGUGGAUAAUAAAGGCCACACAUGAUUGUUAUUGUUUUCUUCCUUGAUCACUUAGGAACUUUCUGACCGAAUUAGGGAUUUUCUACCAACCGGCUGAACCGGUUUGGAACGGGUUGAACCGGUUUAGCACCAUAGCUGGCUGCCUCUGUCAGCCAUGAGGAACACCUGCCUUUCUUUGUCCGAUUCUCACUCAUCCGAGCUUGGAAUUGAGAACCGUUUCUUUGUUCGCUUCCUUAAUCACUUAGGAACUUCCUGACCGAAUUUGGGAUUUUCUACCAACCGGCUGAACUGGUUUGGAACCAGUUCAACCGGUUCAGCACCAUAGCUGGCUGCCUCUGUCAGCCAUGAGGAACACUUGCCUUUCUUUGUCUGGUUCUCACUCAUCCGAGCUUCGAAUUGAGAAUCGUUUCUUUUGUUUGCUUCCUUAAUCACUUAGGAACUUCCUGACCGAAUUUGGGAUUUUUUAUCAACCGGAUGGACCGGUUGAGAACCGGUUCAACUGGUUCAGCACCAUAGCUAGCAGCCUCUGUCAGUCAUGAGGAACACUUGCCUUUCUUUGUCUGGUUCUCACUCAUCCGGGCUCGGAAUUGAGAACCGUUUCUUUUGUUUGCUUCCUUAAUCACUUAGAAACUUACUGACCGAAUUUGGUAUUUUUUUAUCAACCGGAUGAACUGGUUGGGAACCGGUUCAAUCGGUUCAGCACCAUAGCUGGUUGCCUCUUUCAGCCAUAAGGAACACCUGCCUUUCUUUGUUUGGUUCUCACUCAUCCGGGCUCGGGAUUGAGUGUCGUUUCUUUUGUUUGAAUCCUCACUCAUUUAUGAGUUUUCUAGAAAAAAUUGGGAAUUCUUCUCAAUAGGUUGUACCAGUUGAGAACUAGUUAAACCUGUUCUGCUGGAGAACUUUAGGUAGCCCUCGAUUUUGGCAUUUUUCGAGCCCUUAUCCAUGGGGGCUCAAACCCAUUUGCUAUAGGGCACUUGUGAGCCAUCUUGAAGGUUUAAGUCAGUGUUUGAUUUCAGUUAGUAUGGGCAAUUUUGAAGUUAUGGGUGGUGUGGUCUAGAUGAGUCUAGUUCGAUUUGUAUGACAUUUGGGGAGUCCCUUACCUCAUUUCAACCAGCUAUCUUCCUUUUUGGCACAAGCUUUGAUGCUUGAUUUUGAAUACAUGUUGCGUGACUGACUCACCCUCUACUGCAGCGCUUGGCUAGGGACCACAGGAAUGCAUCGUUGGCUUUGGUUGUUGAAUUCAUAUGCAUGCAUGGUGCUUAAUCUUGAAUGUUUGUUAUGUGUUUACCUGUGUUUGGUUGACCUUUUAUGCAGCACUUGGCUAAGGACCACAGGUACGCACCCAUUGUUUUGUUUGGUUGAAUUCAUAUGCAUGCCAAAUACCAAUUAGGAUUGUGUGAUCCAUGACAUCUAUUUAGCCUAGGGUUUCAUUUGACCUUUGACCCAUAUGCUCCCACAUACCCAAUUCAUUAGUAGAGACCGAGUUUCAGGCCUAGAGGGGUGCUACCUCGCAUGAGGUACCUUUCCAACGGGUAACCUGAUCCCCGGACCCAGAAUCUAGUUUUCGUAGACUGCUUUUUCCAUACUGGGGUCAUUAGGGGUUUUUGUUCUUACUUAAUUUUCCCCAUUUUAAAAACAAAAAUAAAAAGUAAGUGGCGACUCCAAACAACACCGUUCCUCACCAGGGGCGGGUUUUUUUUCAAAACUGGAAAACACCAACUUUUUCAUUUCUUUCUUUUCUUUUAAAAGCGAGUCGCGUCGGUCCGGUGGAUCGGGUGAGGGUCCACAGGAGGAUGCUUGACUCCUGCAAGCUCGAGUGAGGAAAAUGGAUAUGACGACCUAGAGAGAGAGAGAGUGAUAGAUGAACGAUGGGUAUGUAGGCAUAUUGGAUAAAACGAUGAAUAACAAACGAAAAUAGGUAUGGAGAGGCUGAUGAGGUGAGCUUUGCCGCCAUGACAACUACCCCAGGUUUUCUAGGAUUUCUUUCGAGCAGGGAUGAGAAAUUGGACGCGUACCAUAAUGGACAUCAAGAAACAGGGGAAGUAGAGUAACAGAACGUAAAAGAAGAUGAAUAAAUAAAGGAAAAUCUCGAAAAAUCCACUUCAUGAAUCAUCCAUGAAUCUUCUGAGCAGGUGGGUAAACCAUAUCGGAUGCAGCCACCCUCAUGACUCUCAAGCAUUUCAUAACCACAACAGGAACAUAUCAAAUUAAAAUGAACAAUGGCAAACACGUUUGCAGGGUCAUACUUCAACAAGCAGACUGGUGGCCUUCAUUAUUCACCCUAAACAGCAUUAUGUUAUGGAAAAUCAGUGAAUAAUGAGAGACGAGGAGAAAACUGUGUACGUACCUGGUUCCUCAAGCAAAAAGAAAUCAAGUCUCAACUCUCUCAAUGGAGUUUCUCUCUACCGUCAAGAACUCUCCCCUGGCCAUGGAAGACCUUGCCGAGCAAAUCUCCUUUCUCUCGAAAAUCCCCCCUCUAGCCAACUCUUCCCUCACAAAACUUUCUUCCUUCUUUCCUUUCUUUUCUCUGCCUUUCUUUCUGGAUUUGCCUUCCCGACCAUCUCUGCCGCAGCCACCUUUUCUCUGCCCUUAUCCCCCUUCUACGACCACCUUUUCUCUGCUCCACUCCUUCUGCAGCCACCUUUUUAUGUUUUACUCCUUCUGCAGCCACCUUUUUGUCCCACUCCUUUUGCAGCUUCAAAAAGCGAGGUUGAUUCCUUAUAGCCACUAAGGAUGUGACACGUGGCCCGUUGGGAUAGUGACACCUGGGUAAAAAUGUGAUCUAAAAAAACAAAUAGAGAAGAAGUGACCCAUGCCUAAAUGGGGGUCUACAGAAAUAUUUUCGAAGAAAUUUAUUUCCCUCAAAUUACUAAAUAUCCUUUUGGUAAUAACCUUUAAUGACAAAUUGAGACCACCUUAUCCAAUUAUGAAACAUUUAAUUCUUCAAGGAUUCUCAAAAAUAAAUUUAAGAAAAAUAUUUCAAAUUCUUAAGAAUAAAAUUAAAAAGGAACUUUAGCUCUCAUAUUCAAAAUUCCUUAUAAAUUUAAUUUCCUUAUCCCUACCCCUUUCCAAUUUAAUAAAUAUUCUUAAAUAUGAAAACUAAUUUUCAUAAUAAUUUAUUUCAUUAAAAUUACCAAAAACUAAACUUUUAGUAAUUCCUUUAAUGAUAAAGUAUUCAUCUUGAAAUUUUCCAAAAACAAUUAUUUAUUGUCCAAAUUAAGGAUUAGUGUAAUAAAAAAGUUUCCAAAAACUUGAAAAAUAAAAACUAAAGAGCACUUCAUCCAAAAGGGAACUGUGAGGAUUCUUAUCAAAAUAAUUUUAAAGAAAAUAAUUUAGAAUCCUUUGGAAUAAUUUAGAAAAUGAAACUUUGCUCUCUAAUUUAUUUUCACAAGUUUUAUUUUCUUAAUCUAUACUAUUUCAAAAUUAAGUAAAUAACAUGCUAUGGAAUAUAAUUUUCAAGAAAAUUUAUAUCCAUUAAAAUUACUAAGAGUUUCAUACAAUUUUCGUAAAAAAACUUUCAAUAAUUUUGGUGACCUUCUUAAAAUAAAUAAGAGAAUCUCCGCUUAAUUUAGAAACUUACAUCCUGAAAAUAAAAAUAAAAAUAAAAAUAAAAAUAAAAGAUCUUUUAAGGAUUUUCAGAAAAGGAAACUAGAUUGUCUCACAAUUUUUAAUUUUUUUUUUACAAAAAAUCAUUCCAUGUAAAAAUUCCUUAAUAGUAGCACCCUUCUAAUUUUGAAUAAAACUUGAUUUAGAAAUAACUUGCUCAUGAAAAUUUAUUUUCCAUAAGAAAAUCCAAAAUUAGUAACUUUGGAAGCACUUGCAAUAUUUUUCACAUGCAAUAUAACGAUAUGCAUCAAAAAGGAAAUAUUCCAAAGGAGAUCUCAUGGCCAAGGGAUAUUUUUCACAACUUACCAAUUGUGAAUCAAACUUAAUUGUCUUCAACUUAACAUUAAUACUUGGAUUCAAAACUUAACAAAAGAAGCUCUUGUAUAGCUUCCAUAAUUCAGCAACUUUCAAGCCCAACAAGUGGCCCUAAAGAUGAGCCUAAAAAAGCAAAAAAGAAUUGGACCCGUAUGCAAUCCCAUUACAACAUACCCUCUAUGCAGCUUUCCUUCAAACAACCAUAUCUCCGUCAUUUCAACUCCGAAUCGUGAACCGGUUAUGGCAUUCGAUUCCUGACUUCCUAAGCUUUUCUCAUUGCGCUUUUCUGUCAUUGAUGCGUCCAUGGCUUCCUAACUGAUGGUACCGAAUCAAGAGAAGGAGAACUUUGUUAUCUGACAACAUGCUUCAGCUUUAGGGCAUAUACUUAUGCAGGAGUUCAUAACCGGACCUAGGUUUCUUUCCAUAUGACCCCUAGAUUUGAAUGAGAGCCAAGGGUAAAGGAAAACCACAACAAAGGAACAUCCCAAAAACACGGCAUCACACAAACCCAAGAAUCACAAAAAUAGGUCUCAUCCCAUAUUGACAUCAAUGAGUUCAUGAGUAAAUAAGGAACUUAGGUGGGCACAAGACCAAAAACAUUAAUCUGAGCAUAUCACUAGACAGCUAAAAUAAAGUUAAGCCACACUUAAACAAGACCACAGAAAGAGCAACAUGCUUCAUCUAGGCAGAGCACAACAAUCUAGAGAGACAAUAGAAAUGGACAUAUAACCAAUAAUACCCAUGUUUAAGCAACGGGUGUGAGCCAGAAACAAUAAGAAAUGCAAAUAAAGUUAAAAAGUAAGGAAGAAGAAAAAUGAAAAAUACAGAGUGUUCAUACCUGGGAGGUUCUCUUCUCAAACAAAACUUCUCUCUAGCCUUCUCUCCGUGAACUUCUCUUUUUACUCUCUACUCUCCUUCCUCACAGCUCCAUUCAUUCAUUCUGAGGCUCCUCCCCUGGUUCACUCUCAAGUCCUCUUCGGGAAAAAAAAAACCCUCCCCCUCAAAGCUCUUUGCCACCUCCAAAAAAAAUUGUCUCCUUCCCCUGUUUUUUUUUUUUCUUCUCCCGCAAGCCAUUGUCUGCUCCACUGUUCCCAGCUCAGCAAGCCUCCAUCCAUCAUCUCUUGGUCCAACCACCACCAUGGAGAUGGUUACCCACUCCACCACAUGUCCCAUGCAGCUUAUUCAUCUCCAAGACCGUCCCAGCUCUUUCCCCACCCAAAAGAAAGCCUCUCCCCCCUAUUUUUAAAGGGGUCUACAGGUUCAUUUUUUCAAAAAUUAAAAUAUUUUUUUGGAGAAAUAAAAAUGAGAACAUGUUUUUGUGUUUAUUGUUUCAAAAAUAAAUUUUUGAAAAUAAAAAGAAUGAUUGAAAAUGAAGUAGUAUACUAAUUAUGAUUGUGACUCCUUUUUUAUUUAUUAUGUCUAUAAAUUCAUUGUUUUAGUUAGAGUUCAAUAAAAACUUAACUAAAAGUUUGAACAAAUAAUAAAAUUGUAGUUUAGAUUAUUUAUUUAUUUAUUUUUGAGAAUUUUGUUAACUCAUAACUCUUGGCGUCCCUAAUUGGAAUCAACAAGGACUUUUUUAAUACUAUUUUUUUUUUCUUUUGAGAAUUUGGGAUGCAAAUUUACUCCAUUAAUUUGGUUUAGGAUUUUGUAUUUUGUAUUUUAUUUUAUUUUUAUUUUUUUUGUGAUUUACACUCAUUUUCAACAUUCAAGUUUUUUGCAUAAUUAACUUGAGAUUCAACAAAUAAGUAUAACCAAAUUGAUUGAUAAAAAUGACCCAAAAGGCAUAAGUUUUCACAUGGAAAUUGAAAAUAAAAAUUUGAAAAUGAAUUUAAAUUUAGAAUUUAAAAAAGGAAAAUCUUUCAAAUCUCUUUUAAUUUUAAAAAAUAUUUUUAAAGUUUAAAAAAGAAAAUCUUUCAUUUCUAACAUUUUUUUUUCUUUUUUAUUUUUUAUUUUUGGGUAAAAUAUCAUUUAUAAAUUGAGCCAAGCCCACUAGGAUUUCUCUAAUAUAAAUAUCUCUUAGUUCUUAGAGAGUUUUCAAAGAUCACCCCCUAAACUUAAGCCAUUAUUCUUUGUGUUCAAUAAAAAACUUUCAAAGCAUUUUAAAUUUGUUUGUUGAGUUUGUGCUUUUGCAUCAGGAACAUGUUUGGGAUAUAAGUCUAUGAGAAUAAUAAUUGCUAGAUAACACUAUGUACUUAUUCUUCAAAUUUAGGGAAUUUUAAAUUUAUGGUCUUUGACCUUGUGGCUUUUAUAUCAUAGUCUCAAGAGGUUUUAUGAGUGAUUUUCCAUGUAAUCUCAUGUAUUUCCAAAUGAUUCUUUGUUUUAAUUUAUUCUUUAUAUCCUAAUCAAAGAACAUAUACAAACUAAAAAUUGGCAUACAUUGGCUUGAAGUCAAGAAGACUAUCUAUUCACUCCCUUCGAGGUGAUUGUGUGACACAAAAUAUGAAUAAAAUUGAUUGAGAACUAAGGGACUUAUAUUUAAAAAUUUUAUCCAUUCACUCUUAAAAAUUAUGUAUGUUCUUGAAGUGUCAACACUUAACCUAUGCUUCAUUCUUGAAAAACUUACGGAGAAAUACAACGAAAAGAAAAGAAAAUAAUAAGGAAAAAUAAAACAAAAGAAAAAGUAAAAAAAAUGUAUAUAUAUAUAAAGAUAAUGAAUUAUUUUUGUCACUUUAGAUCUAUUUUACCUAUUUUAACUCUUUUAUAUAAUGACUAAAUAAUUUGAAAAUAUAUAGUUUUCUCAUAAAUUUUAAUUAUAAUUCAUUUUCUUUCAUACUUUAAUUUUCAUUGAGAAUAUUUUCCUUUUUCUUUUUUAAGCACUUCCCUGAGAUCAAACAUUGCAUAAAAAAAAUCUCUUAGAGGUUUUUAUGGCCUUUGGAAAUGGAUAUUCAAUCGGCAAGAGUUGAAUAUAGCAUUCUGAAAUCCAUGAAGGUUUUCAUUUGGUUCUUUUAAUAUAUAUGUACAACAAUAUCAUUAUUUUUCACACAUGUUUUAGGGAAACUUAUGAAUACGGCCCCUUGAUUCCUUUAUAUAUAGUUAACAAUAUCGAUAUAUGUAUUUAGUGUUUAAGUUUAUUUUUUUUAGUUUUAAUUAUAUUUUUCAUAUUUUUAUUUUGUUGUUGGCCAUAAUUAAUAAAAAUUUAAUAAGUUUUAAUGAAAUUCAAAGUAAUCUCAAUAAUGUUCCACAUCUGCUUUCCCUUCCAGCCAUUCAGUCUGCUUUCCCACGUCUUGGAUUUCAAUAAUUCUAAUGAACCAUCCCAUCAAUACUGAAGAUUCCAAGCUAUCUUAUUCAUAUAUACUUACCAAUCAAGUGCUUGAGUGAGGUACAGUUCUUGUUACCAGCUACAUGUCUACUGAUCACUCGGCCCCAAAUGCUAAUCCAGAGACAAAUCGCCCGACUCCAAAUUAUCACCCUAGCAUUUGGGGCAAUCGUUUCAUCAUGACCAACACACCUGAUGAUGAAGGUGAUUUUGUGAUAUCUGUAGUUUGCAUAACAAGAUCUUAACCAUCUAAAGAUUUUCUUAAUUUUUUUUUCUUGCAAUUUAUUGGUACAGAUAACUCUGGCCCAUGAAGAGCAGCAGUUGGAAGAUCUGAAGCAGGAAGUGAGAAGAGAGCUAAUAGCUGCAGCUAGUAACCUUUCCCAACAGCUCAAGUUCAUUGAUGCAGUUCAACGGCUGGGGUUGGCAUACCACUUUGAAAAGGAGAUAGAAGAAGCAUUACAACAUACUUAUGAUAACUAUCAUGAGAUUGAUGAUAUAAAUGAUGAUCUCUAUAACGUUGCACUUUGAUUUGGACUACUAAGACAACAAGGCUUCAAUAUUUCCUGUGGUAAGCCUCAUGAAUAUCAUGUGUUAUAUAGCAAAGCUCACAUAUAACAUUCUAUGUUUGGGUGAUGAUUUCAGAUGUAUUCAACAAGAGAAGGGAAGGUUCAAAGAAUCUGUGAUGAUCAAUGAUGCUUGUGGCCAACUAGGCUUGUAUGAAACUGUGCACAUCUCAGGUUUGGGAAGAAGAUACACUAAAUGAGGCACUUGCUUUCACCACCACUCACCUCAAGUCUAUGGUAGAACAUUUAGGAUACCCUCUUGCAGCACAAGAAACUCAUGCCCUAGACCAGCCCAUUAGGAAAGGCUUGGAGAGGCUAGAGGCAAGGCCUUUCAUG
rnacentral:lncRNA from 1 species